rnacentral:lncRNA from 1 species
UAGGUUCAACAACAUCUACUGCAUAGACUUCAAUAUUGGACAGCAAAUGGCAGAAAUAUGUUGCAAAAGGAAGAAAUAAUUGAUGACAUGCCACAGUUUUUCCAUAUUUAAGCUUUUCCACGCGUCCAACCAUCAAUUCUUUUCUAGAACCCUCUGUGUUUUUCGAUGCCAAUGCCACCAAAUUCUUGUCACCUAUGGCAGUUUUUGAAAAUUCAAUCAUUUCCUCAAGGGAUUUUGCACAGCUCUGAGGCUCUUCCUUAAGAGCAGGAGUAUUGCAAUAAAUAAGGGUGUAUUGAAUGGCAUCUUUUGUUUGCGGGCUUUCAAAGGAUUGAGGAAAUAAUUUUCGUAGGUCAUUUUCCGUAACAGAGAUCUUUGAUGCCGUUUGAGAAGGAAGAAAUGACUGUUGGGGCAAUUGGUUUUCCAAGCUUGAGAGAUGCACCAUGUUUCCUUGUUUGAGAAGUGAGAGUCUGAAGAAAGAAAAAGGAUCAACAUGUAGGACAACAUUUGGGCUAAUUCUGCCAUAGCCGUAAUUAUUCUUGUCCAAGAAACUAUCAACACGUGCUUUGGAUAAACAAGCUAGGUUUGCAAGAGAGCAAAGAUUUGCAUCAAAUGGAAGAUUUUUCUCGGACGCUAAUGAAGUGAAAUGUUCAGCUUGUUCCUUGCUCAGUGGAGAUAGUUUGGACAGAAGAUUUCCAGGCAUGGUGCCUUGGACAUUUUCUGACCAAUAUUUGAGCUGAUUCAAUGCAGUGAAUGAAGAAGAUGAAAUGUGUGCAGCAAAAUGGGACGUAGGAAACGUGAGGGCAAUGACAAAGAGAACGAUAGCAAACGUUGAAGAGGCCAUUGGUUUCAUCGACACUAAUAUUGAGCUAAUUUUCUUCAGUGGAUGAAGUGCUGAUGACUUUGCUAGUGCAGCUUCUAAUUUAUACUAGUGCUCGAGCCUGGACACAGGGCCUCACCUGCCCAUUUCAGGAUAAAAUGGUUACUCUAAAUUUUUUUUACAUCUUGUUUUAGUUGGUAUAUAUCUUUACUUCAAUUUAUUUACAUCCCACUCCAACUUAUUUGUACCUUAGUCUAAACCGGUUGGAAAUGGAACUUGUGAGGCCUCAUCCCCCACUCUAGCCUUGUGUUUGCUCCAGCUAUAAUCUCUAAAGGGAAACCGUUCAAAAUGUUCCUUAUAUUUUGUCAUAUAAAUUUUUUCCUUCUUGUUGUCCCUAAAAAUUAUCAAUCCUCAAUCAUUAUUGUCCCUAAAUAAGUAGAAUCUAAUCCAUACCAUGUUCAUUUUUCUCCAUAAAAAAGUGGAAUAUGACCCAAUCCAUAUUUAUUUUUGCCACAAAAAAAUGGGAUCUACCCUUUUUGGACAUAAAAAAUAACUGUAUAUAGGUCACAUGGUGAUUUUAAACUAGUCAGAUAUUUAGGUUGGAACUAAAUUUUGCUAAUUUGAAUUUUUAAGUGAUUUAAUUUGAAGUUUAUAUUUUAAAAGUGAAGAACGAAAAAAUUUAUUUGAUAAAAUGUGUGGCAUGUUUUGAAUGAUUUUCUCAUCUUCACAUGUAUAUAUUGUACAAUUAAUCCAAAACAAAACUCCAAAUGUACCUGUGUUUACUAAUCCAGAAAAAAAGAGACAAAAUUGAAAAAUAAAUUUAUUUGAAUAGACAAUUUGCAACUUGUUCCACGUUCGCAUUUGAAUGGGUUAAAUACACUAAUCAUACAUCCACGUUAGACAAUUUGCGGUUGUCCCAUUUUAUGCUCUCAGCUUGCGGUCCAUAACCUGAGAUAUGUGGUAGUUAAAAAGACAAUAUUUGUAAUCUCGAAAGUGACGGACAAUACAGUCCCGCACAUUUAGUGCGUCUUGUAGGUAUAUAUGGACAACCGCAGCAAGGAAUUACAUCUCCAAAUACGAAAAUUUCAUGAAAUGAGAUGUAGGUGUGUGUAUAUGUAUAUAGGUAUAUAAAUAUGUAUGUAAGUUUGGUUUAUAAAAUAUUAGUCAAUACUAAUCGUUCAAAAUGACCAACAAAUUUCUUAAUAAAAAAACAUUGAUAUCCUUGGGGAUACUUUUUUAUCCAAUAAAGCAGCUGAAAAUUGUGUAAAAAAUGCAUGCUUCCUAUAAACAAGAUUGGAAAAGAAAACGAAAAUGAAUAAGUCACAUGCUAUGAAAGUCAGUUGAAAAGGAAAAGAUUGGCUCGUGUAGCCAAAAAUUCAUAAGCAUUGCAGUUACCAGCAACACGUAUUUCCGAUUUUCAGAUGUCCACGAUUUGUAUAAGGGUUCUAGUCUGUUGCAUUUGCAUCCCACAUACAUUGAUAACUCCAUUUGAUUUGAAGAGGAACACCUUGCGCAAAAGAAAGAUGUUGCAGAAAUUUGAGACAUGAAAAAAAAUUUAGAGACUAGCAUUGAAACUUUUCCAUUAAGGAAAUAGAAAGUUUAAGAGCUAUCAAUUGCUACAGCUAAAAUAAAAUAAGAAUGAGACAGAGAAAUAGGUUUUGAAACACACUGUGUGAAAAAUGGAUUUAAAAUGUGGUCAAUUGUUUGUACUAGUAGCAAAGGGUAAUUCCAACAGUCCCAAACGUAGGGGCAAGUGUAGGCAUUUAACAAAAGAAAAUUCUAUAUUAAGUGAUAUACAAUAAUACAAUAAUCACAAUUUAAAAGAUGGCGUACCUCAUGAUAUCUAAGAGUUCUCAUAUUUAAAUUUGAUAAAUGGGAACGUCAUGCAAGUUGUUCUUAUAGCAUGCAAGUGUUUUUGGAGUAAAUCGAUUUUAGAAAAGUUUAGAACAGUACUAAGAAAAGUUGCUUUCUAUAAUUGGUUAUCAGUUUUAACAGCAUUGAUUUGGUUUAGUUACUAUUACACUAUAAUGUCUUAGGGAAACAAUUAUCUGUUCACAAAAAGAUAUUAAAGUGCUACAAUUAACGAACUCUUUAAUAGGCUUUGUUGAUUAAUUCUAGAAUUAGAUGAUUGUAAAAAACAAUUAGACUAUUAACAUCGAACUUUUAUUUUUUUUCUUCUAAGAACAAUAGGAAGGAAUAGCCUUACAUUCUUUGACAAAAAGAAAGAAAGUAAAAAUCCCUAGCUACAUUAUUUGAGUUCUCAAGUACUACUGAUUAUGGAUGGAGAAAGAUUGCUCAAAAUUGCUGUCCUUUUGAAAUUCAUGAAAUUAUUAAUCAAUUGGCAACUUUGGUUGACUGGUCUUUUAUUGGGCAAUUUUUUGACAGAAGUUUGUCGGAGAAUAUCCUCUCCUUCAAUUUAAAAGAAGAAAAUUUUGAAGUAAUUCCUCCUACACUAGCCAAAAAUCUUUUCUAUGUUCUUCAGCUUGGGCUGGAUAGUGACCUGAUCGAGUUUAGGUAUUAAGAGCCAAUGAGUUCGAUCGAUUAGUUCGGGAUCUAGCUGAAUGAUGUCAUAAUGAUGCCAUAAAUAUAUUUUAAUUAUCUAUAAAGUAAAAAUUAUAUAUAAAUUACACAUUAGCUUGACAUAUUUGGUGAGUUUAUAACAAAUAUGAAGAACUCAUUCAAAUAGUUGUACAAAUUUAGGCUGGAAAUAUAAUUUGAUAAGUAUUUGUGGUUUAAUAUAUAAUUUUUUUGAAACAAUUCAGUGUCAAUUCUUGAACUUAAAGUCCAAAUACACAUUGAUGAGCCUAAAACUUUUUAAUAGGACAAUUCUUCAACAAAAUUGAGGUUUGUAUGUAAAAAUACAAAAGUUAGAGUUGCGUAGAGUAAUUAUAAAAGAAGUUUGGGAGUAUAUUUAUGAUUAUAAAAAAUGGAGGGUCAAAACAAAAUACUAGAAAAGUUUUAUAUUUAAUUGGCAAUUUCUUCUCCACCAUGCAUCUUCAUCAGCCAGGAAUCGGGAGGUUUCAACCUUCAUCUGCAUUCCCCUUUUUUUUGGUUUCUUUUUGUAAUGAUUUCAUUGUUUUUUUGUCCCUUUUCUUCAACUGGGUAAGAAUCUUCCCCUUAUUCUUUAUUUUCGUUCUCUCCUGUUUUCUUCUUUUUCUAUUUAGAUCUAUAAAUCUUUGAGAGAUGACAAUGAUAGAUUUAUAGAUCUAUUUUCUCUUUUCCUUUUUUCUUCUCUUGCAGUAAUUGAAACUUUUUAUUAUGAUUUGUCAAAUAUCUUACCACCUUUUUUUGGAGAGAUAAAAUUAGGCUUUAGAAAUGAAGAAAAUUUUUGGAAAAAAAUCACAAAUCAGCAAUGAAGAAAUUCAGGUAAAAUGAGGUUUUUCCCGAUUUUAUUGAUUCCCAGUUUAACACUCGAUUUUUUAAGGUGACUUGGACCGAAUGCUUGAUCGGUCUUGGUUUGCCCGGUCAGACUGAUUAGUCUAAUCCAAAUUUUAAAACAUAGGAUUUAAAAGGACAUAUUUGACUUGGGGAUCUAGCAGCAGAGCAUUUGAGACUGAAAAUAUAUAUGGAUGUUAAACAAGGGCGGCAAUGGAAAGAUAGUCUAAUGCUAUACCAAAGCAAGGAAACAAAAAGAAAAAGGAUUAAAAGUAAAAUUAGUUGUGACCAAAUAAAUGUAGCCAACUUGAACAUGGUAUAAAAGCAAUUGAGCAAAUGCCUUGUUCAAUUCAAGAUAAUUGAGGUACAAAAUCUAGAUUAACACAGCAAAUUAGGUUGCAGAAUGUUGGGUGUGGGCCAGCUCAUUUGUGAGCCAAACUAGAAAAUCAAAUAUUUUUAGGUUUAAGUCAAAAAUUUGACUUAAAUAAAAAAGGCGAGCAGCCGCAUGAAGUAUGAUUCUUCGGUCCUUGUGCGAGAAAAAAGAUUUCAGCCGCCGCUCUUGCUGGCUUGGUGAAGAAGGAAAAGAGAAAAAUAACUGGGAGAUCUUGAUUGGAAGGUGAUUCGAAUCCCGAUUGAAAUAAAAUUUUACAUACGCGAUCCUCUCAUCAAUCUCUACUCAUCUACUGGUCCAGAUUUUAGAUUUCCUCUUCGUUUGGUGACACCUUUCUAAACUCACUUCUUUGAUAGUUGUAGUUUUUGGGGGUGAUUUUGUAGUAAUUUCGUUUGAUUGGUAUUGGUGAUAUUAUUGUCAACCGAAUAUUUUGGGUAGACCUGUGUAUUCCUAUUGUUGUGAUAGUGAAGAUUUUUGACUGGACUAGAUCCCGUGGUUUUUCCCAAUUUGGAUUUUUCACGUAAAAAUCUUGGUGUCAUGUGCCUUUUAUUUUUCUUGCAUUUUAUUAUCACUACUGGUAUUAUUACUUGGUGAUUUGAUUUAUUCCUAUUUUUAACCGGUACAUAGAGAAAGAGAAAUUUGUCUUGGAUUAACUCUGAUAUUGUGUGUCUAUACCCAUACCUCUUUCCCAACAAAUGGUAUAUUAGACAAUCUUCACAUUUUGCACUUUCAUAAAGCAAUUACACCACAACUAUUCAGUUUUAGAUCGACAACUUUGUAUGCUACAGUUCCUUAGGCUGUCAACCACGUAAAAGAUGUCUUUCCGCAUCAUAUUGAAUGCGUUAGUUACUUUGUUUAGCAAAUUUAUAAUUAUUGAGAUGCAUGAAAUACUUUUUUUUCUGCAAGAAGAAUGGUUAAAUUCUCAAUUACAAUGAAAACAGAUAAUAUAGUAAUCCCACCAAUAUUGUUUCUUUAAACAUUUUGUUGUAAUACUCUCAACCUUUUGCUUUUCUGGUAAUAUACUUUCUUUUCAUUUCCUUUCCUUCAAUUCAAAAGGUCACUAAAUUUUUUUCCUCAAAUGGCGCCUAAAUUACUUUAAAAGCAAAGAUAACUAGUGAGAUGCCAAAAAUUUCCAAUCAAUUAUAUGCUUUACUUUGAAACUUACCGGUAGUUCCACUUGUUUUAAAUUUGUAUUAUUUAGGUAGGUUAAAAAUCGAACCAAACUAUUCGAUAUUUGAAAUAAGUUUGGUUCAGUAAAAACUUGUUCUAACUUGAUUUAUGAAUUAAUCAAACAAAGUUUGAACAUCAUUUUGUGUUCAAUUAACUUUUAAACUCUAUUUAAUCCUGGUACAAUUAGCAUAAAACUUGAUUUUAUAAGUAAAAAAUUCAAGCUAUUUGAGCUCAACUCAAAUCUGGCUUGAUUAAAGUCAACAUUAAAUAUAAUUUCAAAUUUGCUAAAAUAAUUAAACAAAAUUGAACGCUAACUUGUCCUCAAUCUUACUAUUGUCCUUAAAUGCAGCCAUGCUGCAAAAUACCUAUGCAUUAUUAGUUGGCCACUUACUUCGACAUCUUCUUAUCCUCAACUUCUUUUGCCUUUCUUUCCUUUUUUGUCUUCUUUUGUUUUUAUGUUACAGUACGGUACACCUACAAAAUUAUUUUGCUACCCACUUUACCCCGCUAUACAACACGGAUGAAGGUUACUAAAUACAAAUUAGGGACAUGAGACUUAUGAAAUAGAGGCCGUAGAAAACAAAUGGGAGAACAAGAAAUCUAUAUUCUUUCUGUCAACUUGCAAUACUCAAUCUCCUUCAACUUCAAUUUCCUUCAAAGUUUCUUUUAAUUUUUUCUUGGUGCUUUAAACAUGACACAUUUCCUACUACCUUUUCUUUAAAAAAAAAAAAAAAAAAAAAACAUUGGCACGUGAAGUUGGCAAUUGGCACUUAUCAUACAAGUGGCUCCGGAUGUGCGGUAUCGUUUGUUUCUUUUGUUUCCUGGGGAUGAGUUUUUGGACUUGGACCACUCAUAAAUAAAGUUGUUUCCUCCUGUGCGGUAUUUCUUGUCAUGGUUGCUCUUACAAUACAGCCAGCCAAUGAAAGUGAAUGUGACAGAGAGAUAUACGCACGGAGACAAAGACAAGGCUGCUCGUGUCUCAUCGUACGAUCCAAUAAUUUGGGAAUUCGAAAAAUCUAAAACCAAAGGAGAAAACAAAUGUAAAUGUGUAAAUUUACAAGUAACCAGUAUUGGUGUAAUCAAUGCAUAAAUGUGUACAUUACAACUGAUAACAUGCAUAAACAAGAUAAACUCACAUUUAACGAGACUUGACUCAACGGUUAUGAUUGUUGAAUCUCAACCUUGAUUUUCUAGACGAACAUCUCGCUGUACAAAUUAUUUAAAUUGCUAUUUUUAAAAUUUUUGUAAAAAAAUAUAUUAUAGUGAUUUGAUAUAUGUGAAAUAAAAGGGUGAUUGAAAAAUUUAUUUAUAAAAAAUCUAAAAAAUUAUCUAUAGAAAAUAGUAAUGGAAGCAAAGGUUUUUGAAUUAUUGGAGCACCCCUAAAUUAGGAAGGACGAAAAUUCAUUAUCACAUCAUAGGACCAGCUAGUCUAUUAUUCUACAAGGUGAGAUAAUUAUGAAAUUGACAUGAAGAAAUACUUCCCACACGAGUCAUGAAUCGAUCAGAUGUGGGACUGGUGGCGGCCGCCAUCUCAAAAAUUAUCAUACGACAAGACGUGUUUCAACACCAUAAGUUGCUUUCGAAGAAUAUUAAAAAUAAUGUUCUGCACAAUAUUUGGACAAGGUCACAAGAAUGGCUCAAAUCACUGAAUCAAAAAAUCCUUUAGCUGCUCAGCUUGAGUUUCACUAAAUAUUUUGAAUUGCAGAGACCUAGUCAAAAAUCGAGUUUGAUCAUGAAAAACAAGGAAAAAAUAGAAAAGUUUUUCAUUUUUUGGUGAACCAUUUUCUUUUUUCUAUUUUGUUAAAGUUUUCCAUAAAAUAUGUUUACCAUAGUUUGAUGGGUUAGAUGCAAAACUUAGCUCUUAAUUAUAACAAAUUUUGCACUUUACUCCUUAAAAUUAUCUUAUUUUGACUUUACUCCACUAUUAGUCAACUCAAACAUUAUAUACCCAUAACCUGAAAAAAACAUUCAUCCUGAGGGUUAAUGACAGUAAAUCCCCUCAAGGUAUUGCAUGUUUUAUACUUUACUCUAUAAAGUCAUCUUUUCUCAAUUUGUAGGUUUGUCCCAAGACCAUUAGUUAACUCCAAUAUUCUGUAACACCCAAGAAAAAACAAUAGCUAAGAGACAUUUAUAUCCUUGACAGGAUAGUGAACUGAAUAAUAUUUUAUGGAUAUGAGUCUAGUUAAAUUUCAUCUCGUAAUUACACUUUUUUAAGACAGGGGGAAAUUUCUCGAUCAUUUUAUGCCUUAAGGAGGAAAAAUAAACAAAAUAUUAUUUAAAAAUAAAAUAUGAAAACUGAAAAUAUUACUAAAUUUGUAAAACCCGCUUAAAAACUGUCAAUCUCUCUUUUCAAAUGUGCAUAUAGGUUUGCUUUUCAUUUAAUGGCUACAUUUUUGCUUUGCAUAAAAAAUAUACACUUUUCGUUGUUAGUAACACUACAAAGGGGCAAAAACAUGAUGGAUUUGGCAUUCCAAAGCUUUAUUGUCACUUGUGCUCAGAGCGCACCCGACGUGUGUACAAUCAAAAAAUAUAUAAUAUUAAUAGUCAUAUAUUUUAAAUAAAAUUUUUAUUACUAAAGCAAAUUUUAAUCUUUUAAAUAUUUUUCAUAAAAUAAUUUUAUAUUGGUAGUUAUGUUGAAUACAUAUACUUAAAAGUAAAAAUAGUCAUGGGUGGUUAUAGAUAGUUAAAGUAAAAGUAAUUUUUAUAAGGGCAAAAAAGAAAGUUCAUAAAGUGACGAUAAAAGUUAACCCUAAUUUUAACCCCAAAUCUCUUUGUCAAGCUUUACAUAUAACUAGUGCCAAAGGCACACCCACAUGUAUGCAAUUUAAGAAUAAAUUAAUUUUUAUGAAAUUUUCUUUAAUGAAUUGAUAGUUAGUAUUUUGGUAGUUAUGUCAAUUGGUAGUUAUCUUGGUAAUUAAACUUUUUUUCAUAAUAAAAAGUUUGGAUGUUUAAAUUUUAAACAUAUUGGUAGUUGCAACAAAAAUUAUGUUGGUUAUAUAUAAUUGGAUAGUUAGGAUAAAAUUUAAUUUUGUGAGGAUAAAAAUGGAAGUUUAAAAAGUGACAAAAGGUAUUUACCCCACCCUUUCAUUUCCUAGAGUAAGUAAGGGUAAAUUUGAAAACACACAAAACUAACACCAAGUUAACUACCUACACAUGUUUUAUUAUUUUAAAGAUAUAGAUUUUGUAAUGCUAAAAGGCACUUUUCUCAAACUUCAACGGUUUACUACAGAGGCAUUUUUUUUACAAGUGCUCAAUACACACCCAAUGUGUGUGCAAUCAAAAAAUACAUAAUUUUUAUGGUCAUAUAUUUUAAAUAAAGUUUUUAUUACUGAAGCAAACUUUAAUCUUCUAAAUGAUUUUCAUAAAAUAAUUUUAUAUUGGUAGUUAUAAUGUUUAGGGGUAGUUAUGUUGAAAACAUAUAUUUAAAUAGUUGAAAGUAAAAAUAAUCAUGAGUAGAUAUAGGUAGUUAAAGUUAAAGUAGUUUUUAUAAGGGUGAAAAAGGAAGUUCAUAAAGUGAUCAUAAAUGUUAAUCCCAAAGUUAACCACAAACCCUUUCCUUAGACUUUAUAUGUAGUAUAGAUAUUGGUGAAUUUAACUAAUGAGGGAACAAAGUGAUAAAAAGAUAAUAAAAUUUGGAAUUCUAUGGGGGAAUUCUUAUAAAUAACCCGAGUUUGAUACUAAAAAAAUUAAUGCCUUGUUUAGAAAGAGAUUUUUUAUCAAAAAAUCUAUACGUUUUUCAUAAACACAUUUUUUAAUCACCUUUUUACCUCACAUAUAUGAAAUCGCUACAGUUUAUUUUUUACAAAAAUUUCAAAAAAUUGCAAUCCAAACAUAACCUAAACUUUUAUAGUGCGCCCAUGGAUAAUUAGGAAACUGUGAUGAUCUAAUAAAAGUUUUCCAGGGUUAAAAGUAAUAAGCCCCCAAAACUUUUGGGAUGCUUUGCACUACAGUCUCUAACGUUGAUUUUGUGCCAUUUAGUACUUUUGUUUUUUUAAAUGAGAUGUCUUAAAUUCAAAACUUCAUACUUACAAUUCCUUCCACCUCACCACUUAACCAUACCCUCCACCCCAAACUCCAAUUUUAGUACUUGUGUUAGUCAACCUCAACAUUUGCCGUUAAAUGGUACUAAUUUCUAAAAUUACCCUGAUUUCUAUGACAAAAAUACCUGUUGUCCUAAAUACAAUAAAAAGAUCUCCACAAAACCCUGCAAUCCUUUUGUUUAAUAUAAAAAAGUUUAAAAAAAAAACCGCAAGCAUUUUGACAGUGCCAAUACAACAAAACCACAAUCUUCCUUUAAUUAACUUAAAUGCAGCGAAGUAUUUCUUCCAAUCUUCUACUCCAUAGUCUUUUUUUUUUUUUUUUUGGAUUAACCGUAGGAGAGCGAAGUACUUUUGUCCUUUUUCUCCUUUUUAUCAAUCUCACAGCUGACAAAACAAAAAUUUUCAAAUAUAUCUAAACUAGCAGUUCCGUCUCUCACUUAUCUUUUUGCUUUCAACAGGUUUUGUACCUAAACAUUAUGUUUUUUUUUUCCCGCAAAAUUAUGUGCUAAGUACAUUCAUUUCCAGAAUAGACAAUUAGAAACAGCAAUGCUAUUAUUCAUGUUCAACUCGUUUGAAUUUGGAAAAGGUUUAAUCACAGAAUAAACAAAUAAAACUCGAAAACAAGAUUGAUUUGGAACCAACACACAAAUUUGGGUGCAAGCGGAUUGAAUAUGUUAUUGAACCCCACAAAAAAUUAUAUUGUUGCCCCACUUUGCCCCCUUAUUCUCCUUACCAGUAUUGCAACUAGAGGUGUUAAAAUGGAUGAUUUGGACGGGUUUGGAUUGGCAAAAAUGGAUAAUAGGUAUAAGUAAGUCAACCCAUUUAUACCUAUUUAAUUAAAUGGGUAUAAAUAGGCAAGCCAAAAAUGAAUUGGAUAACCCAAUUACUCAUUUAUAACCCAUUUAUUUUAAUUUUUUAUAAACUCAUUUAAAUUCAUUUUGCAAACUAGGUUAUCAAUUUAUACCACCCUUUACACCCAUCAUUAGUUUUAAAUAUUUACUUAUAAUGCUCAAUAAGCCUAUUUACCAAAUUUUUUUCCAUCCGUACUCUAUGUCGUAAAAUUACAUGCUAUUUAAUAAUUGAACAAUCAGAAUAUAAAAAUUUGAACUAAGUACUAUAAAAGUUAAACAUAAAAAUUUAAUCCAAAAAUUUUAAACUCCUAGCAUUUUUUUCAUGUGUAAAUUUAAAAUUUCAUUUUGAAAAAGUAGGAAAAGAGGCUAAAACUUGUCAUAAAUUGGUAACACUAAAGAGUAAGUUAACAAACUAAGAGAAAAAAAAAUGAUAAGAUAAAACCAACCAAUGAUAAUAAUAAUGAAACAAAAAUAGUUAACAUCAUAACAAAAUGAAGAAUCUGAAAAAAAAAAUGGGUGGGAGAAGAGAGAAUGCUUGGGGGAAGAUAAUUCUAAAUGGAUUAAUUGGAUUUGAUGGGUUAUCAAUAAUACCCAUUUAUUUAAAUGGGUAUUAUUGGAUAAUCCAUUUAUACCCAUAUGCAAAAACUUAAGAUACCCAUAUCCAUAUAUUCAUGGGCGGGUAUGGGUAAAUUUAGUUAAAUGGAUUCAUUUGCCACCUAUAAUUGCAACCAAUGCAAGUAAAAAUUGCGAUACUUGUUUACUACAAAAUAAGGACGUGAAUUUAUCAAAUAGAAAGUGGAGAGAAAAAAAAGGGCAAAAUACACUUAACUCUCUUGUGAUUUAUUGAUUUUUUACAUAACCUCCCUAUAGUUUCAAAUACUAUAUAUAACCCCCUCAUAAUUUGCAUUAAAGUUUCAAAGUGACAAAAGUGAUUAUUUGCAAUGAAACCCAUGAAAAUAUCGAAAUUGCCUUUGUUUAAAACCUAAAAUGACUGAACUGAUCAAAAAAUAUAAAUAUAAUAUGCAUGACACUCUAACAUCGUAUAGUUUUAUAUUUUACUAUAUAGUCCCCUUAUAGUUUAGUGUUUUACCAUAUAAUCCCCUUAUAAUUUUUAAAAUAUAUACAUAAUCUUUUAUGGUUAUAAAUAAUUUUUAACUUUACAUAAGAGUAUUUUUAACAUUCUAGUUGACUCCAUUAUGGAAUACAAAUUCAGUUAUUUUAAGACUUUAAUUCAAAUCAUGAGAGGGGUAUGUGUAUCUUUUGAAACUAUAGGAGAAUUAUGUGAAAAAAUAUUAAACCAUAGGGGGUAAAGUGUAUUUUUCCAAAAAAAAAAAAGGAAAAACAAGGAGUGAGACCAUUUUCUCAUUUUAUAUGUGCACUUUAGUAAAAUAGUUAAUCAUUUUUCUUCUUUUAAAUUGUAAAACUCAACCUCUUUUAAUUUAAAAUUUCAUUCGAAUGUUAUUUUAAUUUUGAUCUUAGUUCUUCAAAAUUGGCAUAUUAAUUUCCUACAAUUUUUGUAAGGAAAAAAAAAGCAUAAAACAUGGCACUUGAAGUUGGUUGUCGGCACUUAUAGCUUGUAUCAUUUGUUUGCUGGGUACAAGUUAUUGGACUUAGACAACUCAUGGAUAAUUAAGUUGAUUUCACCAGUGGGGUUUAUGGUGGCUUAUCUCCUUCUUAUCAUGUUUGUUCCGACGAUGCAGCCGGCCAAAGAAAUAGGAUGAGAAAGAGAAAUGGGCGCAUGGAGACGAAGGGCCGGCGGCUCCUUUUGAUAUAUCAUCGGUCCCAAUUGUUUGGGAAAUCUAAAAGCGAAGGAGAAAACAAAUGCAUGCAAUUAUGCGAAUCGGAAGAGAUCUGAAUUUUUUUGGAUCAAUUCAAGAACUCUCUAUAUUAGAAAGGGCAAUAAUGCAAUGUCACAUCCACAGGACCAGCUGGUCGUUUGUCAAUUAUUUUACAGUGGGAAAUUAUGAAAUUCGCAUAGGGAAAUACUUUCCUGCUCAUGAGCCGAUGAAACAGUGGAGUGGCGGCAGCCGCCGCCCUUCGAAAAUUUAAGUUUGUUUUUGGAUUGUAAUUUUUUUUAAAAAAAAUUCCUACGUUUUUUGUGGAUAUAUUUUUCAAUCACUUUUUUAUUUUACAUAUAUUAAAUCGCUACAGUAUUUCUUUUACAAAAAAUCCAGAAAAAUGCAAUUCAAACAAAGCUUAAAAUUUUAUUUAUAUCAGAUUUUUUUUUGUAAAACAUUAUAAUUUUAUUAAAUUUUGUAUUAAUGGCAAAAGUUACAUCAUCUGAAAAGUGGAUACUAUAGAUAUGAAAAACAGAUAAAAAUUACACUGUAAAAUUCUAAAAAAUAGUUUAAAAAAUGAGAUAAAAUAAUUGUAACCUCACGAAUAUCUAUGCAUGCUUGUGAUCGUCAAAUCUAUUGAUUAAUUUUUUCAAUUCUGAAUAUUAUGGUGAGAUUUACCAAAUAAACUCAAGAAAUUCCAAAUUUGAUAAAUAAAAUCUAAAAAAAAAGAGUUAGAUCGAAUAAAAGAAAAUAAAAAAAACUACCUAAAGCAUUCAUUAGAAAUCUCUAGGAAAGAAGAAAACUCUCACUAGGUAACACUAAGAGAGGAAAAAAUUCUCACUAGAAAAUUGUAAGAAAUUUUAUUUGUACAAAUGAAAAAAAACUAUAGAUAAAGCUCCUCCUAUGGAGAAAGAUUGAAAAAAUGUGAUUUCUCACCCGAAAGAAUUGAAUGAAGUUUUGGUUAGAGAAUUUUCCUAAAGAGAAACUAAUUCUCUCUUUCUUCUCUCAAGAAUUGGUGGGAGGUUUUUUUUAUGUCUUAUACAGUUCUUUCUUAUUUAUAUCAGAAUUAAGAGAAUGGAAAGUGAUAAUUUGGAGAAAAAAAUUUGAUCAAAGCCUUGAUAAUUGUAAGGUCCAAUUAAUAUUCUAGAUCUUGGCCAUAUUAGCUCGAGCUAAUCUAGGUCAUCCAUCUCUUUUCUAAAGAAAAUUUAUAUUUUUUUUUUGUUGUAAAAGUUAAUGGCCAGAUUUGGACCACAUCAGCAAAACUUGAUUUGAACCAUUAAUUGUACGUAUGCCAGGCAAUCGUGCAUUCUCCUAAAAGUAGCCAAUUGCCAUGGAAGGUUGUAAAUGACCAUCUUAAUCCCUGAAUUAAGAAACAGUCAUCCCAUAAAUCCUCUUCCUCCUUCCACAUUCGAAGACCGCCACCGCAGCUUACUCCACCCUUCAUUCACAAACCCAGUCAACAAUUUUUGCCUACAUAUCAAUCUUGAUUACCUUGCUAUAUCCCCUUACUCUUCCCUUCACGCUAUCUUCUUCCCAUAUUGAAGAAGCAAAACCAUGAUGAAAUAUUGUUUUGGGACAGGAAUAUGUCCAAAAGGGUGAUUUUAGGGCUAUCAAUGGGUCCGGACCCAAAUCUGAUCCAAUAUGCUCGUUUGUUCGAACCUGACCAAAUCCAAAUUAUAUGCAUUCUAAAUGGAUCGGGUAUGGAAUGACAUGUUCCGAUUCAUUCGGAUCCGAUCCAAUUAAUUGGACAUAUAUAAGUAAUAAUUAUAAUAUUCAUUAUAAAUUGUUACUAACCCACAUGUUUUCUCUUUGAAAAAAAAAGGAGGUACUCUAAGAACCAAAUAAUCUUUGGAAUUUUUCUCAUUGUGUAGUUACUAUUUUAUUAACAAAAUUUGUGUAAAAAUAGAAUUCAAAAAUUAUCAAAAAUUUUGUUAUACUAAAUUGAUUUUAUGGAUUGGAUAUAUCCGAAAUAGAUUUGAAUCCAACAGAAACUGGAUCCAGAAAUACAUAUUAAGACUUCAUUAGGUAAAUGGAUUGGGAUCCAAAAUAAUUAUUACCUGUCGGAUUUGUGUUAGCAGUUAUCAAUUUUACCCAGAAUCAACCCGAUGAGUUCUUAUUUUGUUUCUUUUUGGGCAAAGCUCAUACUAAUGGAGAGGGAUGCCAGUCCCAAAUUUAUUACUAAUAGAGAAAGGAAGGGCCAGGCAUUAAUCUAAACUCUAAUACAAGAAAAAGAAGCUAAUGAAAUGGAAAAAGGAGUACUACUCCCGUGCCGAUCUUAAUCUAAUGUUUGGCAAACUAAUACUAUCAACAGAAAUAAUAGCUUUUACUGUGAAGCAUGGUUCAAAGUCUCGGCCGACUCGUCACCGUCUCAGACCCUUCGAUACGUCACUGUGAACGGUUGAAACGGUCGAGUUACACUGAAUCACUCCGAGUCAUCCUAAGUCAACUCGAUUUUUUAUUAUUUUUACUAAUUUUUUAAUUAAUUUUGUUUACCAUAUUUUUUAUAAAUUUUAGAAUAUUAAAUAUUUCAAAAAUUCGCGUCUCACCGAGACUGCAUGCCAAGAUCGAUGUAGAACGGUCUAGGCCGCGACCGCGACUUUGAACCAUGCAGUGAAGGCAAUUCCGACGUAGAAGUGUAAAUCUGCUGCCGAGAGAGAGUUAAAGAAACAAGAAAGUAAACUGAAAAACUUGCUCCACCAUAAAUGUGAUGAACAAAAACCCGAUAACACCUUGAAGCAAAUGACGAAUUUGAACUAGGGCACUACACAUUGGCCAAUUAGCUAAAGCAUUGGUUGAUAAAGGUGCACAGGUAGCUUAGCAUCCACCUGUACCAGUACAUCAUCAGUAGUGCAUUAUUUUCUACCAGCAAAAAAUUUGCCUUGUCAAAUUCUUCAUAAAAUACAAAGACAAUCCUAUCAAUAUUAUGAUGCUAAAUGAGAAAUUUUGGGUUCGAGUCCUUCCAUCUAAAUUAUUUUAAAAAAAGCAAAAAAAAAAAUCCAUGAUGGUCUUGUAGAAGACUCUCUCGAGAUGAAGUUAACCUUUUAGUACUGGUAAUGGUAUUGAGUUUAUAAUGCUUUUCCAUGGUGGAAACCAUCAGACAGCCAUUACCGAUGUCCUCAUGGAAGUUUCUAGCCUAAAAAACUUUGCAGUAUAAGUAUUCUAAUCACUUAUUACAUAAAAUCCUAUCACCAAGGAACGUGCUCCUAACACAGCAAGACAAUUAUCAACCUUCAAAAUAAUCUUAAAAGCGAGCGAAGAGAUUCUUUGAAAAUGUGUUUCGUUCUUUCCACACCAUGAAAACCACAAAGCUAAUAUAGGUAAAAUACAUCUAAUGUGAUCAAGAGGUGCUUUAUCUAGAGACAAAUUAACAAGAAGACAUCAGCAAAGAAGAGAUACAUGUAUGAGGCUAGAAGGGAAUUCUGAAAACUGGGAAGUAAUGCCCGGCAAACUUGAACUGGAAUCGAGCCUUCUGUUAAAGUAUGCGGCAAAGAUGUUGUAAAAACUUGAUAUUUCAAAAGAUUUUUCGUUUGUUUCGGACUAGAGCUUUAUCUGAUAAUAUUUCAUCAGAUAUGGUUGUUUCUAUUUUGAUGGAGAAGUUUUCAAAGAUAAGGUUUUGACUAAAAGGCAAGUUCAAGUGCUAGAUAGGAAGUUAAGCUUCGGAUGGCCUUUUUUCAAAUGACUUGACCUUUUCCAAACUUAUCACCACAGAGGAUAGACCUCUGACUACUUCAAAAGAUAAAGUCUGGCACGAAGCAAGCCUAUUCUCACGGAAAAUUAGCUUUCAAAAUUCUAUCUUCUUCCGUCCCGUGAAGCUUAUAAAUAGAACCAGUUGCCAGGCUCAUUUCGCACUGCAAAAACGAAGUCUACACUUUAAAACACUCUCUACCUCCUCCUUUGUCUAUCCUUCACAACAUUCUUGCUUUUCUGCUGGGUUAGAAACAAGAUUUUUUUUGCUGGUUCUAUGUCCCUCUCACAAAGUAGAGGAAAACUUGUUUAAUUCUGGGGAAACGUUUCAAUACCCUGAAAUAGUUUCUUAGGACAGUGCUUUCUAGCACGACUCAAGUAUCCACGUGUUGACAUUGUUCGGGCCGCUUUAUCCAACAAUCUAAGAAACUAUGGCAUCUAACAAUGUUAGCACCCCACAGCCUUCAUCAGCAACUGUUGCAGUGGCACUACCAUUCGCCAAGCUCUUUCCGGAUGUAUCCAAAAUUGAAAUUUUCGCCAAUGAAAAUUUUAAAAGAUGGCAAGAACGUGUGCACUCUCUACUUGACAUCCAUGGAGUAGCUUAUGCGCUCACUGAAUCUCAACCUUCUGCAACUGCGGAUGCCAAGAGUCAAGAAGCAUGGCAAUAUGCCAAUAAGGUAUGUCGACACACUAUCCUUCAAACACUCUCUAAUGAAUUAUUUGACGUCUACUAUAGCAGCAAAGAAGCCAAGGCAAUUUGGGAAGCCUUGGUAACAAAGUUUACUGCCGAAGAUGCAACCAAGCAAAAAUUCGUCGUAGGAAAAUACAACCAAUGGCAAAUGACUGAUGACAAGGAAAUGAAAAUUCAAAUCACCGAAUAUCAAAUGCUGCUAGAGGACUUGAAAAAUGAAGACAUCAAUCUUCCUGAGAAAUUCGCUGCAAGCAUGCUGAUUGAAAAACUACCAGAGUCAUGGGCCGACUAUAAAAACAACUUGAAACACAAGGAGAAAAAUUAUACCAUGGAUGAGCUCGUGAAGCACAUCCUCAUUGAAGAUUCAAACAAAAGGGAGUUAAGAGCUACCAAGGCAAAGGAGACGGCUUUCAAAGCCAAUCUGGUACAAGGUAAUAAUAAAAGGUACGCCAAUAAAUCCCAGAAUUACAAGCCCAAAAAUUUUAAUUUCAAGCCUAACAAUCCCAACUUUAAGAAAAGGAAAGGCAAUUGAUUUUAUUGUGGAAAACCAGGACAUCAUGCAUUACAAUGCAGACAUAAUAAAGGUGACAGAGCAAAUGGUAAUCUUCCUAAGGUGCACUUAACCGAAGGAGAUGAUAUAAUUGCUGCUGUCAUCUCUCAAGUGAACAUUGCAGCCAAUGUCAAAGAGUGGGUGGUAGACUCUGGGGCUACUCGGCACAUAUGUGCAAAUUGAGAAGCAUUUUCCUCCUAUACUCCUAUAGGGGAUGAUGAGGAAGUUGUCUACCUUGGUGACUCACGAACUGCUAAUGUUCUGGGUAAGGGCAAAAUAUUCUUGAAACUCACUUCAGGAAAAACUUUGGCUCUCAAUGAUGUACUGCAUGUGCCCAACAUUCGGGCAAAUCUGGUUUCCGUAGGAUUGCUAGGAAAAGUUGGAGUGAAAGUGUCAUUUGAAUUUGGAAAGAUCAUAAUGACCAAAAAUAAUGUAUUUGUGGGCAAGGGCUAUUGUAAUCAGGGACUCUUUGUACUUAACAUUGCCAAUGUGAUCAAUGAGAAUGCUUCUUCUUCUGCUUAUAUUAUUGAUUCAAUUUCUUUAUGGCAUGCAAGAUUAGGACAUGUUAAUAUGAGUUAUAUAAAGAAAAUGCAAUCUUGUGGCCUGAUUUCUGGUGUUAAUGAUAAAAUGGAUAAAUGUGAGAUAUGUGCAGAAACUAAAAUGACAAAGAAGACUUGUAUAACUGUUCAAAGAGAAACUGAACUAUUAAAUUUAAUCCACACAGAUUUAGGUGAUUUAAAACAAACUAUGACUAGAGGAGGAAAAAGAUAUUAUGUCACUUUUAUCGAUGACUACUCUAGAUAUACUAAACUUUACUUACUUAGAAAUAAAGAUGAUACUCAUAAUGCCUUUUUAUCUUAUAAGUCUGAGGUAGAAAAUCAACUUAAUAAGAAGAUAAAAAGAAUUAGGUCUGAUAGAGGAGGCAAAUAUUUAGCCCUAGAUAAAUUUUGUGAACAUGAAGGCAUAAUACACGAAACAACACCUCCUUAUUCGCCAGAAUCUAAUGGAGUAGCUGAAAGGAAAAAUAGAACAUUAAAAGAAAUGAUGAAUUCUAUGUUAGUUAGUUCUCAUGCUCCUGAUAAUUUAUGAGGAGAAUCUAUUUUAUCUGCAUGUCAUUUACAAAAUAGGAUACCUCAUAAGAAAACUGGCAAAACUCCUUAUGAGUUAUGGAAAAGUUAUAAACCAAAUUUGAAAUAUUUAAAAGUAUGGGGAUGUCUUGCUAAAGUAUUGUUGCCUGAACCUAAGAAAAGAAAAUUAGGUUCUAAAACUUCUGACUGUAUGUUUAUUGGAUAUGCUGAACAUAGUGCUGCAUACAGAUUUCUUGUUUUAAAAAGUGAUACGCUUGAUUGUAAUACAAUUAUUGAGACAAAGAAUGCUGAAUUCUUUGAACAUAUUUUUCCAUUGUCGAGUAAAAUUUCUCAUGCACCUGUUGAAAUAAAUAGAGAAAUAAUUCCGAAUGAGGAAUUAAGAAGGAGUAAAAGGCCAAGAAAAGAAUUUUCUUAUGGAAAUGAUGUUCAAACUUUUCUUGUUGAUAAUGAUUCUUUAACAUACUCCGAUGCUAUUUCUUCCCCUGAUUGUAAAGUUUGGAAAUAAGCAAUUAAAUCUGAAAUUGAUUCUAUCUUGUCAAAUAAAACUUGGAUUUUGGUGGACUUACCUCCUGGUGCAAAACCUAUUGGUUGCAAAUGAAUUUUUAAAAGAAAAUAUAACUCUGAUGGCUCUAUAGAAAAGUACAAAGCUCGUUUAGUAGCAAAAGGAUUUUCUCAAAAACAAAAUAUUGACUAUUUUGAUACAUUUGCACCAGUAACAAGAAUUGCGUCUAUUCGAGUUUUAUUUGCUUUAGCUUCUAUCCAUAAACUUGUUAUUCAUCAAAUGGAUGUCAAAACAGCAUUUCUAAAUGGUGAUUUAGAGGAAGAAAUUUAUAUGUUUCAACCUGAGGGGUGUAUUGUAUCUGGACAAGAAAAUAAGGUUUGUAAACUAAUUAAAUCUCUUUAUGGCCUAAAACAAGCUCCUAAACAAUGGCAUGAGAAAUUUGAUCAAGUAUUGAUAAAAGAUGAAUUCUUGUCUGUAGAAGUGGAUAAAUGUGUGUAUGUCAAAAUUAUAAAUGAUCAAUAUGUGAUAAUCAGCUUAUAUGUGGAUGACAUGCUUAUAUUUGGUACUAGUCUAGAUAUUGUAAAUAAUACUAAAUAUUUUUUGUCCUCUAAUUUUGAUAUGAAAGACUUGGGUGAAGCCAAAAUGAUAUUGGGUGUUAAAAUCAUAAGGAGAGGUGAUGGUAUAAUGUUGUCACAAGAACAUUAUACAGAGAGACUUCUUAGGAAGUUUGAAAAUUAUGAUGUGACACCUGUGAGUACUCCUUAUGACGCUAACAUUCAAUUGAGGAAAAAUAAUGGCGACCCAAUUGCUCAGUCUAAAUAUGCUCAGAUCAUUGGGAGUCUGAUGCAUCUGAUGAAUUUCACUAGACCGGAUAUAGCUUAUGCUGUAUGUAGACUGAGUAGAUAUACUCAUAAUCCCAAUCGUGAGCAUUGGUUUGCAUUAGUCAGACUAAUGAAAUAUUUGAGAGGUACCAUGAAUUUUGGUAUACUAUAUAGUGGAUUUCCCACUGUAUUAGAGGGUUACAGUGAUGCUAACUGGAUCUCUGAUCCAAAUGAUACAAAAUCCACUAGUGGUUAUGUGUUCACCCUUGGUGGUGGUGCGGUAGCAUGGAAAUCAGCCAGACAGACAAUUAUUGCUCGGUCAACUAGGGAAUCGGAGUUCAUAGCUCUGGAGUUAACUGGCUCUGAGGCAGAUUGGUUAAGAAAUUUCUUAGUCAAUAUUCCUCCUAUUAAGGAUCUGUUGUCUCCUGUGUCUAUACACUGUGACUGUCAAGCGGCUAUUGCUAUUGCAAAAAUAAAUCUUAUAAUUGUAAAAGUCGACACAUGAGAUUAAGACAUGAUGUCGUAAAGCAGCUGCUUAGAGAUGGAAUUAUUUCCAUUGAUUUUGUGAAGUCAGAGUUGAAUUUGGCCGAUCUUCUGACUAAACCUGUAGGAAGAAAAUUAAUUCUUCAAACUACAAGGGAGAUGGGACUUAGGCUAACGGUUGUCAAUAGAGAUGGUAACCCAACCUAUGUGAUUAGUGAUCCCAUGAAAUAGGUUCAUAUGGGUAAUAACAAGUCGAUAUUGACUGUAAAAGCACUUGAAAUUUAAGUCCCUUCAAAAUUAAGUGCUUUGACUGCCAAUAAUUGUGAGGCUGAGUUUAAUACUCUUAAUGAAUUUAUAUUCCUUCAGGAAGGUGUAUUUAGGGCAGUAUACACUUGAUAAAUUCACCUAUAUGUGAGUGGAGUGGGGCCGCUCCUAUAAGAUUUUUUGGCCGAAUCUUUAGAGCUCUCAUGAACAACCAGGCGGGCGCACGACCUAAAUGCGCGAAACUGCAUUGAACAGCAAAAUUAUGGGUUAUAAUGUGAUUGAUAAGAUCUCUGUCAUACAAUAAGAAUUAUUGGUUCAUAGAAAGAUAUGUUUUCACCAAUAAUUCUGUAAGACAUAUUUUAUCAAUUUAAGUUUGGUUCAUAGUCCAAAAGACACCAAACUCAUUACAUUGAGCUCAGACAAAUCCAGCAGAUGUUUAUACUCUUUUGUCCAAAAUCUUUUGAAAUAGGUGGGAGAUUGUUGUAAAAACUUGAUAUUUCAAAAGAUUUUUCGUUUGUUUCGGACUAGAGCUUUAUCUGAUAAUAUUUCAUCAGAUAUGGUUGUUUCUAUUUUGAUGGAGAAGUUUUCAAAGAUAAGGUUUUGACUAAAAGGCAAGUUCAAGUGCUAGAUAGGAAGUUAAGCUUCGGAUGGCCUUUUUUCAAAUGACUUGACCUUUUCCAAACUUAUCACCACAGAGGAUAGACCUCUGACUACUUCAAAAGAUAAAGUCUAGACGAAACAAUCCUAUUCUCACGGAAAAUUAGCUUUCAAAAUUCUAUCUUCUUCCGUCCCGUGAAGCUUAUAAAUAGAACCAGUUGCCAGGCUCAUUUCGCACUGCAAAAACGAAGUCUACACUUUAAAACACUCUUUACCUCCUCCUUUGUCUAUCCUUCACAACAUUCUUGCUUUUCUGCUAGGUUAGAAACAAGAUUUUUUUUGCUGGUUCUACGUCCCUCUCACAAAGUAGAGGAAGACUUGUUUAAUCCUGGGGAAACGUUUCAAUACCCUGAAAUAGUUUCUUAGGACAGUGCUUUCUAGCACGACUCAAGUAUCCACGUGUUGACAUUGUUCGGACCGCUUUAUCCAACAAAAGAUUCAAUCGAAUAGCUACUAGCCAAAUUAUCUGAACAAGAAGAGCAUUAUUUGGAAACCAAAAUAAUACCAUGGACAUGAAUAUCCUCAUCUCAACGGCUAGAGGGAAUUCCAUGUGAUCUUCAAAACAAUGGAAGAAUUCUUCUUCUUUCUCACCUCCCCCCUCCCAAGCCGAAGCUAGAGUAAAACAACCAAAGGUAAAUAGCUGCCACACCAACAUAUCUUCUUGAUUUGAUCAAACCCUUAACUUCAAAAUUGCAGCCACUAUACGAAGAGGAAGCCGGUCAUUCAGCCGAGCAACAUUCCAAUCGAAAUUCAUAAGAAAAACUCAGCUACUAGACAAUAUGGUGGAUAAUCCAUAUCACAAACAACAGCAGAGGGUUCAUCCAAGACCCAUCUAUCAAACCAAAAAUCUAUCAUUCUCUACUCUACGCACCAAUCGAUAUUCACUUCAGCAACUCCUUUAAUGUAAAACAAAUGUUUUCAAACAACUUAACCCACGCAAGAUUGAACUUGCGUUGGAUGAAGAGCAUGAAGAUAUUUCCGCUACGUAAACUUUGCUUAAACUGUUUUUUUUUUCUAAAAUUCUAUCGUAGCUUAAUACUGAAAGCAUGGAUCUAAUCCCUUGACUUUCUCUACUAGAAAACGUAAGUUUUCCCAAGAAGACCAGUGAAUAUGCCUCGAAUUAUCUUUAACAUCUGACAGAAAGCUAUUAUACGUACAUUCAAUAGUUCUAACCACCACUUUUGGAGGAGAUAGCACUUGCAACAAGUACAUAAGAAUUUAAGAAGGGACAUGUUUCAGUAUAAUUAUUUUCCCACUAGCUGAUAAGAAUUUAGAAUGCCAACCAGAAUUCUCCCUCUGAUUUUCGAUACAAUGCUUCAAACAUUACUCUCUUUGAUCUACUCUCAUAUAAAGAAACUACCAAAUAGGAAAAGGGGAGACAUUGAAGUUGAAAUCCCAAAUAGAACAUACCAUACACAUCUAGCAGUCAAGAUCUUAUCGGAACAAAUAAAUAAGCUAUUUGCAACCUUGAUCCACUGAUCAGAUUAGUAGUGAGAAAGAAAGUACUUUAUCGCCUUCAAACACCUCUUCAAGCAAUGUGUAAAAAUGAUUGUAUCAUUAGCAAAAGCAAGAUGCAAAACUUGACCUCCUGAUAAUGUAAAAAACAUCCUCCUCCCAUUUUCAAAUAAAUCAAUCAAUCCAUGACCAAGAUAUUCAGCAGCUAUCACAAAUAAAGUUGGUGAUAAUGGAUCUCCUUGACGACGAACACCACGAAAGGACUUUAAGAAUCCCACAACUCCACUAUUUAAACUAAAUGAAAACCAAUUGUUGGAGACAAUGCGAAACACAAGAUCAUUCUUGUAUUCGCUAAACCAGAAAUCUCAAUAUUUGCAUAAUGAGAGACCAAUUCGCCUAAUCAUAUGCUUUCUCUUAACACAUUCAGUUCCUGGAGUUUCUUAUCAAUCUCAGCCACAAGCUCUUGAGCUAACAACAUGAAAUCAUUAAUUCGUCUUCCCAGAAGAAAUCCCGUCUGCAAUGGGGACAGAAAGAUAAUUUAUGGGAGAAUUGUUGGGUUUGUGAGUCCAACCCAUUUGUUGGGCCAAGUCACAAUUAGAGCCCAAAGCCCAUGGUCAUUUGGUUUCCGAGUCAAUAUUUGACUUGAGAUUAUAGGAAGUGACUAGUCAAUUAACUAAAACUUGAAGUCGCACAAAAGGGAAUAAAUAUCAACCUAUGAGAUUAAUUGCAACGUUAUUAAACUCGAACGGGAUAGCGACUUGGCUAAACUAUUGAAUCAAGGGUCAACUAGUCGGAUCGGUUGGACCGCUUUUAAAAACCCGCUCAUGUCAACAUGUCGUCAUAGUUAUUUUAUUUUUUUUUAUAAAUUAUAGAAAUAUAGAAAUUAACUUCUUAGUUAUAUUCGAUCAAUCAUAGAAAAUGUUCCAAAAAUAUUAGACUUGCAAUCAAAUAUACACCUAAUAAUUAUAUAUAAAAAUGUAAAUUCAUGGCUAAAAUAUGUCCAUUCUCCAAAACUACUUGAAAAACUAAAUUAAAACAAAUUAAUGCAAGUUGGAAUCACUGAUGCUAAAAUGAUAAGAUCAUAUGGAUGAAAACAUUUUGAUUUAGAGAUCAUUCAGGAAAGGGAAUGAUUUUUGUAUUUACACUAAGUGGAUGGCGUUUUCUUAUUCCUAUUAAUAAAUAAGACUCAAAUUAUGUUUGGGAAAAAGAAGCAAGAAAAGUUUGAAAAUUAGGUCAAUCAGUUGAACCGGGUCACUGGUUUAGUCAAUUUUUGACGGUUUUGACCAAAGCGAUUUUGUACUACAAACUAGCUCGGAAAGAUGGUCGAUUCAUAGUCGGACAGGUUGUCAGGACAGAAGAAAUAAGCUAAAUUUAAGAAUACUUUGUAACGGUGACGUUUGGGGAAUAAUUGUAGUGCAGCGAUGACGUUUUGUGAAAUGUUAGUAAUAAAAAGGGAUAAGUGGAACGGUGUCGUAUGAAAGGCUGAGUUAGUUAGAACAGUCACGUGGGUUGUGACAGAAAUUGGGUAGCGGUAGUUAAUUCAUCCUAUUUGUACACGUUUGAUUGGCUAAAGAGGCAUCAGAGAAUAACAAUUGCAUUUUCCCUCUUUUCCUACUUUCUCUUUCUACUCCCCUUACUCUCUGCAACUUCUUUUCAAUCUUCUCUCUCACGAAGCUCUUCUGAGCUUCUCUCCUUUCUCCAAUUCAGGGAUAUGGUCGUAGGAGCCUGACAAGUGAUAUCAGAGCUUGUCGAAUCCUUGGAAUUGAACAGCAAUGGCGGAGAGUACCAGAUUCAAGACUCUGGAAGAACAGAUCAAGAAAUAAGAUUCCAAGCUCCAGGAGGUAAUAGAAAGUCUGUAGGCUUCGCACCACCAACAACAGCAGCUUCGCGAGGAGCUGCGAACAGAACUCGAGGAGAACAACCAGAAAAUGGAAGGUCUGGUAAUAAGAUUGAAACAAGAGUUCAGCGCCUUCAUGAAGAUGAUGCUGGAAAGAGAGAAACUGAAUUAUGAACCAGGAAGAACCCUGAGUGAUCAACCACCUCUGCUGCCAACACCACCGCCUAGUCAGAGGCUGCAAGUUGGACUCGAAGGUAUCAAGAUUGGGAGGAGAGAAACAAACAAGGCACUGAUUCCAAAUCCCCCAAAAAUUGACUUGCCUCUAUUCGCUGGGGAAAGUCCAAGGGAAUGGAUCAGGAAGUGCAACAAGUAUUGCAUAAACUACCAAAUUCCUAAGGAACAGAAGGUAAAGGUGAUCGAGAUGUACUUGGAAGGGAAGGCGGGCAGGUGGUUCCAGGGAGUUAAGGCGGAGAAACCUGAAAUCACGUGGCCAAUGUUUGAAGAAUUAUUGGGCAAAAGGUUCGAUAACAAGGCAGGUAAGGAUAUUGUGGAGGAAUUUAACAAAUUGCACCAGACAGGGAAGGUGGAGGAGUAUCAGGAAAGGUUUGAGGAGCUCAAGGUCCUCAUGACAAUGAAGAAUCCGCAUCUGAGUGAAGAAUAUUUUGUAUCCAGCUUUAUCAGUGGAUUGAAAGAUGAAAUCAAGACUAUGAUCAAAAUGUUGAGGCCUACCUCUCUGUCCGAGACUUUUGAAUUAGCAGUAUUGCAGGAGAAUGCACUGAACCUUGUGAGGGCCUCAAAAUUUAUUAUUUUAAUAAGAAUAUUAUUAUUACUAUUUCAUUUAUUUAUUUUAUUGUUUUAUUUAUUUUAUAUAUAUAUUUUUUGAAAAGUUAAAUAAUAAAUGUGAAUACAAUUAUAUUAUGUAUUUAUAUAAAAUUACAUGAUCUUUAUGUGCAUAGUUCGCAUUUUCAUAAUUAAAUUAUUUUCAUUCGAACAAAAUUCCAAUGUUUGACUGACUAGUGCUAAGUUCAGUUUUUAAGCCGUGUCGAGGAAUUUAACUUUGGUGAAAGAUUAGUCUAUGAGUAGCUUUAAAAGAAUUAUAAAUGAGAUAGAACUAAGAUAGAUAAGAAAAGUGUAGUGGACAAAUUUAAGUGGAACAUAAGCAUUGGUCAAAGUUGGACAAUUUCCGCUAAAACUAAGUUUUAAUCUUGCCAUUGUUUCUUCCAUUUAAUUUCCUCCAAUUCACUUCAAUUUCUUUUCCUUUCUUCCUUAUUAUAGUCGAGAAUCCCCCUCCCUCAUUAGCCAAGAUAAUCACUUUCAUUCCCACUAAAUUUACUCUUAAGACAUUAAUAUGUAAGAGGGGACAUGAUCCUUAAAAUAGGGCUUUAAGUCCUAUCCUUCUCUUCCCAAUAUAAUGCUCCCAAUUUUUCAAACAUUUCAUUCCUUUUCUUCUUCCCUUAUCAGCCGACCACCCUCACACACUCUCUCCCUCUUUCUAGCCAAAGCUCUAUCUUCUUCUUCCUCAACUCAAACUCCAUGACCAACCAACUUCUAGCUUCACUCCAUCUCCUAUUUUUUUUUCUUGUUGUUCUAGCCGAGAGAAUGAGAGGGAGAAACCGAGAGGAGCUCUUUGUGGUGGCUGGCCAGAUUCUUGGAGAAGGAAAGAGAUCUCUUCGUGGUGAAGAUUGGACAUCCUAGCCUUGGGAAAAUCAGCUAGAACCUGAGGUAGUUCUCUAACCCAAAAGCUAGAGCUUUCAUGUUAUCUCUUGAAGAGUGAAUCUUGAAACUUCAUUGGGUUGAAUUCUUGUUGGAUUUGGUUAAUGUACGGGUUCUUGGGAUUCCCACAAAUGUAUGAUCUUGGUUGCUAGCAUGAUUUUUGAUUGGUAUAUGUGUGAAUAUUUGGAGUUGUGGCUUGAACUUUGGAAGGGAAGAACCUUAACAGAAAUCGGGAGAAAGAGGGGGAGAGAGAGAGAGGGGGGACCAAAAUGGUUUCUGUUUUCUCUAUUUUUCUUGGCUGUGUUUUCACAAAUUUAAAGAUUGAUUUGGGAGCUAAAAAUUUAAGCUUUAAGCUGUCAUUUUCUCUUACAAAAAAAAAAAAAAAACCCCUUCAAAUGGCGUUGCAAAAUGGUUCCAAAAGAAGGUUUCAAACCUGGAAAUUUCAAAUGAGAGUACGGUCCGAAAUUUCUGUGAUUAUUCGAAAAUGUUUGGGGCUCAAUUAGCCUUAGCACAUAACAUGAAAGUUGUAGAGAAUUGAGUUUAAAUUAUGCCUGUAAAGUUUCAGCUCAAUCGGAGCUGGGUAUCCUGUGAAAUGACAAAAUUGCCCCUGCUACCCUGUUUCUAUCAGAAAUGAUAAUCAGCCUCUGUAAUUGGUUAGUUUGACCGGGAAUAUUACUGAAUUGGUUGUCAAUGUCUUCUUAAGAAUUGUAGCCUUGUAUCUUAGCUUUGAAAUGGCUUUGGAAUCACCUGAAUCGGAGUUGUGUGUGCUGAGUUAAGAUUAACUGAAUCAGGACUAUCAGUAAUUGUGUCAGUGAGAAUUGAACCAAGAAACUUGGGCUAUUUCGGUAAAUUUGAUCUAGUUAGGGUGAGAACUGGGUUGAGAUGUCUUCACAAGAAUGGUAGAUCUAUGUCUUAGCUUCGAAACGGUAUAUUUUUUGUUUCAAUCCGAUAAGUGUAGCUCGAGUUGUGCUUAAAUUCCUAAAAGGAUUUGGUAAAUGGAUUUACGAACUGUACUUUCUUAUUAGGUGAGUGUGUACGUUAUCACACUCGCCAAAGGACAUGUGACUUUUCACUAUUUGAGUGACCUAUUUACCAAUGUGUUUAUGUGGUCAAUGUGGUUACUGGACGCUUGGUUUGAGGUGAUUAUUGUGAUUAUUGUGGCUGAACCCCUUGAGCAUUUGUUCGGGGUGACUAGCUUGAGGAUUUUAAUUGCUUUCUUGUUUUUGGCUUGAUGAUAGGUAGAGGUCUGGAGGUAUAUUGAGCUUUAGAUGCAUAUAUGUGAUAAAUCUUGCUUUAUUACAUGUUUGGCUUGUUAAUUAUUGCCAGAUAUUCCUUUAUUUGGAUAGAUGAACUUGUGUGUGUUUAAGUAUAGCAAGAGGAAAAAUUUUUGUUUUGAAUCUUUCAUGUUGGCCGAAAUUUUUGGGACAAAAUUUCAGAUUUUUGGAGCUUUUAUUUGAGUUAAAGUUGUGCCAAAAUAAUGGAUUCUAAGUGUAUUUGGGUUGAUUAAACCGAUUGGCUCUUCAAAGGAAAAAAAAGGAGUGAACUUGCUAAAGUGAAAACUGGAAAUCUGCUUUCUGGAACAACAGACCAGUUUCGGAAAAAAAAGUUAUAUUUUCAUGUAUACCACUCCAAAUCGAGUCCCAUUUGUUUUUUUUUUUUGAAACUAGACACAUAAGGUUACAAAUCAUGUAAAUUUCAGGGGCUAACUCAUUUUCUGUGAUUUUUGGUGUUUUUUUAAAGUCCGUUGGAAAAACGGAAUUUUACCUGCCCUGCAUUUUACUGUAGCAGUCUAUUGACGGAAACACUGGGCAAAAUUCGUAUGGAAUGUCAUCAAGGUGUCUUCUACAAAGUUUUAGCCCUUUCAAUUAGGUUUCCAACGGUAUCAACUAUGCAAAUUUUGGACUCGUAAAUAUUAAGUUACGAUUUUCUAAAGAUUUCUACCAUAAACCUCCAGUUUCCUGAUUUUUACAAUAAACAUGAAAACGACUUGAUAUUUUUGCUUGGCCUUGAAUAUGCACGUGAAUGAUCGUGAUUAUACAUGUCUCAGGUGAAUACGAGAACUCCGAAGAACCCGUUUAGCCGCUUAACUUUUUCUCUCUCAUGACUUUUGGUGAGUGUCAAAUGCAUGUUAAGUGUUUAAAUGAAAUGUUUCUCGUACUUGCUAGUUCAUGAGGGUAGAGUGUACUUUACCGCCCUUGUCCUCUAUUUCAUGAAAUUGCUUGCUUGAUAAGUGAUAAGUGUUACAUGUGAAUGUAAAUGAAAGUGUUUUCCGUGAGCAUUGAGCAGCAGAAUGUAUCACACCCUUUUAGGGUUGGAGGUACCGCUCAUCCCGUCUCAAUGCUAUGACCAAAUCUUGUCGAUUGGAGAUUCGUCUCAUCGACCCAAAAGUGAAUGGGGGGGGGAUGCCCCAACCCAUUGGCUAGCCUUGUAACUCGAGCCGGCAAGGGCUUGGUCGAGAAACUUGGUGAACCUUAGGCAGUGUUAUAACUUGAUCCAAAUAAGAUGUCUUGCUAGGUAUCCUUGUUAAGUGAUACCACCUACAAGCUUGUUUGGUUACGGAUCCAAGAGGGUGUCAUGGUGGCUGGAGGUAGUAAGUGGAGUUCUACAUGGAUAACUGUAAAAGUUGACGGAGGGUCAACUACCUGAGCUUGGAUAGCGCGUGGAUUAGCUCCUGAGAGCUCUCGUAUCCUUUUAAUUGUGAUUAAAUUCCUUACUUGCUAAAUGUUUCGAAGUUACUUGUUACUCAAGUUAUUGCUUUAUAUUGUGUCUUUGCUCGCAUGCUUGCAUGUUUUUCCCUUGGCCUCAUUGAGCGUCAGCUCACCCCAAUUUGUUUUCCUUAACAGGUUUGGAAGUGGAAGUUCUGAGGCUUAAUUAGUGACAAUCCCUUUGGGUAGAACUAGUCGUUAUCUUUAAUUCUGGGACUCCAUAGUGUAAAACUUAUGAUUAUUUUGGGCUUUCGGUAUUGUAAAAGUACAUUGAAAAUCUUGGAUGUAAUAUAGAAGCAUGAAUUGUUCUUUUAUAUUUUAGAGUACAUGAAUGUUUUAGUGGAGUAUUUCAUGUGAUAUUGGAGUUUAAUUUGUAAUUUACUUGAAGAUUGUAGUGAGUCCCGGCGAGAGUUGGGCAGGCGGUCUGCCGAACCCUUUGGUUCGCCUUAGGGGGAGGUGGGGUCGUCAUAGUUGGUAUCAGAGCUCUAGGUUUCAGAUCUCUGUAGUGUAUCCUAAGUUCUAAAAGUUGAGGAUGCCACACAGUGGGAUUCGGGUUCGUUUGAAUGUUAAGUGAAAAAGUGAAGUAGUGAGCAAUUGUGGUUUCGAUGGUUAUUAAGAUUCAAUAAUUGAGGAUUAUUGUGCUAGACUAGCAAGAGAGAAGAAGAUUGUAAGAGAUUAAACACUAUUUAAAAGAUAGUAAGUAAAUUUCUUGAAUAAUGGCAUUUGCUAGGAGGCGUUCUUGAUUUAAGGACUUAUGGGGAAAUAAAUGAUUAAUUUGUUUGGGAUAACCUUUAGUGCUUGAUCGUUGCCACUAGAUAUAUUUUAGAGUUGAUAUACCUUGUUCUUGCCUUGGGAACAUGACUGCAAUUAUGUCUUGGAAUUUGGAAGGCCUACCUUUUGUAGUACCUAGUUAAGUAUGUGGUGACUCGUGCUUGUUAAAGGAUAGAUAUUAUGAUGGAAUGCGGAACUUUAAUUGAAAAGAUAGUUGAUGUAGCUCUAAUGUUCAAAAUGAGGUUGGCCUUACCUAAGGGAAUUAAGCCCCCUCGCUCAGUUGCAAGCUAGACUAUGGAGCACGACCUUUUAUACCUUUUGUUUAUGAUAGUUGGGGUGAUGCUUGUGCUUUGGCCUGUAUAUUUUGUUAAGCAUGAUAUUUGUUCCCUUUUGAAGUAUUUGAAUGCUAUAAAUUCUAUACCUGAUCAUGUUGACUUGUUAAUUUGUUUGGUAGUACACAUGCAAAGUUUUAUUUUCAUUAUCGACUCAUGCAAUGACAUGCUCUCAUUUUGGUUGAUUGUUCUCCCUCUUGUAUGACCUUGUUCAUAAAAAAAAAAUUUGAUUUGUAUGUCAUCUGAUCUAUUGACUGUUCCUGUGAAAAUAUGAAGUGUGCUUUGAUUGCUUUUCAAGUUUUAAAUUCCAUUUUUCCUUCAUUGGACAUAUUUAGAUUUAUAUAUUUAUAUAUUUAUUCAUUUACUAGAGUUAUCCAUCUAUUAGUUAUUUAUUUAUUUAUUAUUUUUGGUCCUCCGUAAGAAUUAGAAAUAAAGGGUAGAAAGGAUCGAGACUGUGGGCCAGAGGGGCCAGGCAAACCCCAAAGCGUGGAAGAUAAUUGGGAAAUAAAGUUGAGGGUUAGUGAAUGAUGACAAAGAGAUAACUAGUGGAGUAUAUAUUGAAUUAUUAUAAUUAAAGAAAAAAAAAAGAGUAACUGCAAGGAGGUAAACUAGUGGAUAAGAUAAGCUGUUAUUAAGAAGUUUCAUUUAGUGCGAGUGUGACAAAAUUUAUGGUAAACUUUGGAGAUCUAAGACUUGUUAUAAUUAGGGUUGGAGUUUUGGAUGAGAUAGGUGUUUGAACUCAUUAGAUUUACAAGUUUAUGGUUAAAUUCAAUGAUUCCCGGUUAAUUGAGCUUGGGUUAUGGAAGAUAUUCCUUGGACUUUGAUUACUAGGCUAGAUGCCUCGGGAAUUCUCUAUGCUUCAUAGUGUAAAAUUGUGGUGAAUCUUGGCGGAUAAGAUAAGAGAGCUUGAUAUAUGUUGAUUAUUGGAUAUUGUGGUUAAUUCAUGAGAUUGAUGAAUUAUAAUAGGAAAGUGAUGAUAGGAUCGGUGAAAAUUUUUGGUAGUAUCUCUGCUGGCCGAACAUGUUUAGUUACCUUUAGCCCUGUUUUCUUACAAAUCAUUGGCAAAAUUUUGCUUAAUAUUUUAAACGUUGAUUCUUGAAAAUGAAAUUUGAAGUUGAAAGGAAAUAAUUUUUAAACCUGGUUUUGCUAAAAAUUUUUCCAAAAAGGAACACCGUACAGUUUUAAAAUUUGUGAUGCAUUGGUGUAAUAUAUAUAUAUAUAUAUACACAUAUAUACAUAUACAUAUAUCAUAAAAAAAAUCCAAAAUUUAGUUUCGUUUAUUAGAUUUAAAAGUUGACAAUGGCUCUUUUCACCGUGUAAAAUUUUCAAAUUUUCUUAAAUUCUAUGAGCAUCGGAAAUUUUCCUACGAUAAAUGAAAUGUCAAAUCCAUUCUUGCUUUUCCUAUUUGUUAAAGCUGUAGUUUAAGGUCAAGAUCCAUUUAUUUACAAAUUUAAUCUUGAAAGGAUGCCUUUUGGGACAAAUGUAGAACUUUUGAAUGGUAUAGGACUGGUGAUUUUUGGAUUUAUGGAACUUAAAAAUACAGACAAUUUUAGUUUGAAAUAAAAGUGUCCUUUUAAACCUUACGACCUUAAAUAUGAAAAUAUUGAUCCGAUUUGAACUUGAAAAGAGACACGAGAAAAAGUUAAGAUUAACUCGUCAAAGGAUAUUAAUGGUUCGAAACCGUUAAAAGAGUUAUACAGAUAAUAGAAGGAGAGAUUGAUAGAUAGUUUUGUAUAAUCCAAUGGGAUCCUAGUACUUGAUCUAAGUCGAAACCGAACGAGGAGAUGAGAUCUAUUGGUAUUUUGAUGGAUUGACCUAGUUGAGUAACUAGUAAGGUUCUCCCUUGUGAACUUAAUGAUUACUUUACAUAUAUCUUGUGAUUGGCCCUAUAGGCAUGUUUUAAACUUGUACGAAUAUUUGAACUUCCAAGUUUUGUAUUCAUUAUUUGUGGUGUGACCUGGAUGGAAUGAAAGUCCUUUCAAUUUUUGCUUAACCAUUACUGUGUAUAUAUCCAAUUACUUGUUGUUCCUUUUUACAAAAAAAAAAAUAUUUAUACAAAUGUAUAUACUCUGAACUCGCAUAAAAAUUGAAAAUCAGGCAGAGUUUGGGUUUGGACCUUUUCUUAGAAAUAAGAAUGAAUAUUGGUCGUGAAUUGGAGAGUAAAUAGUUAAGUUUUAUGUGGCAUAAAAGCUAAUUCUCAGAUUAGGUGUGAAGAGUAGAGGCGUUGGACCGAAGUUUAAGUAAAUAUGAACCUGCAUGUCUGCUUAUUUUCUUAAAAGCAUUUUAUUCUCAAAAGUGAUUUGUGGGGUUAAAUGAUUUUUCUUGAUCAAACGUCCAAAUAACAAAUGUUAAACUUCUUACCAAAAGUCGAAUGCAUUUAGAAAUUUUGACUAUCAAGAUCAGAACCAAUUUCUUUUCUUCUUGUCUUCCAUUCGAAUAGCCAUUUUAUUUAUAUAUAUAUAGACCACAAUUUUUCCAAAUGUGUAUUUGAUAUCCUGUUAUUAGUUUGGUUACGAAAGGUACGUGAAAAAGCUUUCCUCGAACAAAUAAGAUUUUCAGUUGGCCGUUUUGGGACAAAAGAAACUGGAUCAUUUCUAAAAUUGUUAAUUUUGAAAAUCGAAUACUAGUAAAUAAUUUUGGACAAUUUGAGUACAACCAUUUGGUGAGUGAAACCUUUUAUAGAAAAUAUAUCUUUGUACUCGAGUUUUGAACUACAUGAUUGAGUCAUUUGAUUUAGUCGAGAAAAAACAAAGUAAAUUUCGAGGACGAAAUUAUUUUAAGGAGGGAAGGAUAUGAGGGCCUCAAAAUUUAUUAUUUUAAUAUUAUUAUUAUUAUUACUAUUUCAUUUAUUUAUUUUAUUGUUUUAUUUAUUUUAUAUAUAUAUUUUUUGAAAAGUUAAAUAAUAAAUGUGAAAAUAACUAUAUUAUGUAUUUAUAUAAAAUUACAUGAUCUUUAUGUGCAUAGUUCACAUUUUCAUAAUUAAAUGAUUUUCAUUCGAACAAAAUUCAAAUGUUUGACCGACUAGUGCUAAGUUUAGUUUUUGAGCCGUGUCGAGGAAUUUAACUUUGGUGAAAGAUUAGUCUAUGAGUAGCUUUUAAAGAAUUAUAAAUGAGAUAGAACUAAGAUAGAUAAGAAAAGUGUAGUGGACAAAUUUAAGUGGAACAUAAGCAUUGGUCAAAGUUGGACAAUUUCCGCUAAAACUAAGUUUUAAUCUUGCCAUUGUUUCUUCCAUUUAAUUUCCUCCAAUUCACUUCAAUUUCUUUUCCUUUCUUCCUUAUUAUAGUCGAGAAUCCCCCUCCCUCAUUAGCCAAGAUAAUCACUUUCAUCCCCACUAAAUUUACUCUUAAGACAUUAAUAUGUAAGAUGGGACAUGAUCCUUAAAAUAGGGCUUUAAGUCCUAUCCUUCUCUUCCCAAUAUAAUGCUAUCAAUUUUUCAAACCUUUAAUUCCUUUUCUUCUUCCCUUAUCAGCCGACCACCCUCACACACUCUCUCCCUCUUUCCAGCCAAAGCUCUAUCUUCUUCUUCCUCAACUCAAACUCCAUGACCAACCAACUUCUAGCUUCACUCCAUCUCCUUUUUUUUUUUUUGUUGUUCUAGCCGAGAGAAUGAGAGGGAGAAACCGAGAGGAGCUCUUUGUGGUGGCUGGCCAGAUUCUUGGAGAAGGAAAGAGAUCUCUUCGUGGUGAAGAUUGGACAUCCUAGCCUUGGGAAAAUCAGUUAGAACCUGAGGUAGUUCUCUAACCCAAAAGCUAGAGCUUUCAUGUUAUCUCUUGAAGAGUGAAUCUUGAAACUUCAUUGGGUUGAAUUCUUGUUGGAUUUGGUUAAUGUACGGGCUCUUGGGAUUCCCACAAAUGGAUGAUCUUUGUUGCUAGCAUGAUUUUUGAUUGGUAUAUGUGUGAAUAUUUGGAGUUGUGGCUUGAACUUUGGAAGGGAAGAACCUUAACAGAAAUCGGGAGAAAGAGGGGGAGAGAGAGAGAGGGGGGACCAAAAUGGUUUCUGUUUUCUCUAUUUUUCUUGGCUGUGUUUUCACAAAUUUAAAGAUUGAUUUGGGAGCUAAAAAUUUAAGCUUUAAGCUGUCAUUUUCUCUUACAAAAAAAAAAAAAAAACCCCUUCAAAUGGCGUUGCAAAAUGGUUCCAAAAGAAGGUUUCAAACCUGGAAAUUUCAAAUGAGAGUACGGUCCGAAAUUUCUGUGAUUAUUCGAAAAUGUUUGGGGCUCAAUUAGCCUUAGCACAUAACAUGAAAGUUGUAGAGAAUUGAGUUUAAAUUAUGCCUGUAAAGUUUCAGCUCAAUCGGAGCUGGGUAUCCUGUGAAAUGACAAAAUUGCCCCUGCUACCCUGUUUCUAUCAGAAAUGAUAAUCAGCCUCUGUAAUUGGUUAGUUUGACCGGGAAUAUUACUGAAUUGGUUGUCAAUGUCUUCUUAAGAAUUGUAGCCUUGUAUCUUAGCUUUGAAAUGGCUUUGGAAUCACCUGAAUCGGAGUUGUGUGUGCUGAGUUAAGAUUAACUGAAUCAGGACUAUCAGUAAUUGUGUCAGUGAGAAUUGAACCAAGAAACUUGGGCUAUUUCGGUAAAUUUGAUCUAGUUAGGGUGAGAACUGGGUUGAGAUGUCUUCACAAGAAUGGUAGAUCUAUGUCUUAGCUUCGAAACGGUAUAUUUUUUGUUUCAAUCCGAUAAGUGUAGCUCGAGUUGUGCUUAAAUUCCUAAAAGGAUUUGGUAAAUGGAUUUACGAACUGUACUUUCUUAUUAGGUGAGUGUGUACGUUAUCACACUCGCCAAAGGACAUGUGACUUUUCACUAUUUGAGUGACCUAUUUACGAAUGUGUUUAUGUGGUCAAUGUGGUUACUGGACGCUUGGUUUGAGGUGAUUAUUGUGAUUAUUGUGGCUGAACCCCUUGAGCAUUUGUUCGGGGUGACUAGCUUGAGGAUUUUAAUUGCUUUCUUGUUUUUGGCUUGAUGAUAGGUAGAGGUCUGGAGGUAUAUUGAGCUUUAGAUGCAUAUAUGUGAUAAAUCUUGCUUUAUUACAUGUUUGGCUUGUUAAUUAUUGCCAGAUAUUCCUUAAUUUGGAUAGAUGAACUUGUGUGUGUUUAAGUAUAGCAAGAGGAAAAAUUUUUGUUUUGAAUCUUUCAUGUUGGCCGAAAUUUUUGGGACAAAAUUUCAGAUUUUUGGAGCUUUUAUUUGAGUUAAAGUUGUGCCAAAAUAAUGGAUUUUAAGUGUAUUUGGGUUGAUUAAACCGAUUGGCUCUUCAAAGGAAAAAAAAGGAGUGAACUUGCUAAAGUGAAAACUGGAAAUCUGCUUUCUGGAAUAUCAGACCAGUUUCGGAAAAAAAAAAGUUAUAUUUUCAUGUAUACCACUCCAAAUCGAGUCCCAUCUGUUUUUUUUUUUAAACUAGACACAUAAGGUUACAAACCAUGUAAAUUUCAGGAGCUAACUCAUUUUCUGUGAUUUUUGGUGUUUUUUUAAAGUUCGUUGGAAAAAUGGAAUUUUACCUGCCCUGCAUUUUACUGUAGCAGUCUAUUGACGGAAACACUGGGCAAAAUCCGUAUGGAAUCUCAUCAAGGUGUCUUCUACAAAGUUUUAGUCCUUUCAAUUAGGUUUCCAACGGUAUCAACUAUGCAAAUUUUGGACUCGUAAAUAUUAAGUUACGAUUUUCUAAAGAUUUCUACCAUAAACCUCCAGUUUCCUGAUUUUUACAAUAAACAUGAAAACGACUUGAUAUUUUUGCUUGGCCUUGAAUAUGCACGUGAAUGAUCGUGAUUAUACAUGUCUCAGGUGAAUACGAGGACUCCGAAGAACCCGUUUAGCCGCUUAACUUUUUCUCUCUCAUGACUUUUGGUGAGUGUCAAGUGCAUGUUAAGUGUUUAAAUGAAAUGUUUCUCGUACUUGCUAGUUAAUGAGGGUAGGGUGUACUUUACCGCCCUUGUCCUCUCUUUCAUGAAAUUACUUGCUUGAUAAGUGAUAAGUUUUAUAUGUGAAUGUAAAUGAAAGUGUUUUCCGUGAGCAUUGAGCGGCAGAAUGUAUCACGCCCUUUUAGGGUGGGAGGUACCGCUCAUCCCAUCUCAAUGCUAUGACCAAAUCUUGUCGAUUGGAGCUUCGUCUCAUCGACCCAAAAGUGAAUGGGGGGGGGGACGCCCCAACCCAUUGGCUAGCCUUGUAACUCGAGCCGGCAAGGGUUUGGUCGAGAAACUUGGUGAACCUUGGGCAGUGUUAUAGCUUGAUCCAAAUAAGGGGUCUUGCUAGGUAUACUUGUUAAGUGAUACCACCUACAUGCUUGUUUGGUUACGGAUCCAAGAGGGUGUCAUGGUGGCUGGAGGUAGUAAGUGGAGUUCUACAUGGAUAACUGUGAAAGUUGACGGAGGGUCAACUACCUGAGCUUGGAUCGCGCGUGGAUUAGCUCCUGAGAGCUCCCGUAUCUUUUUAAUUGUGAUUAAAUUCCUUACUUGCUAAAUGUUUCGAAUUUACUUGUUACUCAAGUUAUUGCUUUAUAUUGUGUCUUUGCUCGCAUGCUUGCAUGUUUUUCCCUUGGCCUCCCUGAGCGUUUACUCACCCCAAUUUGUUUUCCUUAACAGGUUUGGAAGUGGAAGUUCUGAGGCUUAAUUAGUGACAAUCCCUUUGGGUAGAACUAGUCGUUAUCUUUAAUUCUGGGACUCCAUAGUAUAAAACUUAUGAUUAUUUUGGGCUUUCGGUAUUGUAAAAGUACAUUGAAAAUCUUGGAUGUAAUAUUUAAGCAUGAAUCGUUCUUUUAUAUUUUAGAGUACAUGAAUGUUUUAGUGGAGUAUUUCAUGUGAUAUUGGAGUUUAAUUUGUUAUUUACUUGAAGAUUGUAGUGAGUCCCGGCGAGAGUUGGGCAGGCGGUCUGUCGAACCCUUUGGUUCGCCUUAGGGGGAGGUGGGGUCGUCACAAACUUACAGUCCAGAAAUUCUAAGGAAAAUGUAAGGACUACCUCAGAGAACAGGUUUGGAAUCUCUAAAAGUUCAUCUCAGCAGUUGAACCACAUUUCACACUACAAAGUAUCCCCUAUUAGUUCAUUCAGAAAUACUCAUUUCAAAGGUAGACCUGUUUCAACUACUGAAGCAGAACCUAGAAGAAUUUCAGCACAAGAAAUACAAUAUAGAAGGAACCAUGGCCUAUGCUUCAAGUGUGGAGAGAAGUUUGGGCAGGGACAUCAAUGCAAACUGGGCCAUCUGAACUUCCUGAUCAAUGAUGAGGGAGAAGAAUCUGAAUUCGAAGAUGCACUGGGAGAGCAGGAUGAAACCACAGGGAAUCCAGGGCAGAUCAUGGAGAUGUCCUUACACACACUGUCCGAGGCACUUAAACGAAAAACAAUCACACUGGUAGGAAGACUAGAUGGGGAAGAGAUGCUGAUACUGGUAGACACAGGCAGUUCUGAUAGUUACAUAAGCAGUGAGAAGGUAAUUGCCUUUGAUAUUCCUUAUAAAUUAGUCAAUCCUUUUUCUGUGGUUUUUGGGAAUGGGGCUUGUGUAACCAGCAAGGCCAUAUGUCCUAAGGUGGUAUGGGGAAUUAAUCAGCAUAGGUUCUGUUAUGACCUCAAAGUGAUGGAUCUAAGUGGAUGGGACAUAGUGCUUGGGGUGGACUGGAUGACUCAGUUCAGCCCUAUCACUUUUGAUUUCCACAAGCUGACUAUCUUCUUGCAAGAUCAAGGGGAAGCAGUGCACUUGCAUGGCCAAGCUGAAGACUGUGACUUAGAUCUAAUCAGAGGAGGCGACCUGAGGACAUUCAUUGAAUACAAGAGACAGUUGUGCAUGUCCAUGAGAUUGGGACAGGGUGAUCUGAUGCAGGGAAAUGACAUUCCUGCAGGAGUCCAGGGCAUCAUUGAAGAAUUUACAGAUGUGUUUGUAGCACCCUCUGAGUUACCACCAGCAAGAAGUAUAGAUCAUGAGAUACCACUAAAACCUGAGGUUCAACCCUUCAAGAUGAAGCCGUACAGAUACCCUCACUCCCAAAAGAGGGAAAUUGAACAACAGGUUAAGGAUAUGUUGCAGCAUGGAAUCAUAGUGCACAGUAACAAUCCUUUUGCCUCCCCAGUUCUGCUUGUCAAGAAGAAGGAAGGGACCUGGCAUUUUUGUGUAGACUACAGGAGACUGAACGAGAUGACCAUCAAGGACAGGUACCCCAUACCUAAUGUAGACGAACUGAUCAAUGAGCUAGCAGGAUCCAAAUACAAAUCAAAGUUGGACCUCACUUCAGGCUACCACCAAAUCAGGGUCAAGCCUAAGGAUACAUACAAAACUGCAUUUCAAACACACUGUGGCCACUAUGAGUUCUUGGUAAUGCCUUUUGUGUUAAGAAACGCUCCAGCCACAUUUCAGUCCCUCAUGAAUCAGAUAUUCCAGCCUUACCUGAGAAAAUUUGUUCUAGUUUUUUUUGAUGAUAUCCUAAUCUAUAGUCCUACAUUAGAGCUACACCAGCAACAUCUGAGGAUAGUCUUGACAGUAUUGAGGGAACAUAAGUUGUUUGUAAAACGUUCCAAGUGCUCGUUUGCACAGUCAACAGUGGACUACCUUCGUCACACUAUCAGAGAGAGUGAUUCAAGAAUAACCACACAAUGAAACGUAAUUUACCACAAACUUCAGAUACCAAAAGUAAUCAUGAAAUGCUUCAUGAUCCAAUCAACGCGAGAAUAAGUAAUUUUGACAGAAUAAUUAUUGACUUUCUUCAUCUCUUUAGUAUUAUUUAUUUUUCCAAUUUAUUGUUUAGAACAAAAAAAAAUAAGUCAAUUCAAGAUAUGAACAUAUGAAAGGCUCAACAGCUGGAUAAUACUCAUUAACGACAGAGGCUAUUAAUCCAAAAGGACUAAAAUGGAGUAAACUUUAUAUUCCAAAAGGCAUUUAUGGUGGGGGAAAAAGAUAGAAUCUAAUAUGGCAUUAUACGUCCUUUCAAACCUUAAUAACGAUUACAAAUAAUUCAUAAAGACGCCAAGACUUUUGAAAGGAUUUAGAUUUCGUUGCAAUUUAGCCUUUACUCAUGAAAGGGAUGGUUGGAUAGGAAUUCUGUAGCAUGCCGGUAGCAGCCAUCCAAAAAGAACUAGUCCAUUUGUGCACAAAAUAAAGUGAAUAUAAUGUGUGUGUGUGUGUGUAUUAAAAAGUAAUCAAUUGGGUUAGAUUUGAUGAUUUGUGAUUACAGUGUAAUCUUUUAUAUAUAUUUUGUAACUCUAUUAAAUCUAAUAUUUUUCAAAUCAAAUAUAUCUGUGACAUAUUCAAUGUAUUUUUUGACAUUGGUGCAGAUUACUUUGUUAAACAAAUCGUGCUGGAUGAUGUAAUGGCUGCUUCAGCAAGAAAUGAAGAGGGAGUUAGCAGAAAGGGAAAGAUGGGAGAGAGACUUGAGAGGGAAGAUAGAAAAUGCGGAAAAUGAGAGAACUGAAUUUGUUGUAUCUGAUAGCAUGCCCCUCACGUCUUACCUUUAGGCUUAUUCAUACAGGAUUCAUCCUCUAGAUCCUUCCAUGCCUUAGCUAUAACAGAAUGCUUAACAGAACGAUCACGCAUGCAUGCAUGCAGUGCAGUAACUAACUAGCCAACUAACUCUCUGAUAUGCUAACUGACUUCCAGAAAUGGAAACCAUGGCCACUACAUUAUUAGCUAUAAAUAACUAGGGAAUAUCUAAAAUAUCUAGAGGAAAUAUCCAGAAUAUCUAGGAUCAUUACAAUACCUCCCCCUCAAGAAUCCUAGUCACUAGGAUUGAGUUGGAAAUCUGGAAAUUGUGAUUGUAUCACUGUGAUAUCCUCCCAAGUUGAGUCUUCAGUGCCUAGGUUCAACCAUUUGAUCAACACUUGAGUUACCUUGUGUCUUUUCCUCAUGAUUUCACGAGUAGCAAUAACACUUUCAAGGGCAAUUUUAACCUGUCCAUCCGUAGUAGUCAAAGGUAGUUCUUGAGUAACUACAUGAUUCUUGGCUGAGGGCUUGAGUAAGGAGACAUGGAAGGUAGGGUGAAUCAAGGAGCCAGCAGGUAAUUCCAACCUAUAGGCUGCAUUUCCCACCUUCUAAAGAACUUUGUAGGGUCCAUAAUAUUUUGAAGACAAUUUCAGAUUCUUUUUGACUGCCACAGACGAUUGUCUAUAAGGUUGCAGUUUCAAAUAGACCCAAUCUCCCACUUGGAAACUCCUUUCACUCCUGUCCUUGUCCGCAAACUGUUUCAUUCGAUUUUGUGCUUUGAUUAAAUUCCCCUUCAGCAGCUCGUUCCAUUUUCUUCUGUCCCCUAGCCAUUGCUCCACAGCCGCUACUGGAGUCCCCAAGGCAUUGAUGCCUAGUUGAGAUGGUGGAUAUCCAUACAGAGCCUCGAAGGGAGUCAUUUUUAAGGCUGUGUGAUGGUUGGUGUUGUACCACCAUUCAGCAGCAGCUAGCAAGGACUUCCAUUUAUGGGGUUGCUGGAAACACAGGCACCUCAAAUUUGUCUCCACACAUCUGUUCAACCUUUUUGUCUGUCCAUCUGUUUGGGGAUGGUAAGCAAUAGAGUAGUGCAGCUCCGUGCCUAACUUCCCAAACAACUCCUGCCAGAACAAGCUGGUAAAUAGCCUAUCCCUAUCAGAUACAAUGCUCAGGGGUAAUCCAUGUAGCUUAUAGAUGUUUUCAAAAUACAUGUUAGCCACCGACUGUGCAGUAUACUUCGAUGGUAAUGCUAGGAGGUGAAAGUACUUGGUGAACCUAUCAAUGACAACUAGCAUUCCCUCAUACCCCUGAGAUUUAGGUAACCCCUCAAUGAAAUCCAUUGAAAUAUGCUGCCAUGCUUGUUCAGGAAUAGGUAGAGAUUGUAGCAGUCCUGGUGUCUUGCAAUUUUCUACCUUGCUCCUCUUGCAAACAUCACACUGUUGUACCCAUUGUUCUACUUCUCUUUUCAUUCCUGGCCAGAAGAAUGGUCCCUUUAAUCUUUGGUAGGUCCCCAGGUUGCCUGAAUGACCCCCAAUGAGAGAGUCAUGAAAGCAGGCUAUCAGUUUCUGUCUCAAGUUCCCUGAGGAACCAACGUACAUCCUGCCUUUAUACCUGAGUAAAUUCCCAGCAAAAGAAUAAUUUGGGAGAGAAUCAGGUGAAGUAGUCAGGCCUUCAGUCAACUUAGUCAUAGAACCAUCCCCUUGGUAACUCUCUAGGACUUCAGACAGCCAUGCCGGUUUCAUGACUGAGAUGCUAUGUGUAAAGCUGUCCUCUUCAUAGCAUCUUCUAGACAGUGCAUCAGCCACCAGGUUUUCAUUUCCUUUCUUGUACUAUAUUUCAUAAUCUAGGCCCAAUAACUUAGUGAGCCAUUUCUAUUGUAGGGGAGUAGUUAUCUUCUGUUCCAAUAGGUACUUUAAGCUCUGGUGAUCUGUCUUGAUGAUGAAGUGGCUUCCCAACAGGUAAUGCCUCCACUUGGACACAGCUGUAAUAAGGGACAACAACUCUUUUUCGUAUAUGGACAGUCCCAAAUUCUUAGGUCCCAGAGCUUGACUGAGAUAGGCAAUAGGCCUCUCUUGUUGCAUUAGGACUGCACCAAUAGCCUUCUGACUAGCAUAUGUUUCUAGAGAAAAAGGUAAAGAAAAGUUAGGAAGUGUUAGGACUGGUGUGCUACUCAUCAGCUACUUCAGUUUUUGAAAGGCUAGCUCAGCUUGUUCAUUCCAGUGGAAGUUUUCUUUCUUCAAUAACUCAGUGAGUGGUUUGGCAAUGAGUCCAUAUCCCCUCACAAACCUCCUGUAGUACCCUGUGAGUCCCAAAAAUCCUCUCAAUGCCUUUAGUGAUGUAGGGGUAGGCCAUUCUACCAUGCUCUUGAUUUUUGAGGGAUCUGCCUGCAUUCCAUCUCCACUGAUAAUAUGCCCCAAAUAUUCUAGUUGAGACUGUCCAAAGAUGCAUUUGGAAAGCUUGGCAAAUAGGGAGUGAGCUUUGAGUGUUUCUAGGAAAGUUUUGAGGUGCAAAAGGUGAGUGUCUGGAUCUGAACUGUAUAUGAGGAUGUCAUCAAAGAAAACUAACACAAACUUCCUCAGGUAAGGUUCAAAAACAUGGUUCAUCAGGCUUUGAAAUGUUACAGGUGCAUUGGUAAGACCAAAUGGCAUAACAGUGAACUCAUACAAUCCUAGGUAAGUUUUGAAGGCAGAUUUUGGGAUGUUAGUCUGGAGCAUUCUGAUCUGAUGGUAUCCAGCCCUUAAAUCAAUCUUGGAGAAGAUCUUAGCUCCAAACAGUUCAUCGAGUAAAUCAUCAAUGAUAGGUAUUGAAAAUUUAUCUUUGAUAGUCAGGUCAUUUAGUUGUCUGUAAUCAACACAAAAUCUCCAAGUUCCAUCUUUUUUUAACUAAUAGAACUGGAGAGGCAAACGGGCUAUGGCUAAACUGAAUAAUGCCACUACUGAGCAUGUCCUUCACUUGCCUUUCUAUUUCAUUUUUUUGGUUGUGAGGGUACCUAUAAGAUGCUAGCUUGAAUGGUUUGGCAUUUGGCACUAAGGGAAUUUGAUGGUCAUAGUUUUUGGAAGGGGGAAGGGAUUGUGGUUCUCCAAAUACAUCUUUGUAGUCUUCAAGUAAAGCACUUAGGGACUGUUGAAAACCAAUGUCUAGAUGAGUUACAGUGUUUACCUGAGUUCCCUUCAUUUUCAGUCUGCACGCGUGUUUCCAGAUUCUGGUGCUCAACCCCUCCUUCUCAGUACUAUUACUAGGAAGUUUGAGAACAGUCUCCUUAGACUCUCCAUGUAACAAGAUCCUCUCCCCUUUCUCAUCAAAGGACAUGUUCGGCUGCCUAAAGUCAAAGGUGAUGGGGCUGUGUGCAGCCAUCCAGUCUACUCCUAUAAUCACAUCAUAUGGCUCCAAGUUAAUGACAAACAUAUCAUGAGUGAACUGUUUACCUUGCAUUUCCCUGCUCAUAUUCGGAAUCAUCUUGUGACAAGUCAAGUGCUCCCCAUUAGCCAUCCUGACCCUGAAAGGCUUGAUAGAUUGGACCAGUUCUGGAUAGAGUUGUGCCACUGCCCCUUUGAUAAAAUUGAGUGCUUCCCCCAUCCACCAGGAUUGAUAGUGGAGUUUCUUUGAUCCUCCCCUGUAGCUUGAUGGUGUUGUAAGUCAUCUUCCCAGUCAGCGCAUGUAUCUCCAUUUCUACCCCCUUGGCCGACUGUGCUCCUUGGUACUCGAUCAUCUCCCCUUCUACCAGAUCCUCAGGACUAUCUUCUACUGCUACAAUCAGGUGGAUUUCCUUUUGCUUGCAUUGGUGGCCUGGUCCGAACUUUUCCCCACACCUAUAGCAAAGAUGGUGCUCCCUCCUGUACUGCAGCUCUACUGGUGUGAUUUUCUUGAAGUUCUGAGGAGUCUGUUUCUUUACAACAUUGGCAAUAAUAGGUUUGGUAUGUGGAAUGGUGUACUGCGCAACAGACUGUGGAGUAUUCCCCAAAGAGAGGGAUUUCGGAUGAUGUUUGUGCUUCUUGUGGUAGGCUUCAAAGGCAUUCUCUUGCAACCUGGCCAACUCAAAUGCUUUGGAUAAUGUCUUGGGGUCAUGAGUCUUCACCAUUGAUCUCAAUUCAUCUAGUAGUCUACUCAAAAAACAUGAAAUGUAAUAGUUUUCUGGAAGGUGUGGGGCUCGAAUCAUUACCUCUGAUAGUAGUUCCUCAAAUUUUUCUUGGUAGGCUAGGACUGUGGAGGAGAGUUGUAACUUAUUGAAUUCCUCCAUUGGAUCCAUUUGUCCCAAUGUUCCAAACCGCUUGCACAACUCUCCAGAGAACUCCAUCCAAUCCAUCUUGUUACCCCUAGUAGACUUGAAUCCCUGAUACCACACUUCAGCUUUACCUUCUAAAUGGAAUUCUGUCAGCUCCAUCCAUUGCUCCAUAGGAAUAUGCAGAAGCUGGAAAUACUUCUGAAGUUUUCUGAUCUACUUCCUAGGAUUGUUUCCUCUGAACACUGGUAUUUCCAGCUUAGGUGCACUAGCGUAGAAUGAACUUCUGACAUUCCUCUCUCCUUGCUCUCGAGUCACCAUAUCUGAGCUCCUGGAGUGACUUCCCUCUGGCGAUCCCAAUAUUCCUUUCUCAGGAUUUCCUCGGUUCAAACUGGAGAGCUGUUGAGAAAUGGCUACCAUGAAUGCAUCUAACUUAUUGUUCAGCUCCAUGCUUACUGCAUCCAACCUUUCCUCCAUGAUCUGUUUGUUUGCGGCCAUGGAUUCCAAAAUUCCUUGGAGUCUGCUGUCUUGCUUGCGUAGCUGUUCCUCCAUGGUCUUCAUUCGAGUUUCAUCUGCCAUUGUUAUAUUGAUUUCAGCUUCUUAGUCCAAGGACCGGAAGCUCUGAUACCACUUGUAAUGGCUGCUUCAGCAAGAAAUGAAGAGGGAGUUAGCAGAAAGGGAAAGAGGGGAGAGAGACUUGAGAGGGAAGAUAGAAAAUGCAGAAAAUGAGAGAACUGAAUUUGUUGUAUCUGAUAGCAUGCCCCUCACGUCUUACCUUUAGGCUUAUUUAUACAGGAUUCAUCCUCUAGAUCCUUCCAUUCCUUAGAUAUAACAGAAUGCUUAACAGAACGAUCACGCAUUCAUGCAUGCAGUGCAGUAACUAACUAGCCAACUAACUCUCUGAUAUGCUAACUAAUUAACUUCCAGAAAUGGAAACCAUGCCCACUACAUUAUUAGCUGUAAAUAACUAGGGAAUAUCUAAAAUAUCUAGAGGAAAUAUCUAGAAUAUCUAGGAUCAUUACAGAUGAUUUCUAACUAGUUUAUUAAUAAUAUUGACUUCUUUUUUAUAAAAAAAAAAGUAAUCAAGGAAAAAUGGGGAAUCUAACAGUCUAAUGCUUGCUUGCUUCUUUUUAUUGUUUGAAGUGAUUUUGGUGUCUUGCUAGUUUGUAAUUGAUUCAAGGUGGAUAGAAAGAAAUUGUUCAGAAAUGUGAAAUAGGGUAAGUAUCCCAGUUUGGUUUUGGAUUUUGAAAGUUAUAAAAACGAAAAUGAUGUCAGUGAUCCUCUUCAAUUUUUUAUCACCAACCAAAGCAAUGAUUUUUAAGAAUAAAAAUAACAUUUGAAAUCAAAUCACAAUCUUUAAAGAGAGGAAAUAGAUGGUUGAGGGCGAAAUGGCCAUGGUGAUGAAUUGACAUCAUGGAAAUCAAACUGUGCUUAGUAACGCCAAAACGUCACCAUAACUCACAAAUGAGUGACUAAUGUGAUGCCACAUUAAGGCUUCAAUCUACUAUUACAAGUUUUACUAUGGACUAAAUUGUGUGGUAAAUUUAGUACUACUAAUAUUAAGUUUAUGUUUAAAACAAGUAAAUUUCAAUAAUUUAGGUAACUUACUCUUUAAAUAACAAAUUUUACUAAAAUUUUAACAAAAAUUGCCACUUUUUCUUCGAAACUUACCAUUUUCUAUAUAAAACUUGCUAAUUUUUCAAGUAAAACAUAUGAUUUUAUUAGCAAAUCAUACCACUUUUUUUAGUAAAAUUCACUAAAUGGUAAGUUUUCAAAAAAAAACUUACCAUUUUUAAUGCAAAUCUUACUACUUUUUUCAAGCAAAAUGUAUGAUUUUAUUAACAAAUGUUACCAUAAUUUUCGUAAAGUUUACUAAAUCAUUAACAAAUCUUACCAUCUUUCAAGCAAAACUUAUCAUUUUCUAUACAAAACUUACUACUUUUUGGAGGCAGAACUUAUGACUUGAUUAUUAAAUCUUACCUUUAUUUAGGAAUAAUUUUGGAAACCUCCCCUGAGCUUUAUGCUAAUAUCACAUAACACUUCUAAAUUUUAAAAAUAUCACUAGCCUUCCCUUGAGUCAUAUUUUUUUGUAAGAAUUUGACCCCUAUAUCAAAAAUAAAUACUCCUAACAUAAUUUUUUAAAGGAAAAUAGAUAUAUUUUUCUUCUAGUUUUACACUUUUGUGUUGUCUUAUUUUUUAAUUUUCUGCCAAAUUGAUUUUAAGAUAAGAUUUGAAUGAGAAAGACUUAAAAUGAUUUUUUUUAAGGGGAGAAGGUGUUAAGUGCUAAAGCAAUUGCCAGAAUAGCGAUUUUUUUAUUUUUGGUUUAUCCUAGAUUUUUUCCUAAAUAGUUAUUAGAAUAACAAAGAAAUUAAAUUUAAUAUAAGAUUGGUAUAGGAAGAUCAAAGAAGGCAGAGAAGACAGAUAUUUGAAUACAAAACUAAUGGUUUUAGUAGGCAUUUCUAUGAAUUCAGAUUUAUUAUCUUCUAAUUUUUGUGGCAUAAAUAAUUAUUUGAAUAACAAUUAAAAUUUGAGAUAAGGUUGCCAUAGGAAGCUUGGGAGGGGGAGAAGGGUAUUAAAGGCAAAAAAUGAUUAUUUUAGUAGACUUUUCUUAAUAAUUUCCUUUUGUUCAAAUUUUUUUGCACAAGUAAUUGUUAAAAUAGUAAAGUUAAAUUAAUAAAUGCUUGGCAUAAUACUACAAAAUAAAGGGGUGUUUAAGUGAAAAUAGUAAUUGAUAGAGCAAUGUUUGGGCAUCUUAUGCGCUGUUAUGUGGUCAUAAUUUUGGCUACUUAUUAUGCUAAGUAUUGAGGUUUUGUUCAUGUUUGAUAUUUGUGUAAAUUGUAGGCAGUUGGUGUCAAAAAGUGAUCUCUGAAGGUGAAUUUCCAGAAGACUUUUAUUUCAGGGCGUGCCCACGCCAAAAACUGUUCAAGAGACGCCUCAAAGUCGGACCAUGGGACUAACUAACUAACUAAACUCAUCCUUAUUCCUGCGGGAUGCGGUUGGAAGUGCGUCAAAACAAAAAGGCAGCAAUUUCCAGUGGAUUUGGUAACAACCAAUAAGGAGGAUGCGGGGAAUUGGGGAAAUAUUUGGAAAAGCUACUAUUUUCUCGUGGGCCAAGAAGGGUGUAACAGACAAGUAGUUUUAGUCUUGCAGAUAGCUUUUUAGUUUCUUACGUUUUCUUUGGAGGGCUAUCUUCUGGGAACUGGCAAAAAGCCAGAUUCAUGUGGGAUUAGGAAAUUAUCUUUAGUUUUGUUAUCCCUUGGUAGAGGAUUUGCUCUCUGUUUUGUUAUUACAAUUUUCUUUAGACCUUUGCUUUACUUUUUCCGAAUGGACACAAAACAAAAAAAGAAGCAAGACAUUUUCUUUUGUUUCUUCAUCACUUCAUCUUUCCCAACUCUCUUGUGAUUGUGUGGAUGGAAUCAAUCAAAUCCCGCGAGAUUGAUAUGAUGAGGAGCGGUUAGGUUUCUCUUCUACCCAAAGGUCGACGCGAAGGCACGGUCCAUAACAUCUGUGAGAUUUAAUCGAACUUUCACUAGUUCUUCCAGUCCGUUACUAUUCGUGUGUUUCCUGGAUUAACUGUUUAUGAUUAUUUUAUUAAUUGAGUAUCAACGGCAGGACAUUUAAUUUAAUCUAAUAGCCUACUGUCACGUUAACUAAAUUGAAUCCGUAAUUAUUCGUUUAGUUGAUAACUAGUGACAACCAUCAUAAUUGGCUUUAUGUUAGGGAAACGUAAGAUCUAGUUUAAAUAAACCCUCUUAGCGUGUUUAUUGGUUAGGGUUGGGUUUUUCUAGUUUUAAUGCAACCGGAUAAUUAAAUUUAUUGGUUAGGGUUGGGUUUUUCUAGUUUUAAUGCAACCGGAUAAUUAAAUUCCUACGAUCGUACCUAAAGCUGUUUUCUAGUUAGAGAAACAGUCAACGGUCGUACCUUGGCUGUCGAAAAAGUAAGGAAGAACUGGCUGUCAGAGCUUGUUGAUAGCUAUAACUAACCUAGUGACGAAUGAAUGAAAUAUCUUUGUAUCGAUGAUCAUUUAAUUGGACCGCGCCUAAAAAGUUGAUCCUUUGGGUAGAAUUUUACUAAUUGCUAUUUUUAGUGAAUUGUACUUGGUGAGUUAGCUUUUGAAUUUUGUUUAUUCUAUUUUCUUUUUCAGUCCAUUAAAUAUUCCCCAAUUUUGUUCUAUUGACUUGGAAAGAAACAAGUUCCUACCCGUUCCCUGUGAAAUCGACCGUACUUGCCAUUGUAUGCAAAUUUAAUAUUUUUGUAGACAAAUCUUGUAUAUCGAAUCAAGCAUACUCUUUGGGGAGACAGGGUGAAUAUAGUAACCCAUUGCACAUCUAGAGUCACUGCUCCAGUACUUAGAUUUGUUCUAUAAUUAAUUAUGGUAGUAAUUAGGACUUUUUAGUAAUUAUUAUUGCACAGGUUCGACACCUGUCAAUUUUUGGCGGCAUUGCUGGGAAGAAAGUGUCGACAAACUGGUGAACAUGGGAUUCUGGCUUACAAGGCAUGCCCACGCCUUGCAAGACGCCCUUUCAAAAAAAAAAAGAAAGACAAAAAGAGAGAGAAAAGAGUUUCGACACUUGCGCAGUAGGUAUAGCAAAUGGAAAUGCCUUGCUUGUGGAAUUUCUCCAGUAAAGCGUUGAGGUUAUGUAGUAGAUAUCGGACAUUCUCUUGACAUAGUGCACCCUCUCUUUACCUCCUUAUCCCGCCUUUCACCCAAGCCCUAUUACAACCCUAUUAAAGUCCCUUUGAUUUAUGUAUUGAGUUCACUUUUGAGUGGUGGAGAUGUGAUAAAUGUGCAAGCCUAUGGUAAUGUCAUUCCGUGGUGUUGAUUUGAGCGUUCCUGGUAUCUAUACAUUUUCUUGAAAGUGAUGAGUAUUACUACUCAUACUCUUUGGAUAACUACCUAUCCAGUGUGCUCUAACUUUGGCGACAUUGUCAGGAAUGCAGGAUGCUUGUGUUAGUGUAGAUCACCGCAUAGUAGUUCCUUUCGUGAUUGAACUUCUGAGCUUCAAAAUGCUUGAGGACAAGCAUUGCCUAGGUGUGGGGGGAUUUGAUAGAGCAAUGUUUGGGCAUCUUAUGUGCUGUUAUGUGGUCAUAAUUUUGGCUAUUUAUUAUGCUAAGUACUGAGGUUUUGCUCAUAUUUGAUAUUUGUGUAAAUUGUAGGUGGUUGGUGUCAAAAAGUGAUCUCUGAAGGCGAAUUUCCAGAAGACUUUUUAUUUCAGGGCGUGCCCACGCCAGAAACUAUUGAAGAGACGCCUCAAAGUCGGACCGCGGGACUAACUAACUAACUAAACUCAUCCUUAUUCCUGCGGGAUGCGGUUGGAAGUGCGUCAAAACAAAAAGACAGUAAUUUCCAGUGGAUUUGGUAACAACCAAUAAGGAGGAUGUGGGGAAUUGGGGAAAUCUUUGGAAAAGCAGCUAUUUUCUCGUGGGCCAACGAGGGUGUAAAAGACAAGUAGUUUUAGUCUUGCAGAUAGCCUUUUAGUUUCUUACGUUUUCUUUGGAGGGCUAUCUUCGAGGAACUGGCAAAAAAGCCAGAUUCACGUGGAAUUGGGAGAUUAGCUUUAGUUUUGUUAUCCCUUGGUAGAGGAUUUGCUCUCUGUUUUGUUUUUACGAUUUUCUUUAGACCUUUGCUUUAUUUUUUUUGAACGGACAUGAAACAAAAAAAGAAGCAAGACUUUUUUUUUGUUUCUUCGUCACUUCAUCUUUCCCAACUUUCUUGUGAUUGUGUGGAUGGAAUCAAUCAAAUCCCGCGAGAUUGAUAUGAUGAGGAGCGGCUACAUUUCUCCUCUACCCAAAGUCGACGCGAAGGCGCGGUUUAUAACAUCUGUGAGAUCUAAUCGAACUUUCACUAGUUCUUCCAAUCCGUUACUAUUCGUGCAUUUUCUGGAUUAACUGUUUAUGGUUAUUUUAUUAAUUGAGUAUCAACGGUUGGAUAUUUAGUUUAAUCUAAUAGCCUACUGUCACGUUAACUAAAUUGAAUCCGUAAUUGUUCGUUUAGUUGAUAACUAGUGACAACUAUCAUAAUUGGCUUUAUGUUGGGGAAACGUAAGAUCUAGUUUAAAUAAACACUCUUAGCCUGUUUAUUGGUUAGGGUUGAAUUUUUCUAGUUUUAAUGCAACCGGAUAAUUAAAUUCCUACGGUCAUCCCUGAGGUUGUUUUCUAGUUAGAGAAGUGGUCAACGGUCGUACCUUGGUUGUCGAAAAAGUAAAGAAAAACUGGCUGUCAGAGCUUGUUGAUAGCUAUAACUAACCUAGUGACGAAUGAAUGAAAUAUCUUUGCAUCGAUGAUUAUUUAAUUGGACCGUGUCUGAAAAGUUGAUCCUUUGGAUAGAAUUUUACUAAUUGCUAUUUUUAGUUAAUUGUACUUGGUGAGUUAGCUUUUGAAUUUUUGUUUAUUCUAUUUUCAUUUUCAUUCCAUAAAUAUCCCCCAAUUUUGUUCUAUUGACUUGGAAAGAAACAACUUCCUACCCAUUCCCUGUGGAAUCGACCUUACUUGCCGUUGUAUGCAAAUUUAACACUUUUGUAGACAAAUCUAGUAUAUCGGAUCAAGCACACUCUUUGGAGACAGGGUGAAUAUAGUAACCCAUUGCACAUCUAGAGUCACUACUCCAGUACUUAGAUUUGUUCUAUAAUCAAUUAUAGUGGCAAUUAGGACUUUUUAGUAAUUAUUAUUGUACAGGCUCGACACCUGUCAAUUUUUUGCGUCGUUGCCGGGGAACGGUGUUUUGGUUAAUUUUGUUUCUUUUCAAGUUAUUUUCUUUGGAUUUGUCUGGCACUUUUCUAGUUUAUGCCUCGUUUUUCUCGUACAUGUGAAUUGAUUUUCGACCUGGAAGUAAAGAAGAUUGCGCGCCGAACUAGGAAAGAAACUAAACAGCUCAGAGAGGAGCAAUCUAGCAUUGCAUCUCAGAUGCUGGAUCCAGAGGUUGAGUCAACAGAUUCGAGUGGUGAUAAUUCAAGUGACUCAGGCCAAGAGGACAUCCCUAUGGCGAAUCCAAGAACACUAAAGGAGUUGGCUGCUCCGGAAUUGACCCAGCAGCUUUUGUGCAUUACAUUUCCAACUCUAGCUGAGAAUACCUCCUUCGAACUGAAGUCAGAGUUAAUUCAUCUCUUACCCUCAUUCCAUGGCCUCUUGAGUGAGGAACCCCAUAAACACAUCCAGGAGUUCGAUGUGGUAUGUUCUAGUAUGAAACCUCCAGGGAUUACUGAAGAGCAGAUCAAACUUAGAGCAUUCCCUUUCUCCCUCAAGGAUGUAGCGAAGGAUUGGUUAUACUACCUACCUGCAGGUAGUAUCAUAACAUGGGCCCAACUGAAAAAGAAGUUUUUGAAAAAAUUCUUCCCGGCAUCCCGGGCUGCAAGUUUGAGAAAAGAGAUAUGCAGCAUUAAGCAGUAUCCCAGGGAAUCCCUAUAUGACUAUUGGAAAAGGUUCAAUAAGUUGUGUACUAGAUGCCCACAGCAACAAAUUAGUGAACAACUAUUGAUCCAAUACUUCUAUGAGAGACUUCAGUCAUCUGAUAGAAAUAUUAUUGAUGCUGCAAGUAGGGGAGCACUGGCAAAUAAGACACCGAGAGAAGCAUUGCUGCUUAUUGAAGCAAUGGCAGAAAAUUCUCAACAGUUUGUGUUAUUCUUGGUUUUGAUGAUCACAAAAGUUCGUUGAAAUGUUUAUACAGACCAAGAAAGUGAACACUUUGAUCAGGCCUGAUGGAACAAAGUAAGCAUAUGUUCGAUUAACUCCAGACUACGAUGCUUUGGAUGUGGCAAACAAGAUUGGAAUAAUAUAAACAAAUUUAGUCAUUGUUUUGUUCCGAUCAAAGAUACUGUCUUUUAAGUAUGACAAUUUUGUUAGUCUUGGUUCCUUGAAAUGUUUUAUCUAACUUUCUUCAAAUAUAAGUGUUGUUGCCUAUCAAAGAAUCAGGUACGAAUAUGUCGUGAGCAAAAACAGGACACUCAUGUCGGACGGCCGAAAGGAAUCUGUCGGACGUCCGAAGGGAUGAAGAACAUCAGGAAGGAGUUUCUGUCGGACGCACAUCGAUCGUGUCGGACGUCCUAAAAAUUCCACAAAGCUUUGAUGACUCUCUGCCAAGACACUGUCGGACGCUCGCAAGGAAGCAUCGGACGUCCUGAAGGAUCGGACGCAUGCUUCGGACGAACAUCAAUAUCAUUGGACGUCCUAAAAAUUCCUCGAAGAUUUGAUAACUCUCUGGACGACGUUCGAACACUGAAGCUCGGACGAUAAAAUUCCAUCGAACGUCCGAACUUCAAUUUGGCUGUUUUUCGGACGAUUGGUUCGGACGAUAAUUUGAUCGUCGGACGUCCGAAAGCCCCAACGGCUAGCUGACUCUUCAUCUGCCUUCUAUCCGUUGGAAGCUUUAAUGAAGCCCAUUUCUGUUCCCCUUUAAAAACAAACUGUUCUGAACGAAGUAAGAACUUUUGCACACUUGGUCUACAAGAUCUCAAGAGAUAUUUUAGCUAGAAAAUAGUCUCCAAAGUUAGAUUUGUUCUCUAAGUGGUGUGAACUUCUGGUGAGCUUUUCUCUUGUGGUUGAAAGUUUCAUUAGUGUAGCUUUGUUGAGGGUUAUCUGAGUGUUUGUAAAACUUCUUAGCUUGACUAAGUGAGGUUUAGGGCAAGGAGGAAGUGCUCCCUCCAUUGUACAUCUAGUUGAUCAUAUUUCAUCAAAGAGAAGUUGCUCAACCUUGUGAUUGGUCUUCAAGUUUAAGGAAAGCUUGGUAGACAAUCGGUUUGAUUUCCUAUUUUACUUUUUGUUUAAUAAAAUUCUCAUUGCUUAUAUAUACUUAUUUUUCUGAUCAAUAUUGCUAUUGUCUUCUAAUCUACUUGGUUGAUCUUUACUAGAAAAGAAGGUAAAUUUUUAUUAAAGAAAAAGUGCAUAAAUUUGGUUAAGGUUUUAAUCAACCCAAUUCACCCCCCCUCUUGGUUGUCUUUGGGACUUACAAUUGGUAUCAGAGCUUGGUCUCCUUGAGAUUAAGCUCUAACGGCUUGGAGUAAAGAUGACAACCAGUCAUGCUAUGUUUGUUGAGGGGCAAUCUGUUACUAGGCCUCCCAUGUUCAGUGGCUCCAACUAUGUUAGCUGGAAAGAACGGAUGAUUAUCUUUUUGUAAUCUAUUGAUAUUGAACUAUGGUUUAUUGUGAGUGAAGGACCGCAUGAAGCUAACUUUCUUGAUGCAGAUACAGGGUUGCUUCGGCCAAAAAUGAGAGCUGAAAUGAAUGCUCAAGAUAGGACUAACCUCACAUUGAAUGCCAAGGCCAUGAAUGUUCUUUAUAGUGCCCUAGAUUCAAAUGAAUCAAUUAGAGUAAAAGGCUGCAAAUCGGCCAAAGAAAUGUGGGAUAAACUAAGAGAAAUCCAUGAGGGUGGUGACAACGUGAAAGAACAGAAAAAGGCUAUCUUGGUCACAAAAUAUGAAUCAUUUAGAAUUGAACCUCUUGAGGAUAUUGACAAAAUGUAUUGCAGGUUCACUGACUUGAUCAAAGAUCUCGAGGUGUUGGGCAAAGAGUACACCUUGGGAGAGAAGAACAGGAAAAUUCUCAAUGCGUUGGGCAAAGAAUGGGAAAAUAAAGUGACUGCAAUAGAGGAGGCUAAGGAUUUAAGUUCUGUGGCUAUUGAAUCUAUCAUUAACUCACUAACCUCUUAUGAGUUGAAACUGAAAUCUAAAGUGCAGGAGGAAGAGGAAGCUAGAGCAAAGAGAAACAUUGCUCUAAAGACUACUCAAGGUGAAGAUGAUACAGCUCACUUGGAUGAUGAAGACUCGGAUGGUGAUGAUAAUGAUCUUGCUCUCAUCACCAGAGGUUUCAAGAGAAUCUUGAAUAAAAGAAAGUUUAGAAGGGGAGGACCUAGCAAUCAAUUCCAGAAUCAGCCAUCUAUCGCAAAGUACAAAGGAAAACAGGAUUUCAACAAGAAACAGUUGGACAAAUGCUUCGAAUGUGGACAGCUUGGACACUAUGCAAAUGAAUGCCCCAUGAAGAAGAUGAAAGAUGGAAAAGCUGAUCGGAAGCCAAGAUUCAACAACUUUCAGAUUACUUGGAAUGAAUGCAACUCCGAAGGGGAAGUAGAAGAAGAAGAAGAAUCAGCUCAAAUGGCCUUCAUGGCUAUUGGAAAUAAUGAGGUAACUUCCACACAUUCUCAAUCUGAAAGUGAUGAUGAUGAAGAUGAUGAUCUUGAAUCCUUUGUUGAAAAACUGCAUAAUGCCUUGAAGGAAUCUUAUGAUAAAAACAAGCAGUUAAAACAGAAAAUGGCUUUUCUCAUUCAAGAAAAUGCAAGUCUUUUUCAACAAAAUAAACAACUAAAGACUGACAAUGAAAGUCUUGUAAGAGCCGGAUGUAAUGUUCAAAAUGAGCUUGAUAGAAAGACAAAUAUUUGUGAAAUGCUGAAGGAAAGACAUGGUGAUUUGAAAAAAAGAAUGGACAACUUGGAUGAGACUUUGAAAGCAAGAAAGCAGGAGUUUAUCAAAAGGAACAUGUCAUCUACACAUCCUACUACUUUUCAAAGAACAUUUGCACACAACAAAAAUGCACAUGGUUUCACAACAUAUAGAAGAGGUGGAUUGAGAUAUGUCAAACCAGUACAUGUUAAGGACUCUUCCAUUAUGUGUGGUUUUUGUUGUCAAAGAGGGCAUUUGAAAGGUGAUUGCUAUGUGAAAAGAAAUCUGAACAAAGGGAUGAAAUGCAUGUGGUUAGUUAGAUACAAUGCUAACUAUUGCGGACCCAAAAAUUAAAAUGGGUACCAAACACUUUCUCUUUUCAGGAAAAAUGCUCAAACAAGUCCAAAUGGUUUAUUGAUAGCGGUUGCUCAAGGCAUAUGACCGGUGAUCCCUCUUUGUUCAUAAAGCUGAAAUCAAAGUCAAGUGGAAAAGUGACAUUUGGUGAUGAUGUGAAAGCUAAGACAAUUGGAAUAGGUGAUGUUGGUAAGGAUGGUGAUACUUUUGUCCAUAAUGUGCUCUUAGUUGAUAACUUAAGUUAUAACUUGCUUAGUGUUAGUCAAUUGUGUGAUAAAGACUUGAAUGUGUUGUUUAAAAAACAUGAAUGCAUUGUGCUUGAUUCCAAAUAUAAUAUUGUGUUCAAAGGUAAGAGAUUCAACGACAUAUAUAUUGUGGUUCUUGAUAAAAUUGAUUCUUCUAGCUUAAAAUGUCUUAAAGCUUCAAAUGAAGAUCCUUGGUUGUGGCAUAGAAGACUUUGUCAUUUUAACAUGAAUUUACUAAAGGAAAUUUCGAAAAAGGAGUUGGUUAGAGGCUUGCCAAAAAUCAGUUUUGAUAAGGACAAAAUAUGUGAUGCAUGUCAAUUUGGGAAGCAAACAAAAAAUUCCUUUAAACCUAAGAUGUGUGUAUCUACUUCUAAACCUUUGGAACUCUUGCAUCUUGAUUUAUUUGGUCCCACUCAAAUUACUAGCUUGGGAGGUAAAAGAUAUUGUUUUGUAAUUGUUGAUGAUUAUUCUAGAUACACUUGGGUGAUAUUUCUUGCUCAUAAAGAUGAUGCCUUCAAGAAUUUUACUUCAUUGUUUGCUAAAAUGCAAAAUCUGCUUGGGUUAAAAAUUGUUAGGAUUAGAAGUGAUAAUGGGACGGAAUUCAAGUAUUGUGGUUUUCCAGAAUUUUGUGAUCAUAAUGGUAUAACACAUGAGUUCUCUAUUGCAAGGACUCCACAGCAAAAUGGUGUUGUAGAAAGGAAAAACAGGACUCUUCAAGAGGCUGCUAGAACUAUGUUGAAUGAAUGUAGGUUGCCUAAAUAUCUUUGGGCUGAAGCGGUAAACACUGCAUGUUAUGUGAUGAAUAGAAUACUCUUGAGACCUAUUUUAAAGAAAACUCCUUAUGAGCUGAUUUUUGAUAAGAAACCUACGGUUGGUUAUUUCAAAGUAUUUGGUUGUAAAUGCUUUAUUUUGAAUCUAAAGGAACAUCUUGGUAAGUUUGAUAAAAAAUCUGAUGUAGGAAUAUUUUUGGGGUAUUGUGAGAAUAAAAGACGAUAUAGAGUUUUUAAUAGAAGGACUCUUGUGAUUGAAGAAGCUAUACAUAUAACAUUUGAUGAAACCAAUGAUGAUAAUUCCAAAAGUUCGUGUGAGGAUGAUGAUGUAGGUGUUCGAGAAGCAAUGAAAAACCUAUCAAUUGGAAAUGAAGGAAGCUCUAAACCAGCAGCAACUGAAAUGGAAAAUGAAGUUCAUAAUGAUCAAGAAGAGGAAGAUGAAGACAAAAAUGAUGAUCCACUCAAAGAUCUUCCCAAGGCUUGGAAAUUCAGCCAAAAUCAUCCAAAAGAGCUUAUAAUUGGUGAUCCAUCCGAGAAGGUAAACACUAGUUCCUCAUCUAGAAAAUUGAUUGACAAUUUUGCUUUAGUUUCUCUUUUUGAACCCAAAAAUAUCAAUGAUGCUUUAAAGGAUGAAAACUGGAUUUUGGCAAUGCAAGAGGAACUUAAUCAAUUUGAGAGAAAUGAAGUUUGGACACUUGUUAAUAGACCUCAAAAUCAACCUAUCAUUGGCACAAAGUGGAUUUUUAGAAAUAAGUUGGAUGAUAAAGGUGUUGUUGUAAGAAAUAAAGCCAGAUUAGUUGCUAAAGGAUAUGCACAAGAAGAAGGAAUUGAUUUUGAUGAAACAUUUGCUCCCGUAGCAAGAUUAGAAUCUAUUAGAAUGCUUCUUGCUUUUGCAUGCUUUAAAGGCUUCAAAUUGUUUCAAAUGGAUGUUAAAAGUGCUUUUUUAAAUGGUUUUAUUGAUCAAGAAGUAUAUGUGGAUCAACCCCCCGGUUUUGAAAAUACAAAAUUUCCAAGUCAUGUGUUUAAACUAUCUAAAGCUUUAUAUGGUCUAAAACAGGCUCCAAGAGCUUGGUAUGAAAGACUAAGUGGUUUUUUGAUUGAAAAUGGUUUCAAAAGGGGUGUUGUGGACACCACACUUUUUACUAAGCAAGUGUUGAAUGACCUUCUUAUUGUGCAAAUAUAUGUUGAUGAUAUUAUUUUUGGUGCUACUAAUGAGUAUCUAUGUAAGGAGUUUUCCACCACUAUGCAAAGUGAAUUUGAAAUGAGUAUGAUGGGAGAAUUAAAUUUCUUCCUUGGACUUCAAAUACAUCAAGCUCUUGAGGGAAUUUUUAUAAAUCAAGCAAAAUAUACCAAGGAAUUGUUGAAAAGGUUUGGCAUGGAGGACUCAAAGCAAGUUGGAACUCCAAUGUGCACUUCUACAAAGCUUGACAAAGAUGAAGAAGGUAAUCAUGUGGAUGAAAAGCAUUAUAGAGGUAUGAUCGGAAGCCUACUCUAUUUAACCGCAAGUAGACCUGAUAUUAUGUUUGCUGUUUGCUUGUGUGCUAGAUUUCAAUCUUGUCCAAAAGAAUCACAUUUGAAUGCUGUAAAAAGGAUUUUUAGGUAUUUGAAAGGUACAUUAGACUAUGGUCUUUGGUAUGCUAGAUCUAAUGAGUUUGCACUAUAUGCUUAUUCGGAUGCUGAUUUUGGAGGUUGUCGUGUGGAUAGAAAGAGUACUAGUGGAACUUGUCAUUUUCUUGGAAAUUGUUUAGUCUCUUGGUUUAGCAAGAAACAAUGUGCAAUCUCUUUGUCUACAACCGAAGCGGAAUAUAUUGCCGCUAGUGCAUGUUGUGCUCAACAUUUAUGGAUGAAGCACACCUUGAAUGAUUUUUGAUUGUUGUAUGACUGCAUGCCUGUAUUCUGUGAUAAUACUAGUACUAUAAAUUUGACCAAAAAUCCUAUUCAUCAUUCUACGACAAAGCACAUAGAUAUAAAGCAUCACUUUAUUCGUGAUCUUGUUCAAAAAGGUGAAAUAUGUGUAAAUUAUGUUUGUUCUAAAGAUCAAUUUACGGAUAUUUUUACAAAAGCUUUGCCAUUAGAUCAGUUCAUUCAUCUAAGAUCAAAAUUAGGAAUAAUCGAAAAAUCAUCUUAAUUUUUGGGUCUUCGGACGUCCGAAAGAAGAUGAACGGACGUCCGAUGAUGUUCUUCAGCCAUUUUCCAGAUUGCGCCUGUUCGGACGCAGCUGUCGGACGCACAACGUCGUUCGGCCGUCCGACAGUGCAACGGAUCAAUUUUUUAAAUAACUUUCUUUCUCAUUUGCUUCAGACUCUUCCUAUUCUAUUUCCUCUCGGACGAAAACUCUCUCUUCCCUCACUCUCAAAUUCGUACCAUUUUGAAGCUCUCAUUCUCAAAUUGACUCAAACAAAACUUUUUCUGACUGAUUGCGAUUCAUUUCUCCUGAUCAUUUUCCCGAAUCGCAUAACAUUUCACAAAUUCCCAAAUUUCCUUCAAAACCCUACUUUCUCAUAACCGCUCUGCCAAAUCUUGUUUAAGGCCUUUUUGUCCCAAAAUUUCUGUGCAAAUCACUUCCCUACCACUGUGUGCAUCAUUUGCAUUCUUCAUUCCACACAUUUCACACAAUGGUGAAUCUGAGAGGAGGAAAGGUUACUGCCGGACGCAAGCAUCCACUCAGGGAUGAGGAUGAGGAUCUUCCUACGGUCAAACGUUCAUCCAAACGCUUCAAGAGAGGAGCCAUAAAGGGUCAAAUGUCACGGCCUACUCCUCAACCCACCUCUCAGCCUGAAUCUGGACAGGGAACCUCUGCUCAACCGCCUCCAAAAUCAGCCCCUCCCCCUACAUUCUUUGAUGAUACAGCAAGAGACAAACACUCCUUGAUAUCCCAGAAAGGUGUCAUCCCUCAACGUACUGUAAACCCUUCUGAAUUUCGUCUCAUAGGUUUAGAAACCAUUCUGAAGUUAUUUGCUUUUCAGAAAUGGUCGCAUAUCAUUUCUAUGCCAAAUGUUUACUAUCCUGAAAUGCUGCAUCAAUUUUUUGCUAAUCUUAGAAAAGGGUCUGACCAAACUGAAAUCUUUUCCAGGGUUAAUGGGGUAGACUUAAUCUUUGACUCUGAAAUUGUGAAUUCCAUUUUAAAUACUACCAUUGAACGUGGGUGCAAGGAUAAAAUUACAAAUUUCUUUUCCUAUGAAGAGCACCCUAAUGCUGAUAAUCAUUUUGAUGGGGCUAAAAUGAUGACCUAUUUUAAAAGAAGUUUUUCCUCCCCUGCUGAUGCUAAACUGAAUGAUCUUGCCCCUGUGAAUUUAAUUGCUUUUUCUAUCAUUUCAAACCUGCUUGUGCCUACUGAUGGCCAUAGAACUGAUGCAAACAAAAUGGAGUUGUACCUCUUUUAUUAUUUUCGAGAAAAAAUUUGGAUUGAUUUUGGUUUUGUCAUGUGCAAGUUUUUACUUCGCUAUACCACUGACUCUCGCAGAAAACUAUCCUAUGGAAAGUUUCUUCAAAAGAUUUUUGAGUUUUUCAAAGUUCCAAUUUUAGGUGUUUGUCCCAAAGAAGCAUCUUCUUAUGCCUUUACCAAAGGAUACUUUGAAAGGAAAAAUCUUGUUUUUAAAGAUAAUAUGUGGUCUUAUAAAGAGGCAUCGUCCAGUGAACGUAGGUCUAAGGCUGCACAUGAUCCUUCAUCUAUUCCACUCACUCCCAUUCAUCCUAGGAAAUCUGCCACUAAGGCAUCUUCCUCCUCCAAUGAUGGAGUGAUUGAGCUUCUUCAUGAACUCAAACAGCAUGUUCUUCUUCUAGAACAUGGCCUAAUGCUCACCAUGUCCUCUGAGCAACAAACUGCCUUUCUAGACAAAAAGAACCAUCUCUUUCCCCCACCUGUGGUUGAGGAAGUGUCCCAUGACAAAGAGCCACACCCCACUGAUCCAAGCUCAUCAAUUCCAGACCCUGGUUCAUCAACUCCUGUGACUCCUCAUGGUCCUUCCACAGCAGAUAAAGGCAAGGAACCAGUUGAAGUGGAUGCUGAAGCUGAUGAAGAAACUGAAGAGGAGGACCUCUCCCAAUAUCAGCUCUCUCGAAGAACUCCUGGAUCCACACAGUUCACUACUUAGGACAUUUGCAUUCUGUUUGUCUAUUUUAUGUGUUUGUAAUGGUCAACAUUUGUAACCUUCUUUUAAUGUUUCUCUUGUUGGUACUGUAUGUUUAUGUUAAGUAUUUUGAAUGAUGACUGUGUUUAUGGAUGUUUAAGUAUUUUGGUGCAAUGAAUUUGGUUUUCAUUGAUGAAUGUGUUUGUGGAUGUGUUGAUGUGAUUGGUUGCCCUUUUGUGAUGACAAAAAGGGGGAGAGGACUGGAUUGAUGAUUGAUGAUUGGUGUUGAGGACUGGAUUGAUUGAUGAUUGAUGAUUGGUAUUGAUUGAUGAUUGAUGAUUGGUGAUGUUGGAUAUGUUGGAUUGAUUGUUUAAAUUUGGAUUGGCUGAUAUGCUUAAUUGUCAUAUUUUUAGAAAAUUGUUUAACUCGGAUGGGCAGCCAAGUGAGGGGGAGCUUUUUCAAAAUUUUCAAAAUUUUAUGAUUCACUAAAUAAGGGGGAGUUCGUGAGAAAGGGGGAGCUUAUAAUGCAAUCAUCAAAUUUCAUUUCAAACUUUUGUUUUGUCAUCAUCAAAAAGGGGGAGAAUGUUAUUCUUGAUUUUGAUGAUCACAAAAGUUCGUUGAAAUGUUUAUACAGACCAAGAAAGUGAACACUUUGAUCAGGCCUGAUGGAACAAAGUAAGCAUAUGUUCGAUUAACUCCAGACUACGAUGCUUUGGAUGUGGCAAACAAGAUUGGAAUAAUAUAAACAAAUUUAGUCAUUGUUUUGUUCCGAUCAAAGAUACUGUCUUUUAAGUAUGACAAUUUUGUUAGUCUUGGUUCCUUGAAAUGUUUUAUCUAACUUUCUUCAAAUAUAAGUGUUGUUGCCUAUCAAAGAAUCAGGUACGAAUAUGUCGUGAGAAAAAACAGGACACUCAUGUCGGACGGCCGAAAGGAAUCUGUCGGACGUCCGAAGGGAUGAAGAACAUCAGGAAGGAGUUUCUGUCGGACGCACAUCGAUCGUGUCGGACGUCCUAAAAAUUCCACAAAGCUUUGAUGACUCUCUGCCAAGACACUGUCGGACGCUCGCAAGGAAGCAUCGGACGUCCUGAAGGAUCGGACGCAUGCUUCGGACGAACAUCAAUAUCAUCGGACGUCCUAAAAAUUCCUCGAAGAUUUCAUAACUCUCUGGACGACGUUCGGACACUGAAGCUCGGACGAUAAAAUUCCAUCGGACGUCCGAACUUCAAUUUGGCUGUUUUUCGGACGAUUGGUUCGGACGAUAAUUUGAUCGUCGGACGUCCGAAAGCCCCAACGGCUAGCUGACUCUUCAUCUGCCUUCUAUCCGUUGGAAGCUUUAAUGAAGCCCAUUUCUGUUCCCCUUUAAAAACAAACUGUUCUGAACGAAGUAAGAACUUUUGCACACUUGGUCUACAAGAUCUCAAGAGAUAUUUUAGCUAGAAAAUAGUCUCCAAAGUUAGAUUUGUUCUCUAAGUGGUGUGAACUUCUGGUGAGCUUUUCUCUUGUGGUUGAAAGUUUCAUUAGUGUAGCUUUGUUGAGGGUUAUCUGAGUGUUUGUAAAACUUCUUAGCUUGACUAAGUGAGGCUUAGGGCAAGGAGGAAGUGCUCCCUCCAUUGUACAUCUAGUUGAUCAUAUUUCAUCAAAGAGAAGUUGCUCAACCUUGUGAUUGGUCUUCAAGUUUGAGGAAAGCUUGGUAGACAAUCGGUUUGAUUUCCUAUUUUACUUUUUGUUUAAUAAAAUUCUCAUUUCUUAUAUAUACUUGUUUUUCUGAUCAAUAUUGCUAUUGUCUUCUAAUCUACUUGGUUGAUCUUUACUAGAAAAGAAGGUAAAUUUUUAUUAAAGAAAAAGUGCAUAAAUUUGGUUAAGGUUUUAAUCAACCCAAUUCACCCCCCCUCUUGGUUGUCUUUGGGACUUACAGUUUGGCUCCCGCGAGAGUAACCCUACCCAUAGGGUUAACGAGGUAAAGACGUCGUCCAUUCAGCAGCAGCUAUCGGAGUUAACAUCUUUUGCUCAGCAGUUAGCUGUGGGGAAUAUGCAUCAAGCAAAGGUCUGUGGAAUUUGCACAAACAUGGGCCACCCCACUGACUUAUGCCCUAUUUUGCUAGAGGAUGGGGCUGAACUAGUAAACAUGGUUGGGGGCGUGCCCACGCCCCGUAGGUAGUACGAUCUAUACUCGAACACGUACAAUUCGAGUUGGAGAGACCACCCCAACUUCAACUAUGGGAACAGGCCACAGAAGUCAUUCUCAAAUCGUCCAGCAACCAUGGCAACCAAAGCUUCAACCUUCGUCCUCCAAUUCAGGAGGCUCUUUGGAGGAUAUUGUCAAGAGCCUGGCCACGAGUACUACUCAGCUCCAGCAAGAAACUAGAUCCUUGGUCACGAGUACUGCUCAAUUCCAUCAGGAAACUAGAUUAGGCAUGAAAAAUCUGGAGACUCAAAUAAGUCGUAUGGCAACUGCAAUUAAUCGGUUAGAGUCUCAAGUUUUUGAAAAAUUGCCAUCGCAACCCGAGGUAAAUUCCAAGAAUGUAAGUGCCUUGACAUUGAGGAAUGGCAAGGAAGUGGAGGGGCUUAAGGCCACGAACCUAAAGAGUAAAAGUGAAGAAGAGAUCGAAAAGGAGAUUGAAGAAGAAGGACGCAUUCGUGGAGACCCUAAGGUAACUCUUACUCCAUCAAUUCCCAUUGAAUCUAAUUUACCUCCUUUUCCAUACAGGUUGGAAAAGACAAAGAAGGCGGAGAUGGAAAAAGAAAUCCUAGACGUAUUCUGAAAAGUAGAGAUCAACAUUCCCUUGUUGGAUGCAGUUAAGCAGGUACCAAAGUACGCAAAUUUUUUUAAGAAUUUGUGCACCUAUAAGAGGAAGUUGAGACGGGACAAAAGAGCAGCAGUGGGAGAAAAUGUAUCAGCUAUACUCCAAAGAAAACUCCCACCCAAGUGUGGAGAUCCAGGUAUGUUCAUGAUCCCAUGCAAAAUAGGAAAUACACCGAUUAGAAAAAUAAUGUUGGAUUUAGGGGCAUCAAUCAACGUAAUGCCAAGCACCAUUUAUGUUUCUUUAAAUCUUGGGCCACUAAAAGAAACAGCCAUCAUAAUCCAACUAACUGACCGCACCAAUGCUUAUCCAGAGAGGCUAGUUGAGGAUGUCUUGGUUCAGGUAAAUGAGUUAGUUUUUCCAACAGAUUUUUAUAUCUUAGGUAUGGGAGAUGAAAAAUUGUUAAAUCCGUCACCUAUUUUGUUAGGUAGGCCAUUUCUUAGCACUGCUAGGACUACAAUAAAUGUGAAUGAGAGUACUUUAUCAAUGGAGUUUGAUGGCGAAAUUAUAAAUUUCAAUAUUUUUGAGGUGAUGAAGUAUCCGGAGGAAUCUAACUCAGUCUUUGCAUUGAGUGUUAUUGAACCUAUUGUAUAGGAAACUUUCGAAUUAGACUGUGAAGACGCAUUGGAAGUGGCCUUUAUCAAGCAUCUUGAAAUGGAUGUAACUCUUAAUGUGGACAUGAGGGAUGAGUUGCACCAUACAGUUGAAGCAUUACAUUCACUUCCAACCAUUCCUUCGAGGUAUGAGCUUACCUCUCUUUUUGUGCCAAAAACUCAGACAAAGUUGUUGCCUUCAGUUGCACAGGCACCGGAGUUAGAGCUUAAGACUCUCCCGAAACAUUUAAAGUACGCAUUCCUGAGAGACUAAGAGACGCUUCCGGUGAACAUUUCUGCACACUUAUCUCCAAGUCAAGAGAGCAAACUGGUGCGAACCCUUAGGGAUCAUAAGGAAGCGAUUGGGUGGAGUAUAGCAGAUAUCAAAGGAAUAACUCCGUUCUUAUGCAUGCACCAGAUACGGCUCGAAGAUGAUGCGAAACCGGUAAAACAGGCGCAGCGGAAAUUGAAUUCGCUAAUGAUGGAAGUAGUGAAAAAGGAGAUACUUAAAGUCCUGGAAAUAGGAAUUAUCUUUGCUAUCUUGGACAGUCCUUGGGUGAGUCCCGUUCAAAUAGUCCCAAAAAAAAUAGGAGUGACUGUAGAGGAAAACCAGGAGGGUGAGAUGGUUCCAGUCAGGAAAGCUACAGGUUGGCGCCAGUGCAUUGACUACCGGAGACUAAACGCUGUGAUGAAAAAGAACCAUUUUUGAUGUGAAACCCCGGUCUAGACAACCAAAACACCAUGGCUUAGGCAGCGGAAAUUUGACCCAACUAAUCCCUAGAAGUCACGAACAAUUUUGAUAUUAUCUCAACCCGUAACUACUCGAAUUAACGAACCAAAUUGGAGGUAGUAGAACGCCACAAUCAAGGAGAUACUCGAUUGAUAAGUUCGGGUGAAUAACUUGAGAAGAUUCUCAAGUAUUCAAAGGCAACUCUCUUGCCAAAGAGAAAGUGAAAACUCACUAAUUGUAUUUAAUAGCCAAAAACUCGUCCCAAAACAAAGAGGAAGUGAGGCAAUUUAUAGCCCUUACAAGCAUUAACCCUAAUCCAAAAGUUGACCAAACUACCCUACAUACUUAAGAAAGAUUUUGGGCCUUACUUACUAACAAAUGGGCCGCAAUUAAACUAUCUUAAUUACCUAGAUUUUUAAAACAAGAAAUAACCAAAAUCAACGAGAAAAAUCAAAUAAUCCUACUAAACUCAAGCAUUCGUGCAAUCAACUAGUCUUCACUUGAAUCUUCCAAUUCCCCGUGUGCUUGAAUGGGCCUUGGUCUUUAUAUUCUCAUCAUUCCCCUCCUCUUAAAAGCAAUUUGCCCACAAAUUGAAGCACGAAUGGUGACAAGACGAGUUACAUGCCUUCGACUCAAUCUUGUUAUGAUGGCUACAGAUGGCAUCCAAUGCAAAACCCAUGUGCUAAGUUGGAAAAUAACCCUCGUCGAACCUUGAAUCUCACAGACCAUCUUCAAUGUAUGCUCAACUUUAUUGUUUGUGGUCAUGAGAUAAGGGUCCUCAAAGUGGUAUGAAGUGUAUCCCGUGAAAUCGAACUCCGGCUCGAACACACUUGCAAGGUACCAAGGCGGAUUUGGUGAUGUUGGAGCUUCAUGUGGACUAAGAGCAAGACGAAAAGCAUAAUGGUCAUUGAGGUACUUGUUCUUUAAACGAACCCUUGGUACACAACCAUUCCUAAAAUAUGGAGUGUUCCCUUCAAGAUGAGCUCGAAUCAACUCCCCUUUGGUGUGGACUGAUUUAAGUUGACAUUGUUCCAUGAAUGGAUACCAAGGGGGUUUAACUCUUGGAGUACCAACUCCAUGGAGGCUUGCAACGUCUACAAUUGAUUUUGGAAUGGAACACACCAAGAUCAGCUCAACUUGCCUUUGCUUGAUCUGUAUAAAAGAAGAAACACUAAACAAAGCAAAGGUAAGUUUGUUAAGAAAAUAAUAGGCCUUCACCGGGUUGCUCAAGAUCAGCCCACUUUCUCUUCUUUCUUCCUUUUUACCACCAAUCUCAUUAGAUUUUUCCAUCUCUUUUCCUAGUUCAACAGCUGACCCUUUUAUCUCAUUACUUUCAACUUCCUCGGGUUUUACCUCUGCAGGCACAAUUCCCUCAUCUAGCUUUUUCUCCAUUCUAUAACGCUCAAACUCACUUUUCAUGCAUGCUAGAUCAAUACAAAGUUGGUCAUAAGUAAGUGAUACAAGUGCAAGACGACGACUAUUAAAUAAGAAGGAAUACUUAUUAGUAUGUCCAUCAAUUUUAACUUCUCGCCUCGACAUCCAUGCUUUGCCCAACAACACAUGUGUCACUUGAAUUGGGACUACAUCACACAACACCUCAUCCACAUAUUUGCUGAUUUGAAUAGGUACAAGUGUGUGCUUAGUAACCCAAACAUCCCUAUGAGUGCUCGUCAACUUGUAAGGUUGAAGAUGAUCAAUGGUUGGAAGAUUUAAUUUCUCAACCAUGAUAGCACUUGCAAGAUUGACUUCACAACUACCAUCAAUGGCCAAGCUACAAAUUUUAUCUUUGACACCGCAACGAGUAUAAAACCAACCAAGCAACUGAGAUUUGACGAGGUCCAAUUGCUCAUCUACACCACGUAAUGCCACUUCUUUGACUCCCUUAGGAUCAGGAAGACAAUGUUGUGGGCUAGCUUUUAUGUGUCUUAUACUCGCCAUGACGUAUGAGGGAACCUGCAAAAAGUUAGCAACGAAACCGAAGAUAUUGCCUUUCACGCUCCCUUACGUGUAUCCACUCGCACUCGUGUAUAUGGAUGUCACUCUAAUGGACUUACCAAAUACCUUUACCUGUUGGGUUAGGUAGUUGAGAAAUGCUGCUCAAGUCCAACAACCGUUACCAACCUUUCCACAAGUGUAAUCACAAGAAUGUAGGAGAAAAUGUAUGAAAGUGUUCCUAGAAUCUAGGAAGAGAAUAUAGGAGAGUUUCAUAAAGUGGAUGAGAGAAUAUAGGAAAGGUCCUAAAAAUGGAUGAGAGAAUUUUAGGAGAGUUUCCUAAAAAAUGGAUGAGAGAAUUUAGGAAAGUUUCCAAAAAAAUGGAUGAGAGAGUUUAGGAAAAUUUCCUAAAAAGGUAGGAGAGAGAGUGUCCAAGUGAGUACAAAGAGUUAUCCAAGUGCUUUACUUAGUUUCCUAAUUGAUUUUGGAAACAAGUUAGUUUUUGGAAACCUUUUGAAAAUCCUCUUCCUCUUGAACAACUUUUGGUAACCUUCUUGAAACAACUUUUGGUAACCUUCUUGAAACAACUUUUGGUAACUUCCAAAUUCUACUCCAAGAAAGAUUGCACAAAUCAGAUUUGGUUCUCUAUUCAAAACAAUUCGGUUGCCCCUUUCUUUCCUUGCCUUUUUUUUUUUCUCUUGCCAACCAAUUCCUCUUUUCUUUCUUCUUUUUUUUUGUCUUUUUUUGACUACAACUAUCAACCACGACACAAAACAAGGAAGUCCACAAAUAAUAACAACCAAGAACUCCAAGAUCUUUCAAGAACGUUCAAGGAAGUUGUCAGGAACUUCAGAAAUUUCAAGAUUGUGGUCAAGAAUUCAAGAAGCUCAAGAUUAUUGUAAGUUCUCUUCACGAUUCACAAAAUUCCAACAAUUUUUGCCAAAAUUCAGAUUUGAAAACCAAGUAAACAAGUUGGAUAACACAAACAACAAGGCUGGACAGAUUUGUAUUCGGAUGAACAGAACCCUAUGAACAGUAUCAGUGAACAGUGUCGGUGAACAGUAACGAUGAACAGUAAUAUUUUUUUUUUUUUUUUGGUUCUGAACAAACGAACAGAUUGGGAUAAACACAUAUGACUCGAAAUAAACGAAAACAAAAAAAAAGAUAUAACCUGGUGGUUGUCAACUAGCUCUGGUACCAACUGAUGUGAAACCCCGAUCUAGACAACCAAAACACCAUGGCUUAGGCAGCGAAAAUUUGACCCAACUAAUCCCUAGAAGUCACGAACAAUUUUGAUAUUAUCUCAACCCGUAACUACUCGAAUUAACGAACCAAAUUGGAGGUAGUAGAACGCCACAAUCAAGGAGAUACUCGAUUGAUAAGUUCGGGUGAAUAACUUGAGAAGAUUCUCAAGUAUUCAAAGGCAACUCUCUUGCCAAAGAGAAAGUGAAAACUCACUAAUUGUAUUUAAUAGCCAAAAACUCGUCCCAAAACAAAGAGGAAGUGAGGCUAUUUAUAGCCCUUACAAGCAUUAACCCUAAUCCAAAAGUUGACCAAACUACCCUACAUACUCAAGAAAGAUUUUGGGCCUUACUUACUAACAAAUGGGCCGCAAUUAAACUAUCUUAAUUACCUAGAUUUUUAAAACGAGAAAUAACCAAAAUCAACGAGGAAAAUCAAAUAAUCCUACUAAACUCAAGCAUUCGUGCAAUCAACUAGUCUUCACUUGAAUCUUUCAAUUCCCCGUGUGCUUGAAUGGGCAUUGGUCUUUAUAUUCUCAUCAAUUUUCCUCUCCCUUUUAUUGACCAGAUGAUAGAAAGAUUGGCUGGUCGUGUUUACUAUUAUUUUUUGGAUAAUUUUUCAGGGUACUUCAGAUCUCGAUAGCACCGGAGGACCAGGAAAAGACCACAUUCACCUGCCCAUUUGGUACUUUUGCGUACCGUAGGAUGCCUUUCGAUCUUUGCAAUGCUCCAACAACUUUUCAAAGGUACAUGGUAAGUAUUUUCUCCGAAUAUGUAAAAAGAUUAUUGAUGUGUUCAUGAAUGAUUUUAGUGUAUACGGGGAUAGCUUUGAUGAAUGUUUCGAUAAUUUAGCUGUAAUUUUGAAAAUGUGCAUAGAGACGAACUUAGUUCUUAAUUGGAAAAAAUGCGCUUUAUGGUAGAGUAUGGUAUUGUCUUAGGGCACGUUGUGUCGGCUAAGGGAAUAGAGGUAGAUAAAGCAAAAAUAGAUCUAAUUUCUACUUUGCCUUACCCUGUAUGUGUACGGGAAGUACGUUUCUUUUUGGGCCAUACAGGAUUUUAUAGGAGGUUCAUCAAGGAUUUCUCAAAGAUUGGAGCACCCCUAUUCGAGUUGCUGCAAAAGGACGUGACAUUCGAUUUCACCAAUGAAUAUAAGGUGGCUUUUGAUAAAUUAAAGGAGUCGUUGACAUCGCCGCCCGUCAUUCAACCCCCAGAUUGGAGCCUACCGUUUGAAAUAAUGUGCGAUGCGAGUGAUUAUGAGGUAGAAGCAGUGUUGGGCCAAAGGAUUGGCAAGGUGGCGCAUGCAAUUUACUAUGCGUCGAAAGCAUUGAGUGGAGCUCAACUUAACUACUCCACGACGGAGAAAGAAUUACUAGCCGUUGUUUUUGCACUAGAAAAAUUUAGGUCAUAUUUAUUAGGUGCAUGUAGACACCAAAAAUUUCAUCGAUUCAGUUUUAGCUUUAUUCAUUCAAUUUUGACUUCCUUUGAUUCAAUUUUUAGUUUUAUUAUUAUUAUUUAUUCUUGUCUCAUAUUUAUUAUUUUUAAUUGAUUGGAGGUUGCAAAUGGUAAUUGAUGUUCAUUCUUAUUUUAAAUGCAUUAAAAUUCAUCAUUUUCUUUUUAAAGCAAUUUUACACUAAAUUUUAGGAAAAUCCCGAAUAAAGAUCCAUUUUAUCUUUUUAAAAUUUGAUUUUUUCUUGCUAAGGCAUUUUGCAAGGUAAUUUUUAAAAAUUAAGCAUGUUAAACAAGUGUGUCAAUUGCAUGUUGAACAAGUGUGCAAAUAAGCAUUAGACAAGUGGUUGAGGAAUGGUAGGACAAGUGUAUAGGGGGUAGCUGUCAAGGACACUUGGGGGGUUUUUUGGGGGGCAUCGGAAAAAAAAGGAAGAAAAAACCCUCGAAGAGGCUUGAAAACAGGGGGAAGAGAAAAGAGCUAAAAACAGGGAGGGGGCUUCGGAGGAAAGGGGAGAGGAAAAACGAAAUCGAAAAAGGAGGGGAGAGUAGGGAAAAAUCUGGGGAGAGUCUGUGGGCUAAGAAAAACAGCGGAGAGAUAGCGGAAAAAAAGGAGAAAAAGAACGGCUGAGGGGAAGGCUAAAAAUCUGAAAAGAGAAGAAGGCUUCGGCUGGGAGAAGCUGGAGUGGAAAAAAUAGAAAAAGGGAGAACGGCUGCGGUUGAGGGCCGAGAGAGUGGAGAGCCGAGGAGGAAAAAUCAGAAAAGGAGGAGAAAAAUCAAGGGCGGCGGAUGAAGGGAAAAGCUGGGAAAAUUAGAAACAGAGAAAGAGAGGAUAGCAGCGGACAAAGAGCUUGCGACUGAGGAAGCAGAGCAGCUGGAACUGCCGUUCGCGGGAAGCUGUUGCCGCCCUCUUCCGUCACGCGCGACGCCAGCUUCAUCGCUUCUUCCAUCAUAGUUCAAGCUCCGCCCUCUGCCGGCACAAACAAGUGGCCAACCGCCCGCCCAAGCAACCAAAUCCGAGAUCAGCACCCGCAAAAUUUUACCAAGAAACAAACGGUAAGCCACCAUCAUCCUUCAAAUUUCAGUUUUCAUGUAAGUUUUCGAAGCGUGUUUUAUUUUUCACGUUGUGGCUUGUAGCCAUUUCUCUGUUGAAUUAUUCACUAAUUGGAAGUAUGUAUGCUUUGAAUGUCGAUUGGACUGGAGUUUUCUUGCAUUUGAUGAAAUUUUGGGUGCUGAUUCAUGUCAAUUGAGCGAGAAAUUGGUGAAGUUUUUUAAUGGCUGUUUGUUGUUCGACAGAAUGCUUCAAUGAAAGUUCGGCCUGAAGAAUGGAUUAAUUUCUGAUUUAUAUACGUUCGACUGUUUCAUGCUUGUCAAAAUAAUUGAUUCGAAUGGGUUUGUUUGGGCGUCCGUUUGUUUUGGCAAUCUGCUCCGCUUCUCGUUUGUUUGGUGUUCCUCUUGUAUGGAUUUAAAUUCAUGACAUAAAAUGGCGUGCGAGGGGAUUCAUGUGAGAGUCAUUUGUUUUGCUUUUGUUUUGUUUUGUUGAUUGGAGUCCGAAGUUGAAUUUUCUGGUUGCAAAGAGGAAUGAAAUAGCAGCGAACGUUGAGCCAAUUUGGGAAGAAGAGGAUUGCUUGAUUAAAUUCAUGAUUCCAGUCCCUCAAUUUCCCUUUCCAUUAUGAUUUAACCCCAGAAUUUUAGGACUUCAUAAUUUUUCCUCCAACACCUUCAUAAGUCCUUCAAUUAGGUCCCUGCUCUUGUUGCAUUUUAACCCCUCAGCUUCCCCUUGUUCUGAUAUGACCCGAAAAGUGGAAAAAGUGCGUUUGUUUCUCCCUUCUAGAUUUAAAUCAUCUUCUAAUAAGCAUGAAUAGUCCUUUUACUAGAUUAAUUCUUGUUUGUAGGUUCUAAUUGUGGUUCAAUAAUUUAUUUUGAUUUUAUCAUGUUGGGUUUAAUGAAACAAGUGCCUUGGGCUAAGAGGUUAUUUUUGUUUGGGUUUAAGAAAGUCGUUUUAGUUUAUUUUGUUUGGUUUUUUGGUUCGGGCUAGAGGGUCAAGGCCCAUCUAUUUGGUUGGCUAAUUUUUGGGCCAGGAUAUUAUACUAGCCCACUUGUUUUCCUUGGACUUUCGAUUGGGCCAAGUUAUCUUGGCCCAAGAAAGGUGAAGAUGGCCCAUUCCCUUUUUGUUUUGGAUUUUCGGUUGGGCUUGUAAGGCUUUGGCCCAAACAAAUAAAGGAAAUGGCCCAAUGGCUUGGUCCAUUAAGAAACCAGAAAACGAUUUUGCAAAUCAGUCCCUGAAUUUCUCCCUAAUUGUAUUGUGGCCCUGGACAUUUUCAACUUCUUUCAAUUCGGUCCUUGCUUUAAUUGCAAAUAGGUCCCUGAACUUUAUUUUUCUUUAAUUUUGACCUCCAAACUUUGUCAAUCUUUGCAAUCAGGUCCUUUCUUCUCUUGACUUCUUAAAUGUGAAUUGUCGACAUGAUUUAAUUGAUUCAAAUUCAUGCUUAUUUUUUAUCCUUUGUGAUUAUUUGCCAAAUAAAUUGGUACCUUGACCUUUUUAUUGUUUUGAAGCUAAUAUCUCAUUUACUCGAUUUCCGUUGCGAGGGAGGUAACUUCUAUAUUUUUGAGUUUAUUUUUUCCUACGUGCUCCUACGUGUUAUGUGAAUAUGCCUGUCUACUUUGCUUUCUUUGCCUUUCUUUAAUUCUUUUCAUUUUUUUUUACUUACUUUUGCUUUUUAUUUAAGUUAUUCAUUAUGGGGUAUGUGUACACCUCUUGGCUUGUAAUAGUUAGGGAUUUAAUUAUUUUAUUCUUUUCCCCCUUUUAGAUUGUAGUGGGGUCUCCCUAAUGUAAUAGAUAGGGUUUGGAGGAGCAUUCAAUGAAGACCUAUCGAAGACUUGUGCCUAGCUAGCAAAUGUAAUAGUUAGGGCUUUAAUUGUCUCAUGUGCCUUGCAUGCUUAGUUGCUACGUGUUAAUUUGCUUUGCUAGGGCCUUGCAUCUAGUCGAGCAUGCAAAAUGUUAUGUGCUAUGUGUUUAUAAGUGUUUGGCAUGUCUACUCGCUUUCCAUAGCCUGAAUAAAUGUGAUGGAUGAAUGUACGUCACCACACUAGUCCAAUGCUAGUUGUGGCUCAUUAUUUCAUUAGGAAUUCAUAGAAAGGGCUAGUCCAACGCUAGACCCAAUAGGAUUUUUCCUUUGUUUUUCAUUAAUGCAUUAUUUGCCUGUUCACUACAUAUCAUGCAUUUUUCCUUAGUUUUAUCAUCUGGCAUGCUCCUCGAUUCCCCUUUCCCCUCACUUUAGGAUUUUUGCAUUUCAUGCUAGUUAUAGGGUUCAUUUGCCUGAAGAGUCCCCUUCUGAUAAGGGAAACGAGCGAGUGUGGCUACUCGAUAGCCUUAGCACGCUAGUUUCGCCUUCUAAUCAAAGGGAAGAUUAAGUCACAAAGUUAGGACUCCCCGUUCCCGUCUUGAUGCAUUCCUAUAGGAUUCAUGCAUUCUAUUCAUUCACUAUCACAUACACUUACUUUAUAUUCUAACCCUUUUUCCACAUUCUCACUUCACACUACUUUUACACGUUUUCAUUUAACUACUCACACUCUAUGCCAUAUCACUCGCACACAUGCACUUUAUAUUAUUUUCACAUUAUCAUUCUUUACUCACCUUACCUUGUAAAUACAUUUGCACACCUCCACUUUUCUCACUUCACAUAAACUUACAUUUUCACAUGACAUGCACCCCAUUCAUUUUUACGUCAUUUAGGAUUACGUGUGACCUCUCCAAAGGAUCAUUAUUGGGCUUCACAAUUAAUGUGAUUGGCACCACUCAACCUUUGAAGAGAAAUUUCCCCCAAUACCCCUAGGUCUAGGGUUUUGCAUUCAUAUAGACAUAUCCAACACGCGAUACAUACCUUGGGUAGAAAAAUUAGGAAAAAUUGGUUUAAGUCACGCAACUAGCCUUGGCUAGGUCGAAGGGGUGCCUUGGAUUUUUUAUCCUUGCCUUCCCCUUCGUCAAAUGUGACCCCCGAUCCCUCUUUUUGGUUACGUAGACCCAAAAGUUCUUUAAAAGGGUUUAUUUACUUUUUUUAUUCAAAAACAAAAAACCAUUUUUUGGGUGACUUGGUACACCCUAACCCUAUACCAAGUGGCGACUCCAUUUUUGAUACAAAAAACCCUUUUUGAACUUUAUAUGGCCAAACCGUCGCAUUAUCAAGUCCCAUGGCCUUUUACUUUUCAUUUACACACGUUCACAUUCCAUUACACCACUCACAUCUCACACCACACACACACCACAACUCAUCAUCUUCGAAAAGUGGGGCGCGACAGUUGGCGACUCCACUGGGGAAGCUCCUAAGUGGGUCCGAGCAUUUGACUUAGCCAUUCGUUUCCUUUUUCUACCCUUUUUAUGCAUUGCACUUGGAUAUUAGGGUUGCAUUUUUUUUAUUUUAGGCCUUUUUGCCUCGUGCGCGUAUCCAACUAUUCCCUCACUCACGUACGUGUGAUUGGUUGAUUGGAUGUAUGUUUACUUGUUUAUCUCGCGCUUGCAUUGCAUUUGGGAGGGGGCGUGUCACCUUUAGAGCCUCACGUUGGUUCUCAACCCCUUCCCUCAAAAUAGGGGAGCACUUCAUACGUGCACGUUUACUUGCUUUUAUCCCAUUUUAUUUUGUUUUUCGUGGGCGUUUCCCACACCGCCUUGUAGGAUUAGGAUCGAUUGCCUUGGGUAGGCGGCUGGUGUGCUCUGCGCCCAUAACGCUACCUAAGGGAUCACUCGAGCCACCGAUCAAAGGCCUUGGGAGUGAUGACCCUUUGCCUUUAGGUCUGAAGGCUUGGGAGCCGAAGCUUUAUCGAGUCUAGGCAUUAAUGAACCAAACCUCAUGCAUCCAUGUUAGCAUUUGCCUAGGGUAGAGUCAGCCUCACCCUUUUUAAGCACAAUUAGGCACGAGGGAAGGGGUUCCACCCCUUUUUAUUGGCUUUUAUUGUAUUUCUUUUUCUUAAUUGCUCCCAAUAUGUUAUGUGUAUUACCAAUUGCACUAACCAUUCUUUUGUUUUCUUGGCUUGCAUUCAUAUGCCCUAGCAAUAAGAGGCCCUUUUGGCACUCUUUUAGUGACCUAUCCACUAGAUAACUCACAUGUUUAAAUUUCAGUCAUUAUACUUAAUAAAUACAUUUCAUUUUAGACCUUUUUUCCCCCGAUGCAUUAUUUAUGUCCCUUAGGUCAUAUUUGUCACAUAUUUACAUCGCUUUAAUAAAUGACAUCAUGCAUAAACCCUAGAAAGGGAAUGCCAUUUAGGGGAUCCCGUGUCAGGAAUAAGCCACCUUGUGUCUCGGAUACUUAAUCCAGUGAGACUUGCACGUUUACAUUUUGUACCAUCCAAAGGGGGUAGUGCACAAGGUAAGGUAGGAUCCGAUCAUUUUCAUAGAGUGAUCUUUGGGAUAUGAGCAUCUAAUAAUCACUUUUUGGCCAUUUUAUCAAAAAUUGGUAAAAAUUCCUUGCGUGAAGGACAGUAAUUUGAAGAAAUUCACAAAUGAUUCCUUCUAUUGAGACGAUAAAUAAAUUGAGGCCAAAAUUUGAUUUUUAGAAGCUCAUAGACUAAUGCAUCUCAAUCAUUUUGAAAUCACCAAUGGCCGGACAAUUCAACCAAUCCAUUUUACCCAUUCAUUCAAUAAAUCAUCAAUUCAUUUGAUCAAUUUACCCUUUUUAGGGUCAUCCGGUCGAUUUUGAAUAAAUCGUCAAUUCAUUUGACCAAUUUACCCUUUUUAGGGUCACCUGGUCGAUUUUCAAUAAAUCAUCAAUUCAUUUGAUCAAUUUACCCUUUUUAGGGUCACCUGGUCGAUUUUGAAUAAAUCGUCAAUUCAUUUGACCAAUUUACCCUUUUUAGGGUCAUCCGGUCGAUUUUGAAUAAAUCAUCAAUUCAUUUGACCGAUUUACCCUUUUUAGGAUCGUUCGGCCGAUUUUUGAACAAGUCACUAAUUCAAUUUCAUUCAUUUGGCCAAUUUACCUUUUUUUAGGGCAACCGAGCCGUUUUUUGACCUGUUUCCCUUCUAGGGUAAUCCGGUCGAUUUUCAAUAAAUUGUCAAUUUCAUUUGACCAAUUAGGAUUUCAAUGUCGAAUUCCAAAUUGGGAAAUCUAGUCAAUUUUGAAGAAAACCGUCCAUUGCAUCCAAUCACUUGAUCAAUUAGGGUUUUUGACCCGUAAUUCACUGAGAAAUUUUAUCAACGAAUUCCAAUCUCUUCGAUAGGAGUUCGUCAAGGUCAAACCCAUGCGUUUUGCAAAUCAAAGGUGAUCAAUCUAUUCGGACGUUGUCCUCAUUUUGACAAAUCUCUUGCCACUCCAAUGGCCAAAUUUUUCAAAUUAUUUUUCACUCAAUGAGUUGAUCAGAUCCGUCAGGUAUGGUAUAGUGCUUCCCUAGAGGAUUGCAUUUUCAUGCUAGGCCUACCCUUGGCAUAAAAAGGGUUCCCCCAUAGGACAUGCAUACCGAUUUUUUUUUAUUCUUACUUACUGACUCUGGGUAUUUUUCUUUUUGUUUUCCCCUCCCCCUGCAUUUAUAAAAAUGUUUCAAUAAGGCGAGAAUAUUCUUCUAUAUCUGAUAAUUUUGAUCCAAUAAAGCUUGAAGAUUACAAGUAUUACUUGAUUUUUAGGUAGACAUUGCCGCGAAAGCAUAAAGGGGAAAUUCUAUUUAUUUGAUUUGUUAAUACAUUUUGUUCCAAAAGAAAAGGAGACAAAAAGUGUAUGUGUUGAGCUCUUUACGAGUUUCUCUCUUCUCAUUUGUAUCAUAAUUGAUUGAGCAAUUUUGUUUCAAACUUUUUCAACAAUAAAAUUUUUUGGAUAAUUUUUGUUUUGUGUAUAUUUAUGUACAUUUCAUUCUUUAUUCUUACUCAUUGGAGAUUUCAUGAUGAUUUUUGAGAAAUAAGACCCAAUUUGAGAUUUUUCAACCUAUAGCCUGAAUUUCACAAGUGUGUGCUUCCUAAAAUCCUUACACUCGAUUGGUGUUCCAACCUGUACAAUAAGAGUGCUCAGAAAGAAAGAGAGUGAACGGUCACUCAAAAGGCCCUAUGAGAUACCUUUCUCCUUCACUUAAUUCCAAAAUAAAAUCAGUCACAUUGAUUGAUAAAUUGUAAAUUGGGGUAACUUUUGCUUGAAAAUGUUCAAGGCGUCUAAUCUGGUUCAAUCACAUCUAAGUGAAAGCAAAAAUGUGCAUUAUUCUUAUUUGUUUGGAAAAUUUGGAAUGAUACUUCAAGCAUUCGUUUCAUUACCUGUACAGAUUUUUAUCAUUUGCUCUCCCAUUUGAGCUUCUAAAAGAAUAAUUUCGUUUCAAAUAAGGGUCUUAAUGAUCACUACCCGUCAUUGAAAAAUUUUCAAAUAUCAAAAGAAGAAUGGGUUUUCAAUGACCAUUUCGCUACUUCGGUUGUCAUGAGGUAUAAGAAUGAUACUUUGGCCGUCAGUUCUACAAUCUAAACACUGAUCAUCCCUUGCAUCCUCGUUUGAGCUAAAUUGGUGGUUCUUUUCGAGUGCACAUAUGAUCGCACCCCACAUUGGGGAAGGAGAUUGGGAAAUUUUGAAAAAAGGGAAAAGAAAAGGGGAAAAGCAAAAAAUGCUAGAAUAAGGAGGGAACCGCAAAUUUGGGGAAUUUGAUUCCACUUGGGUUCCAAUUUUGAAAAAAAAAAAGAAAAGAAAAAGAAGAAAACAAGUUCUAUCCGGUGGAUCACUUAUGUUUCAUAGACAUGAAUGAGCAAGGGUCUUCCUCAGUCAGUUAAUUCAGAUACAUGCCAAAAAUUUCCCAUUAAUGAAAAUUUCUUUUCAGAGUUAAUGUAAGGAACGGAAUACAAGUCAGGCCAUCUUCUUUUCCGAUCAAGCAUCUAUCCCUAGUUAUCCCUUUUGAGCAUUCAGAAUGAAAUACUUCGUUUGGCAACCCCUGAGAAUCGCAAACCCCACACUGGGGCAAGUUGGUUUGAAAAAGGAAAAUUUCAAGAAGCGGAAAAGUGAAAAGCCACAAAAUCAAAAGGCAAAGGAAGAAAAGAGAACCUCAGUUCAAAAAUAAACUGGGGCAAAUUUUGUGAAAGUUCGAAAAAAUGGCCGAAGGCCGAAAAAUCAAAAGAAAGAAAAUAAAAGUGAAAAAGCCUCAAUUGAGCAAAAACUGGGGCAAAUUCUGAUUUUACCCUAAAAUAGGGUUGACGCAACAAUGCGAUUUCAGAUUCUUCAAACCACUUUUGAAAUCCGCUUUCAAGCCUUAACUUUUCUAAGCACCCCACCUGACCCCAUUACAAAAGCCAAAAGUCCUGACUUCUGUUCUUUGCAAUGGCCCUGUCAAGAAAAUUUCUGAUGCCGGAAAAUUUUAGCUGUAUUGCUGAAUUGCUUGAGUAUGAGGUUGGCGCUACUCAUGUGAAAACCCAUCAGCUCGAGGGAAAAGAAAAGAGGCAAAAAGCAAAGCAAGAAAAGUAAAUGCAAGGAAAAUGCAAAAAGACUUGACGCUGAAGUCCCUGGGGAAUGAUGAGAAAAUCCAAACAAAGUCUGAAAUCUUUUGAGUUCAAAUAGGGGCAAUUUUGGAAAAAUGUGAUCUUCGGUGCAAUGUCCUUGAAAGUUUUAUUCUUUAGCUAUCGUUUUUCAAGCCAAAUUACAAGCUAAGAAAGUCCAUCGUUGACUUAUUCCUUCAUGACAAUCCAAAGUGAGGAUCAUACUCAUAAGAAAUUCAUCAAAUCAUUUGUGAUCAUAAGGGUAUAACCCGUUUCCACAUGUUUAGCUAUCACUUCUGUCCAUACGUUACAAGCCUAGAAAGCUGGUAUGUUGACUAAGUUUUCUUGAAAAAUAAGGGUGACAAACUCUUUGCUUUCACUAAGAUGUGACAUUGAAUGGAUUACAUACAAUUGGGGCACAAAAAUGAGACAGAUUCUGACCUCUCAUUUUCCUUCAGCCACUUCCAAAUCAAAAAUAAAGUCACUUGAUUGGUCCUGAAAAAUGAGCCAACCAGAAGUGGUGACCCGUUACCCUAAACACCAAUGCUAAAAGUGAGGAAGAAAUCUUCUUGAAUUUGGUGUUACUUCGAGGAAUUCAUCAUGAAAUUUCUGCAUGAGUUUCAAACUUGACGUUUAAAGUUUCUUCACAUUGUUGUAUAUGUGCACUCUUUUCUAAAUUUUAGAAAGUGCGGUUUUUCUUUGUUCAAAUCAAUGGGAAAUCAUCUGAACAAAUUUUUGCAAUUAAGGGAGCCCACACUGGGGCAAAAAUUUUAUUUGUGAGAUUUCAUGAAAUAAGCCCAUACUGGGGCAAAUUUUUUGUAAUACAUUUGAGAUUUGUGUCCAAAAAUCAAAUAAUAACAUUUUUCGAAACAAUCCCGCUGCUCUUUUCCUGGAAUUUAAGUGCAUGUCAUACUUUGAUGAACCCCUUGUACAGGUAUUCAUGAUUCAAAAUGACGAAAGGCAUCCAGUAAGGCGGAAGGCCGAUACUGCAAAGAGAAGCAAGAAGAAGGAGGAAAAAUGGACACUACACUUGGGGCAAAUUAUUUUUUUAAAAUUUUUGAAAAAAGGGAAAAAAGAAGGAAAAAAGAAAAAAAGAGAAAAAACCAAAAAUCAAAUCAAAAAGUCAAAAAUCAAGUUCAAAUUCUUGUUUCUUGAAAAAUCAAAUUUGAUUUCUUGUGGGCGAAGCUCCAAUGCACGCCGCGCAUCAUUCUGUUCCCCCCUUCUCUUGACAUUCCAAAUCAAGUUGGGCCUGGAUUUCGUGCCACCAACAUCAUUUUAUCACGUUGGGCCUGGACUUGGUGCCGCCAACAUCACUUUAUCACGUUGGGCCUGGACUUGGUGCCGCCAACAUCACUUUAUCACGUUGGGCCUGGACUUGGUGCCGCCAACAUCACUUUAUCACGUUGGGCCUGGACUUGGUGCCGCCAACUUCACUUUAUCACGUUGGGCCUGGACUUGGUGCCGCCAACAUCACUUUAUCACGUUGGGCUUGGUUUUCGUGCCACCAACUUCGCUUUGUCACGUUGGGCUUGGAUUUAGUGCCACCAACAUUACAAAAGUCACAUUGGACCGGGUUUUAUCCCGCCAAUCUCGGCAGGACCGGGUCUAAUCCCGCUGACCGCUUACAGGACCGGGUCUAAUCCCGCUGACAGGCAGGACCGGGUCUAAUCCCGCUGACCGCUUACUUCGGCAGGACCGGGUCUAAUCCCGCUGACCGCUCACCUCGGCAGGACCGGGUCUAAUCCCGCUGACCGCUCACCUCGGCAGGACCGGGUCUAAUCCCGCUGACCGCUCACCUCGGCAGGACCGGGUUUUAUCCCGCUGACCGUCCACACCCCGUCGGCCUCAGAUGUUAUCCCACCGACCAAUUCAUCACACUGGGGCAAAUUUUUUAGAUAAUUUUUCAAACAAGUCCUAUACAGUUCUCUAUUUAAUUUUCUGUUCGGGUCUAUCCCAUGGGUCUGUCCCAUCUACAUUUUUAUCCGAGUCUAUCGCAUUUACAUUCCUGUCCGGGUCUAUCCCGUUUACAAUUCUGUUCAGGCCAGUCCCAUGUUUGAAAUUCCUUGUUUAGGUCAGCCCUCCGAAUAGGGGCAACCGAAUGGUACAGGUAAGCAUUUGGUGUCUACUUCUUUGUCUCAAGUUUUUUCAAAACUCAGACAAAGAGGGGCAAACUGUAGACACCAAAAAUUUCAUCGAUUCAGUUUUAGCUUUAUUCAUUCAAUUUUGACUUCCUUUGAUUCAAUUUUUAGUUUUAUUAUUAUUAUUUAUUCUUGUCUCAUAUUUAUUAUUUUUAAUUGAUUGGAGGUUGCAAAUGGUAAUUGAUGUUCAUUCUUAUUUUAAAUGCAUUAAAAUUCAUCAUUUUCUUUUUAAAGCAAUUUUACACUAAAUUUUAGGAAAAUCCCGAAUAAAGAUCCAUUUUAUCUUUUUAAAAUUUGAUUUUUUCUUGCUAAGGCAUUUUGCAAGGUAAUUUUUAAAAAUUAAGCAUGUUAAACAAGUGUGUCAAUUGCAUGUUGAACAAGUGUGCAAAUAAGCAUUAGACAAGUGGUUGAGGAAUGGUAGGACAAGUGUAUAGGGGGUAGCUGUCAAGGACACUUGGGGGGUUUUUUGGGGGGCAUCGGAAAAAAAAGGAAGAAAAAACCCUCGAAGAGGCUUGAAAACAGGGGGAAGAGAAAAGAGCUAAAAACAGGGAGGGGGCUUCGGAGGAAAGGGGAGAGGAAAAACGAAAUCGAAAAAGGAGGGGAGAGUAGGGAAAAAUCUGGGGAGAGUCUGUGGGCUAAGAAAAACAGCGGAGAGAUAGCGGAAAAAAAGGAGAAAAAGAACGGCUGAGGGGAAGGCUAAAAAUCUGAAAAGAGAAGAAGGCUUCGGCUGGGAGAAGCUGGAGUGGAAAAAAUAGAAAAAGGGAGAACGGCUGCGGUUGAGGGCCGAGAGAGUGGAGAGCCGAGGAGGAAAAAUCAGAAAAGGAGGAGAAAAAUCAAGGGCGGCGGAUGAAGGGAAAAGCUGGGAAAAUUAGAAACAGAGAAAGAGAGGAUAGCAGCGGACAAAGAGCUUGCGACUGAGGAAGCAGAGCAGCUGGAACUGCCGUUCGCGGGAAGCUGUUGCCGCCCUCUUCCGUCACGCGCGACGCCAGCUUCAUCGCUUCUUCCAUCAUAGUUCAAGCUCCGCCCUCUGCCGGCACAAACAAGUGGCCAACCGCCCGCCCAAGCAACCAAAUCCGAGAUCAGCACCCGCAAAAUUUUACCAAGAAACAAACGGUAAGCCACCAUCAUCCUUCAAAUUUCAGUUUUCAUGUAAGUUUUCGAAGCGUGUUUUAUUUUUCACGUUGUGGCUUGUAGCCAUUUCUCUGUUGAAUUAUUCACUAAUUGGAAGUAUGUAUGCUUUGAAUGUCGAUUGGACUGGAGUUUUCUUGCAUUUGAUGAAAUUUUGGGUGCUGAUUCAUGUCAAUUGGGCGAGAAAUUGGUGAAGUUUUUUAAUGGCUGUUUGUUGUUCGACAGAAUGCUUCAAUGAAAGUUCGGCCUGAAGAAUGGAUUAAUUUCUGAUUUAUAUACGUUCGACUGUUUCAUGCUUGUCAAAAUAAUUGAUUCGAAUGGGUUUGUUUGGGCGUCCGUUUGUUUUGGCAAUCUGCUCCGCUUCUCGUUUGUUUGGUGUUCCUCUUGUAUGGAUUUAAAUUCAUGACAUAAAAUGGCGUGCGAGGGGAUUCAUGUGAGAGUCAUUUGUUUUGCUUUUGUUUUGUUUUGUUGAUUGGAGUCCGAAGUUGAAUUUUCUGGUUGCAAAGAGGAAUGAAAUAGCAGCGAACGUUGAGCCAAUUUGGGAAGAAGAGGAUUGCUUGAUUAAAUUCAUGAUUCCAGUCCCUCAAUUUCCCUUUCCAUUAUGAUUUAACCCCAGAAUUUUAGGACUUCAUAAUUUUUCCUCCAACACCUUCAUAAGUCCUUCAAUUAGGUCCCUGCUCUUGUUGCAUUUUAACCCCUCAGCUUCCCCUUGUUCUGAUAUGACCCGAAAAGUGGAAAAAGUGCGUUUGUUUCUCCCUUCUAGAUUUAAAUCAUCUUCUAAUAAGCAUGAAUAGUCCUUUUACUAGAUUAAUUCUUGUUUGUAGGUUCUAAUUGUGGUUCAAUAAUUUAUUUUGAUUUUAUCAUGUUGGGUUUAAUGAAACAAGUGCCUUGGGCUAAGAGGUUAUUUUUGUUUGGGUUUAAGAAAGUCGUUUUAGUUUAUUUUGUUUGGUUUUUUGGUUCGGGCUAGAGGGUCAAGGCCCAUCUAUUUGGUUGGCUAAUUUUUGGGCCAGGAUAUUAUACUAGCCCACUUGUUUUCCUUGGACUUUCGAUUGGGCCAAGUUAUCUUGGCCCAAGAAAGGUGAAGAUGGCCCAUUCCCUUUUUGUUUUGGAUUUUCGGUUGGGCUUGUAAGGCUUUGGCCCAAACAAAUAAAGGAAAUGGCCCAAUGGCUUGGUCCAUUAAGAAACCAGAAAACGAUUUUGCAAAUCAGUCCCUGAAUUUCUCCCUAAUUGUAUUGUGGCCCUGGACAUUUUCAACUUCUUUCAAUUCGGUCCUUGCUUUAAUUGCAAAUAGGUCCCUGAACUUUAUUUUUCUUUAAUUUUGACCUCCAAACUUUGUCAAUCUUUGCAAUCAGGUCCUUUCUUCUCUUGACUUCUUAAAUGUGAAUUGUCGACAUGAUUUAAUUGAUUCAAAUUCAUGCUUAUUUUUUAUCCUUUGUGAUUAUUUGCCAAAUAAAUUGGUACCUUGACCUUUUUAUUGUUUUGAAGCUAAUAUCUCAUUUACUCGAUUUCCGUUGCGAGGGAGGUAACUUCUAUAUUUUUGAGUUUAUUUUUUCCUACGUGCUCCUACGUGUUAUGUGAAUAUGCCUGUCUACUUUGCUUUCUUUGCCUUUCUUUAAUUCUUUUCAUUUUUUUUUACUUACUUUUGCUUUUUAUUUAAGUUAUUCAUUAUGGGGUAUGUGUACACCUCUUGGCUUGUAAUAGUUAGGGAUUUAAUUAUUUUAUUCUUUUCCCCCUUUUAGAUUGUAGUGGGGUCUCCCUAAUGUAAUAGAUAGGGUUUGGAGGAGCAUUCAAUGAAGACCUAUCGAAGACUUGUGCCUAGCUAGCAAAUGUAAUAGUUAGGGCUUUAAUUGUCUCAUGUGCCUUGCAUGCUUAGUUGCUACGUGUUAAUUUGCUUUGCUAGGGCCUUGCAUCUAGUCGAGCAUGCAAAAUGUUAUGUGCUAUGUGUUUAUAAGUGUUUGGCAUGUCUACUCGCUUUCCAUAGCCUGAAUAAAUGUGAUGGAUGAAUGUACGUCACCACACUAGUCCAAUGCUAGUUGUGGCUCAUUAUUUCAUUAGGAAUUCAUAGAAAGGGCUAGUCCAACGCUAGACCCAAUAGGAUUUUUCCUUUGUUUUUCAUUAAUGCAUUAUUUGCCUGUUCACUACAUAUCAUGCAUUUUUCCUUAGUUUUAUCAUCUGGCAUGCUCCUCGAUUCCCCUUUCCCCUCACUUUAGGAUUUUUGCAUUUCAUGCUAGUUAUAGGGUUCAUUUGCCUGAAGAGUCCCCUUCUGAUAAGGGAAACGAGCGAGUGUGGCUACUCGAUAGCCUUAGCACGCUAGUUUCGCCUUCUAAUCAAAGGGAAGAUUAAGUCACAAAGUUAGGACUCCCCGUUCCCGUCUUGAUGCAUUCCUAUAGGAUUCAUGCAUUCUAUUCAUUCACUAUCACAUACACUUACUUUAUAUUCUAACCCUUUUUCCACAUUCUCACUUCACACUACUUUUACACGUUUUCAUUUAACUACUCACACUCUAUGCCAUAUCACUCGCACACAUGCACUUUAUAUUAUUUUCACAUUAUCAUUCUUUACUCACCUUACCUUGUAAAUACAUUUGCACACCUCCACUUUUCUCACUUCACAUAAACUUACAUUUUCACAUGACAUGCACCCCAUUCAUUUUUACGUCAUUUAGGAUUACGUGUGACCUCUCCAAAGGAUCAUUAUUGGGCUUCACAAUUAAUGUGAUUGGCACCACUCAACCUUUGAAGAGAAAUUUCCCCCAAUACCCCUAGGUCUAGGGUUUUGCAUUCAUAUAGACAUAUCCAACACGCGAUACAUACCUUGGGUAGAAAAAUUAGGAAAAAUUGGUUUAAGUCACGCAACUAGCCUUGGCUAGGUCGAAGGGGUGCCUUGGAUUUUUUAUCCUUGCCUUCCCCUUCGUCAAAUGUGACCCCCGAUCCCUCUUUUUGGUUACGUAGACCCAAAAGUUCUUUAAAAGGGUUUAUUUACUUUUUUUAUUCAAAAACAAAAAACCAUUUUUUGGGUGACUUGGUACACCCUAACCCUAUACCAAGUGGCGACUCCAUUUUUGAUACAAAAAACCCUUUUUGAACUUUAUAUGGCCAAACCGUCGCAUUAUCAAGUCCCAUGGCCUUUUACUUUUCAUUUACACACGUUCACAUUCCAUUACACCACUCACAUCUCACACCACACACACACCACAACUCAUCAUCUUCGAAAAGUGGGGCGCGACAGUUGGCGACUCCACUGGGGAAGCUCCUAAGUGGGUCCGAGCAUUUGACUUAGCCAUUCGUUUCCUUUUUCUACCCUUUUUAUGCAUUGCACUUGGAUAUUAGGGUUGCAUUUUUUUUAUUUUAGGCCUUUUUGCCUCGUGCGCGUAUCCAACUAUUCCCUCACUCACGUACGUGUGAUUGGUUGAUUGGAUGUAUGUUUACUUGUUUAUCUCGCGCUUGCAUUGCAUUUGGGAGGGGGCGUGUCACCUUUAGAGCCUCACGUUGGUUCUCAACCCCUUCCCUCAAAAUAGGGGAGCACUUCAUACGUGCACGUUUACUUGCUUUUAUCCCAUUUUAUUUUGUUUUUCGUGGGCGUUUCCCACACCGCCUUGUAGGAUUAGGAUCGAUUGCCUUGGGUAGGCGGCUGGUGUGCUCUGCGCCCAUAACGCUACCUAAGGGAUCACUCGAGCCACCGAUCAAAGGCCUUGGGAGUGAUGACCCUUUGCCUUUAGGUCUGAAGGCUUGGGAGCCGAAGCUUUAUCGAGUCUAGGCAUUAAUGAACCAAACCUCAUGCAUCCAUGUUAGCAUUUGCCUAGGGUAGAGUCAGCCUCACCCUUUUUAAGCACAAUUAGGCACGAGGGAAGGGGUUCCACCCCUUUUUAUUGGCUUUUAUUGUAUUUCUUUUUCUUAAUUGCUCCCAAUAUGUUAUGUGUAUUACCAAUUGCACUAACCAUUCUUUUGUUUUCUUGGCUUGCAUUCAUAUGCCCUAGCAAUAAGAGGCCCUUUUGGCACUCUUUUAGUGACCUAUCCACUAGAUAACUCACAUGUUUAAAUUUCAGUCAUUAUACUUAAUAAAUACAUUUCAUUUUAGACCUUUUUUCCCCCGAUGCAUUAUUUAUGUCCCUUAGGUCAUAUUUGUCACAUAUUUACAUCGCUUUAAUAAAUGACAUCAUGCAUAAACCCUAGAAAGGGAAUGCCAUUUAGGGGAUCCCGUGUCAGGAAUAAGCCACCUUGUGUCUCGGAUACUUAAUCCAGUGAGACUUGCACGUUUACAUUUUGUACCAUCCAAAGGGGGUAGUGCACAAAGUAAGGUAGGAUCCGAUCAUUUUCAUAGAGUGAUCUUUGGGAUAUGAGCAUCUAAUAAUCACUUUUUGGCCAUUUUAUCAAAAAUUGGUAAAAAUUCCUUGCGUGAAGGACAGUAAUUUGAAGAAAUUCACAAAUGAUUCCUUCUAUUGAGACGAUAAAUAAAUUGAGGCCAAAAUUUGAUUUUUAGAAGCUCAUAGACUAAUGCAUCUCAAUCAUUUUGAAAUCACCAAUGGCCGGACAAUUCAACCAAUCCAUUUUACCCAUUCAUUCAAUAAAUCAUCAAUUCAUUUGAUCAAUUUACCCUUUUUAGGGUCAUCCGGUCGAUUUUGAAUAAAUCGUCAAUUCAUUUGACCAAUUUACCCUUUUUAGGGUCACCUGGUCGAUUUUCAAUAAAUCAUCAAUUCAUUUGAUCAAUUUACCCUUUUUAGGGUCACCUGGUCGAUUUUGAAUAAAUCGUCAAUUCAUUUGACCAAUUUACCCUUUUUAGGGUCAUCCGGUCGAUUUUGAAUAAAUCAUCAAUUCAUUUGACCGAUUUACCCUUUUUAGGAUCGUUCGGCCGAUUUUUGAACAAGUCACUAAUUCAAUUUCAUUCAUUUGGCCAAUUUACCUUUUUUUAGGGCAACCGAGCCGUUUUUUGACCUGUUUCCCUUCUAGGGUAAUCCGGUCGAUUUUCAAUAAAUUGUCAAUUUCAUUUGACCAAUUAGGAUUUCAAUGUCGAAUUCCAAAUUGGGAAAUCUAGUCAAUUUUGAAGAAAACCGUCCAUUGCAUCCAAUCACUUGAUCAAUUAGGGUUUUUGACCCGUAAUUCACUGAGAAAUUUUAUCAACGAAUUCCAAUCUCUUCGAUAGGAGUUCGUCAAGGUCAAACCCAUGCGUUUUGCAAAUCAAAGGUGAUCAAUCUAUUCGGACGUUGUCCUCAUUUUGACAAAUCUCUUGCCACUCCAAUGGCCAAAUUUUUCAAAUUAUUUUUCACUCAAUGAGUUGAUCAGAUCCGUCAGGUAUGGUAUAGUGCUUCCCUAGAGGAUUGCAUUUUCAUGCUAGGCCUACCCUUGGCAUAAAAAGGGUUCCCCCAUAGGACAUGCAUACCGAUUUUUUUUUAUUCUUACUUACUGACUCUGGGUAUUUUUCUUUUUGUUUUCCCCUCCCCCUGCAUUUAUAAAAAUGUUUCAAUAAGGCGAGAAUAUUCUUCUAUAUCUGAUAAUUUUGAUCCAAUAAAGCUUGAAGAUUACAAGUAUUACUUGAUUUUUAGGUAGACAUUGCCGCGAAAGCAUAAAGGGGAAAUUCUAUUUAUUUGAUUUGUUAAUACAUUUUGUUCCAAAAGAAAAGGAGACAAAAAGUGUAUGUGUUGAGCUCUUUACGAGUUUCUCUCUUCUCAUUUGUAUCAUAAUUGAUUGAGCAAUUUUGUUUCAAACUUUUUCAACAAUAAAAUUUUUUGGAUAAUUUUUGUUUUGUGUAUAUUUAUGUACAUUUCAUUCUUUAUUCUUACUCAUUGGAGAUUUCAUGAUGAUUUUUGAGAAAUAAGACCCAAUUUGAGAUUUUUCAACCUAUAGCCUGAAUUUCACAAGUGUGUGCUUCCUAAAAUCCUUACACUCGAUUGGUGUUCCAACCUGUACAAUAAGAGUGCUCAGAAAGAAAGAGAGUGAACGGUCACUCAAAAGGCCCUAUGAGAUACCUUUCUCCUUCACUUAAUUCCAAAAUAAAAUCAGUCACAUUGAUUGAUAAAUUGUAAAUUGGGGUAACUUUUGCUUGAAAAUGUUCAAGGCGUCUAAUCUGGUUCAAUCACAUCUAAGUGAAAGCAAAAAUGUGCAUUAUUCUUAUUUGUUUGGAAAAUUUGGAAUGAUACUUCAAGCAUUCGUUUCAUUACCUGUACAGAUUUUUAUCAUUUGCUCUCCCAUUUGAGCUUCUAAAAGAAUAAUUUCGUUUCAAAUAAGGGUCUUAAUGAUCACUACCCGUCAUUGAAAAAUUUUCAAAUAUCAAAAGAAGAAUGGGUUUUCAAUGACCAUUUCGCUACUUCGGUUGUCAUGAGGUAUAAGAAUGAUACUUUGGCCGUCAGUUCUACAAUCUAAACACUGAUCAUCCCUUGCAUCCUCGUUUGAGCUAAAUUGGUGGUUCUUUUCGAGUGCACAUAUGAUCGCACCCCACAUUGGGGAAGGAGAUUGGGAAAUUUUGAAAAAAGGGAAAAGAAAAGGGGAAAAGCAAAAAAUGCUAGAAUAAGGAGGGAACCGCAAAUUUGGGGAAUUUGAUUCCACUUGGGUUCCAAUUUUGAAAAAAAAAAAGAAAAGAAAAAGAAGAAAACAAGUUCUAUCCGGUGGAUCACUUAUGUUUCAUAGACAUGAAUGAGCAAGGGUCUUCCUCAGUCAGUUAAUUCAGAUACAUGCCAAAAAUUUCCCAUUAAUGAAAAUUUCUUUUCAGAGUUAAUGUAAGGAACGGAAUACAAGUCAGGCCAUCUUCUUUUCCGAUCAAGCAUCUAUCCCUAGUUAUCCCUUUUGAGCAUUCAGAAUGAAAUACUUCGUUUGGCAACCCCUGAGAAUCGCAAACCCCACACUGGGGCAAGUUGGUUUGAAAAAGGAAAAUUUCAAGAAGCGGAAAAGUGAAAAGCCACAAAAUCAAAAGGCAAAGGAAGAAAAGAGAACCUCAGUUCAAAAAUAAACUGGGGCAAAUUUUGUGAAAGUUCGAAAAAAUGGCCGAAGGCCGAAAAAUCAAAAGAAAGAAAAUAAAAGUGAAAAAGCCUCAAUUGAGCAAAAACUGGGGCAAAUUCUGAUUUUACCCUAAAAUAGGGUUGACGCAACAAUGCGAUUUCAGAUUCUUCAAACCACUUUUGAAAUCCGCUUUCAAGCCUUAACUUUUCUAAGCACCCCACCUGACCCCAUUACAAAAGCCAAAAGUCCUGACUUCUGUUCUUUGCAAUGGCCCUGUCAAGAAAAUUUCUGAUGCCGGAAAAUUUUAGCUGUAUUGCUGAAUUGCUUGAGUAUGAGGUUGGCGCUACUCAUGUGAAAACCCAUCAGCUCGAGGGAAAAGAAAAGAGGCAAAAAGCAAAGCAAGAAAAGUAAAUGCAAGGAAAAUGCAAAAAGACUUGACGCUGAAGUCCCUGGGGAAUGAUGAGAAAAUCCAAACAAAGUCUGAAAUCUUUUGAGUUCAAAUAGGGGCAAUUUUGGAAAAAUGUGAUCUUCGGUGCAAUGUCCUUGAAAGUUUUAUUCUUUAGCUAUCGUUUUUCAAGCCAAAUUACAAGCUAAGAAAGUCCAUCGUUGACUUAUUCCUUCAUGACAAUCCAAAGUGAGGAUCAUACUCAUAAGAAAUUCAUCAAAUCAUUUGUGAUCAUAAGGGUAUAACCCGUUUCCACAUGUUUAGCUAUCACUUCUGUCCAUACGUUACAAGCCUAGAAAGCUGGUAUGUUGACUAAGUUUUCUUGAAAAAUAAGGGUGACAAACUCUUUGCUUUCACUAAGAUGUGACAUUGAAUGGAUUACAUACAAUUGGGGCACAAAAAUGAGACAGAUUCUGACCUCUCAUUUUCCUUCAGCCACUUCCAAAUCAAAAAUAAAGUCACUUGAUUGGUCCUGAAAAAUGAGCCAACCAGAAGUGGUGACCCGUUACCCUAAACACCAAUGCUAAAAGUGAGGAAGAAAUCUUCUUGAAUUUGGUGUUACUUCGAGGAAUUCAUCAUGAAAUUUCUGCAUGAGUUUCAAACUUGACGUUUAAAGUUUCUUCACAUUGUUGUAUAUGUGCACUCUUUUCUAAAUUUUAGAAAGUGCGGUUUUUCUUUGUUCAAAUCAAUGGGAAAUCAUCUGAACAAAUUUUUGCAAUUAAGGGAGCCCACACUGGGGCAAAAAUUUUAUUUGUGAGAUUUCAUGAAAUAAGCCCAUACUGGGGCAAAUUUUUUGUAAUACAUUUGAGAUUUGUGUCCAAAAAUCAAAUAAUAACAUUUUUCGAAACAAUCCCGCUGCUCUUUUCCUGGAAUUUAAGUGCAUGUCAUACUUUGAUGAACCCCUUGUACAGGUAUUCAUGAUUCAAAAUGACGAAAGGCAUCCAGUAAGGCGGAAGGCCGAUACUGCAAAGAGAAGCAAGAAGAAGGAGGAAAAAUGGACACUACACUUGGGGCAAAUUAUUUUUUUAAAAUUUUUGAAAAAAGGGAAAAAAGAAGGAAAAAAGAAAAAAAGAGAAAAAACCAAAAAUCAAAUCAAAAAGUCAAAAAUCAAGUUCAAAUUCUUGUUUCUUGAAAAAUCAAAUUUGAUUUCUUGUGGGCGAAGCUCCAAUGCACGCCGCGCAUCAUUCUGUUCCCCCCUUCUCUUGACAUUCCAAAUCAAGUUGGGCCUGGAUUUCGUGCCACCAACAUCAUUUUAUCACGUUGGGCCUGGACUUGGUGCCGCCAACAUCACUUUAUCACGUUGGGCCUGGACUUGGUGCCGCCAACAUCACUUUAUCACGUUGGGCCUGGACUUGGUGCCGCCAACUUCACUUUAUCACGUUGGGCCUGGAUUUGGUGCCGCCAACAUCACUUUAUCACGUUGGGCCUGGACUUGGUGCCGCCAACUUCACUUUAUCACGUUGGGCCUGGACUUGGUGCCGCCAACAUCACUUUAUCACGUUGGGCUUGGUUUUCGUGCCACCAACUUCGCUUUGUCACGUUGGGCUUGGAUUUAGUGCCACCAACAUUACAAAAGUCACAUUGGGACCGGGUUUUAUCCCGCCAAUCUCGGCAGGACCGGGUCUAAUCCCGCUGACCGCUUACUUCGGCAGGACCGGGUCUAAUCCCGCUGACCGCUUACUUCGGCAGGACCGGGUCUAAUCCCGCUGACCGCUCACCUCGGCAGGACCGGGUCUAAUCCCGCUGACCGCUUACUUCGGCAGGACCGGGUCUAAUCCCGCUGACCGCUCACCUCGGCAGGACCGGGUUUUAUCCCGCUGACCGUCCACACCCCGUCGGCCUCAGAUGUUAUCCCACCGACCAAUUCAUCACACUGGGGCAAAUUUUUUAGAUAAUUUUUCAAACAAGUCCUAUACAGUUCUCUAUUUAAUUUUCUGUUCGGGUCUAUCCCAUGGGUCUGUCCCAUCUACAUUUUUAUCCGAGUCUAUCGCAUUUACAUUCCUGUCCGGGUCUAUCCCGUUUACAAUUCUGUUCAGGCCAGUCCCAUGUUUGAAAUUCCUUGUUUAGGUCAGCCCUCCGAAUAGGGGCAACCGAAUGGUACAGGUAAGCAUUUGGUGUCUACUUCUUUGUCUCAAGUUUUUUCAAAACUCAGACAAAGAGGGGCAAACUGUAGACACCAAAAAUUUCAUCGAUUCAGUUUUAGCUUUAUUCAUUCAAUUUUGACUUCCUUUGAUUCAAUUUUUAGUUUUAUUAUUAUUAUUUAUUCUUGUCUCAUAUUUAUUAUUUUUAAUUGAUUGGAGGUUGCAAAUGGUAAUUGAUGUUCAUUCUUAUUUUAAAUGCAUUAAAAUUCAUCAUUUUCUUUUUAAAGCAAUUUUACACUAAAUUUUAGGAAAAUCCCGAAUAAAGAUCCAUUUUAUCUUUUUAAAAUUUGAUUUUUUCUUGCUAAGGCAUUUUGCAAGGUAAUUUUUAAAAAUUAAGCAUGUUAAACAAGUGUGUCAAUUGCAUGUUGAACAAGUGUGCAAAUAAGCAUUAGACAAGUGGUUGAGGAAUGGUAGGACAAGUGUAUAGGGGGUAGCUGUCAAGGACACUUGGGGGGUUUUUUGGGGGGCAUCGGAAAAAAAAGGAAGAAAAAACCCUCGAAGAGGCUUGAAAACAGGGGGAAGAGAAAAGAGCUAAAAACAGGGAGGGGGCUUCGGAGGAAAGGGGAGAGGAAAAACGAAAUCGAAAAAGGAGGGGAGAGUAGGGAAAAAUCUGGGGAGAGUCUGUGGGCUAAGAAAAACAGCGGAGAGAUAGCGGAAAAAAAGGAGAAAAAGAACGGCUGAGGGGAAGGCUAAAAAUCUGAAAAGAGAAGAAGGCUUCGGCUGGGAGAAGCUGGAGUGGAAAAAAUAGAAAAAGGGAGAACGGCUGCGGUUGAGGGCCGAGAGAGUGGAGAGCCGAGGAGGAAAAAUCAGAAAAGGAGGAGAAAAAUCAAGGGCGGCGGAUGAAGGGAAAAGCUGGGAAAAUUAGAAACAGAGAAAGAGAGGAUAGCAGCGGACAAAGAGCUUGCGACUGAGGAAGCAGAGCAGCUGGAACUGCCGUUCGCGGGAAGCUGUUGCCGCCCUCUUCCGUCACGCGCGACGCCAGCUUCAUCGCUUCUUCCAUCAUAGUUCAAGCUCCGCCCUCUGCCGGCACAAACAAGUGGCCAACCGCCCGCCCAAGCAACCAAAUCCGAGAUCAGCACCCGCAAAAUUUUACCAAGAAACAAACGGUAAGCCACCAUCAUCCUUCAAAUUUCAGUUUUCAUGUAAGUUUUCGAAGCGUGUUUUAUUUUUCACGUUGUGGCUUGUAGCCAUUUCUCUGUUGAAUUAUUCACUAAUUGGAAGUAUGUAUGCUUUGAAUGUCGAUUGGACUGGAGUUUUCUUGCAUUUGAUGAAAUUUUGGGUGCUGAUUCAUGUCAAUUGAGCGAGAAAUUGGUGAAGUUUUUUAAUGGCUGUUUGUUGUUCGACAGAAUGCUUCAAUGAAAGUUCGGCCUGAAGAAUGGAUUAAUUUCUGAUUUAUAUACGUUCGACUGUUUCAUGCUUGUCAAAAUAAUUGAUUCGAAUGGGUUUGUUUGGGCGUCCGUUUGUUUUGGCAAUCUGCUCCGCUUCUCGUUUGUUUGGUGUUCCUCUUGUAUGGAUUUAAAUUCAUGACAUAAAAUGGCGUGCGAGGGGAUUCAUGUGAGAGUCAUUUGUUUUGCUUUUGUUUUGUUUUGUUGAUUGGAGUCCGAAGUUGAAUUUUCUGGUUGCAAAGAGGAAUGAAAUAGCAGCGAACGUUGAGCCAAUUUGGGAAGAAGAGGAUUGCUUGAUUAAAUUCAUGAUUCCAGUCCCUCAAUUUCCCUUUCCAUUAUGAUUUAACCCCAGAAUUUUAGGACUUCAUAAUUUUUCCUCCAACACCUUCAUAAGUCCUUCAAUUAGGUCCCUGCUCUUGUUGCAUUUUAACCCCUCAGCUUCCCCUUGUUCUGAUAUGACCCGAAAAGUGGAAAAAGUGCGUUUGUUUCUCCCUUCUAGAUUUAAAUCAUCUUCUAAUAAGCAUGAAUAGUCCUUUUACUAGAUUAAUUCUUGUUUGUAGGUUCUAAUUGUGGUUCAAUAAUUUAUUUUGAUUUUAUCAUGUUGGGUUUAAUGAAACAAGUGCCUUGGGCUAAGAGGUUAUUUUUGUUUGGGUUUAAGAAAGUCGUUUUAGUUUAUUUUGUUUGGUUUUUUGGUUCGGGCUAGAGGGUCAAGGCCCAUCUAUUUGGUUGGCUAAUUUUUGGGCCAGGAUAUUAUACUAGCCCACUUGUUUUCCUUGGACUUUCGAUUGGGCCAAGUUAUCUUGGCCCAAGAAAGGUGAAGAUGGCCCAUUCCCUUUUUGUUUUGGAUUUUCGGUUGGGCUUGUAAGGCUUUGGCCCAAACAAAUAAAGGAAAUGGCCCAAUGGCUUGGUCCAUUAAGAAACCAGAAAACGAUUUUGCAAAUCAGUCCCUGAAUUUCUCCCUAAUUGUAUUGUGGCCCUGGACAUUUUCAACUUCUUUCAAUUCGGUCCUUGCUUUAAUUGCAAAUAGGUCCCUGAACUUUAUUUUUCUUUAAUUUUGACCUCCAAACUUUGUCAAUCUUUGCAAUCAGGUCCUUUCUUCUCUUGACUUCUUAAAUGUGAAUUGUCGACAUGAUUUAAUUGAUUCAAAUUCAUGCUUAUUUUUUAUCCUUUGUGAUUAUUUGCCAAAUAAAUUGGUACCUUGACCUUUUUAUUGUUUUGAAGCUAAUAUCUCAUUUACUCGAUUUCCGUUGCGAGGGAGGUAACUUCUAUAUUUUUGAGUUUAUUUUUUCCUACGUGCUCCUACGUGUUAUGUGAAUAUGCCUGUCUACUUUGCUUUCUUUGCCUUUCUUUAAUUCUUUUCAUUUUUUUUUACUUACUUUUGCUUUUUAUUUAAGUUAUUCAUUAUGGGGUAUGUGUACACCUCUUGGCUUGUAAUAGUUAGGGAUUUAAUUAUUUUAUUCUUUUCCCCCUUUUAGAUUGUAGUGGGGUCUCCCUAAUGUAAUAGAUAGGGUUUGGAGGAGCAUUCAAUGAAGACCUAUCGAAGACUUGUGCCUAGCUAGCAAAUGUAAUAGUUAGGGCUUUAAUUGUCUCAUGUGCCUUGCAUGCUUAGUUGCUACGUGUUAAUUUGCUUUGCUAGGGCCUUGCAUCUAGUCGAGCAUGCAAAAUGUUAUGUGCUAUGUGUUUAUAAGUGUUUGGCAUGUCUACUCGCUUUCCAUAGCCUGAAUAAAUGUGAUGGAUGAAUGUACGUCACCACACUAGUCCAAUGCUAGUUGUGGCUCAUUAUUUCAUUAGGAAUUCAUAGAAAGGGCUAGUCCAACGCUAGACCCAAUAGGAUUUUUCCUUUGUUUUUCAUUAAUGCAUUAUUUGCCUGUUCACUACAUAUCAUGCAUUUUUCCUUAGUUUUAUCAUCUGGCAUGCUCCUCGAUUCCCCUUUCCCCUCACUUUAGGAUUUUUGCAUUUCAUGCUAGUUAUAGGGUUCAUUUGCCUGAAGAGUCCCCUUCUGAUAAGGGAAACGAGCGAGUGUGGCUACUCGAUAGCCUUAGCACGCUAGUUUCGCCUUCUAAUCAAAGGGAAGAUUAAGUCACAAAGUUAGGACUCCCCGUUCCCGUCUUGAUGCAUUCCUAUAGGAUUCAUGCAUUCUAUUCAUUCACUAUCACAUACACUUACUUUAUAUUCUAACCCUUUUUCCACAUUCUCACUUCACACUACUUUUACACGUUUUCAUUUAACUACUCACACUCUAUGCCAUAUCACUCGCACACAUGCACUUUAUAUUAUUUUCACAUUAUCAUUCUUUACUCACCUUACCUUGUAAAUACAUUUGCACACCUCCACUUUUCUCACUUCACAUAAACUUACAUUUUCACAUGACAUGCACCCCAUUCAUUUUUACGUCAUUUAGGAUUACGUGUGACCUCUCCAAAGGAUCAUUAUUGGGCUUCACAAUUAAUGUGAUUGGCACCACUCAACCUUUGAAGAGAAAUUUCCCCCAAUACCCCUAGGUCUAGGGUUUUGCAUUCAUAUAGACAUAUCCAACACGCGAUACAUACCUUGGGUAGAAAAAUUAGGAAAAAUUGGUUUAAGUCACGCAACUAGCCUUGGCUAGGUCGAAGGGGUGCCUUGGAUUUUUUAUCCUUGCCUUCCCCUUCGUCAAAUGUGACCCCCGAUCCCUCUUUUUGGUUACGUAGACCCAAAAGUUCUUUAAAAGGGUUUAUUUACUUUUUUUAUUCAAAAACAAAAAACCAUUUUUUGGGUGACUUGGUACACCCUAACCCUAUACCAAGUGGCGACUCCAUUUUUGAUACAAAAAACCCUUUUUGAACUUUAUAUGGCCAAACCGUCGCAUUAUCAAGUCCCAUGGCCUUUUACUUUUCAUUUACACACGUUCACAUUCCAUUACACCACUCACAUCUCACACCACACACACACCACAACUCAUCAUCUUCGAAAAGUGGGGCGCGACAGUGCAAAAAUAAUUAUUUUCUCUGAUCAUGCAGCCUUGAGGUACUUGUUAGUGAAGAAGGAUGCAAAACCAAGGCUCAUAAGGUGGGUUUUACUUCUGUAAGAGUUCAAUUUAGAGAUUAAGGAUAAGAGUGGGGCCGAGAACUUGAUGGCUGAUUAUUUGAGGCGUUUUCUUACGAAUAAGGAAGAUCUGUCAUUGAGAGAAUUGUUUUUCGAGGAGCAGUUACUAGCCAUUAAUUCGUCAGUACCUUGGUAUACUGAUGUUGUCAAUUUUUUGGUAACAAAUCAAUUACCUGCAGAUUGACCAAAGGCUAAGAGAGAUAAAUUGAGAAGUGAUGCCAAAUACUAUAUUUGGGAUGGCCCUUACCUGUGGAGGCAAUGCUCGGAUCAAGUGAUAAGAAGGUGUGUAAGUGCAGGUGAGUUCCAUUCUAUUUUAACUUUUUGUCAUUCAUUUGUACGUGGAGGGCACUUUAGACCAAAGCGAACAGCUCGUAAGGUGUUGGAGAGUGGUUUUUAUUGGCUUACUCUGUUUAAGGAUGCAUAUUUAUUUUGUAAAUCUUGUGAUAGGUGUCAAAGGGUGGGGAAUAUUUUUCGUAGAGACCAAAUGAUUCAAACUCGCAUGUUGUUUGUUGAAAUUUUUUAUGUCUGUGGUAUAGAUUUCAUGGGUCCCUUUCCCUCGUCUUUUGGUUUCUUAUACAUUUUACUUUGCUGUCGAUUAUAUUUCUAAAUGGAUGGAGGCAAAGGUCACCCGGACUAAUGAUUCGAGAGUGGUUGCAGAAUUUAUAAAGUCUAACAUUUUUUGUCCGCUUUGGAAUGCCUAGAGCUGUAGUUAGUGACAGGAGCACUCAUUUUUGCAAUAAAACGAUCGUUGCCUUGUUCCGUAAAUAUGGCGUACUCCACCAAAUAUCCACACCCUAUCAUCCGCAGACGAAUGGUUAGGCCGAAGUGUCGAAUAGGGAGAUUAAGUCAAUUUUGGAGAAGAUGGGGUGGCCUGAUAGAAAGGAUUGGAACUUGAAGUUGGAAGAUGCUCUAUGGGCUUACCGCACCGUGUAUAAAAUACCAAUUGGAACGUCCCCAUACAGAUUAGUCUUCGGGAAGCCGUGCCACCUCCCAAUAGAAUUUGAACACAAGAAAUUUUGGGCAAUUGAGCGGUGCAACAUGGACCUUGUGGAUGCCGGGGGACAUAGAAAGCUCCAAUUACAAGAGUUGGAAGAAUUAAGGAAUGAAGUCUAUGAGAACGCAACAAUUUAUAAAGAGAAGAGCAAAGUCUUUCACGACUAACAAGUCUCAAGGAAGUCAUUUGUAGUAAGGCAAAACGUCCCCCUAUAUCACUCGAGAUUUAAGUUUUUUUCCGGUAAGUUGCGUUCGCGUUGGAUUGGUUCAUUUGUCAUUUCUAAUAUUUUUCAUUAUGGUGCAGUGGAAAUCCAAAGUUUGAAAAUUGAGAAGAAGUUUGUGGUAUAUGGUCAACAUUUUAAACCCUAUUAUGAGAGGUUUAAUAGUGAGCAAGUGGAUGUCAUAUAUGUUGAUGAUCCAAAUUGUGUGGCUUAACUAGCUAUUACUGUGUCUAGCCAAAAACAUUAAAGAAAGACGCUACUUGGAAGGCAAUCCAAGGAUUUCAAUUGUGUUUUAUUUCAUAUUUGUGUAUUCAAGAUCAGUGGAUUUAGGUUCCUAUUGACAAACAAUCUGUAUUGUACGUCAUGGGUGUUUCUGUGCAGUUUUAUUCUAGGUUGGGGGCACAAAUUUGUGGGCAAGAGACUUCAUGUUACAAGGCGUGCUCGCGCCUUGUAUUCACCGCACAUGGACAUUUGUAAAAUUUGGUGAACAGAGGACUUACACCCCCAAGGCAUGCCCACGCCGCACAGCAGAUCGUGUCGAACAUAUUACAAUGGGAUGGGCAGACAGAGUCAAACGUGACCAGGACCUUCUCUAACCCCACUUUUCUACUUUUCUCUUUUCUUGUCUUGACUGGUCUUUUCAUUUUUUUUUGUCUUAGCCUCCCCUAGUUUUCUCCCAUCUUUGCUGAAAUCUCAGAGGCCACCGCCACUGCACACCUGCUCCGUUGAUGCCGCUGUCUCCACUAUCUGCGGUCAAGCUCCGGCCGCCAUCAUGCACGCUGUCCGGGCGCACAUCGGCAUCGCCAUAUGCGCCUCGCCGACGCUGCUCAUGCACGUCUCAUGCCGCACGCCAACGCCUCCGUACUUCCCUUCCUCGCCGUAGCGCGCCACCACCGUAGGCGCCAUCAGCUCUACCUAGGGCGCCACACCAAUCAUCGACCGCUCGCGCCCCGCGAUAUCUCACUGUUCCCCGCCGUCGCGACUGCUGCCCUCCGCCAUCGUCGUCAUUGAGGCUCCACUUCUUCCUCUCUGUGCACCACCAACGCUUGCUCCUUCCACGCCACCGCGCCGACCGCCGACUCACCCCUGACGCCCUUGCAGUCGUACCGACCGUCGCUUCCACCGGGGUCCCCUCCAGCAUGACAAAGUGGUACCCCUAAUUCAUUUCUUGCCAUUACUGCUUAAAAUCUGAAAUUGUUUCUAUGCGAUAUUACUCUAUUGUUUGAGCUGAGCUUGCUGAACCUCUGAGACUUUCAUAUGUGUUCUUUGCUUCGCGGUUGAAUUGCUGUGAUUGGUUGUUGGUGUUGGUGUAGAAUUGUUGUGGGGUGCUGAGGUUGUUGUUGUUUAUUUUGCUUUCGAAUUGGUUGUCGAGGGUUUGAUAGGUGAAGCACGUGGCGCAGUAUCAAUUCUGGUUUAAUGUUGAGUGCAUUGUUGACCAGUUAUUUUAGGAAUCUGUUUGUCUUUUUGCCUUGUUGUUGUGGUGGUGGGGUAAUUAUAUUUUUCUUUGCUAUUGGACUGUUGACUGUUGAGUGACACCUAUUGACUGUGGUCCCCUGUCCCCAUUUGGUGGUUGCUUCACUGUUUCUGUGCUUAUUCGUAUUUGUCCUGUGGCCUCCAAAUGCCUUCGAAAAAGCGCGUGUUCAGACACCCACUUCAUCUGGUCCAUCUAAGUCCCAACCUCGUAAGAGGCGAGCCCAAUUCAACCCCCCACUCGAUCCCGUUUAGGUCUCUCUAAAAGUACUAUAUCUCCUGGGACAUGGGGGGAACCUACCACUAACCUUACACAGGAACAAAAGGACCGAUUGACUAGCUUGAUGCCACGUCCUUUUGCUCCGUGUAAAUGUUUCCAUGCCCCAACCCUGGAUCAUUUGCAAAUUGCACGAGAAGUUGAACAGUUGUUCUCAGCAAUUGGUUGGCAGUGGUAUCUGGUCAUCGACUAUCCUACAUUUGAGGAGCUAUGUUAUGAAUUCUACUCCACUUUUGAGUUCAAUAAAAAUGAAUUCAUCACUUUGGAUGAGCGGGGGUGAUUACAUUUAGAUUAAGGGGUACCCCACAAGAUUUGUCCAUUAAUGACUUUAAUCUGAUUUUGGGGUUUUUCAGUGAAGAGACCCUUUCCUCCGGGACGUAUAUCAACAGUGCGUGUGAUUAUACCAGACCCUUUGCUAGUGAAUAUAUUGACAUAUGGAGGGAGUAGUUCACGGACCCUCAACUCUAUGAUCCGAGUCAGUCCAAGGCCUCUCAUCUUAAGAAUCCGAUCUUGAAGGUUAUCCACAGGUUCUUGGCCUACAAUUUCUCGGGUCAGAAGAACUCUUCCGGCACCCUUGCCAAGGUUGAAUUCUAUUUUCUUUGGUGUAUGCGCAACAAAGUACAUGUCGACUUUGGGUGUUGGGUGACCACUCAAAUGCAAUCCGUCAUUCAAAAGCGACAUAAGUAGGUGAUUAUGGAUUCGCUCAUUACUCACUUGGCCGUUCGGUUGGGAUUGCUUGACCUCGACAAAGAACACAAGUUCGCUCUAACUUGCGAGAUUGAGCCAUUGGAUUUGCGUAGCUUAGAAAGGAUGGGGGUUAUUUUCAAAGUAGGAGAUGUAUAUCAGAUGACGCUUCCUGGCGAUGGCAGGCUACAACCCCGGGUUCCUCCUACUAUUCCCCCUACUGGUUCACCAACCCGCACAGAUCAAGUGGGUCCGUCCUCCUACCAUGCUCCCCCUGCUUGGGAUUUCCAAUACCGUGCCCUCCAAGAUUCUAUUCGUGAACUAGGCGAGCUAGUUGUGGGACUGGAUGGCCGUCUUGCAGCGUUGCAAGUUUUUUCCCGUAUUCAGACAAAGAAUCAGGCAGCUUUCUUUGCUUAGAUUGGAUUCUAGCUGCCUCAUCCUCCUCCCCCUUAGUGUUUCGCUGCGUCGUCUCGGCUGUCAGGGAAGUUUCACCCCUUUACACUUACACACUAUUUAUUUUUGCUACAUUGAAGACAAUGUCGAUUUUAGGUGUGGGAGGGAUGGUUUCUAUUAUUUCUUUUUUGCUUGAAAAGAGAAAAAAAAGAAAUAAAAAAAAGAAAAAGAAAGAGAGGAAAAAAUGAAACAAAAAAAAAAGUAUAGUUAGUUGACUUCUUUAGUUCUAUAUUUGUUAAUUGCUAGAGCAUGUUGCUAUGAUGGAUUGCACAAUCAAGGUGCACGUGUAUGUAUCAUUUAUGCUAACUAUGUACUCUACUUUUCCUAGCCAAUGUAGCUGAGUGAUGAAUAUGCUGGACUUGACCCAUUCUUGAAACUUUUGGGAGUUUUUGAGCAGUGCACGAGCACAUUACUCUCGUUUGCUUCGUUUGUGUUGUUGAGUGGGUAUCACACAUGGUAUUAACAUUCUAGAACUUGCUAUUUUAUACAUGUCAAAGCCACAUCUUGUUGAACUGGAUGCAUUUGAAAUGAUAAAGGCAUUUAGGAUUUAACUUUCUUUAAUUUUCUACAAACCAUACCUUCAUCUUGUCUCCCAAUAGUGAAUCAAUUUGAGCUUUUAUUCUUCUCCUUUGUUUGUUAGCCGUGUUUGAUAACCCAGGACUUUUUUUUUUGACUUUCUUGUCCAACCUUGUGUCGUUAAGAGAUGUCUGAAUUUCAUUGUUUGUGCAAGGCAAAUAAAUUUAGGGUCGCAAGUGUUGUUAGAAUAGAAGUUGUAUGGUGUUGGUUCUGUGCAUCUGAGAUCGAAAAGAAAAAGAAAAAAAAGACGAGAAAAAGAGAAAAAAGAAGGAAAAAAAUGUCUACAAACUGGUGAGCAUGGGAUUCUGCUUACAGGGCGUGCCAUGCCUUGCAAGACGCCCUUUCAAAAAAAAACAGAAAGAGAGAGAAAAGAGUUUCGACACUUGCGCAGUUGGUAUAGCAAAUGGAAAUGCCUUGCUUGUGGAAGUUCUCCAGUAAAGCGUUGAGGUUAUGUAGUGGAUAUCGGACAUUAUCUUGACACAGUGCACCCUAUCUUUACCUUCUUAUCCCGCUUUGUUGGCCUAAUCAGCAACAUCCCUCAGAUUCCGGCUCGAAGGGACUAACCGCCCAACUCGUGGCACCCAGGGGUGCAGCCCCUCAUGCUGGCCAAGCGUGGUACGAUGCUUUUCGCUGCUAUUGUGGUUAAGGAAAUAAAGUUACAUCUUCACUAACAGCUAUAGCUUUUGGUGCAAUGGUAAGCGCUUGAUCCUGACAAGUGGUAUCGGAGCGAGGUCGCAGGUUCGAGUCUCCCUGGUUAUUGUUGGGGGAGGAAAUGUUGGCCUAAUCAGCAACAUUCCUCAGAUCCCGGCUCGAAGGGACAGCCCGUGGCACCCAGGGAUACAGUCCCUCAUGCUGGCCGAGCGUGGUACGGUGCUUUGCGCUGCCAUUGUGGUUAAGGAAAUAAAGUUGCGCUUUCACUAAUAGCUAUAACUUUUGGUGCAAUGGUAAGCGCUUGAUCCUGACACGCUUUUCAUCCAAGCCCCAUUACAACCCUAUUAAAGUCCCUUUGAUUUAUGUAUUGAGUUCAUUUUUGAAUGGUAGAGAUGUGAUAAAUGUGCAAGCCUAUGGUAAUGUCAUUCCGUGGUGUUGAUUUGAGCGUUCCUGGUAUCUAUACAUUUUCUUGAAAGUGAUGAGUAUUACUGCUCAUACUCUUUGGAUAACUACCUGUCCGGUGUGCUCUAACUUUGGCGACAUUGUCAGGAAUGCAGGAUGCUUGUGUUAGUGUAGAUCACCGCAUAGUAGUUGCUAUUGUGAUUGAACUUCUGAUCUUCGAAAUGCUUGAGAACAAGCAUUGCCUAGGUGUGGAGGGAUUUGAUAGAGCAAUGUUUGGGCAUCUUAUGUGCUGUUAUGUGGUCAUAAUUUUGGCUACUUAUUAUGCUAAAUAUUGAAAUUUUGCUCAUAUUUGAUAUUUGUGUAAAUUAUAGGCGGUUGGUGUCAAAAAGUGUCUCUGAAGGUGAAUUUCCACAAGACUUUUUAUUUCAGGGUGUGCCCACGCCAGAAACUGUAGAAGAGACGCCUCAAAGUCAGACCGCGGGACUAACUAACUAACUAAACUCAUCCUUAUUCCUGCGGGAUGCGGUUGGAAGUGCGUCAAAACAAAAAGACGGCAAUUUCCAGCGAAUUUGUGAUAGGGUAUUAAUUGUUAGUAAUUUUAUUGUUAAUUUUUUCCUUUGUCCUUACCAAAUAUUGUUUUAAAUUGUUAAUAUAUACUUGUAUUUGGUAUUUGGACCUAUCUACAGGAAGUGGAACUAAAAAGUGCUAAAAAGGGGGGACCUUUUGGAGAGAAUUGCUCCACACGUGGGAGACUUCAAAAAGCUUCACGAACCUGGCCCACAGGAUACUAAGCAACGGACUUCCUUUUCUUUUUGCUGAUAAAGAGUUGCUGACUAGGAGUCUUCCUAUCAAAAGGAAACGAAAAAAGUGGAAUUCGGAGAGCUUUCUUUUUGUACCUUUUCUUUCAAUUCGGCAGGGACAACGUAGGGAGCAUUAGUCAUUGUUUAAGAGACAGUUUAGUUUUCUUUCUUUUCUUUUUCAUGCGUAAGUCUUGUUCGAUAAAAGUCUCGACUGGAGAAAUAUCGUUUAUUUCUUGAUUAUCUAGUGAAAAACGUGAUGCCUUUGCAAUUAAUUAAUUUGCGUGGAGAUUUACUGAUGCGGCGUGGUUAAGUUUUUCAUCUAGUCAAGGAUCAAUGCGACAAUGCAAUCCCUAAUAUCCGUGAGAUCGAAUUAAUUUUCAUGCAUUCCUUAAUUUGUUAAUAUUUGCACGUUGUCUGCUUGAAUUUUCAUGGGAUUAUUUUGUUAAUUGAAUGUCAAGGGCCCGAUGUUCAAUGCGACUUAUUAAUCUCCUGUCAAAUUAGUUAAUUAAAUCUGUAAUUAUUUAAAUUGAUUGAUAUCAGUGGCAACUAACGUUUUUAUACACUAGGGGAGCGUUCAAUCUGUUUCAAAUAACUCUCGUAGCAUGUUAUUGAUUAGGGUUAGACUUUUCUAGUUUUUAAUGCAAUUAGAGAAUUAAAUCCUAUGAUCAUACCUAGGAGUGUUUCCGGGUUAGGGGUAAUCAACGGUCGUACCUUGGUUGUCAAUAAAUUAAGGAAAAGCUGGUCGUCAGAACUUAUUGGCGACUAUAACUAACCUGUUAAUAAAAUUAAGUAAGCCUCCCUUGCAUCAAUAAUCGGAUGAAUGGACUGUGUCGGUGAAGUUGUAUCCUUGGCUCGAACUUGUCUAUUAUUUAUUUAAUUCCUAUCUACAUUCGUGUUAGUUAAUCGUUUACUUUUGGUUGAAUUGCUUAAUUAUUUUUAGUUUCAUUCCGAUAAAAUCCCCCAUUGUUAACUUGAACUUUAGUAAGAAACGAAUUACUCCCAAUCUCUGAGAAUACGACCCUACUUGCCCUGUUUUCAAAGCAAUAAUUAUUUGUGAAUAAGCAAUCCCAUUCUGGUAUAUCGGGUCAAGCAAACUUUUUGGAAACAGGGUGAAUCAAGUAACCUAUUGCACACCUAGAGUCCCUACUCCAGUACUUAGAAUUGGAUUUUGAUUACUCCGAUUGGCAACUAGGUUUAUUUUUAUUAUUGCGCAGGUUCGGCCCUUGUCAAUUUUUGGCGCCGUUGCCGGGGACUGGCAUUAAUUAUUUGUUUCUUUUUAAGUUCAAUUUUGUUCUAAUUUUCUGAUAUUUUUCUAGUUUAUGCCUCGUUCUUCUUGGACAGACGAAUUAAUUUUUGACCCUGAAGUAGAGAAGACCGCGCGUAAAAAGAGCAAAGAGACAAGACAGCUUAGAGAGGAGUUGUCCAGUGUUGCACCUGAGGGACUUGAUCCAAAGGUUGAGUCAACAAAUUCGCAUGGUGAUAAUUCGAGUGAUUCAGACCAAGAGGAAGUCACCAUGGCGAAUGCACGAACAUUAAGGGGGUUAGCUGCCCCAAAUUUAAAUCAACAACCCUUAUGCAUUACUUUUCCGCAUUUAAAUGAUAACACAUCUUUCGAGUUAAAAUCUGGCCUGAUUCAUCUUUUACCAUCUUUUCAUGACUUACCAGGUGAGGAGCCCUACAAGCACUUGCAAGAGUUCAAUGUCGUUUGCAACAGUAUGAAGCCCUCGGAAAUUACAGAAGAGUAGAUAAAAAUGAGGGUCUUUCCCUUCUCUUUGAAGGACUCCGAGAAAAAUUGAAUGUACUACCUACAACCAGGUAGUAUCACCACGUGGGACCAGCUGAAAAAAAAAUUCUUGGACAAAUACUUUUCGGCGUCUCGAGCUGCAAGUCUAAGGAAGGAGAUAUGCGGUAUCAAACAACACCCAGGCGAGUCUCUCUAUGAGUACUGUGAGAGGUUUAAGAAGCUGUGCAUCAAAUGCCCUGAGCAUUAGAUAAGUGAGCAACUGCUCAUCCAAUAUUUCUAUGAGGGGCUACUCUUCAGGGACAGAAGUAUAAUCGAUAUUGCAAGUGGAGGGGCAUUGGUGAACAAGAUUCCUCGAGAAGCAUGGGAGUUGAUUAAAGGGAUGGCUGAGAAUUCACAGCAGUUUGGUUCAAGAGAGGACAUCCCGACGCGUAGGGUGAAUGAGGUAGAAACAUCCUCUAUCCAACAAUAGCUCUUCGAAUUGACAUCUUUUGUACUACAACUAGCUGUGAAAAAUGCUCCACAAGCCAAAGUAUGUGGAGUAUGCACUGCUUUGGGUCAUUUUAUGGAGAUGUGUCCACUAGUUCAAGAAGAAAGUGCAGAGCAAGUGAACAUGACUGGUCACGCGCCCGCGCCAAGAAGGCCAUAUAACCCGUGUUCGAAUACGUACAAUCCGGGUUGGAGAGAUCACCCUAACUUUAGUUAUAGAGGAAAUAGGCAGUCCAAUUUUGCACCAAAUAGAGAGCAAGGGCAUCAACAGCAGUACCAGUCUCGCCCACCACCACCCCCUUCGAACUCAAGUCCGUCCAUGAAAGAGAUGAUGAAGCAAUAAAUUGCUAAUCAACAAAAGACGGAUUCAGAGUUGUAAAGUAUGAGAAAUCAAUUGGGACAGAUGCAAUCAUUGCAAAAUCAAAUAAAUCAAAUGGCCAUAACGAUCAACCGCCUGAAAUCCCAAGUUCAAGGGAAGUUGCCAUUUCAACCUGAGUUGAAUCCGAAAAAUGUAAGUGCACUGACCUUGAGGAGUGGCAAGGAAGUCCAAGGAUCCGAACCGGUGAUUCUUAGGACAAGGACAAGGAACGAAUUGAGAAAGAGUUGGAAGAAGAGGGCAGAGACAACAAAGAUCCAAAGGUAACCUCGGACCAAUCAUUACAGUUAGAACUAAUCCACCUUCCUUUCCUAGCAGGUUGGAGAAACCAAAGAAGCAAUACAAAGAAAAAGAGGUCCUGAAGAUAUUUCGCAAGGUGGAGAUCAACAUUUCCCUACUGGACGCGAUUAAACAAGUACCCAGUUACGCAAAGUUUUUGAAGGACUUGUGUGUCAACCGAAGGCGGUUAAAAGGAGAUGAACGAGUUAUAGUGGGGGAGAACGUGUCAGCAAUUCUACAAAGGAAACUUCCCAUCGAAAUAUGGGGACCCAAGUAUGUUACUAUUCCCUGUAGGAUCGGUAAUACCUUGAUUGGAAAGGCCAUGUUAGACCUAGGAGUUUCGAUAAACGUCAUGCCAAAGUCCAUAUAUGCUUCUUUGAAUUUAGGUCCUUUAAAAGAAACGGGGAUAAUAAUUCAAUUAGCUGACCGAACUGCCCUGAUGGGUUGAUUGAAGAUUUUUUUAGUAAAAAUUAAUGAAUUGAUUUUUCAACUGAUUUUUAUGUGCUUGAUAUGGAUGAUAAAUACUCCCACGACCCCUUACCUUUAUUGUUAGGUAGACCCUUUUUUAGCACAGCCGAACCAAAAUUGAUGUUAACAAGGGUAUCUUGUCUAUGAAAUUUGAUGGUGAUAUUGUUCACUUUAACAUUUUUGAGACCAUGAAAUAUCCUUCAGAUUCAAAUGUCAGCUCUGUUUUCUCUGUAAAUGUUAUUGACCCUGCGGUACAGGAGGUUAUUGAAAUUGAAGGCAGGGAUGAGCUGGAAGUCGCCUUGACCAGGCACUUCGAGUCAGAGACGACCUCUGAGAUAGAGUUGAGUGAAGAGCUCAAAUGUGUGAUUGGAGCGUUGCAAUCAUUGUCAAUCACGAAAACAAGGUAUGGGCUUGCACCCAUUUUCACACCUGAACCUCACCAACGGUUACUUUCAUCUGUGGUGUAGGCACCUAUCUUGGAACUGAAACCCCUGCCGAAACAUCUAAAGUAUGCAUACUUGGGUGAAGGGGAGACUCUCCCAGUGAUCAUCUCUGCUAGUUUAUCGGAGGUCCAAGAAGACAAACUAAUUCGAGUUUUGAGGGAACAUAAGCAGGCGAUAGGAUGGACCAUCGCCGAUAUCAAGGGAAUUAGCCCCGCGGUAUGUAUGCAUCGCAUUCGACUCAAUGAGGGUUCUAAACCCGUGCGGCAGGCUCAGAGGAGACUAAAUUUCCUCAUGAUGAAGGUAGUGAAGAAAGAGAUCCUGAAACUGCUGGAUGUGGGGAUAAUAUUCGCAAUAUCAGACAGCCCUUAGGUAAGUCCAGUAUAGGUGGUUCCGAAAAAGGCAGGGGUGACGGUGGAAUCAAAUUAAGAGGGUGAGCUCAUGCCAGUUCGGAAGCCCACCGGAUGGCAACAGUGUAUCGACUAUCGGAAGUUAAACGUCGUCACAAAAAAGGAUCAUUUUUCCCUUCCUUUUAUUGAUCAGAUGGUAGAGCGAUUAGCAUGUCGAGCUUAAUAUUAUUUUUUGGAUGAAUUUUCAAGUUAUUUUCAGAUUGCUAUCGCACCCGAGGAGCAGGAGAAGACCACUUUCAUGUGCUCGUUUGGAACAUUUGCAUACAGGUGAAUGCCAUUUGGAUUGUGCAAUGCACCUACUACCUUCCAACGUUGCAUGGUAAGCAUUUUUUCGGAGUAUAUUGAGAAGAUUAUUGAGAUUUUCAUGGACAAUUUUAGUGUGUAUGGUGAGAGUUUUGAUAACUGUCUAGAUAACCUGAAACUAAUCUUAGUAAGGUGUAUAGAAACUAAUUUCGUGCUUAAUUGGAAAAAAUACCACUUUAUGAUCGAACACGGGAUAGUUUUGGGUCAUGUAGUGUCGUCUAGGGGUAUUGAGGUUGAUAAAGUGAAAAUAGACAUUAUAUCUACUUUACCUUACCCCAUGAGUGUGCGGAAAGUGCGUUUUUUUUGUCACGCAAGUUUCUAUAGAAGGUUCAUCACAGACUUCUCGAAAAUUAGAGCACCCUUGUUCCAACUUUUGCAAAAAGAGGUGCCCUUCGAAUUUGAUGAAGCGUGUAAGAGGGCAUUUGAUAGGUUGAAGGAGCUAUUGACCUCGUCAUCUAUUAUACAACCUCCUGAUUGGAACCUACCAUUCGAGAUCAUGUGCGACACCAGCGAUUAUGCAGUGGGCGCGGUGCUGGGUCAGAGAGUAGGAAAGACAGCCCAUGCUAUCUACUACGAGUAUCAAGCCUUGAACGGAGCUCAAUUGAACUGUUCAAUCACCGAAAAGGAGCUUUUGGCGGUUGUUUUUGCUUUAGAGAAAUUCUGGUCUUAUUUACUAGAUACCAAAGUUAUUGUCUUUUCAGACCAUGCAGCGUUGCGGUAUCUGUUGACCAAGAAAGAGGCAAAACAGUGACUGAUAAGGUGGAUAUUAUUGUUACAAGAGUUUGACCCAAAGAUCAGAGACAAGAAAGGGGCAAAAAAUCUGGUAGCAGAUGUAGACACCAAAUUUUUAGCCUUUCUUUUUCUUUUUAUUUUAUUUAUUUAAUUAGUUGAUUUUGUUUUAAUUUUUGCUAAGAAAAUUGUUUUACUAUUAUUAAUUAAUUCAUUGAAAAAAAGAAAAAGAAAAAGCUAUUCCAUGUGCAUGUGCUUGGCACGUGCGCCAUUUUCUUUUCUUUCAUGCAAAAAAUGCAAGCGGAAGGCGAAAAUAGGGACAGAAAUUUGCAGCUGCAUUUUUUUAAUCCCAGCCUCAUCUCAAAAAUGCCAUCCAAUGGCUCAAGUUUUCAGUAGAAACCCACCCUUCAUCCUCACCUUUGAGGUGAGGGUUUUAGGGACCUGGGGUUUCCUAUAAAAGAAAAAAGAGCAGCGGGGACAAAGGGUAAGAGGAGUCGGCAGCUGGGGCUGAGUAGAAACAACGGAGGAAAAAAGCAAAAAGGGGGGGUUCUUGGGGAGAGUAGUUGACGGCUGAAGGAAAGAGUGAAUGGAGAGUCUGAGGGCUAGAGAGAGUUUUGGAGAGGGUGACGGCCGAAAGAAAGAAACCAAGCGAGAGGAAACCAAGGAAAGGAGAAGCGACUUCAUCAAUGUAAAGGGCAUUUCGUGGGUCUUCGUUUCCAGAAACAACGUGUUUGUCCUGAGACUGGUAGAGAAACGAAUCAAGAGUCUGAGGAAGACACAAGGGAGGAUCGGGGAAUAAGCAAAGGAAAUCUGCAAAAUCUUGAAGAAGGCUUCGAAGCUGAGAGCGAGGGAAAGAGGACUGCUCGACGAGGUGGCAACUUCUGCAGCAAAAGUUCCCGAUCGCGUUCCUGGGAACCCGUAUGCGUUUCCGGGCAGAUCCCAAGGCCGCUCAACCAUGCUAGCAUUCUCAGGUAAAAAUGCCUCUUAUUUGGUGGAUUUUAACAUGUUUUUAUGAAAGAUAAAGCCAUCGGAUGUGAAUCUUUUUGUUUGCUAUUGGGUCAAGCUCUCGCUGGUUCUAUGAUUCUGCCAUUUUGCUCGUUUGCUAAGAUCUGAUUCAGUAGGAACCUAUGAGAUGAGUCUGAUUAAGAACAUGGGGUUUAGGGUUUUCUGUAGUGGUCACCUGAUGAAUCCAUGAGUUCUUUGCUCGAUGUUUAUGGUCAGUCUUUGUGUGCAUGAAUAAGCAAACCCAGAAAAGUGGCGUAAAGCUUCGGACAAGUCUGUUUUGAUGUUUCCUUGAUUGCUGCUUCUCCAUUUCUUGUUGUUUGUGUAAUAUUUGAUAUCGGGUUUCAGUGUUAAAUGGAGCAAAUGGUGAGUUUUGGUUGUUGGCUUGGAGAUUGAUCCAUCGGAUCCGAACAUUUGAUAAUAAAAAUGGUAGAAGGUUUUUUGAAUGCACCUGGUUCGAUGUUAGUUUUGUACUUGGGUUAUGUUAAUAAGGGUGAUUUGGAGAUUUAUGAGAGUUCUAGUUCACAAACAAAAUAAGUUUCAUUGAUUUCUUUUCAUAUAAUAUCAGCGUGGGUUGAGCUGCAAUUUUGCAGUAGAAAGUUGCGGCAGAAGAAGAAUGUUUUUUUCAUAUCAGGUUGCAUGAUCCUUUUGUAUGAGUGUCGGGUGCUUAAAUAUAAUGGUUUUAUGUUAGAAAACAGAGGGGGGAAUGUUUAAUAAUCCUGUUGCCUGGCUUCAGUUUGCAUUGCGCUUAUAGUUUGCGCAUAAGAAUGCUUGUUGCAGCGGUAUGGACGAAGUUCUGUUUUUUCCUUUUCCUGUUUCAAGUUCAAGUUUUGACUGUGGAAUAUGUGUGUUUUGUUGCUCAAUUUAAGUUGAAGUCUAGGUGAAAUGUUUUGGAUCAAGUCUGGAAUCCUUAUUUGAAAUGAAAGGGCAACAGCGUGCGUUUGUUCUUGAUUGCAGAAGCUUUAAGCUUCGGGAUUGUGCAUGGACUUGCAUGAAUAGCUUUCAAAAUUUGCACUUUGCUCCCCUUAGCUUCUAUCUAUGCUACAGAGGCCCAAUUAUGUUCUAAUUUCUUGCAAUUAGGUCCUAAAGUAAUUGCCAUUUGAACCAUUGCUUGACCUUUCCAUUACUUAUGGGCCUUUGAAGUUCCCAAAUAUUUUAAUUGGGCUUGAAUGAUUGGUUAAGGCUUGCUCUUGGGUCCUUAGUAGUUUUUUUCUAUUUUAGGAACUUGAUUGACAAUUUACCUUCCUUGCAAUUAUGCAUUAUUUGAUUACAUUCAAUUUGCAAUUGGGAAGGAUUAGGUGAUUUGUUGGUUUAACUUAUUUUGUGCUUUUGUUUAUAUGGUUAUUCGUGAUGCCUUGACUUUUUCUUUUAUUUUGGAGGGUAAAUAAGUAAUCUCACUCCAUUAGGGCCCCAAUUCAAGGAAGGUACACCCUAUCUCUUAUUUCUUACUUUAUUUGACUUUACGUGCCCUAUGUGACUUUACGUGUUUGAUUGCAUACCUCUUGAAUGUUUUUUUUAUUAUUUUAUUAUUUAUUUAUUUGUUUGCUUUAUUGACUUUAGUUUUGUAUAUCUAUUUUAGUUCAAUUUUGAUCAUUUGAAAGGCAAUUUAAUGUCAAAGUUGUAAUAACUAGGUUAUGAUUUUAUUUAUUUAUUUCUUUCCCCCUUAAAUUGUAGUAGGCGUUCCCUUUUGUAAUAGAUAGGGCUUGGGUGUGCCUACAUGCCUAUGUGUUUAAUUGCUUUCCCUAGGCUUCUGCAUCUAUAUAAGCAUGCUUAUGUGCUACGUGCUAUGUGAAACUAUGUGCUUUGCAUGUCUAUUUGCUUUAGUAUUAUAUCUGAUUAUGUGGAUGGAAUGCACGUUACCGUGACUAGUCCAAUGCUAGUCAUGAUCUUCCCCUCGAUCACUCACAAGUCCAAUGCUAGAUCCAAUAGGACUGUCCCUCACUAGUACAUACUUGCAUGCCUUCACUACAUCUUCAUUCAUUUUUUUCCCUUUUAGUUUUACAUUUUUGCAUGAUCCUUCACUCCCUUUCCCGCAUUUGAAACAUGAUUUUUAGGAUUUUGUAUUUCAUUCUAGUUAUUAGGGUCAUUUGCUUGAUUAGGUUAGGGAGUCACCCUUCUGGUAAGGGGAAUGGACGAGUGUGGCUACACAUAGCCUUAGCACGCUCAUUCUUUUUCUAAUCAAAAGGCAAAUCGUAAGUCACGAUUUAGGGUCUCCCCGUACACGUUUUGCUUGCAUUCCUCUAGGUCUCAUGCAUUUCAUUUUGCACACACACACACACUUUACACUCUCUCUCAUUUGCACACGUACACUUUACACUCUCUCUCAUUUGCACACGUACACUUUACACUCUCUCUCAUUUGCACACGUACACGUUACAUAUUCAUUUGCAUCCUUACACUUUAUACACUCCCUCAUUUGCACACAUGCACUUCUCACUAUCACUUUACACUCUUCCUCAUUUGCACACAUACACUUCACAUUAUCACUUUGCACACUACCACCUUACACUUUCUCACUACACACCCGUUCAUAUUGAUCACAUUUGCAUCCAUUCAUCUCACUCGAGCAUUCAUUUGCAUUUAUUCGUGGCCUCUUUGAGGGUUCACCAUUUGGCUAUCACAAUUCAUGUGAUUAGGACCAAUCGAGCCUCAAAAGAGACAUUUUGUUCCUUUCGAACCAAUAAUUAGAUUUAGGUUUGCAUUCACAUUAGACACAUCCAAAAUGCGAUACAUCUUUUGGGUAGAAAUUAGGAAACUUGUCACUAAAUCACGCAACUAGCUUAGGUUAGGGUAAAAGGGUGCCUUAGACUUCGUUUUUGCCUUCCCUUUUAUCAACCGUGACCCCCGAACUCAUCUCUUUGAUUUUCGUAGAUUAGGAGUCAUCUAAAAAGGUUUUUCACCUCAUUUUUCAAAAACUAUUUUUUGGGUGACUUGGUACACCCCAACUCAAUAACAAGUGGCGACUCCUAUUUUUCAUGUUAAAAACCCUUUUAGAUUAUCGUUUUGGCCAAACCGUCGCAUUUAAAAGUCCCAUGGCCUUUUCCUUUAAUUCUCAUAUUCACACACUUCACACACAAUACACAUUAUGACUUCAAAACAAACUUUCACUUUUUUCUUUAUAUUUUCUCAAAAAAUGGGGCGGGACAGCUUGGCGACUCCACUGGGGACUUCCUAAGUGGGUCCGAGCACUUGAUUUAGUUAUUCUUUUCCUUUUUUACCCUUUUCAUGUAUCGCAUUUGCGUGUUUAAGGUUGCAUUUUUUUUCUUUUUUAGGAGUUUUGCAUUCCGCGCGUAUCAACUCACUCCCUUACUCAUUUGCGUACAUUUGAUUUGAUGGAUGGAUGAUUUAUUUAUGUUAUCCCGCGCUUUGCAUUGCAUUUGGAUGGGGGGAUAUUACCCUAGAGCCUCGCGUUGGUUCUCGAUCCCUCCCCUCCAAAUGGAGCACUAGCAUACGUGCAUACGCUUUAUUUUUUAUCCCUCAUUUAUUUUUCUUUUUAGUGGCUUGUCACGCCACUCCACCCUACUAGGAUUAGACGACCCAUUUGGACGUGUGAUCGCGACACGAUGUGUGCGUAGCAUGAUCCAAGGGGUCACUCAAUCUUCCAUUUUAAACUUUGGAUUGAUAACCUUUAGUUUUUAGUCAAAGGUUGAGGAUUUUUGAUAGAUUCACUCAGAUAUGUAGCCGUGACACGAUGUGUGCGUAGCAGUGUCUGGAGAAUCGCUCGAGCCACCGACAAAGAACCUUGGGAUUGAUGACCUUUGGUUUCCAAGUCUGAAGGCUCGGGGACCUAAAACCUAUCGAGUCUAGAUGCAUUAGUGAGCCAAUACCGCAUGCAUCCAUGAUAGUUUACUUAGGGUAGAGCCUGCCUUACCCUAUUAGGAACACUAUUCACGAGGGGAGGGAUCCAACCCCUCUUUUCCUUUUAUUGCUUUAUCUCUUUGUAUUGCUUUGCUUCAAUGUGUUAUGUGUAUUUAUCUGAUUGAACUAACUUUUCUUGGUUUUUGUCUCUAUUGCAUUCAUAAAUCCUAGAAAAUAAGAGUUCUGGCAUGGUACUCUCUAGGAACUUACCCUAUUUGAUGUGACACGUUUAAAUUCAAUGCUUCGCAUUUGUAACAUGAAUACAUUUCAUUUUAGGCGUACCCCGGCAUACAAAAGGGGGUUCCUUUAGGUCACGUUUCAUUUGUAUACUGCAUAUUUAGUUGCUUUGAUAAAUUGACAUCAUGCAUGAACCAUAGAGGGAAUGCCAUUUAGGGGAUCCCACGUUAGGAAUAAACCGCCAUGUGUCUCGGAUAUACAAUCCAAUGAGACUUGCACGUCUAUAUUUCUUGUACCUUCCAAAGGAGUAGUGCACAAGGUAAGGUAGAAUCCGAUCUUUUUCCAUGAUUAUAGAACAAAUUUUGCACAUUAGAAUAUGAACAUCUAACAAUCAUUUUUUGGUCAUUUAUCUGGUAAAAAUCCCUUGCGUAAAAGGCAUUAAUUUGAAGAAAUUUACAAACGAUCCCUCAUUGUUCAGACGAUAAAUAUAUCGAGGCCAAAUCUUGAUUUUAGAAGACUCAUAGACUAAUGUAUCGCAAUGAUUUUUUUUUGAAACUACCAAUAGGUAGACAAUUCAAUAAAUCAUCAUUUUCAUUCAAUUCGUUUGAUCAAAUUAUCCAUCAAAUUCUUCCAAUCUAUUUGGUCAAUUCAUUCAUUUUAGGACAAUUCGGUCAAUUUUGAAUAAAUCAUCAUUUUCAUUCAUUCGACCAAUUUACCCUUUUUAGGGUGAUCUGACCAAUUUUGAAUAAAUCAUCAAUUCCAUUCAAUUCAUUGGAUCAGUUUAUCUAUUUUUAGGGUGAUCUAGUCAAUUUUGAAUAAAUCAUCAAUUUCAUCCUAUUCAUUUGACCCGCUUAUUCCGUUUAGGGUUUAACUCUAAGGUUCACUAAAUAAAUUAGUCGACACAUUGCAAUCCUUUCAAGAGUAGACUCUUUUACACAUCAUUUUAUGUGUUGAUCAAAACAAGCAAUCCAUUCGGACUUUGUCCUCAUUUUUAGGACAAAUGUCUCUUCUCACUCCAAUUGACCAAAUUUGUUAAAAUUAUUUUUUCACUCAAUAAGUUGAUCGGAUUCAUCAGGUAUUGUAUAGUGCCUACCCCAGAGAAUUGCAUUUUCAUGCUAUGCCUACCCUUGGCAUAAAAAGGGCACCCCCAUAGGACAUGCAUACCGAUUUUAUAGUCUUGCUUACUAACUCGGGGUAUUUUUCUUUUAUUUUCUCCCCUCCCCUGCAUUCAUAAAAAAUGUUUCAAUAAGGUGAAAAUAUUUUUUCUAUAUCUGAUAACGAUUUUAUCUAAUAAAUCUUGAAAAUUACAAUUAAUAUUUGAUUCUUGGAUAGACCCUACUAUUUGAAGAAUCUAUCUGGAGGCACAAGGCUAAAACACCUAAGAGACUUCAUAAUUGUUUGUCAAAGAAAAAAUUUUGUUUAUUUGAUUUGUUAAUACAUUUUGUUCCAAAAGAAAAGGAGACAAAAGUGUGUAUAUGUGGAGUUCUUUAGAAGUUUUUCUCUUCUCAUUUGCAUUAUGAUUGAACAAGAAAUUUUGUUUCAAACUUUUCCAAUAAUAAAGUUUUUUAUUUAGACAAUUAUUGUCUUGUAUAUAUAUUCAUCUAUAUUUCAUUCUUUAUUUUGCUCAUUGGAGAUUUCAUGAUGAAUUUUAAGAAAUGAGACUACAUUGAGAUUUUUUCAACCUCUAGCCUGAAAAUUCACAAGUGUAUGUUUUCUAAAAUCUUUGCAUACACUAGAUUGGUGAUCUGAACUAUACAAUAAGAGUGUUCAGAAUUAAAAAGAGGUCACUCAAAAGACCCAAUGGGAUACAUUUUUCUCCUUCACUGUACAAUUCAUAUUUUUGCCCAUUUCUAUUAGCCCCCCAAAAUCAGUCACAUUGAUUGAUAAAUUACAAAUUGGGGCAAUCUUUGCUUGAAAAUGCCCACUGUGUCUAAUUAGAUUCAAUCCACAUCUAAGUGAAAACAAAAAUGUACAUUAUUCUUAUUUGUUUUGAAAGUUUGGAAUGAUACUUCAAGCAUUCGUUUCUCUAUCUAUACAGAUUUUAUCAUUUGCUCUCUCAUUUGAGCCUUUAAAAGAAUAAUUUCGUUUCAAAUGAGAGCCCUAAUGAUCACUACCCCAUAUUGGAAGAUUUUUCAAAUAUCAAAAGGGAGUGGAUUCUCAAUGAGCAUUUCGUUACUUUGGUUGUCAUAAAACUUAAGAAUGAUGCUUUGGCCAUCGUUUCUACAAUCUAAACAUUAUUUAUCCCUUGCAUCCUCCUUUGAGCUAAAAUGGGUGGUUCUUUUUAAAAGCAUUUAUGAUCGUACCCCACACCGGGGAAGGAGAUUGGAGGAUUUUUCAAAAGAAGAAAAAAAGGAAGAAAAAGGAGGCAAAAAAUGCUAAAAUUCAAGAAGAAGAGAGGGAAUUGCAAAUUGGGAAAAUUUGAUUCUAUCUGGGAUUUAAUUUUGGAAAAGAAAGAGGAAGAGUUUUGUCCGGCGGAUCACUUAUGUUUCACAGAUAUGGAUGAACAGGAGUCUUUCUCAAUCAAUGAUGCGAGACGCGGAAGCAAAGACUGGAUUUCAGAGGUACACGUCGCGAUUGACGGAAUGGAACCCGACUUGGACCACUCAAGGACGGAUUCAACGGUAGAGGACGCCACAAUCAAGUGUGUGAGCUUGAUUGAUAAGUCAAUAAAACAGCCUAGGAACCACGCUCGGACAUUCAACUUAGCCUUCACAAGCUAAAGGAAUUUGCCACAACCAAUGGACGAAAUUCUGGAAUUUUAUUGAAUAAUAUCGGAAAACUGAAUGUAAAACAUGAUUUAAGGCUAUUUAUAGCCUUGACUAAACCCUAAUAAAGCUUGGAAAAUACAAAAGAAAAUUCGGCCAACCCAUUUCCUUCACUUGGCCGAAUAUUAACCCAACAACCUAUGGCCCGUAACUCAGCGUAGGUACUUAACUGCGGCCCAAUCAGCCGUUUGAAGCUUGACCACUUGCAUCCUCAACUGUAAGCAACACUUUAGUAGUCUCGCCCGGAUCUUCCAACUCAAUCCCUUCAAUGGGCGGUUUCUCUUGGGUUUGGACUGUGACGGCCCCACAUCUCCUUAAGGCGAACCAAAGGGUAUCCGCGGGACGCCUGCCCAACUCUCGCCAGGACUCAAGCAAUUCCAUUCCUCUUAAAACCAAACCGAACAUUUCGAAGAGAGUAACAUGAGUACAAAUAAUGCGGAAGCGUUCAACUUAACAAGUCACUUAACAUGUAACCAGUACAUCGGGUAAACAUAAUACGACUUAAAUUCUAAUUACACGUCAGGGCCCAAAUUUUACAUUUCAAUUCCAAAAGUACAGUCCAAACCAGGGCCUAGCCAAAAUAUAGAAGAAAUCCUAAACAAAAGUACAACGAAGGGUUUCUCCAUACUUCUCCGAGAUUCGGUCCUGUUAAGGAAAACAAAACUAUGGGGUGAGCUAAAUGCUCGUGAGGCCAAGAACACAUAUUCAAGCACAUUGUUCAAAUAGCAAUCCUAAAUUUAUUAAAUAAAACCGUGAUAUUUCAAUAAUCAACCAUUCGAGCAGGAAAAGUAAUCAGAAACAAUUCAAGGAUAUAGUAGCUCUCAGGAGUUAAGUUCCACUCGCUCUGCCGAUGUCAUUCGUAUACCUUCCCGCGAUGACCCUCCGUCAACCGGGUCGGUAUUUCCAUUUCCGUAGAUCACCACUUACUUCCCUCCGUCCACCGUACACCUCCAGGGCCCACAAGUCAUUUAUAAGGCGAUACUCCACGAGUAUGCCAAGCAAGACCUCUCAUUAGGUCAAGCUUAUAUAUCUCAUGGCUCGCCCAGGUUCCCGACCAAGCCCAUUGCCGGCUCGAGUCCAAGGUCGGCCUAUGAGUUUGGGCGUCCCCCAUUCAUUUGAAAGUCGAGGAGAUUCACUCCAACGACGUAUGUAGUUAUAACAUACCAUUGCAUUUCAUUCAUUCAUUCAAUACAUUUCAUUCAUUCAUUUGAAAUUAGAACGAGUGUGAUAAAAUACACACCCGCCCUUAUUUUUAAAAUCUCCAACAAUUACCACAAAUAAGCAAGUAUCAAGGAUUCACACACUUGACACUCACCGAGCAAUUCAAUAAGAAUUAUUUUCUGGAAGUUCAAGUGUCCACUGUAAGAUCCUCUUGAAGGUCUCCUUGUGCGCCUGGCAAUUAAUAGUGGAUAAUCACUCAAAUAUCAAAAUUAUCAAGGAAGAUUGUACACUAGUACAAUCUAAAGAAUAUUUCACAAAAAUGAACCUCAAUUACUCGUAAAUCGAGGUUCAACUUGCAUUUUAUUAAGUACAAUAUUAUUUGAGUUUUUAUCAUGAAAAUCGAGGGCAAAACGUUUGAAUAAUACUAAGAGAAUUAAGAGUUUUGGAAAAACUCCUUUGCCUUGAAAAUUGAAAAUUUUCAGUUUUAUUAUAAAUCUUUGAAAAUUCGUAUCUCUCUCGAUAUAAGUCCAAAAUUGGAAAACUUUAUCCCGUUGGAAACCUUUUGGAAAGUGUUAAAAGUUCGUAGAAGACACUUUUCCAUGAAUCUAAGUGGAAAGUACUUAAAAAUGAGCUUGAAAUCACUGUUCCAGAAUGUUCAGGAUUGAGUUAAGGUUGGUUUUUUUUGCUAACUUUGGAAAUUUGGCAGAAUUCACUCGUUGCAAGCUAGCCCUUGAAAUUUAUAACUCAAUUAGAGGUGUAAGUAAGGUUUAGGGCAGAACAAGCGGAUUGAGAAUUGGAGUUUCGAGCACCGAGAUACGGUAGCUCGAAGUUGGGAAAAUUCAAGUCUGGUGAACAAUUUCCAGAUUUGAGUUUCCAAAAAUUGGAACCUUAGCUAAGUGUCAAAACGAACUUGGAUUGGUAUAAACUUUUGUAGUAUGUUACUCCUAUAUGAAAGGUAUCUCUCUAUCAAAUUUCAGGAAAAAAUACCUUCGGAAAGAUAGUUAAUUAAUCAUCCAAAGUUCAGGAAAAUUUCUAAGGCAACCUGUCUUUUGACUUCAUUUCCCAAUUCAAAUCGUUUAAUCAACAAAGCUAUCCAACCAUGGUUCAUUUAUGAAAUAAAGGUCUAAGAUACAUCCAUGAUACCUUUGGUAGGUGUUUAGCAUCAAGAACUUCAAUUAAUAAGAUCACUCCCAGGUUUUGUCCCAAACCAGUCCAAGUAUUACGGUUUUUCCAAAACAGUGCAGUCCUCUUGUUUCGGUCACAACUCAGUCAAUUUAACUCAGAAUCGAGCAUGGUUUAUGUCGUUGAAAAAUACAUUCAUAGGGCUAUAAUAUCACAGAAGAAAUCAUUUCAAAAUUUGGUGCCCAACUAGUUCAAAAUUGGGCAUCAAUUUGCUGCCUUAUCACUUCAUUCCAGUUGAACAGAGCAACAGGACAGCGAUCUUAAAACGUUUGGUUCGGCUCACUCACAAAGAAUCAGAACGUGCAUUUUAUCUCAAAUUAAAGCCUGAAAUGUCUAGUUUCCAACGCCACCAACGGCACAUGAUUUCGACAUCCGAGGACGGAGUUAUGGCCGAAUCACCACCGCUGGUCAGAGCCAUACGUGAACAGUUUCCAGAUUUGCUAGUUUCACAAAAAAAAUUCGUUUGCCCAACCAAACCUCAUUAUUUUUCAAUGAAAUUUUUCACACAUCUAAUACGUCAUAUAAACAUCAAAUUCAAGCCAUUAGGUCAUUAAAAAUUGGCCUUAAAAUGGCCGAACAAGGCAGGGGCAAAAUCGGAAACUUUUGCUUCUUGCACCCAAUGAAGUUUCUAUCAAUUUCACACCAUUAAUCCAUCAUUUUAACCACUAAACCAACAAUAUAUCCACCAUCAAUCAUCAAAUCAGCAACAACCCAAGAGUGGGAGUUCAUAGAGCCCACUUUCACAUUUUUCCAACAAUAUCAAGUCAUCUACUUAUAUGCAAGUACUUAGAGAUGCAUAUCUACUACUAUAAAUCAAGUUUAAGGUGAUGGAUCAUGUUAUACCUUCUUAAUGUACUAGAACAGAAUUUUUGGCCCUUGAAAUGCUCCAAGAAAUCGUGAUUUCCAGCACCCUUUUUGCAGCUCAAAAUGAUCUCCUAGUGUUAAGCUAAGUGUGGUGCAAGUUUGGUUGAAUUUGGAGAUGUUUUGGUGGUGGUUUGAGUAAGCUUUGUGAAGUAAAAUGAAGAACAAUGAAGCUUAAGAGAGAGAGAGAGCUAGUCGGCAGUCUUGAGAAGGAAGAGAGAGAGAGUGAUCAGAUUUUUAAGCUUCCAAGAGAAGAUACUAACUUGUGGCUACAAAUCACCCAUUAGUCAACUCACAUUAGGGGGCAUUUGGCGCGAUUAGGGCUCGUUUUCACGCGCGUUUGGUUCACUAGUGCACUAAGUCUCUAAUGCACUUAUUUUCAUGUAAAUAUUAUUCACUCUUAAUUGUCCCGAAAUAAGGGUCUAAAGUCCCUCAAAUAAAGUCGCGCGUAUGAAAACGCGUACCGUCAAUUUUAACGCUAUAACGCGAAACCUCCGAGAAAUUCUUAUAACAACCGUGCUACUAACUAUCACUUGAGUAUUUAUUCAUAAGAUUACCUAUUUUAGGACCAUAGUACAAGUCUCCAAUAUUCCAAACUUAUUGUGCUCCCACGCGGUAAAAUCUCCGAGCACUGUUCACUAUUUUUACUAAACGCACUCCAGGAAAUUAAUUUUUGAGACGAGUCACUUUAAAAAUAUAACGAAGUUAUAUUAUCAUGUAUUUAGGUCUAAUAAGACUAGAAAAUAUUUCUCGUGGUAAAAAUCCAAUUAAAUAAUUUAUUAAGCCAUAAGUUAGGCUAAAAAAAAUAAUAGUUUUUACGAGUCCUCACAUGGACGGCAUAAACCAAGGCUUGAAGUGACUCCUUGAAUCUCUUAACUCGUGCUCGUGUCACUGGGCCUUGGGGCACCUUUACAGGGUCUACUUGAGCACCAUGGGCCUCGUCCGCAUCAAUCAAUUAAUUCAGAUACAUGCAAGAAAUUUCGCAUUAAUGAAAGUUUCCUUUCAGAGUUAUUGUAAGGAACGGAAUAAAAAGUUAGGCUCUCUUCUUUUCCAAUCAAACAUUCUAUCGCUAGUUAUCCCUUUCGAGCCUUCAAAAUAAAAUACUUCGUUUGGCAACCACUGAGGAUCGCAAACUCCACACUGGGGCAAGUUUGAGUUGCAAAGGGAAGGAAAGUUUCAAGAGGUGAAAAGUGAUAAAGUAACAAAAGAAAAAGAGAAAAUGAAACAAAAGAGAACCUCGGUUAAGCAUAAACUGGGACAAAUUUUGAAAAGUUCAAAAGAAUGGCAAAAGGCCAAGAAGAAAAUAGAGAGAAGAAAAUGAAAGAGAAAAGAGCCUCGGUCGAGAAUAAAUUGGGGCAGGUUUUGAUUUAACCCUAAAAAUAGGGUUGGCGCAACAAUGCGAUCUCAGAUCAUUUAAACCACUUUUGAAAUCCGCUUUCAAGUUUUAACUUUUCUAAGCACCCCACCAGACCCCAUUACAAAAGCCGAAAGUCCUGACUUCUGUUUUUUGCAAUAUCUCUGUCAAGAAAUUUUCUAAUUGGCAAGUGAUGCUCAUAUAUUGAUGCCAAGGAAUUUUUAAAUAUAUUUGAAUUGAUUAGGCGUGAGGUUGACACUGCUCUUCAUGUGAAAACCAGCAAGGGCACUUUUGAAAAAAAGAAGGAAAAAGGAAAAAGCAAGCGAAAUAAAUGCAAAAGAAAAAUGCAAAAAGAUUCGAUGCUGAAAGUCCCUGUUGAGUGAUUAUAAAGUCAAACAAAGGUCGAGAUUGGGGCGAUUUUUGGGAGGAAAUGCGAUCUUCAAUGCAAUGUCCUUAAAAUCUUAUUUAUUUAACUAUCGUUUUCAAGCCACAUUACAAGCUCAUAAAGUCCAUCGCUGACUUAUCUUUCAUGACAAUUCGAAGUGAGGAUUAUGCUUCUAAGGAAUCCAUUAAUCAUUCAGGAUUAUAAGGCAAUAACCGGUUUCCACAUGCUUAACUGUCAUUUCUACCCAUAUGUUACAAGUUUAUAAAGCUUAUAUGUUGACUAAGUUUUCUUAAAAAAUAAGGGUGACAAACUAUUUGUUUUCACUAAGAUGUGAUAUUGAAGGGAUUACAUACAAUUUGGGCACAAGAAUAAGACAAAUCCUGACCUCUAAUUCCCCUUAGCCCCCUCAAAAUAAAAAAUAAGAUCACUUGAUUGGUCCUGAAAGAUGAGCUAACAAAAAAGAGGUGACCCAUUACCCUAAGUCUCGAUGUUAAAGUGAGGAAGAAAUCUUCUGUAAUUUGAUAUUAUUUUGAGAAAUUCAUCAUGAAAUUUUUUGUAUGAGUUUAAGCAAGAUGUUUAAUUUUCUUCACAUUAUACGUUAGGAAACAUAGUUUCUUACUUUGUUCAAAUAAAUGGAGAGUCAUCGAAACAAAAUUUUUGCAAUUGAAAGGGCCCACACUGGGGUAAAUUUUUGUAAUGCAUUUGAGGAUUUCGUCCAAGAGUCAAAUAAGAUAUUUUUGAAUCAAUCAUACUGCUCUUUACAUGAGUAAUAGGUGCAUCAAUCAAAAAAAUAAUAAGAAAUUUAAGUGCAUGUUGUACUUUGGUAAGACCCCUAUACAGGUAUUCAUGGCUGAAAUUGAUGAAGAAACAUUUAGUGAUGUGGAAGGCCGAUACCGGAAAAAGAGAAGAAAGGAAAAGAAAAAGGGCUCUACACUGGGACAAAUUAUUUUUUGAAAAGAAUCUCUCAAUCAAAAAAAAAUCCCAAAAAAAAUCAAAAGAUCAAAAAUCCAAAAAAAAAAAAUCAAAAGAUCAAAAUUUUAAAAAAAAAUCAAUCAAACAAAAAAAAUAAAAAAUAAAAAAUCAAGUUUAAAUUCUUGUUUCUUGGAAAAUCAAAUUUAAUUUCUUGUUUCUUGAAAAGUCAAAUCUAAUUUCUUAUUGGUGAGUCUCAGCGUCCGCUGCGCACCCUUCUACCUCAUUUCUGGACAACCACAUUUAAUUCACUGACUUCUACCACCGUUAGCAUCGAGUCUAUCUCACUAACGUGUGCGUUUUUAUUCAACUACCGUUAGCAUCGAGUCUAUCUCACUAACGUGUGCAUUUUUAUUCAACCACUGUUAGAAUCGAGUCUAUCUCACUAUCGUGUGCGUUUUUAUUCUACCACCGUUAGCAUCGAGUCUAUCUCACUAACGUGUGUGUUUUUAUUCUACCAUCGUUAGCAUCGAGUCUAUCUCAUUAACGUGUGCGUUUUUAUUCAACCACCGUUAGUAUCGAGUCUAUCUCACUAACGUGUGCGUUUUUAUUCUACCACCGUUAGCAUCGAGUCUAUCUCACUAACAUGUGUGUUUUUAUUCUACCAUCGUUUGCAUCGAGUUUAUCUCACUAACGUGUGUGUUUUUAUUCAAAUACCGUUAGCAUCGAGUCUAUCUCACUAACGUGUGCGUUUUUAUUCUACCAUUGCUAGCAUCGAGUCUAUCUCAUUAACGUGUGCAUUUUUAUUCAACCACCGUUAGCAUCGAGUCUAUCUCACUAACGUGUGCAUUUUUAUUCUACCACCGUUAGUAUCGAGUCUAUCUCACUAACGUGUGUGUGUUUUUAUUCUAUCUUCGUUAGCAUUGGAUUCAUCCCACUAACGUUAUUCUAUCUCCGUUAGCAUUGGGUUCAUCCCACUAACGUGCCUUUCUAUUUUCGAUUUUUUCGGCAGGCUCGAGUGUUAUCAUACUGACCGACUAUCACGGCAGGUUUGGGUUUAUCCCACUAACCGAUUCUCAAGGCAGGCUCGGGUGUUAUUCCACUGACCGAUUAUCAAGAUUAUUAAGGCAGGUUCGGGUUUAAUCCCACUGACUGAUUAUCAAGGCAGACUCGGGUUUAAUCUCACUGAUCGAUUGUCAAGGCAUUUCAUUCAUCACUGCCACUAAACAUGGGUUAGUCCCACUAGUGAGCACUUCAUUCAUCAUUGCCAUUAAACACGGGUUAAUCCCACUAAUGUACAUUACAUCUUAUCGUUAGACAUGGGUCAGUCCCACUAACACUUCAUUUCACUUCACUUCACUUCAUCCCGUUGGGUUUGGAUUUUGUGCCACCAACCUCGGCAGGCUUGGGUUGUAUCCCACUGACCGAUGUCAUAGCAGCUUCGGGUCAGUCCCGUUUUAAAUUUCUUGUUCGGGUCAGUCACGUUUUAAAUUCCUCAUUCAGGUCAGUCCCGUUUUAAAUUUCUUGUUCAGGUCAGUCUCGUUUUAAAUUUCUUGUUCGGGUCAGUCCCGUUUUAAAUUUCUCGUUCGGGUCAGCUCCAUUUUAAAUUCCUUGUUCGGGUUAGUUCCGUUUUAAUUUUCUUGUUCGGGUCAGUCCCGUUUUAAAUUUCUCGUUCGGGUCAGUCUCGUUUUAAAUUAUUUGUUUGGGUCAGUCCCAUUUUAAAUUUCUUGUUCGGGUCAGUCCCGUUUUAAAUUCUUUGUCUGGGUCAGUCCCAUUUUCUAAUUUUUUGUUAAAGGGGUCAGUCCUCAUUUUGAAAGCGUCAGUCAUUCGAGUAGUUUGCAGCAGAAUAACCACAGGUGAGUAUUUGGUGUCUACGUCUUUGUCUCAAAUUUCUUCGAAACUCAGACAAAGAGGGGUAAACUGUAGACACCAAAUUUUUAGCCUUUCUUUUUCUUUUUAUUUUAUUUAUUUAAUUAGUUGAUUUUGUUUUAAUUUUUGCUAAGAAAAUUGUUUUACUAUUAUUAAUUAAUUCAUUGAAAAAAAAGAAAAAGAAAAACUGUUCCAUGCGCUCGUGCUUGGCACGUGCGCCAUUUUCUUUUCUUUCAUGCAAAAAAUGCAAGCGAAAGGCGAAAACAGGGACAUAAAUUUGCAACGGCAUUUUUUUAAUCCCAGCCUCAUCUCAAAAAUGCCAUCCAAUGGCUUAAGUUUUCGGUAGAAACCCACCCUUCAUCCUCACCUUUGAGGUGAGGGUUUUAGGGACCUGGGGUUUCCUAUAAAAGAAAAAAGAGCAGCGGGGACAAAGGGUAAGAGGAGUCGGCGGCUGGGGCUGAGUAGAAACAACGGAGGAAAAAAGCAAAAAAGGGGGGUUUUUGGGGAGAGUAGUUGACAGCUGAAGGAAAGAGUGAAGGGAGAGUUUGAGGGUUAGAGAGAGUUUUGGAGAGGGUGACGGCCGAAAGAAAGAAACCAAGCGAGAGGAAACCAAGGAAAGGAGAAGCGACUUCAUCAACGUAAAGGGCAUUUCGUGGGUCUUCGUUUCCAGAAACAACGUGUUUGUCCUGAGACUAGGAGAGAAACGAAUCAAGAGUCUGAGGAAGACACAAGGGAGGAUCGGGGAACAAGCAAAGGAAAUCUGCAAAAUCUUGAAGAAGGCUUCGAAGCUGAGAGCGAGGGAAAGAGGACUGCUCGACGAGGAGGCAACUUUUGCAGCAAAAGUUCCCGAUCGCGUUCCUGGGAACCCGUACGCGUUUCCGGGCAGAUCUCAAUGCCGCUCAACCGUGCUAGCAUUCUCAGGUAAAAAUACCUCUUAUUUGGUGGAUUUUAACAUGUUUUUAUGAAAGAUAAAGCCAUCGGAUGUGAAUCUUUUUGUUUGCUACUGGGUCAAGCUCUCGCUGGUUCUAUGAUUCUGCCAUUUUGCUCGUUUGCUAAGAUCUGAUUCAGUAGGAACCUAUGAGAUGAGUUUGAUUAAGAACAUGGGGUUUAGGGUUUUCUAUAGUGGUCACCUGAUGAAUCCAUGAGUUCUUUGCUCGAUGUUUAUGGUCAGUCUUUGUGUGAGUAUUGGAGCAGGGACUGAAACCCGAAUUGCCAUCUCAACCUGAAUUGAACCCGAAGAACGUAAGCGCGAUGAGUACUGGAGCAGGGACUCUAGGUGUGUAAUGAGUUACUUGAUUCAUCCUAUUCCCGAAGUGUUUGCUUGACCCGAUAUACCAGAAUGGGAUUGCUUAUUCGCAAGAAACUAUUGAUUUGUAAACAGGGCAAGUAGGGUCGCAUCCUCAGGGACUGGAAAAAAUUCGUUUCUUUUCAAAUCCACAAUAACAAGGGGAUGUUUUUGGUAUAAACGAUGACAAUCAAAGGAGUUUAAAUAAAGAUAAAUAGCUAACUAGGAAUUAAAUGACAAUUUACUAAAAUCAGAGUAAUAAUAAUUAAAGGUCUAGCCAAGAAAUAACUUCAGCAAUGGUUCACCUAAUUGAUCAUCGAUGCAAAUGCAAUUCCAGUUAUUUACUAAUAAAUAGGUUAUAACUGUCAAACAAGCAAUGACAGUCAACCCCUUCUUACUGUGUCGGUGACUAAGGUACGCCCGUUAAUCACUACUCUAAUUGAGAAAUAAUCCUAAGUACGCCCGUAAGAUUUAAUUUUCCAAUUGCCUUACGUAUUAAAGAAGCCCUAUUCUAACCAAAUAACACACUACCAGGGUUAUUUUAGAUUAGCCUGCGCAUUCCCCUGACACAAACCCAAUCAUGCCAGUUGUCACUAUUUUAGGGCAAUUAAACAAUUACGAUUUAAUGCUCUAAUUGACAAUAGGUUACUAAACUAAUUCAUUAUCUGGAUCCAAGACAAUCAAUUAAUUAAAUAACCAUAAGUACUACAAUCAGGGAAUAUGCAAAUACCAAUAAAUAAGAGGAAAAGAUAAAUUUAAAUCGAUCUCACAAUUUUUAGAUGAACCAAAACCUCCGUUGUUUCUUGACCAGAAAAGGGAAUUUAAUUCAUCCCGGAUAGGAAAGACCCACACAAAGUUGCAGCAAUAGUUGCGGCCAUUGUCUCCAAGAAUUGGGAAAAUUCAAUUCGUUCGAAUCAAUAAGAAAAGCAAGCUACAGAAAAUAAUUACUGGUCUUCACUUUGUCUUGACAUACGAAGAAGGAAAACUACUAAGAGCCCACAAGAAGAAAAGUCAAAAGCUAAAACUAAAAAGUAGUGCCCUCUUGUUUCUCUCUAUUCCUAUCUAAUGCCCCCUGCUUUGCAGCUGCCCCGCGGCAGAAAAAGAGAGAGUCCAGCCUUGUUCCGUCUCUUCCUUCUUCGGUAAGUACCAAAAGGGGAAAAGUUCCCCUUUUCCAAAAAUGCCACUGGGAUGAGGGCUGCUACUUGAACUCCUUUCCUAAUGACUAUCAAAUUGGCACUUGUUGUGGUAUUUUUGUUCUACUCCCUGUAAUAAAUGUAAAUUUUCAAAAGUGAGUAGAAUCUAACAAUUAAUCCACAUCAGGUCAAGUAAUAAGAGAAAUUAAUAAUAAAAGAAAUGAUAAAAUUGCGACCUAUCAAAAUGGGAUGGAUGUUUAGAUAGGAAUUCUGUAGAGGGCUGGUAGCAGCCAUCCAAAGAGAACAAGUCCAUUUGUGGACAAAAUAAAGUGAAUGGAGAAUAUAUAUAUAUAUAUAUACGCUACAUGAAUAUUCAACAUAUACAAAAAUGUGAUCAAGAAAAAUGAGGAAUCUGACAGCCUAAUGCUUACUUGCUGCUUUUUAUGGUUUAACUUUAAAGAGACUUUGGUGUCUUGGUAGUUCGUAAUUUGAUUCGAGGUUGAUAAAAAGAAAUUUUUCAGAAAACGUGAAAUAGGGUAAGUAUCCUAGUUUAUUUUAGGUAUUGAAAGUUAAUAAAAAUGGAAAUUAUGGCAGUAAUCCUCUUCAUUUUUCCCCACCAACCAAAGCAACGAUUUUUAAGAAUACAAACAAGAUUUUAAAAAAUAGUUGUGGAGAAAACUUUUAACAAGUUUAAAAUGCAAAGUGUCCAUCAUAAUGUAGAAGAGCACAAUAAUUAGAACUCCCACGUUGGCUAAGCAAAAAUAUAUGUUUGCUCUAAUAACAUAUUACAUAUUAAAUUAUUUUACUAUGAGGUAGGGUACAUUUUUUUUAUAGUUUAGCAAACUAGAACAAAAUUAUAAUAAUUUUAAAUUAAUAUAGUUGCGUGGUGAAAUAUCAUCUGCGGCAAUAUAUAUAUAUAUAUAUACACACACACAUGCGCACGCACACUACUUAUUCAGUUGAAAAAAAUACAAGAAUUUGACAAUAUUGGUUAAUCAAAGAGCACCUUUAGUGACAUGAGAAUGAAAAUUGCUCCUAGAAUAUCUUCCUGAACUUUGUCAUUGAACGAUUGCUCAAAGAGUCUGUAAGAAAUUUAAUUCAUUCUAAUUUUGUCAGUAUUUAAGAAAGUAAGGAUGAUUGAAUUUGACUGCCAUUGUUUUCGAAAGAAUGACUCCACUCAUUAAAGAAUCAAGCCAAAAUUGAGACAAGUAUGAACAAACAAGCAAUUAGUAAUUUAUAUUGUGGUAAUACAAGUUUAUACAAAAAAAAAAGUAGGCACAGUGUAUUUUUUCUGCACCUGUUGUCUAAUAAUAUUAUCACCUUCCAAACUUUGUGGGUUUGUAAAAUGCAUCAAUUAUGGAUCUUGGAGUAAAGAUAUUAAGUAUUAACUAAAUUAACUAAUUAUUGAACUUAUACUCAUGGAAUAAUAAUUUUUUUUUGUAAUGUGCUAAUCUCUAGAAUAUUUGACUUUUAAUAUCCAGGUCUCCCAAUGGUGUGGAAAUUAAGUUGUUCUUCAACAUGCAGCUUCGUGGGACUUCAAGCAUGCCAAGAGUUUCUGGGAAAGAAUAGGUCAAGAUAAGUGACUUGGAGGAAUCUUCAAAAUCAAUACACUUUGUUGAAAUUGAAACUCUUGGAAGUAGCUUGACUGCAUUCAUACCAAAAAGUAAUUUAACAUAAUACUUAUGGACUUUCUCCAUCUCUUUUGUCAUUUCUUUUUCGAAAUUUAUUGUUUAUAGGAAAAAGAAAAAGUCGAUUCAAGAUAUGAAUCUAUGAACAGUUCAACAAUCUAGAUAAUAUUACUCAUUAACGAGAGAGGUUAAUCUAAAAGGACUGAGAUUCGUAGACCAACUGGUCACUACUCAUUACUCAUUAAUAUUCUAAUGUUUGCUUGCUUCUUUUUCAUGGUUUAACUUUAAAGUGAUUUUGGUGUCUUGCUAGUUUGUAAUUUGAUUCAGUCCGGUUGAUAGAAAGAAAUUGCUCAGAAAAUGUGAAAUAGGUUAAAAUAUCCCAGUUUGGUUUGGAUAUUGAAAGUUAUAAAAAUGGAAAUUAUGGCGGUGAUCCUCUUCAUUUUUCCCCACCAAUCAAAGCAGUGAAUUUUUUAAGAAUACAGACAAGAUUUGAAAAAAUAGUUAUCUAUAAUAAUGUAGAAGGGCACAAUAAUUAGAACUCCUAUAUAUGUUGGCUAAGCAAAAAUAUAUUUUUGUUAUCAUAAGAUCUUACAUACGAAACGAUUGUACUAUCAGGCAGGGUAGAUUUUCUUUAUAGUUAGCAAACUGGAACAAAAUUAUAAUAAUCUUAUUUUAAUAAAAUUGCCAAAUGAAAUAUCAUUUGCAAUGACAAUGUAUAUAUUACUAGUUUAAUUGACAAAAUAUAAGGAUUUGACAAUGCUAAUUUGAUUAAUCAAAGAGCACUUUUAGAAGAUAUUACGUUUACACGUAAAACUUAAAAGCCAAUUUAUUUAUUUUUUUUUGCUUUUCUAAAUUUAAAUUCUUUUUGCACGUGCUUCCACUAUUAUCUUGCUCUACAUUUGAGAAGAACUUCUUACAACUUUCUUCAAAUAAAUACCUUUUCCAUACAAAUCCCGCGCCUUUAUAUAAACAAUUACGCUGGUUACAAAGUUUAUCAAGCAAUAAUGAAGAGGCCGAUAACAUUUUAUAGUACCUUACUUUUCUUCUUUCUUUUACAUCCUGAAGAAGUGAUCACUUUCACUUUCUUGGAAGAUCAUUUGUGCCAUCAUGAUGAGGCUCUUGCACUGCUUCAGUUUAAGGAAAUGCAUAGCACAUCAACUGAUGCUUCUCAUGAUUGCAAUUAUUUUGGUCAGUACUCAUAUCCAAAGACAACACAUUGGAAACCAGAUACAGAUUGUUGCAAUUGGGAUGGUGUCACAUGCGACAACAUCACCGGUCGUGUAAUUGGGCUAGAUCUGAGUUGUGGCCAGCUUCAGGGAGUCAUCCAUCCAUACGCUACCCUUUUCAAUCUUUUCCAUCUCCACAGUCCCAACCUUACUUUUAAUGAUUUCACCGGCUCACGGAUUUCAUAGUGAUUUGACUCGCUAAAAAGUUUGAUCCACCUCAAUCUCUCAAAUUCAAAUUUCCAAGGUGAGGUUGCUUCAGAAAAUAUCACACCUGUUCAACCUAAUUUCACUUGAUCUCUCUUUCAAUCUCUUGUGUAAUUCUAUGGGUUGCUCAUAUCCAAGAUAUGAAUUUAGUAAUUUUGAAGCGAUGCUUCAAAACAUAACCCAUUUAAGAGAGCUAUCACUUUCGUCAGUGAACAUCUCAUCCGAGUUAAGGGUGAAUUUUUCUUCAUCUUUGACAUAUCUAGAUCUCUCAUAUACUGGAAUAACAGGUAAUCUACUAGGCAAUGUUUUUCAUCUACCGAACAUGCAAGUUCUCUCGUUAGAUAGCAAUGAGAAUCUUACUGUUAGUUUAUCAAACUUGAACUGCAGCAUUUCUGAUUCUCUGAGGCAGUUGGACCUAUCGGCGACAAGUCUCUCUGCUGCACUGUCAGAUUCAAUUGGGUGCAUAAGGUCCUUAAAUUCUUUGGAUCUAGGAACUUGUCAAAUUUCUGGUGUCAUUCCUGAAUCAAUUGUCUUCGGAAGAUAACUAUCUUCUAGGGAAAAUUCUAGCUAAAUUUUCCUGUUCACAAAAGCUAAGUAGACUAUCACUUGGUCUUUUUAGAUCUCUCUAGUAAUCAACUAAGCGGUUCACUUCCUCCAACAAUUUUUACUAUUCUGACUCUAUCUUAUCUUGACCUUUCUUCAAACCAUUUUGCUGGGGUUGGGCAAGACGUAUUUGUGGACUUCAAUAAGCUUCAAAAGAACCCUCUUGAGAAUGAAGCCCCACGGAACACUAAAAACAAUGUGAGCAUUUCCUAUCCAGAUUUCUGGCACUUGGGAUUGUCUUCUUGCCAGAUAAAGGAAUUUCCUGAGUCGCAUAGAAAUUCAAAGAGCUUAAAAUUUCUGGACCUCUCAAAUAACAGGAUUCACGGCGAAAUUCCAAGCUGGUUCAUGUUGAAGAAAAGGGUUCAGAUUGGGAAAAACUUCAAGCGUAUAUUACUGAUUGCAAUAGUCUGCUGAUAUAGUUACAAGAAUUUGACAAAAAAGGGAAGAUACAAUUAUUCCUAAAAUCAUGUAAUGGAAAGCUAAAACUACUCCUACAAUCACGUCAUGACAAAAACUUAUAUGGUAACAAUAUAUACAGCUAUAUGAUUGAAUAUCUCAACACUCCCCCUCAAGUUGGAACAUGGAGAUUGCGAAUGCCCAACUUGCUCAACAAAUGGUGGAACUGAGCUUUCCCAAGUGCUUUGGUGAACAAGUCGCCAAUUUGAUCACAUGAGCGAACGUGAGCAGUCUGCAACUCGUUACUUAGUAUGCGAUCACGAAUGAAAUGGCAAUCAAUUUCAAUGUGCUUUGUACGUUCAUGAAAAACUGGAUUUGCAGCAAUGUGUAGAGCAGCUUGGUUGUCACAAAAGAGAGACAUGGGUGAUGCUAAUGAAACUUUCAAAUCUGCAAACAAAGAACGCAGCCAGAGGAGUUCACUAGUAGCAUUGGCCAUUGCCCUAUACUCUGCUUCAGCGGAUGAGCGGGAAACUGUAGUUUGCUUUUUGGACUUCCAAGAAACCGGGCUAUUACCGAGGAAAACGAUAUAACCACUAGUCGAUCGUCGAGAUGUUGGGCAGCUGGCCCAAUCUGAGUCACAAUAAGCAAUGAGUUGCAGCAAACUAGCAGAUGACAAGAAUAUACCUUGGCCUGGUGCCCUUUUGAGGUAGUGAAGGACUCGAUAAGCUGCAUCCAAGUGAGGAACACGUGGAUCUUGCAUAAAUUGAUUGAGAACUUGUACUGGAUAGCUAAUGUCAGGUCGAGUUAUCGUCAAAUAAAGUAGCCUUCCAAUGAGACGACGAUAUUGACCAGCAUCUUUAACUACUGCACCAACUCCCGCUGCCAAGUUGUGUCGUUGUUCCAUAGGAAAGUCAGCAGGACUUGCGUCGAGAUGACAAGUCUCUUCAAGGAGGUCUAGAGUGUAUUUUCGCUGGCUAAGUACAAUUCCUUCCUUAUUACGAGCCACCUCAAUACCAAGAAAAUAUUUGAGUUGCCCAAGAUCUUUGAUGCGAAAAGCUGAAUCAAGAUGAUGCUUCAUAUGAUUGAUGGUGGUUGAAUCAUUUCCAGCCACAAUAACAUCAUCUACAUACACUAACAAAGCAGUAAAGUGUGCUCCACUGGUGAAUGUAAAAUGUGAAUUAUCUGUAGCAGAUUGACUAAAACCAAUACUCUACAAGCAACUAGAAAAUGUUUGAAACCAAUUUCUAGAGGCUUGUUUAAGGCCAUAAAGGGACUUUCGAAGUCGACAAACCCGAUUGUCACCUGGUUUUGCAAAGCCUUGUGGUAUUUUCAUGUAUACCUCUUCACGUAGAUCUCCAUGCAGGAAGGCAUUAUUAAUGUCCAGCUGAUGUAAUUCCCAAUGUCGUACUGCAGCCACAACUAAUAGACAACGUAGAGUUGUAAGCUUUGCAACUGGAGCAAAAGUAUCAUGGUAAUCGAGUCCUUCAACCUGUGUAAAACCUUUAGCAACCAAACGUGCCUUAAACCGCUCAAUUGUGCCAUCAGACUUGUACUUGAUUUUGUACACCCACUUGGAAUCAAUGGCAUGCUUACCAGGUGGUAGAUGCUCUAAUGUCUAAGUUUGAUUCUCCUCCAGUGCCUUAAUUUCUUGCUGCAUAGCAAGUCUCCAACGAUGAUCCCUAACUGCUUGGGAAAAAAACUUUGGUUCGUCUAAUGAAGUGAUGGAGGCCAAAAAAGCUUUAUGGGCAUCAGUGAAAUGAGAAUAGGACAAGUUAUGAGAGAUAGGAUAAAUUGUACCUGAGUUUGCUGAUGGAGGGGACUCCCGAGAUGGUUCCAAGGAGGGUAACAACUUAUAAUCAAAACCAGAAAGCUUUGUGGAUACAUGCCUUACUCGAUGUGGACGCUGCAAGGAAGGAAUUAUAUUUCCACUAGGGCUGCCAGUAUCUGGUUGUAGUGUAGAAUUAUCUUUUUCAUGUUGGGUUUGUUGGGAAAAUGUAUGUUCAAUAGGAGAUGGUGUGGUGUCCAUCGAAGUGGAGUUUAUAGGAGGUGGAAUUGGGUCAGAUUGUGAGUAAUCAUGCUGAUCUAUAUGGGGUUGCACACUCCACAUUGAAGGUUUAGACUCGUUAUUUCAUUGAAAAGGAAAUUCUGUCUCAUAAAAUAUCACAUCCCGUGAUACAAAUACUUUUUCUCUUUCCAAAUCAUAGACUUUAUAGCCCUUUUGUCCAUGGGGAUAACCAAGAAAAAUACACCGAUAGGCUCUAGUAGAGAAUUUAUCUCGGUGUUUGUCAUGAUUAUGAGCAUAACAAAGUGAUCCAAACACCUUCAAAUGAUUGUAGUUGGGUUUACUUUUGAAAAGUACCUCAUAUGGGCUCUUGCCUUUGAGAGUGGGAGUGGGCAUCAAAUUGAUAAGAUGAACUGCUGUCAAAACACAUUCUCCCCAAAAUUUCAAAGGUAAAUGGGCUUGAAAACGCAAUGCUCGCGCAACCUCAAGAAUGUGGCGAUGUUUGCUCUCCACUCGCCCAUUUUGUUGUGGAGUAUCAACACAAGAGGUUUGAUAGUCAAUCCCUUGACUAGCAAAAAAAUCUCUCAUGGUCCUGAGACAAAUUCACUCCCAUUAUCACUUCUCACAACCUGUACUGGGUAACCAAAUUGAGUUUGUGUAGAUUGGCAGAACAUGGUUAGAAAAUCAUAGGCCUACAAUUUAUUUUUCAAAAGAAAGACCCAAGUACAUCGUGAAAAAUCAUCAAAAAUAGUUAAGAAAUAAUGAGCACCACUAAGUGAUAAGACAGAAUAUGCUCCCCAAAGAUCAACAUGAAUCAAAGCAAAAGGUUUAACACUUUUCUUAUUGCUGUUUGGAAAAGACAAUCUUGUUUGUUUGGCCCUAUGGCAUACAUCACAAAUGUGAUUAAAAUUGCUAGGAAAAGGAAUACUAGAAAUUAAUUUUAAUCGGCUAAAGGAAGGAUGACCCAAGCGCAUGUGCCACAAGGUAGCAUCAGAUUCAGUAACACUAAGACUUGCGAGCCCGUGGCCUCCUUCUAAUUGAUAAACCCCAUCUCGGAGCCUACCCACUCCAAUCAGCAUCCUCGUACACAGGUCCUGAAAAAAAACAAGAAUCAGGAAGAAAGGUUGCUGAGCAGUUUAAUUCCUUUGUAGCUUUGGCAAUAGAGAGGAGAUUGAACUUGAAACCAGGCACACAAAUAACAUUUUUCAAAUUGAUAUUUGGUGUUAGGUAGGCAUUACCAACGUGAGUUACAGGGAGACUAGAGCCAUUUGCGAUUCUCACAUUUGGAUAUGAAGAGAUGCAUUUAACAUUGUCAAGUAUACUUUUGUCUCCAACCAUAUGGUUAGAGGCACCAGUAUCCAAAAUCCAUGAGUUAUGGAAUGAAUUGCAUUUACCUGCAAAGUUGGCCAAGGCCUCAUUAUCAUGAUUUGGUGGUCCAAGGAUUUGCAUGAGUUUGUUGUACUGGUCCAUUGUCAAUCCAAGAGGUUGUUGUGACUGUGACUUCUCACUUGGGUUGAUAAAUUGGUGGUCAGUUGCUGCUAUGUUGCCAUAGAUUUGCAUCUGCCCUGAAUUGUUCUUGCCUCCACCACAAUUGCCACCUUUGCUUUGUUGAUUAUUCUUCCAAUUUGCUGGAUACCCUAUUAUCUCAAAGCAUUCUUCCUUGAGAUGUCCCAUUUUCUUGCAAUGUUCACACCUUUUACUUGAUCGACUUCUUGGGGCUUGACUCCUGGUAUUUUCGUUGCCCCUACGAUCAGUUUUUGCUGCAAAAGCCGCUCCUUCCAGGCUGUGUGAUGUUUGUUCAUUUACUUGUACAAAGGAUUGCUCUUCUUGUAAAGCCAAGGAAAACAGUUUACUGAGUGAAGGUGUAGGUUCCAUGGACAGCACAUUAGAUCUCAACCGAUCGAAAUUUCCAUUCAAUCCCAGUAGAAAUUGAAGGGCUUUUUCUUUUUCUCGGCGUAAUAAGUGAUCCUUGGCUGCCUCGCAUUUGCAAUAAGGCAAUGGAUCAUAGAUUUACAGUUCUUGCCAUAAGGUUUUGAACUUGGUAUAAUAUUGAGUUAAAGGCUGCCCAUCUCCUUGUAACAUGUUGGAAAAUUAUUUUUUUAUUUUAUAAAGUCGAGGUGCAUUACUUUGUCCAUACCUUUCACAAAUCUCAGUCCAAAUUUCUUGUGCCGUGCCGGUGUAGACAACGCUCUCUUGUAUGUCCUUGGCCAAGGAAUUCCUCAGCCAUGCUCUAACCAUUGCAUCAUUCUUCUUCCACCGUUGAAAGUCUGGUGACUUUAGAUCUGGCACUUCUAGACUGCCAUCAAUGAAACCACCCUUGCCUUUGGCAUAUAGGGCUGUUUCCAUGGUGCUUUUCCAUGCUGCAAAAUUUUCUCCUGCGAAUGGUGUGGAGACAAAUUGCAGCCCUGGAUGAUCUGAAGGUACAACACAUAGGGGGAGUCAUCAUAGAUUGUAACCUCUCCCCCUUUCGUUGAAUUCUCUGGAGUUGACAUAUUUUAUUGUCAACAAUUGUUAAGGCUCAACCUGCUCUGAUGCCAUGAAGAAAAGGGUUCAGAUUGGGAAAAACUUCAAGCGUAUAUUACUGAUUGCAAUAGUCUGCUGAUAUAGUUGCAAGAAUUUGACAAAAAAUGGAAGAUACAAUUAUUCCUAAAAUCAUGUAAUGGAAAGCUAAAACUACUCCUACAAUCACGUCAUGAUAGAAACAUAUAUGGUAACAAUAUAUACAGCUAUAUGAUUGAAUAUCUCAACACAUGUCCAAGACUUGGGAUAAUUUGCCCUACUUGAAUCUUUCGCAUAACUUUUUGACUGGUACCAUAGACCAACUACGGUGCAAACAUCUGUUGCAUCUAGAUAUGAGUUUCAACUCACUUCAGGGUCAAAUGCCUUCUUCUAUCUGUAACUCAACUUCUCUUUUCAUUCUUGAUUUGUCAUAUAACAAUUUGGUUUCCCGAAUCCCUCAAUGCUUGGGAAACUUCAGCCAGAAGCUCUCCGUUUUGGAUUUGGGAAAUAAUGGACUUUUUGGCACCAUUCCCACAACUUUUUCACAAGGUAACUCUCUGAAUAUUCUUAUGCUGAAUGACAAUCAACAAGAUUGAUGAUAGAUUUCCAAUUUGGUUGGAAUCUCUACCUAAUCUACAGGUUUUCAUAAUCGAUUUCACGGAGGAAUUGGUAAUUUUCAAACUGAAAGCCCAUUUCCGCAGCUGAGAAUCAUCGAUGCAUCCUGCAAUGAGCUCACUGGUGUUCUACCUACAGAACUCUUCAAAAGCUUAGAAGCUAUGAGAAGCUUAAAGGAUCACCCUGGGCAAUAUAGGUCAGAAACUGGCUAUGAGCUUGAUUAUUACAUCCAUUCCUUGACUUUAGUAAUCAAAGGGACGGAGUAUAGUCUUGAAAGAGUCCUGAUAGAUCGAACAGCCAUUGAUUUCUCAAGCAACAGAUUUGAAGGACAAAUUCCAGAAAUUAUCGGAACCCUUCAUUCUCUUCUUAUACUCAAUUUCUCUCAUAACAAUCUCAGUGGUCAUACUCCCCGGGCAUUAGGGAAUUUGAAUAAGCUUGAAUGUCUAGACCUCUCUUGGAACCAGCUUGAGGGAACUAUUCCUGUGGAGCUUCUGAAUCUGACAUUCCUUGAAUUCUUACACCUUUCAGAAAAUCAUCUGAUUGGACCCAUUCCUCGAGGAAGACAUUUUGAUACAUUUGGGAAUGAUUCAUGCAGAGGGAACUCGGCCUUGUGUGGAUCACCAUUGACUAAAGAUUGUGGAAAUACAGGGGCACCACCACCAGCCUCGCCAUUCGGAUCUGAGCAACAAUAUGAUCCAGAGUUCUUUGAUGGAUUCACCUGGAGAGCUGUUGUUCUGGGAUAUGGUUGCGGAUUAGUGCUCGGACUAACCAUGGGAAGUCUCGUGUUCUUAACUGAAAAACGAAGAUGGUUCAUAUAGAUUGUUGAAGAGUCGUACAAUCUGUGAAAAAGAUCGAGGAAAUAUGUCCACAUACGAACUUGAGAACAGCAAUGCAAUUUACAAAAUUGGUGGGCAAAACAUACUCUCUUCUGCAGCUGUUGUCUAAUAAUUUUACUUCCUCUGCAUAAUUUCCAUUUUCAUAAUCAAAUAUCCUUGGAAAUGAUAACUUUUUUCUAUGGCUAAUCACCAGAAAAUUUGACUUUUUAUGUCCAGGCCUCCCAUUGGAGUCGUAACUAGGAAGGAUCAGCAGUAAAACUGGCUUUGUUUCAGUUCCAGUUGUAUGUAUCUGCUAUGCACGUUUUAAGGUUCUAAUAGUUGCUUCUUUUUAUGAUUGUCAAGUUCCAGGUGCAAAGAGAUUCUGAUUCCUUGCAACUUUAUCUUUUGCUUCAUGGUUAAAAAUGAAAUCAAGAACAUGUUCAGAAAAUAUGAAAAAAGGGUAUAUCCCAGUUUGGUUUGCACAUUGAAAGUUGUUCGAUGAAAAUUAUGACAAUAAUUCUCUUCAUUAUUCCCCACCUGCCAAAGAAGUUAUCUUUGAGACUACAAACUAGGCUAGUGUGCUUUAAAAUGCUUUACAUUGACUAAUCAACAACGAAGAUGUUCUUCAACUUGCACCUUUGUGGGACUUGAUUUGGAACAGCUUUGCACCAUUCGAACUUCAAUCGUUUACUGCCACAGCUGGUAUGUGUGAACAGAGAGAGACUAAUCCAAGCCACUUUUCUUGACUUUGUGGAAAAGAACAAGUCAUCCUCAGUCUUUUGCAAUAAAUUAUAGAUAAGUGAAGCCUAGUCUUCAUCCAAAAUUGUCAAAAGUGAAAUUCAUGGAUGCAACUUGAACAUAACUUAUUCUUCACUGGACCUGAAAAUUAGAGCACCAGCGACCAGCUUAAUCUUAAUUGGCUUUGGAGCUUCCACGCCAAAUGGUACGACAAUUUUGAGAAAAGGGAAGGGAGAGUUAUAGAUUUCAAGAGAAUGAUCUUUUUUCACACUACCAAAUUAGGGUCUACUAACAAAAUUUAUAGUGAAGUUCUUCAAAUCAAAUGAUCAAUCCACGAGACAAAAUCUAAUAGCAUGAACUAACUCGAAAAUAAGGUUGAGAUCUCUAUUUUAAAUACAAAAGACAAUUCACAUAUCCGAGAUAAUGAGUCAAGGAUAACCAUAUAAUAAAGCACAUACAACCACAAACUUCAAACAGCAACAAGUAACCAUGAAAUGCUUCAUGAUCCAAUUAACACAAGAAAAGCAAGAUAGUUAAGUAAUCUUAACAGAAUGCUUAUUGACUUUCUACAUCUCUUUAAUCAUUUCUUUUUCCAAUUUUUUUUUUUGUUUUACAACAAAACAAAAGUGAAUUCCAGAUAUGACCCCAUUACAGGUUCAAAAGUACAGAUAAUACUCAUGAACGAAAAGGAAUGAGAUGGGUAGGCCACUUUGGCCCCAUAGCUGUGACAAUUAGUGGACUCGUUGAUCCAAAGGCAUUUAUGGUGGAAAUGAAUUUAGAACGUAAAUGUAGUUUCUUGGCAUUACAAGUCUUUACAAGCCUAAUGAAGAUAGCAAAUAAUUCAUAUGGAUGCUACGACUUUUCAGAGGAGCUAAGGCCCAUUCUAAUUAGCCAUUACUCAUGAAAGGGAUAGUUAGAUAGGAAUUUAGUAACAUAGUGAUAGAAGCCAUCCAAAGAGAACCGGUCCAUUUGUGCACAAAGCAAAGUGAGUUUAGGAUAUAUAUGCUACACCAACAAUCUGCACAUACAAAAUUUGAUCAAGCAAAAUGAGGAAUCUAAUAGUUUAUACACUAGUGCUCCUUUCUUUGCAAUCUCGAGAAAUUACCAGUUUGUCUUCCUUUUUACCUCAUUUGUGUCACCAUGAUGAGAGUCUUGCUCUACUUCAGCUUAAGCAAAUGUUUCAAAAAUCAACAGAUGCUUCUGCCUACUGUGAAAAUGCAUAUCCAAAGAUGAUAUCAUGGAGCAAAACUUCUGAUUGCUGCACCUGGGAUGGGGUAACAUGCCAUAGAGUUACAGGUCAUGUAAUUGGCAUAGACCUUAGUUGCUGCCAACUUCAAGGAUCCAUCUAUGCUAAUAGUAGCCUGUUCAAUCUUUCUCGCCUCCAAAAGCUUAAUCUAGCUUACAAUGACUUCAAGAAUUCACCAAUUUCUCAUGGCAUUGGUGGCUUGACUAGUUUAACAAACCUCAAUCUCUCCAAUUCCAAUUUCUACGCUCAAAUUCCAUCCCAAAUAUCUUUACUGUCAAAUUUAGUUUCACUCGAUCUCUCCCAAAAUCCUAUUGAGUUUGAACAUCAGGAUUUCCAACUGCUUCUUCAAAACUUAACUCAGGUUAGAAUACUUUCUCUUUCUGACGUUAGUAUCUUCUCCGAGUUCCCUAAGAACUUUUCUUCAUCUUUGACAAUUGUGGAUCUUGGUCAAACUCAAGUUUAUGGUAAGCUACCAGACCAUAUUUUCUAUCUAGCAAAAUUGCAACAACUCAUACUAAAUGGAACUCAAGUCACUGGAAGUUUACCGAACUUGAACUGCACUGCUUCAUACAUGUUGUCGUACUUAGAUCUUGCUUACACAAAUUUUUCUGGGGAACUUCCCAACACAUUUGGCUGCUUGAAGUCCUUGAACGCCAUGUUGCUCGAUGGAUGUCAGUUCACUGGUCGCCUUCCUGAGUCAAUUGGAAACCUUUCUCAGCUCACUACGAUGUCUCUGACUCAAAACAGUUUCAGUGGGCCUCUUCCAUCGGUGAUCUCAAACCUUGUCCAACUGGAAGUUUUAGACCUUACAGGCAACCAAGUGCAAGGCCAAAUACCAGAUUGUUUCACAAAUCUCCAAAAAUUAACUCAAUUGUCAUUGCGAGACAACCAUUUGGUUGGGCCUUUCCCAUCCACCAUUGCGAACCUUACCAAUCUCCAGACGCUAGAUCUACAAUCCAAUUCGAUAACAGGUCCUCUUCCAUCAAACGUGAGUGGCCUUCAGGAAUUGUCUUUUCUAUAUCUUUAAAACAACUUGCUCCAUGGCACAGCACCGACAUGGUUAUUUAGCCUGCAGUUACUCACAACUUUGCUUCUCAAAAACAAUCUCCUAACAGGACAAAUCGAAGAGCUCAAUGGAAUGUCACUGAUGAAAAUUGAUUUGAGUAAUAACCAAUUAUAUGGUCAAAUUCCUAAAUCAAUUUCAACACUCCCAUUUUUAGAUUUCCUUGACCUCUCAUCAAAUAAUUUGAGUGGCGUGCUUGAACUAUCCAGUGAUGGUCUUGAGUACCUUGUUCUCUCUAAUAAUCGAAUAUCAUGGAGCACCAGCGGAAAUGUCAGCAACUCUUUACCAAACCUUUAUCGUUUAGAGCUAUCUUCUUGUGAGAUGAAGGCUUUCCCAGAAUUUCUCAGAAGCUCAAAGAAGUUAGAAGUUCUACAGCUCUCUGACAAUAAGAUUCAAGGUCAGAUUCCCAGCUGGGUGACAUCCAUGCCUUGGGAUUCACUUCUGUAUCUAAAUCUAUCUUAUGACCACCUUUCUGGGAUGGAUGCAUUACCUUGGAAGAAUCUAAGGGUUCUAGAUGUUCGAUUCAACCAAAUCCAAGGACAAUGGCCUUUUUUCAUUUGCAAUUUGAAAGCUCUAGCAAUUCUUGAUUUGUCAAGGAACAAAUUUACUGGUGCAAACCUCGGUGUUUUGGGAACUUUUCUAGUUUUGUGGUCCUGAAUUUGGAAGGAAAUGGCCUGCAAAGGACCAUUAAUUCAAUGGUAUUUGCAAAAGAUAUCAGAUUGAGAUAUCUUGGUCUGAAUAGAAAUUUCUUGGAAGGGCCGCUGCCAGAAACUUUGGCCAACUGCAAGUCCUUGAUGUGGGGAACAACCGUCUGAAAGAUAUAUUUCCUGCAUGGUUACAAAAUCUUACGGAGCUCCAAGUUCUUGUGUUGAGUUCUAACAGAUUCUUUGGACCCAUAAGCAUUUUCAAGGCUAAGAGUCCAUUCCAAAAGUUGCAAAUCUUCGCCCUCUCUUGCAAUGAGUUCAGUGGUGUUCUAUCUACAGAACUUUGGAAAGCUUCAGGGCUAUGAUGAGCUUACAAAGCAACAAAUCAGAAUCUAAAUACUUGCAUGCAACCGGUAAUACAACAAAUUAUCUAUACUCUGUCAGCAUGACAUCCAAAGGCCAUGAGAUUGAGUUCACCAAAAUCAUUAGAACUCUCACAACCAUUGAUCUGUCAAGCAACAUGUUUCAUGGGAGGAUCCCAGACGUCAUUGGAAAUCUCUACUCCCUCAAGUUGUUGAACUUAUCCAACAAUAACUUUUCUGGCCACAUUCCACCAGCUAUUGGGAACCUGAAAUUUCUUGAAACAUUAGACCUUUCAAGAAACCAAAUUGGAGGAGAGAUUCCAAUGCAGCUAACGAAUCUUACAUCUCUUGAAGUCCUAAACUUAUCAUGCAAUCAUCUUAUUGGGCAAUUCCUCAAGGCAAUCAAUUGCGCACACUUGGUGAAGAUUCAUACAGCGGAAACUCAGGAUUAUGUGGAUUCCCAAUAACAAAAAGCUGUGAAGAAAUGCAUGUGCCACAAGCGCCCCCAGAUGAGGCAUUGGAACAAGGCGAGGAUUCGAGUUUCAUGGGUGGAUUUACAAGGAAAUCAGUGCUCAUAGGAUAUGGUUGUGGACUUGUUCUUGGCAUAGCUUCUGGUUUUCUAAUGUUUGCUACUGGAAAACCAAGAAGAUUGGUAAGAUUCAUUGAAGAAGAAGCAUAUAGUAAUAGUGUACUCUUGUUUGGAAAGAGAAAAACUGUAUAAUCAGCUGAAAAAACCAAUAACAUGUCACGAGCGCAUGGAAGAAGAAACUAAAUAUCCAGAUAAAUGAGGUAACUAGAACAUACAUUCUGUGAUUUUAUAUUGUUUCCUUGUACAACUUUGUUAUCUAUAUCAUCAAAUGUUUACAUUCUUAAGAUAAACUGUACUUCUUACAGUUGCCCAAUUUAUAUUCAAGCACUUACUAUCUUUGUGCUUAAUAAGCUAUUAUUCAUACAGCGGGUCUGGUUUUAUAUUUGUAUAGCUGAUAUCAAAUUUUUGGAGCAUGUCUCGUUGCCCCAUUAUUCAAAAAUAACAGCUUUAAGAUCUCCAGUCUAUGAACCAAGAUAUCACUCAAGGCCAUAACCAAAAGGAUGACCUCACAGGAUCCAAAGCCAUUUCUGAUAAUUAGUGAGACUGAUAGUUUCUUGGGUUUUCACUGAAUUUCUGAUUCAAUGAAUUAGAAUAGACAGCUUUAAGGAUAUGAUACCUUUCUUUUUAUUAUUCUCAUUUAUUGAUUUGAUCAAUUCAUCUAAGCAAUCACCAUUGUUGUAGUUUAAUGUGCUUACCUUUCAUUUUUGUAGGUGGAGAAAUUUGGGAAAGAGAACUUUUCAUUCCACGUUAGAUGUCUUAAGUAUUUGUGUUAGACCUAUUAACCUUUCACGGUUCUUCAAGUGCUGUCAAUUACUAAACUCAUAGAAAUCAAAAUCCGCUUCAAAAUUUCUCAUAUUAUGUCCUUUGUUCUUUUCAUGUGUGAAUCUUAGUGUGGUUUUGUAACACUUUGUAGAAGCUCAACAAUUGAUUACUAGAUUCAGGUUUCUAAAAGAUAGUCUCCAUUAAUUAUAUGAUUUAGGAAACCCAAAUUAAUGGUGAAAAUAAUAAUUACAUUUUUCAGAAGCUCCUAAAGGUAGGAACUAAUAUUGAAAUUCACCUUUAUGAGACGGUACAGACUCUAUACAUUGGCACAUCCCAAAAUUAUUCUGAAAAUGAUCCAGCUUUGUGUCAAAGUUCAUUAAGGGUACACAAGAAUGUCCAACCACAAGCUAAAAAUUAGUUUUACUAGAACUAAUUUUUAUUAAACUUCAAAACAUAAGCUAAAUUAUUUAACAACAAAAUAGCAAUGAAUUGAGAACAUAGGAUUUGUAAUUCAACAAAAAAGAGGAAAUUAAGGAUUAUGUGGAUUUGCACAAGUACAUGUAACUUGAUGUUACUGUUGGAUCUUUUAAUUGGAAAUAAAGGAUGGCUUACCUAAUUAAAUUUACCACUACCAGGUCAACCUUCUUGCAGUUUCAGCAUUGUUUUUUCAAUAACUCAGCUUCCCCAUGGAUUUUGCUGCAUUCAAAUAAUUUUGUCCUCAGCGUCAGAGAGAAGUCAUAGACAAGUAAUUUGAUUGAUAAGAAACCAACAUGUCAGGCCAUUCAAUUAACUUCUUAAUCAUGUAACUCACCGUUGUGCACAGAAAUAUGAGACUCUAAAAGACAAACCUUGAAAUAGCAUUUCUCCAUUCACGUUUAGUUUGAUUUUAUGAUCUAAAGUAACUGCUGGUGUACUUGCAACACAAAAUGAGAAGACUAACGUGCUUUGUGCAUCAGUUGAAUGAAGCUAAAGGAAAGCACCAACAAAGUGCCCUGCGUCUGGUGAACAAAAGCCACAUAUGGCAACACGAUGAACAUCUCCAGCUCCACGACAAACCUAGUUGCAAAGUUACCCAUUAAAGAACAUAAAAACGAAAGUUGAAAACUUUCUGAUCGAACAUCUUUAAAACCAACAGAACAAUCUUCCAGAAGGAGCAAGUCAUUCUGAUUCUUGUGCAAUCUUUUAUCAAUCCCACAAGGGUGGAACAAAACCUAGAAGUGGAUUCAAUUAAUAACUCUAUGGUGACAAAUUGUCAUCAAAAGAUUUAAGCUCUGAAGGAAACAACUAUAACCAAAAUUUUAAUUGUGGUAUAUACAUCUAAAUGAAAGCAAUUUCAAAGUUUGAGGAGCCAAAAACAUCAGCAAGAAUGAUGAUUGCUACCCAUAAAAGGAAAAAGAAAAAAAAGGAUAAGAUCAGCAGCUCUACUCAGCCACCACUCAAACUGAUUGCAACAUAGCUAGAACAUGUUGACACUCUGCCUAAUCUAAUUAACGAGAAACUGGCAUGUCAUACAAAUGCACUUCUGGACACGCAAUUGCGAGAAACUGGCAUGUCAUACAAAUGCAAUUGAUAUAAAUUUCUGCUGACAUGGGAACAAAAUGUUGAUCUCAGCAUCCUGGCAGUAUACUUCAUGGAUGGAAUAGUUGGAAAAUUGUAUUCAGCAAGUCAUGGAGCCUGAUGUUUCCAAGUCACUCUCUUCACUCCCAGCAAAUUUAAUAGAUCUGCCAAAAAGAGCCAUCUUCUCUGACAAAUUACGAAGAGCAUCCUGCCUAUUAGCCAAUUCCAUAAGCACCUUAAUCCUCCUAAAUGAAACAUUACUUGGUUUUUGCCCUUUCUCCACCAUCUGCAAGAAAGACCUCUCAGCCUCAUCCAACUUCCCCAUGUCACAAAGCAAAUCAAACAAAACGUCAGAGACCAAUAUAUAAGAGCCAUACCCCAUCUCCACCAUAUCAUUCCAUAGCUCAAGUCCCAUUUCAACCUUCUCGUGCCUUCUCAACAACCUGAUCAAAAACAUACAAGAUUGAGUGUUUGGUAGACACCCUGUUUCCCUCAUUCUCAGGUACAAGUUCCAUGAACUUAUCAAAUCAUUCCACCAAUAAAAGUCCUCAACAAAAUAUUUUAAGUAGUUGCAUUUGGGCUCAACACCUUCUUUACCAUCUCAUUCAUCAAACCAUAGGCAUCCCCAAUCCUCUUUGCAAUACAGAAAUUUCUAAUAGCAGCAUUGUAAGCUGCCACAUCAGGAUAGCAUCCAUACUCUCUCAUCUCUUCCAAAACAUCCCUUGCCUUAUCAGGUUGCCCCACAAGCCCCAAACCACCAAUCAAACUCGUAUAUGUAAUCACAUCUGGACUAAUAUCCCUCUCCCUCAUCUCCUCCACCACCCUAUACGCCUUAUCCAUUUCUCUCGUCUUACAAUACACAUCCACCAAACACUAUCAGGUUCAACCCCCAUUUCCCUCGUCUCCUCAAAAAAGCCCUCGGCCUCAUCAGUUGACUUCCAACCAGCCAACAAUAUAUUAAAAGUCUGCAAAUUCGGCCUAAAUUCAUGCUUCAAGUUAUGAUACACAUUCCUGGCAUCACUCAUCCUCUUCUCUUGACACAAUGUCCUAAACAGUGCAUUGUAACAACUAGUAUCAAACUCCAAAACAAGCCUUCGAAACCGCUUAAACGAAAUCACAGUCUGCUUAACUGAACAAACCUUAGCAAUCCUAGCUAAGACAACUUGAACAGUUCUUGAAGUGAUCGAAGAUUGAUCCUUUUUCUUCGCUUCCACCAAAACCUCCCAAAUAUUAUCAAAUUUUCUGCUCCUACCCAAAACAUACAGCAUUGUAUCCAAAGAAAAUGCAGAAUGCAAAAACCCCUUUUUCCUAGAUGUAAACUUAAAGAAUUCCAAAGCCUGUAAUGGAUUAGAAUGAGAAAAUCUGACCCUUUUCAGAACAUUAUCAAUUAAGUCAUUUGAGAAAGGGAUUGAAGCUGCUGCUGAUCUCAGUGACUGUCUGAGUUCAACUGAGGUUCUUGAACUUGUUAGUAUCCGAAAAACAGUCUCAACAUCGUCGUUUACAGCAGGGGAGGAAGAAGUAAAAGGCGGGAUUUUUUCAAUUUGGGGAAUGGAACUAAAGAAAAGAAGUGAAUUUAAACAGGCAUACCUUACUGUUGCCGUUGAUGAUGUACAAGAGUGAAGAAAAAUGGGAUUUCUGAUAAAAAGAUGGAGCAAUUUUUUUGGGAUGAAAUCUGAAUGAAGACAAGAACCAAAUAUUCAGACUCUAUGCUACUGCUGCUCCUGCAGGUUUUCCCUCAAGUAUUCGAAUGCAUGAAAUUUUUGGGAUUUUUGUGAUUUUGGGGUCAUUUUUUAUGCUGUGGUUUUGCCGCAAAGCGAUUCUUCCAGCUGAAUUGAAGUGAAAGUUACACUUCAGGGAUGCACCUCUGUAUUCUUUUGUUUUCCUCUUUUUUGCCUUUUUUUUUCCAUCGGCGAAAUAAAAAGAGAAAAAAAAAGUAGGCUAAUACCAUAAAAAUGACCAUAGUUUUAGAACCAUCAGAUCCAAUUACUUUUAAAGGUCAAACUAGGAGGGGAACACCGCGCGAUGCGCGGUGUAAUUUUCAAGUUUGCCCAGAAACGUUCAAUUAUUCAAACUGGGAUAUUCAAUAUAAAAAGUUACAUGAAGGUGCAUCCAAAUGUUUGUGAUUAUUUUUUAUAAUUUUAUUAUGCAAUGAAGAGAGCCACAAUUUCAGUCUAGUUGCUAAAUGACAGUCAUUUUUGGUAUGCUGACUAAUUGGACAGCAAUGGCAAUGUCAUUAGUUUGAAAAUAAUAUAACACUGUGUAAUGCUGCCUUAUAUUUUUUAUGUACACCAAAAUCUGUGACUUUGUAGCUAAAAAAAAAAAAGAGAGAGCAGUGUAGUAUUGCAGCAAGGCUUAGCCUUAUUUUUAGACUCUGAUACAACCAAUCCACUAUUUUCGUAAUUGCAUCAAAUUAACCCAAAGACUGAAAGAAAGACCUAUUACUUUGUAGUACAAUAACCAAAAUGGCUUCAUUAGCUUGUAACUUCAAGAAAUCUACGGAAAGCAAAAGAAUUGUGCUCACAUAUCAACCGUAGUGAGAUAAACUGCAUUUGACCAAAAACGGAGGAGGAUUACCUAAUGCAGGUGUAUCUUCUCAAUACAUCAAUAGUAUAGGGGAUGGUCAAGUACUCAAUACACAAAAAAAAAAGAAAAAAGGAAGUUUCACAGGCCUCGAUGCAAUUCUACCUUUGAUCAUUUGAUGCAUGUCAACAACCAGAAUCCCGUAAAAGGAAAGACAAGUACAUGAGAUAAUGUAAAAGCCUGCAUUUAUGAAACUUACUACCAGUAGACUGCAUUCCAGAGGUUCUCAUUACACAUCAAAGCUGUUCCAGCUCAAAAAGGAAUAUAAGAAAAAGAAGAAAAAAGAAAUGCACAGUGUGCAUCAAGCCUUUUCCUUGUUAUUAGAAUCAUACACUUCAAAAUAACCGAAAGACCGAAAAAUGCAUUACUUUGUAGUACAAUAACUAAAAAGGUUUUUAUUAGCAUAUAACUUCAAGAAAUCUAAUGAAAAGUGUGAAUUUCAGAGGAAGAGAAUAAAUUCCCCAUAUUUUUAUUCAUCAAUGGUAAGGGUAUAUAUACAGGUAUAGACAUCUUAUAAUAUGAAGAUAUCCUAUUACAAUAAAUCAGUCCUCUAAUUCCUAUAAUUUAGGCUACAAACUAGCCUACAUUUGUUAGCUAUCUAAUCCCUACAAAUCAGCCUAUAUCAAUCUGUGACAGCUAUCUAAUCCCUACAAAUCAGCCUGCAUAUAAUCUGUAACACUCCCCCUCAAGCUGGAGCAUAGAUAUUAAUCAUGCCCAGCUUGUUACAUAGAUAAUCAAUCCGGACCCCGUUAAGAGCUUUUGUGAAUAUAUCACCUAAUUGUUCUCCAGUCUUCACAUAACCUGUAGUGAUCAAACCUUGUUGGAUCUUUUCACGAACAAAAUGACAAUCAAUCUCAAUGUGUUUCGUUCGUUCAUGAAAGACUGGAUUGGAAGCAAUGUGAAGUGCAGCUUGAUUAUCACACCAUAGCUUGGCAGGUACUGAGACCUUAAUUCCUACUUCACUAAGGAGCUGAUAUACCCAUAUGACUUCACACACAGACUUGGCCAUAGCUCUAUAUUCAGCUUCCGCACUGGAUCGUGAGACGACAUUCUGUUUCUUACUCUUCCAUGAGACCAAAUUUCCCCCAACAAAAACACAAUAUCCUGAAGUAGAUCUCCUAUCUUCCUUACACCCUGCCCAAUCUGAAUCUGAAAAACAUUCAAUCCUAGUAUGACCAUGAUUGCCAUAUAGGAUUCCACGUCCAGGAGCACAUUUUAAAUAGUGCAAAACUUGUUCGACUGCUUUCCAAUGGUCAACAGUUGGUGAGGACAUAUAUUGGCUUAACACACUCACUGAAUAAGCAAUAUCAGGACGUGUCACAGUAAGAUAAUUCAACUUUCCGAUUAGUCUUCUGUACCUCUCAGGAUCUGCACACAAUUCACCUUCUUUGGUUAAUUGUAAAUUAGGAACCAUUGGGGUACUACAUGGUUUAGCACCCAACUUUCCCGACUCCGACAGUAAAUCAAGUACAUACUUUCUCUGUGAUAGAAAGAUUCCCUUCUUACUCCUGCUAACUUCAACUCCCAAGAAAUACUUUAACAUCCCCAAGUCUUUGGUAUAGAACUGAGUAUGAAGAAAGGACUUUAGAGACGAAAUUCCGCUAGAGUCGCUACCUGUGAUUACAAUAUCAUCCACAUAUACAACUAACAGAAUAAUACCUCCAUUAGAGUGUCUAUAGAAAAUAGAAUGAUCUGACUUGCUUUUCUGCAUCCCAAAUUUCUCAAUAGCUUGGCUAAAUUUUCCAAACCAAGCCCGAGGACUCUGUUUCAAGCCAUAUAGAGAUUUUUGCAGACGACAGACUUUCCCUUUCCCAUACCCCCCUUGAGCAACAAAACCAGGUGGUUGCUCCAUAUAUACCUCCUCCUGAAGAUCACCAUGAAGAAAGGCAUUCUUGAUGUCUAACUGAUGCAGAGGCCAGUCAUAAGCUGCAGCAAGGGAGAUAAACAACCUGACCGAAGCAAGUUUAGCAACAGGAGAAAAAGUAUCAUGAUAAUCCACCCCAUAAAUUUGAGCAUAUCCUUUAGCAACAAGUCGAGCUUUCAAUCGAGAAAUGGAGCCAUCAGAAUUCAUUUUGACAGUAAACACCCAUUUACAUCCAAUGGCUUGUUUACCUGCAGGUAAGGUAACCAAAGUCCAUGUACCAUUGACAUCUAGAGCAUUCAUUUCCUCAAUCAUAGCAGUCCGCCAUCCGGGAUGAGCUAAUGCCUCUCGAACAGUCUUAGGUACAGAAACAGUGUCUAGGGAUGUAAGAAAAGCACAAGAAGAGGAAGACAAAUGAUGGUAGGAAACAACUGAAGAGAUUGGAUAAGUACAUGCACGUUUACCUUUUCUGUGAGCAAUAGGGAGAUCAAGAUCAUCGUUGGCAGCCGGAUCUGAUGACAAAGAGACUGGUUCAUCAGGACAUGAUUCUGGAGACUCAAGGACCAAGUCAGAACUGGGCUGAUGUGCCCGACGUGAGUAGGUAUAUUUGAUGGGAGGCUUAACCGGUGUAGAAGGAGGCGGACCCAAAUUUGGUAUGACACUAUAGAUUAACAAAUCAUCAUCCUCCCCUGGACUCACAGAACUUGAAGAGCCUGAAGAUGAAGAUAAAGGUGUUUGUUCCAAAAAAGUAACAUCAGCAGACACAAGAUACUUACCAAGACUAGGACAAUAACAACGAUACCCUUUUUGCAUGCGAGAAUAACCCAGAAACAUACACUUUAAGGACUUAGGAUCAAGUUUUGUAACUUGAGGACGAACAUCCCGAACAAAACAAGUACAACCGAAUAUCUUUGGUUCUAUAGGAAACAACUGUUUAUUUGGAAAUAGAGUGUGGAAAGGAGUAUUACCAGACAAAACAGAGGAAGGCAUACGAUUGAUUAGAAAACAAGCAGUAGAUAGAGCAUCAGCCCAGAAACAUUUAGGAACCUUCAUUUGAAAUAACAAAGCUCGAGCAGUUUCAAGAAGGUGUCUAUUCUUUCUCUCGGCAACCCCAUUUUGAGAAGGGGUGUCAACACAAGAGGUCUGAUGAAGAAUACCCUGCUCAAGCAUGUAUUUCUGAAAACUGCUUGAAACAUAUUCUUUUGCAUUAUCACUUCGCAAAAUUUGUACAGGUUUACCAAAUUGGGUUCGAAUUUCAGCACAAAAGGAAGAAAAGUGAAGAAAUAGUUCUGAGCGACUUUGCAUCAAAUAAAGCCAUGUCAUUCUAGAAUAAUCAUCCACAAAGGUAACAAAAUAUCUGAAACCAGUUUUAGAGGUAACUGGACAAGGACCCCAAACAUCAGAAUGUACUAACUCGAAGGGAGCAGUAGCUCGCUUAUUGAUUCUAGGACUAGAACUAAGACGAUGAUGUUUAGCAAACUGACAAGACUCACAAUCUAAGGAAGUAAUGUUUGAAAACUGAGGACAAAGUUUCUUCAACAUAGAAAGCGAAGGAUGACCCAAUCGACAAUGUGCUUCAAAAGGAGAGAUUGUUCCAGCACAAGCUAUAGACCCUGGUUUCGGUGUAUCAAGAAUGUAGAGACCGUCAGACUCAUGUCCCUCACCAAUAAUCUUCUUCGUCAUGAGAUCCUGAAAUGAACAAUAACCAGGAAAAAAUGAGACACAACAAUUAAGAGCACGAGUAAGUUUGCUGACAGAAAUCAGAUUAAAAGAUAGUUGUGGUAGACUCAGAACAGAUGAUAAAUGGAGAGAUGAUGUGGGCUGAGUGGUUCCAGACCCAAUAACACUGGAUGUUGAACCAUCGGCUAAAGUAACAGGAGUGAUAGAUUUAUGUGGCUGAAAGUUAGAAAGUAAACUAGGAUUACCUGUCAUGUGAUCAGUAGCACCAGAAUCAAUGACCCAUUUUGGAGAAGAGGAAACAAGACAUGCAUUGGGUUUACCUGUCUCGACAGGAGCAGUAACAUGACCAGAUGGCUGUUUCACUGUUUCUUGAAACUGAGUCAAUCUAGCAUACUUAUCCGCAGAUAUUGUAACAUGCUUGUCAGAGGUGGCACAACUAGAUGCAAUAUGGGCAGAGUGAGCCUUCUUAUACUGCAGCUUCCGACAGUCUCGCUUGAUAUGACCUGGUUUAUGACAGUAGUGACAUACAAUCUCUCCUUGCUCCUGUCCAUGAUUGCUAGUAUUCUUAUCAGAGUGGUUGGGCCCCGACCCCAUGCUCGUACUGUUGCCAUUACUCUUGUAGUGUUGUCUUCCUGAAUCAGCUGUGGUAGUUCGGCUAAGAAGAACACUGUUAGGCUGAGUAGAUAGAACAGGUAACGUAUUCUCUGUACGGAGAACCCUUCGAAAAGCAUCUUCUAGACUGGAAAUUUCUGAACCGGAAAGAAUUUGAGAUUUAGCAGUCUCAAAUUCAGACGGAAGACCGGCUAGAAAACUCAUAACCGCCAUCUUCGCUCGCUGAUUUCGUUGUUCCUCCACAUCACAACUGAAGGGAAGCAGCAUAUUGAGCUCUUCAUAUGUUUUCUUGAAGUCCAUAAAAUAACUGGUGAGAGACUUGUCUCCUUUAUCUGCCCUGUAAAAAUCCUUGCAAACAUCAUAGAUACGAGAGAAAUUUCCUUUUCCAGAAUAUAAGAACUGUAAAUAGUUCAUUAAUUGUUUUACUGUCUUACAAUGAGUCACCAGACCAACCACCUCACUAUCAAUAGAAUUACGGAUCUGUAUAUACAAGCGAGCAUCCUCUCUCAUCCAAGACAAUUUAGAGUCAUCCGUAGGUGGAUCAUCAGUCAGAUGGCCAUCCAUAGAAAUACUGAGCAGAUAUAAUUCAAUAGUAUUGUUCCAAUCAAGAAAAUUAAUUCCAGUUAACUUAUGUUCCGUGAUUUUUGAAACCAGCGGAACUAUAUCAGAAACAACUCCAGGCUUUUUGUCAGACAUAAUUGCUAAGAAAAUUCAACAAGAUAACAGAUUACCCACAAGAAAAACCUGUUGUAGCCAAGUCCCACACCUAGAUCGAUGUUGACCCACAAACAGGUAUGCAAAUAGCGUCGAGAGACAGAGGAGAGGUGCUGGGUUCUGACCAAUCGGUACUACGUACCUCCCUGAGUUGGCGGUGUCUAUAAAGGAACCUCUAAAGCCUGUACCUUGAAUAUGGCAGCAGCUUCCCUCACACCCAACAACCCAGAAAAAAAAAAUUUAUGAACAAACCUUGCUCUGAUACCAUGUGAAUUUCAGAGGAAGAGAAUAAAUUCCCCAUAUUUUUAUUCAUCAAUGGUAAGGGUAUAUAUACAGGUAUAGACAUCUUAUAAUAUGAAGAUAUCCUAUUACAAUAAAUCAGUCCUCUAAUUCCUAUAAUUUAGGCUACAAACUAGCCUACAUUUGUUAGCUAUCUAAUCCCUACAAAUCAGCCUAUAUCAAUCUGUGACAGCUAUCUAAUCCCUACAAAUCAGCCUGCAUAUAAUCUGUAACAAAAAGAAACUGUGUUUACGUAUCAACCUUAGUGGGAUAAAUUGCAUUUGAUCAAAAAAGGAGGAGGAUUAUUAAUAUAGGCCAUACUUCUAUCCUCUCAAUACAUCAGUAGCAAAAGGGAUGGUCAAACUCUUGGCACAAAAUAACUCAUCCAGUUACACAAGAUUUUAAACCAAAUAAAAAUAUUAUGAUAACACCAUCCGCGUGAGAUAUAAUGCAUCAAGAGCUGACAUACAUAUAUAGCAGGUAAUGCAAAGAUCAGAUAGCUACAGUUAGUGCAAAAUCUAGUAUCCAGGGUCAUACGCUUCAAGGCUUUGAUCUUGAUAAAGCUUCAAGGGUGGCCGAUUCUGCUUCCCACAUAAAUAAACACGUAGUUUUGUUAAUCAAAUGGCAGAGGCAUUCUUGAGUGGUACUGCAAAAAUCCACUUCGUAUAGUUAAAUAUUAGUAACAAUUACCAUAUUCUCCAAAAAUAUAUCAUAGAUUUUUUUCUUUUAUCAUUGUCACUUCCAUUUUAAUCUAACUUUUUUCACUUACAGGAACAUCAUAAUUAGCGCCUAUCUAUGCAAUUACCUAUAUGGCAGACAAGUUUUUUCCAUAUAAUUAUCCCUGAAGGCAAAAGUAUGGGGCAAAGGAUUUUGUACAAUUCAUAGGUUAGGGCAUACUGCACCAGUGUGGCCAAAGAAUAAACGAACAAUCUUCAAUUACAAUAUAAAACAUGCAAUAACUACAAAUGAACAAUUUUCCAUUACAUUAUUAUAUACACAAUAUACACACUGUUGUAAAAAAAAAUUCCAUUCAUAGAGAUGGUUACAUUAAACCGAAAGGUGAAAGAAAAAAGGUUAGAAUCAGCACCUUAAAAGUAGUAGAAGGCCAUUAUUUGCUUUAUUAUAUGCCGAUAAUUUUAAUACCUAAUUCCAUCAUGAAGAGCCAGGUAGCCAUCUAAUUUAACGCCAAAUAAGGACACAAAGAAAUGGUUCGCAAGCUAAAUAGCAGAAAAGAUAAUUAACAGAAACUUAAUCAUUUUCUCAUAAUUAACAGAAACAUAAUCAACAAAGACAUCUACUAAUUAUUAGUAUACAAGCACAUCAAUUUGACUAAGAUAUUUUUUUAAAUAAAGUGUAAACAGCUUACUUGUCUAAAGCUGAACUAUGCUAAAAGGCCAAAGCUUGGGCUUAGACUGACUGGUACUAAACGAAGCAUUACCCCUAUAAAAUUCAACCCAAAAGUUAACAAAAAUAAACAGGAGCAAAAAUAAAUUGUUCAUAUGCAAAAUGGAAACAAGUAGCAAAAAAGAAGGCUGUAAAAUGUUACACAAAGAUAAUCACCAAGUUUUUAGCCAAAGACAUUGUGCUAAGAUUUAAACAACCCAUGAAUCCAAAACUAUAUGGUCAAAGAAGGAAAAGAGAUCUAGGGAUUUUUUCUUCUAAAUAAUAGGUUUUUUGGUAAACAUACACCUUUCAUAACAGCAUUUGUGGCCAAAGUGUUAUCUACCAACCAAUCUAACAAAUUUUGCCACUUUAACCUCCUUUCCCACAAUUAGUUGAAAAUUAUUCAAAACUAUAAUUAAAAACUUCAAACUAAAGUCAUCAAAAGAUGAAAUAAGUUCAAUUCCAUUGGAAAUUGACAAUGGCGGAGACAUGAAAAAGAAACAAAGAAAAUUGACAAUUUAAGUUAUUUCGAAAAUCCCAAGCAACAACUAAACAAGAGCUGGGAAAUUUGAGCAUAUAACAUCUCGAGUGAUAACCAAUGCAAUCUUGAUUUUGAGCUCCAAGACUCCAAAUGAUCAAGUAGUAUAGUACAGCAUAAACUGAAAAGCAUGAAACUUUUGCACUAAAAACCAAAGCCAACAGAUGAGAUAACUUAUUUAUGGCUUGGUUCCUAAGCUUAAAUGACACCACAAAUACAGCAAUAAUAAAAAAUCAACUUUAAUGUGCUCAAACUUCAAAGCUUGCGACGUCUGUGCAAUCACUCAGUUGAAAUUUUAGCUCAAAACACUAUACAACGGAAAAGGAAUAAGCAAAAGCACAAAAACACAUAAAAUCCGACAUUUUAAAAGCAAAAAAAAAAGAAUCCAUGGAAUUAAUGUUUGGAACCUUUUUUACGGCAUGCAGUGCAGCUCCAUGACCACUGACGCCAGCGCCAAUAAUGAUGAGAUCGUAAUCAAAGGAUUUGGGAGCGCUUCCAUUAUCAUCCGAAGAUGCAGAAACCUUCGUCGGACUCGCCUGCGCUUUUCUCGGAAAAAUUAGCCUCUUUGCUCGAAUAAACUGGCCGCGCUUCAGCUGCGAGGGAACUGAAAACCCAGAGAUUUCUAAUAUUUCACCUGCAAGAUCUAAGCAGAAGAAAAUAAAAAACAUACUACGGGUAGGAAAGCAGAUUUCUAAUAUUUCACCUACAAACUCAAAAGCAUACUCAACAAGAAAAUAAAAAACAGCAGAUCUCUGGGUUUAUAAAUACUUCUGACUUUCACUGCUUUUGGAUGAAGAUUUUACUACAGCUUUCUUUGUUUGCUCAAAGAAGGAGAUGAAAAAAUAGUAUUUCAGACCUCUAGGUUAUUAAUCGAAAGAUUAACAAAUCUUAGCAAGAAAAAUGUCUUUCUUUCUUGAAUAAAGGAAACUGUAAAACUUUGGGGAAAUAUUGGAGCUUACCAAUUAAGAUGAUUUCUGUGUCUCAUGCGUUCAGUAGCUUCAUAUCCAGACCAAUUCUAACAAGGGAAAAAAAUCAGUUAGAAUCAUAUAAUUGAAAAAAAAGGAAAGAGAAGAAAGGAAAAAGGGGGGAGGGGGGAAACGGGAAGGAAAAACAGAGAAAAAAGGACCAAAUAAAAACAACAAAAAGGAACAAAGAAAAGAAAAGAAAAGAAAAAUGGAAGGGGAGAGGAGAGGAGCUCUGGAGAGCAACGAAGCGGCGGACAUGAAUGAGGGGAAAGAAAACAAGGGAAGCCCUAAAACAAAAUUUUUGGCACGCGAGUCCCACGUGAUUGACGACCAAAUUCCAGCCAAUAAAACCCAGCCACGUCAGCAAAACAACAACCACCCUUAACAAUCCCAUUCGCGCUUUUACUAUAUAGGUAGAUUAGCAUUAUUCUUGUUCGGCUGGUUCUAGUUUCGAUUUCAGUUUCUAUCAUUUUCAAUUUUAGUAUUUUUCUAGGUAUAGUUUUCAGAUUUUCUAGUACAUUUAAUUACUUAUGAUUAUAAAAUUAAUUUUAAGAAAAUAUAAUAAUGAAUUUAGAGUAACGAGAAACUAAAGAAAAUGAAUGUAAAAAAAAAUAAGGCUUUUAUUGUAUUAUUAGCUUACAAGGAAGAGAAAGAUGAUAAAAAAAAAAUUUAUGUAAAACAUAUCUCAUAUUUAUUGAAUGUUUUAAAUAAAACAAAAGAUACAUAAUUUUCUAUCAAACUUGAAAAAAGAAAAAGAGAAAAACAUCUCAAUUUUCUCACUAACUUGCGCAUUGUUUUUCUUUUGACUCAACAUUUUAGAACUAGCUUAAUGCUGUUGAACUUUCGGUGAACCUCAACCAAAACCUUUAACCAUGGUUCCAACACCGAUUUAAAAUUUCCAAAUUAGUUAUAAUUUUUUUUUAACAAAUUGCUGAUUCAAUUCCGAUUUGAUUCCAAUUUGAACCUGAACUAUGGCCAUGGUUAUUACUAUUACGUAGAGGUGGCAAUUUGUCCCAAAUCCCAAUGAACUACCCAUACCCAAAAAGACUUUGGCGGGAUGGGUAUUGUAAUUUGAUAUUAGGUUUAAAAUGGGAUGCAUCCCAAUUAUACUCAUUAUUUGAUGGAAAAUGUUGGAAAAUACUUGGGUACCUAUUGAGCCCAAAUAUCUUCCCAAAAAAUUUCAUUUUAUCCAAAAAUUCAUCAUUAUUUUUUUUUUUUUGCAAAAAUCUGAUUUUUUUUCACUUCCAUUUUCUUUCAUUUCCUUUCUUCACUUUCCUACAAAAGAAAACCAGUUAAGUAAAAAUGAUUUCAUUUAAACAACUUUAAAAAAAUUAAAGAUAACAAUAAAAAUAAAAUAAAUUGGUAAAAUUUUGGUGUCUACAAGAUCAAUACUUUACUAACAACUGUUGGUACCCUAUAUGUUAAUUUUAUGCUAAUUGUUGAACUAUCUACAUAGAUUUCUAUAUGCAACCCUGUUAUCAAUUUUUAAUCAGCUUCUUCGUUUCUGUGCUAGCUUUAUUCAGCAUUUAAUGUGAAUUUCUUUUGUAUCAAAUUUUGAAAAUUUUAAGAAUGUCAGUAAGAAUGAAUGUGGUGUUAAAAAACUUGUUUCUAGUCCUUGUGUCAGACAACAUUAUGGGUAAGGUUGGAAUAUGGUUGUAUAUCUAUCUUUUCCUUUUUUUGUUAAUCCAAUUUUUGGUUUAAUCCAGGGAGAAGAUAUGUUCAUUCUUACCAAAAUAUUAUGUCUUUUAAAAGUAACUGCUGAUCGUUCUAAAGUGUAAAUGAAUUCAGGAAAAUAUAAAUUCACAAUAAGAUCAAAAGAAAUUUAAUAAAUAAAAAUAUUAAAGUUAUAUAAAAAAUAAAAAAGAAUUAAAGGAAAAAUAUAGAAAAUAGAUUUGGGUAUUGGACGGGAUCAAUCUAAACCUAUCCCAAAGUGAUCCCGCCCAAGUUAGUCCCAAAAUAUAUAUGGGUAAGAUUAGACCCAAACCCAUAUGAUUCGGUUCUAUUUCGAAUUCAAGCAAAUCACGUCCAUCCCGCCCAUUUUGCCACCUCUACUAUUACGAACCAAAUAGUGAAAAACUUGGGUUUUUUUUUUAUGGAAAUGAAACAACUUUGGUGCGAAGGAAGCUCAAGGGCUCAUGCAUCAAAAACAGAAACUGUUUCGUUGAAGCCCUUUUGGAUAGUGGAUAUUGCCGGCUCAGGCCAUUGAAUUUGAAUUGAAGAAGGAUUGCAUCGUGAUAUAAAUAAUUAGAUUGUAAACGAAUUGAAUCGAAUACAAAAUCUAUUCCCAGAUUGAAUUCUGGAUAUUAAGUCACACAACAAGUAGGAAAAAAUAAUAAAGUUAAAAUUGCCAUGUAUUGCCAAUUUUUCAUGUAAAUCCGAACUUUUUUUCAGUUUUCAUAUAAUGUUUUUAAAAAUUGAAGCCAAAAUCACUAUAUGUACUCGAAUUGUUAAUUAGGCAUUUUAUGACUAAUUUGAUUUAGCAAGUGCUCUAAGUUUUACUCAUCGUUAGCUUAAUUUCUUAAGAUUAUACUCGAAUGCCCAAAUGCACGUAAUUAGAAUGGUAUCUUAUGUACAUAUUAUUAAAAUGAUGUCUUAUGAAAUUAUUGCAGGUAUCAUGCAACAAAAUUUUAUCAAGUCCUAAAAAUGAUGUGAGUUCUUGGAAAAUAUUUUAAAAAGAAAAAAUGCAUGCAUUAUUAUUUUGGUAGUCCACUUAUAUUAAUUGCAUGAGCAAUUGAAGGCAGUCCAAAAUUUUUUCAACAAUCUUUACAAGUGCAAAGUGUUCAUUGUUCACAAUAACAAACAAGGGUGAAACUAUAAAAACUAUUCUUCCUUGGAAAAAUGUGAAAUGUGGGCAAAGAUAUUAUGAAAAUAACACAAAAGACUCGAUGAUCAUAAAAUCAAAUGUUCAAAACAACAUAGAAUAGUUCAUGAUCUUUGUAUACUUUAUACAUAAAUGCAUAAUUAAUGAGUUUUCUAUUAAAUUCCAUAAACUGCAUGGAGGAUAUUAUCAGUUUCAUAUGAGAUUAACUUGGGGUCAACUGGUCAUGGGUAGACCAUGAGAUGCCCUAAAACAUGACAUGGAGAAGAGAAUCUGCAUAUUAAGUGGCUCUUAGAGUCUCUUGCUACUAAUACUCUUGUUUAUGCCUUGGCUAAAAAGCUUGAGCUGCAGGUUAAAUGGCCUUAAUUUUAAGUACUCUUGUAACUUAGCUUAAUUUUGAAUUUGGCCCUGAACAAAUAAUUCAACUCUUGAUUCGAGUUCGAACAAGAAAUAUGAUUUGAUUAAAGUAUCAAAUAAAAUUCGAGUUGAAUAUUCGACUCGUACAUAUUCAAUUGAUUAAAGUUCAAUGCAACUCAACUAAUUUUUUAUAUUUUUAAGUUUCUUAAUAUUUUUUAUAAAAUUAUGCAUUUCCUAUUUUAUUAUUAAAAAAUUAAAUAAAAUUCCAAGCUCCGAAUUGAGCUCGAGCCUAGUGAGUACUAAAUUGAAUCAAACUCAACCUUAAAUUUUAAACUCGUUUAGGAUUCGAAUUGAGCUUUCGUUUGAGUCCAAAAAUUCAAAUCAAGUCGAAAAAUUAGAAUUGGAAUCUGAGUCUAACAGCUAAGAAGUUCGAGUAAAUUCGUUUGCUGCCCUAGCUUUAUGGAUUUGAAAUCCACGAAAUACAAGUUGAAAAGCCAAACAAUUAAUCAAGAAACCAGAGCAUCAAAAACUAUUCAAAAGUUUCCUUUCCUUUCUUCCUCAAUCUCCAUCCCUUGACCAAGACAAAAAAGGUUUUCACUAGUAACGACAUACAAGAAAGGUCUAUCAAUCCUUUAAAGGGCUAAGGGAAAGAGGAAAUGAAACCCCAACUCAAGGGAAGAACAACAGGGACAAUAAUUACAAAAACCUUUACAACUAUACAAAAUUCCUGUAGAAUUGAGGGAUUAUUUCCUCACCUCAAAAUUAGGGAAUGCUUUCUCUAUAACAUGAGUUGGCACUAUGUACUGUUAUGAUUUUUCUUUGUGUAUGUCAAAUAUGGAUCCUGAGCAAUGGUCAAAACAUCUGGCCUCUCUGCCUGAUUAUAUGUAAGACAACGACGAAUAAAAUCCUGCAAAACAUAAAAGGAGUUGCUACUUCAGCAUACAGGACAAAGGUGAUGAAAGAAAAGUUUAGCGCAGUCUAUAUACCAGUAUUCUUCAGCUUUUUGUCAGCAAAUGUCCUUUAACCACAUGUUAACAUCAUUCAUCGCAGAAAAUCCAAAAACUAAAAUAAACAUUGUAAUAAAGAAUCCAAGCUAAACAAGGAAACAUCCUAAAGGUAUAAAUUUUGCACCUUUGCCAAGCAAAUAAUUUAGAAAUCCAUCAACAGUAUUGUUAUCAAUUUUCAUGAGAAUCAGCAAUGGCAGUUUUAUUUAUAAAUCAUCAUCAUAGUUUCUUCAUUUUUGACAUACCUAGCAAGUUUCUCUAUUUCGUUUUGUUCCUUCAUCAAUCAUUUCCAUAUUAUGACUUGCAAUAUGAGUAAAAGGAAGCAUGAACAUUAUGUCUGAGCCAGUCAGCCAGAUGUUAAUCUGUCUCAGAAACUGCUAUAAAACAUUGAUACAAAUGAGAUUUUCAAAUUUGCAGCACAUCUGGCUUGGAGAAUUGCCAGAGACGAGUGGGGGGUGGGGGUGGGGGAAUAGAUUGACAUGUUUGUAAAUGGACACCCUCGAUUGAAUUUCAUACAGAAUACUUCCGCUAACAGAAAGUAUAGACAUUGACGAGUCAAAACCCAUUUACUGAAAUAAAUUUUGAAGCACUUCAAUACCACACAAAAAUUGACUCCACUAUGUUGGAAACAAUAACCAUUAUGAAACAAACAAGAGGAUAUCAAGAAUAAACUCAGUAGCAUCCACAUGAUUGGCAUGCUUAUCCAUUACAGAUAAAUUAAAGAGAUAAUUGUUGAAACUUUUGUCAAAUAAGAUUUACACAAGUGAAAACACAUCAAAUUGUAAAGUAUAAGAAAGAUGAUCGAUUUCACACCCCACUUUUACUGUUAUCAAAUUGUGGUAAUAAACACUAGCAAUUAGUGCUGGUGAUGGUGAUAGUGGUGGUGGUGGUGGUCAUAGUAACAAUGAUAUAGUCUCUCCUACGCAGACUCUCUUAGAGAAUUUACCCUACAUAAGGAUGUCGAAGAUUAUCACCCCAAGAAACAUUAGCAAAGAAGUUUACACACAAAUGAUUAGUGAACCUGCCUUUGCCUCGUUCGACACAGCUGGCCUUGAAGGAAAAUCCACCUUCCGGGCUUUAAUGAUGGUAUCUUCGCGUAAAACAAACAAAACAGACAGAAUUCAACCAAGAUCAAUCUAGCAAACGUCCGUGAUCUAUCCCCCAUUCUAACAACAACUCCCAAUUUUCCUUACUACGAGGAGCUUUAGCCCAUAAGAGACAAGUCAAGUUGAACAAUUUUAACCACUGUUGAUUUAAUAAAAUUUGGAGUGAAGCCCUCCAACGUGUACAGGGCUUGUCUUUCCAAAAAAACAAAAAACAAAAAACAAAACCGCUGCUGCAACUACUUCCAUUAUCAGUAUUCUGUAUUCGAAAAUCAACAUUUAGUCUUUCCCAAAUUUAGUAUAUUUUAGUGCAUAAUUGAAAAAUUCUCUUGGCGCAAGUGGAAAAUUAUAGAUUUGCAAUCAAUUACAAAUUUUCCUCGAAAAUAGAUGCCCAGUGAUCAACUAUGGCGCUUCAUAGUUCACCUUUUCCAGUCUUAUACUUAGGAGUUGGUCUUAAUAGUGCAUUAAUUUUUUCAUAGUUAAUCAGAAUUUUCUAUGACAAAAAAAAGAAGAAGAUUCAUGAAGAAAAAUAAUCUAUUGGCUGUACUUUUUUUCGAUUUAGACAUCAAUAGUGCAAUGGCAAAAGGACUUUGUAGAUGAAGCUAGUUGAUGUAAUGAAUUUAUGAUGAUUUAAUUAACUAAAAAGGCAAUCAAUUCGGUCUACUAAAUGUCAUACUCAAGAGGUCAUCAUCUUUGUCAAAGGGUCUAUACAUUCCAUACAUUAGUAGUAAAAGUUAGUGGAUUUGUUAGUAUUGAUGACCAUGUUAGCCACUGAUUUCUAUUAAAUCAUGUCUUCAGCUUCUUAUAAGCUUCUCUAUACCCUACCUAAUCUCAUACCAUUUUACUUUCUCUUGGAUUAUGUGGAAUGCCUACUUGACUGCCUGCAAUGCCUAUAUUUUAAUGAUUCCGGUGCAUUUUCAAAAUCUUCAAUUUAUUUUGUAAAGUAUCGAAGUUCAGUUCACUAAUUGGCCAUAAAAACAGAUCAAUAGCAAAGUUGAAAUAUGCCACUUAUCCUGAGACUUUGCAGAAAGUUUGGAAUGUUAAUGUUGUCCCUUGUAAUCCGAAUUAUCCGAUUAUGUGAAACUGAAGUUGUUGAAGGGUGAGAUGAGUUUUUCACUUGUAUACAAGCUGUUUAAUGGGGUUUUCAAUAAAAAACUUUAUCAUUUGCUCCAAAAAAAAAAAAAAAAAAGAAGAAGAAGGGUGAGUUGAGGAAGCUGAAUGCUAAGCAAUAUAGUUCUAUUAGUGAUAGAAUAAACAGGUGUGUAUGGCCAGUUAUGUGAAGUGCAAUCCUUUUCCUUCAUUCACCUUUUGAUAUCUCUUUGCAAUUUCAAGAACAAUCUCAGAGUAGUUGUCUCAACUAGGAGGCGACCAGCUAGGAUUUAUGUUUACUUUACGGGCCAAAGAUACUGGCCUGGCCACGUCUUCUUCUUCUUGGUUUUUUUUUUAAUUCUUCUUAUAGAUCUUUCAGGCGAGUAAGCAACCUUUUGGGGAAAUAAUGUGGUAUAUUUGGACAUUGGGAUAAUUUAACAAAUCUCCUCUGAGUUUAUAACAAAUUCAUCAUAGCUCCCCUCAAAUUAUGACAUGACGCUUGUGUCUAUUAGCUAUUGAUUUCCAAGGCAAAUACUGAAGUUUACCUCUAUGUUUACCAUUGACACUUUCUAUACAAAGCGAUACAAAUUAUAUAUAAGAGAUUUGUGAAAAUGUUAUACUUCCGAGCUAUAACUCAUAAACAAAGGCAUUCGUAAAACCCUUUUGAUUCAAAUAUAUAGAUAUACUCAACUAUACACUUAACAAUUUAAUGUGUGCUAAAGUGAGUAGAAUAGGCUUUUGAAAAAAGUACUCAAAAGUAUGCUACUUCCAUCAUUACCUUCUAGCACGCAUUGUGCAAACUCUUUUCAAAUAGAAAAAAGGGAACGGAAAGGAGAUACAAAAAAGGGUUACAAAUUCUUUAAAAUAUGGCAAGGGUAAGCAUGGAAGUAACAUAUAACAUGAAACAAACAUGUUAAGGAAACCUUAAAUCAAGAGAGGUAACAGUAAGUUUGAAAACUUUGGUGCAGCUAAAUGAAGUCAAAAACCUAAAACAAGGUUGAUGGAAUUAUCCUUUGUAAACUUUAUGUGUCCGUGGCCAAGUGAAAAAAUACUGUUCAAAAUUCUUAUUUCUAUCGGAACCAUUUCGAGGAACUCCAAUUUGGAUGUCAAUACUAAAAGAAAUUUUCCCUAUGGUACAACUGAUUUUGAAAUUUACUAAUUAUUUAUAUUUUUUUUCGGAGACGACAACUGUUAUAUAAUCUAAUCUAUCCUACACUAAAGGGGAGGGGGCGGACCUAAAGAGGCCCAGGGGUAUAUAGGAAGCAAAUGCAUUGUAUAUAGGAAGCUGAAAACCAAACAAGACUUUAUUAUUAGGUUAUCAGUAUUAUUAGUCGUAUCCAAGUGUCAUCAUGUUUUUUUUAUUCAAGUGUCAUAACGUUAUUGAUAGUAUAAUUGGGUUGCAUGAUUAUGGUUGAAAGUGUGGACUAUGCGAUUAAACUCCGUCUUAGGUGAUAGGGUGUUAAUUGUUAGUAAUUUUAUUGUUAAUUUUCCCUUUUAUCCUUGUCAAAUAUUAUUUUAAUUAUUAAUAUUUACUUAUAUUUGGUAUUUGGACUCAAUUUCAGGGAAUGGAGCAGAAAACUACAAAAAAUGAAGGACUUUCUGAAAACAAUGGAGACUUCAAACAAUCGGGCCCACAUGGUGCCACAAACGGAUGGCAUUUCCUUUUUGCUGAUUAGGAGUUGAAGUCUUUGAUGGGCAACAGGAAACGAAAAGUAGAGAAAAAUUCGGCAGAGCCUUCUUUUUGUACUUGGACUCCCAAUUCGUUGGGGACCACAGAGAGCAUUAAGGAGUCAUACUUUUGCUUGGAAUAAAAAGAACGUACAGAGGCUAGGGAUAGUUUUUAGCAAUAGUUUAGUUUUCUUGCUUUUUCCUUUUCAUGCACGCCUACUGUUAUCAAUGGUUGUACCUUGGUUAUCAAUAAAUUAAAGAAAAAUUGGUCGUUAGAGUUCGUCGGCGACUAUAACUAGUCUAUUAAUAAAUUAAGUGAACCUCCCUUACAUCAAUGAUCGGGUAAGUGGACUAUGUUUGAAUAGUUGUAUUCUUGGUUAGAAUUUAUCUAUUCUUGAAUUAAUUCCUGUGUAUAUUUGUGUUAGUUAAUUAUUCGUUUUAUUUGAAUUGCUUAAUUAUUUGUAGUUUUAUUCUGAUGAAACACCCCUUUUACCAAUUGGAAUCUCAAAGAGACAAAUAUCCUCAAUUCCUGAGGAGACGUGUGAGAACCCGUAUUUUCCCUAAUAAUUUUCCUAGGGUUUUUCCCCUUUAAUGGCAUGUUUUUUGCAUUUUCUGGCUUAGAAAAUUUUCCUGGUGAAUUUUAUGAGUAAUUAUAGUUUUUAGAUGAUUUUUCUAGCAUUGGAUAGUUUUUGAAAAAUUACGGAUAUAUAACGGACGUGGGGCCCACUAGUGCGAAAAGUUCGGAAAAAUUCGGCCAAUAAGGUUAAGUUUCGGAUACUGAGUGAAAUUUAUCGGGUGUUAAGAGAUAAGUAUAGGAUGUGAUGUGAUUGAUGUGAGAGGAAAACAAAAGGAUAGAAAUGCAUUAAUGAAGUGACACUUGUCAUGUUGGGAUUGGUUUCACUUGUUGACAACUAUUCAUUUUUUUUGACUUUUCUUACCAAUUGAUUAAAUAUCUCAAAAAUCACAAAAAAAAUCACUCUUGUCUUCACCUUCUUGGCCGGCCACCUUGAGCUUAAGAAGGAAGAAAACUCUUCAAAAUCUUGGCUACCAUCUAGCUCAAAUCCUCCAAAACAAUUGCUUGAUCUUGUUUCUACUCCAUAAAAUCUCUCCAUUUGGUACUAGUAAGUGAUUUGGUGAAGUGUUUAAGGAAGCUAAGGUGUCCAACAACUCUCCCUCUCUUGUUUACUAGGUGAGUGGUGAUUGAACUUCCUCCUACACUUAAUGAAGCUUAAGUUGUGCUUAGUGGUAGCUAAAGUGCUGAAAUUUGUGGUUUAUUUCUUGGUUUGAGAUGAAAUGAUGAAGUUUUCAAUUUAAUGGUGUAUUUUCUGGUUUAAUGUGAUCAUGAUGUUGUGGUUAUCUAUGAUGGUUGGUAAUGAAGGGUAAUGACUCUAGUAGGUGUACAUGAUUGGUAAUUGCAAGCAAUUUUGGGUUUGGAAGGAAUUUGAGAAAGUUAGGGUUUUAUAUCCCCAAUUCUGUCCGAUUUUGUAUCUCAUGGUUAGAGGCCGAAUUGGCCUUGUCUUAAAACAUGAAAGUUGUAGGUAUUGAUGUGUUUGAGGUGCCUGUAAAAUUUCAGGUUCAUCGGAGUUGUGUAGAGUGAGAAAAGUCGAUUUUACUGUUGCUGUUCUGGGUUCUUCAGGAUGGCCGAACUGCGUCUGUAAUUGGUGGUUUUGGCUGGAAUUGCUUUGGAUUUGGUUGUUGAGGCCUUCUGAUGAAAUGUAGCUUGAUGUCUUAGCUACCGCAUGCCUUUGGUAUGAAUGAAUUUGGACUUGUAUAGACUGAGUUGGACUAAUUACAGCAUAGUGUAUUUUGUAAACCUGCAAUUAAGGUUCUGGUUUGGUAUUUUGCAUAUUUGACCUAGUUGUGCUAGGAAUUGGACUGAGUGACCUUCUACAUUGUUGUAGCCCUGUUUCUUAGCUUCGAAACGGUGGGUCUUACACCCUCAUCCGAUAAGCGUAGUGCAAUUUGUGCCAUUACCGCAAACUGAGGACAAAACUGUUUUUUUUUCAGGGCCAAGUUAGUUACAUUUCCUGAUUUUCUGGUUUGCUAUAAUGCUUAUAUAUGAAUAUGAAACCCUAUUGGGGUUGUGAUUGGCAUGGCUUUAUGACUCGUUAUCGAGUCUCAUUGUAUUUGUUUACGUGUUUUAGGACGUGACGAGGGUUCACGACGACCUUUUAACGACGGUGCAUGAAACAUCACCUACUUGAGUAGUGAGUAUACUACUCACUUGAAUGUUUAUAAUGUGGCUUUGCUAUAUGUGAUUGUGAUGCCUUGAAGGCUUGUUUGGCUAUUGGACAUGGUUAAGGUGAGGGUGUACUUGACCGCCCUCAUCCUUUUUAUCUUGUUAAUGACUGUUUACCGUUUCACUGUAAUACUGCACUUGCUAUAUGAGAUAUUGAAUUCCAUUCAUGGGAAACUGUUUGGGUGUCGGUUGGACGAGUAUCCAACGGCCCUACUGCAUUACUGAGCUCGACCCCGUUGGUAGUUACUUGAAUCGAGCCAGCGAGGGCUUGGUCGUGAAAAUUGACUAGCCACGGGGACUGAAAUGGGAAUCUUGUGGUAAUGAGACCCUUGGUUCCGGUGUACUCGAGUAUCACCUAAAGCUACUGCUUGGAGUGCGGGCCCGGUUGGGGUAUGUUGGGUGGAAGGAAUGGAAGUGAAGUGAGGUCUACGGUCGGGUAUUCUUAAACAUUGACGGAGGGUCAAUGAGGUUGGAUCAAGAAUGUAAGCGUGGAAAUGGGCUCUUGAGAGCCGUCCGUAUCCUUUUACCGACUUGUUUUAUUUCUUAAUUGCGUACUUGAGAUGAAAGUUAAGUGAUCUUUGUUGAUUAUGUGAUAGUUGCUCACUGAGCUUUAGCUCACUCCGUUCCAUUUGUUUUCCUUACAGGAAAAAUGACUAUUUUGGGAAAGGUUGUGCUAGUUGGUUGUCAAGUUGAGCUCAUGUAAAUGUAUAUUUUGAAUAGCUCCUUGAGGGUGAAAACCCUAAGUGUUUUGUUUCAACCAAUGGUUGGUUUGUAAUUGGCCAAUUGCACAUGUGUGAACUUGUUGGAUAUUUUGGUAUACCGCUUUGGCUUGUAAAUGUUAAAUUUCGAUGUAUAUAUGUUGGAUUGAUGUUUGGUUGAACUCCGGAUUCUGACAUGGCCGGUACUGUUCAUCAUCGGCUUCGAUUUUCAUAUUUUUUUUAUUUUGUGAUUUUGACUUGUUUGCGCGCGUUGGUGUGUUCCGGAAUGUAGUAGAUCGACGUAAACUGAUCCGUUAGUCCUGGCGAGAGCUGGGCAGGCAGUCCGCUAACCCCUUUGGUUCGCCUUAGGGGAAGGUGGGGCUGUUACAAGACGACCCUACUUGCCACUGUCUGCCAAUUAGUAAAUUUUGUCAAAUAAUUAAUUCUGGUAUAUCGGAUUAAGCAAACUCUUCGAGAACAGGGUGAAUCAAGUAACCCAUUGCACACCUAGAGUCUCUGCUCCAGUACUUAGAAUUGAUUAUUGACUACUUUUGACGGGCGUAGGGUAUACAUAUAACAUUAAGCUCAUCCUAAUCAAGUUUUACAUUUAUAAACUCCUAAAUACCCUACACGCGAUUUAUCGCAAGUAUACGAAUCGUGAGCGAGUAUAGGGUAUUAAAAGUCGAUCUCACAAGGAAGAUUGCAAUUACCGGCACUACUAAAGCUUCUCUAUUAUUUAGACUAUCAAUGAAUUAUAACAAAUUUAACCUACUGAACUUAUGCAAGAAAAUAACAAAUGAAAGCUCCUUAAGUUGUGGUAUCCCUAACUACUCAUGCAAGUGCUAUAUUUGGAUCAUUGAAUACUACUAUCUAGGCUAGUUAUGGUGUAAUUUCCUUAAACAUGUGAAACCUACUUUCGUAGUGAAUCAACUAUAUUCAUAACUAAUCCAUACAUAUUCUCAUGGUUAUGAAAUUAGCUACAAGUUCAUUUCUUCAAUGAAAUUAAUCACUAAAAUCACAUAGGUGCACCUCUACUCUCGUGAGCGUACUCCCUAUGUUUAGCACUUCUUAAACUAGUGUUAAAUCUCAAUUUUCAUUGCAGAAACAACACCUUAAAUAAUCACAAUCAAUGGUACCAGAUUAAUCAUGAUUUAAAGAGCCAAAGUACUAAAUAACUUGCUCAAAUCAUAGCAAUCAAAUAACCAAAUAAUAAAUACUAACAAUUAUAGAAAGUUCAACCAAACCCAAGGCAUAAACGUUAGAGACACAUAUUAAACACAAAAUCCAGAACUUGCAUAUCAACUAAACUUAGAAUCCAAUACAAAAGAUAAAGAGUUGGAAAAGAGAUAACCAUUGUCACAUGAGCUUCAACUCCUCCUUUUUCAUCUCCAUUUUCAUCCUAAUCUAGCUAAUAUACAAGAAUGGAAGAGCUAUACUAUUCUAAACUAAACUAUCCUACUACUCAGAAAGUGCAAGAGCUACAUCUCUGCACUCCAAGUUUCUCCUGUAUGUCUCUCUAUUCUCCCUUCAAUCUUGCAAGCUUUGGCUAUAUAAAGGUGAAAGUUGGUCAAGAAGUGAGGUUUACACCUCCCUUUUACAGCUGGGAAUGUUUCUCACAUGUCUAGCAUCACCUGUGACUUAGUGGAGGUGAAAUUGAGUUUCCCACGUAAAGAGCAGCCUUCUCUGACCACAAUCCGGCCAGAAAUCUGGCCAAGUUCCGGCCGGAUUGCUACAGUGACAUUUUGGUGCACUUUUGUUCAAUUUCCAGCUCUGCUCCAAUUUUGUGUCAAUUUCAACUGAACUUUUGUUGAUGAUAAAAGCUGAUUUAGCUCUUGAUCAACAUAAAACUUGUAGCCCUUUGAGUUAGCUUUCCAAUGCAUCAAGAAUCACCUCAUUUGGAUCUGUGUAGGCUGAGAAAUGACCGAAAUACCUUUGACUGCUCACUGCCCUAUUUCAGCUUCGACCAAUAGAAAUUAGCUACUGUAAUUCGGCUUUUUAACCUGGAAAACCUUCAAAAUAGAUUCAGAUGUCUUCACCAAAGUUGUAGAUCUAUCUCUUAUCUUCAAAUUGGUUUAAGAAUCAUCUCAAUCCGAUCAUUAUAGCUCAAGUUAUAGCCAAAAUACGAAAAUGUGUCAAAACUGUCAAAAUGCACAAAAUCCAAGUAAAAAGUGAUAAAAACCUCAUUUAAUUACUUAAAAGCAUUUUUCACCAAUUAUAGCCAAAAUGAAUCAUUUUCUUCCAAUAAUGUAACCAAAGUGACUAACAAUAAUAUAAAAUAUCAUACAAUUAUUACAUAAAUUAGUCACUUAUCAGCUUUUAUUGGCAAUUAGGUUUAUUUUUAUUAUUGCACAGGUUCGGCACCUGUCAUUAGGAGUACUGGUUUUGCUGUGGGAUUUUUCGUUUUCUUUGUCAGCUGCGUCAGCUGCAUGGUGCUUUAGAGCAUAAGCCUUUGUUUUGUAUCGAAACAUCACGGCCAAAAUUGCCAAAAGCAUAUCGAAACAUGAACACAAAAUGAAAGAUGUGAGGAAACUUUAAUGAAGAUAUGCCUUGAGAUUUAAACACCAAAGACAAAAGCUCAAAAAAUAUUAUCAACGGAUCAAAAUAAGAACUUGAUUAUUGGUAAAACACUCCAACAAGUUAAGUCGAACCAAGAUCAACAUAAUCAAUUAUUUGAUUUCAAGAGUCAUAACUUUUGCUUGUAAAGAACAAAUAAAGUUAAACAAUUUAUUGCUUUUUUCCCCCCAGUCAGCUGUGUACCUCAACAUUAUUUCACGUCAAAAACUUGUUUUUCCUCGGAUUAAAUACCCUAGCAUCUGAGGUUAUCACCAGUCUCGACACCCAAUUGUCUACAAUAUUCAGUAUAAUACUCAACUCGAGCACUAACUGUGUUUGGAUUUGCACCAUCACAUUCAAGCCGACCAUUAAUGGCACGAAUUGUAGCCCCAAAACCCUGGCCAGAAGUGAUAAGAUCAUGACAAUGGUUCAUCCAAUACCACAAGCCAGUUUUGAAUGAAAUAACAUUAUUUGUAGCUACAGUUUCAGGUUGGCUGAGUCCAUUGAAUCCAAUGCUUUCACCUGCUGGUCCAUAGUUAGAGUUCCAUGAUAACUGUAUUGGACCCCUGCCGUAAUAUCCCUUGCCUGGCACACAUGGAUACUGAGUGUUGCUCUCAUCACAGUAAUCUCUGGAGGGGCCGUCUAUCUCUUCUAUGUAGCACAAAUCUGCGCAAUAUAAAGAAAUUUUGUCACUCAAUUGAAAUGAUUGAUAAAGGGUUAGAAUCAAAGAAAAUCAGGAGGUCUGGAAUUUUUUGUAAAUUUUUAGAUUUGAUUGUUUUACUAAUGAAUUCAAUUGGUGAGAAAAGACUUUAUCCCAUUUUGUAAAAAUUGGGUUGGACAGACCUAAAGUAAACACUCUUUUUAUGAGGUAAAAUUUUAGAAUGAUUUAACAUUAUAGGGUUAUACGAUAGAUAAAUAAAAAUUGGCAAUAGCAAGAUUAAGAAGGGACCAACAGUGAUAUAAAAAUUACAAAGGUAUCAUGGACGUCUAAAAUAUAUUUGGCUAAUAAAUUUGAACUAAUUUACGGCCAAAUUUAGGUGAAAUAGUUAAUUCUACUUGGUAAAUUGGAAGUUCGGAAACGUGUAUCUGUCAGUUGUCAUACUCAUGAGCGAGCCAAUCUUAACUUAAAAAAGAAAAAGAAAAAAAGAAAAAGAAAAAAGGAAUCCAAAAGAUAAAAGUAGAAAAGGCAUGAAUUUUAAAACGUAAUCGUAAUACCUUGUACCCGAAACAAAUAUGUGCAAUACUUAUUAAGCUAAGCAAAGCCACAUGAUCUACUCUUAGAUGCAGCAAAAUAUACAACCACCUUAAGCUUGGAAUGUAAAGGCAGAAAAACUUGCUUAUGUAGAUAUAAAAGUGACCACUACAAGAAAAGUAAAAAGAAUAUGGAGAUAAUAAUCCUUCUGUUCAUCAUGAUAAAUUAUUUAACAGUAAUAAAUCUUUCAUAUUCAAGUUUUAUUUUUUGAAGAAAAAAUUCUUGGAUAAUAGUGCACAGGAGAUUCCAAGAUAUACUAUCUAGAAAUUCACAGGAGCUACUAAAAAAGUAGAAAAUAUCUUCAAAAUUUAAUUUCCAAGCUAGUGUUAUUCAAAACUUACGUCCAGUCUCAUGAGUGACAUGAGCAAAGAAAGCAGCAAUCUCCCUUUUAGAAUCAUCAACAGAACCAGCGGUUCCAAACUGGGGAUACGAGUUCAGAGCUUCAAGAAAAGCUGAUCGAGUAUAGAACCCUUUUCCAGCACAGCUUGAAGCAGCUUGAUCAGCAAUCCCAUUAAAGAAAGCGUCCGUCACAAUAUCAGCAACUGAAACGCCACUAUUACCACUGCUCGGAGCAGCGGUGCAAGGGCCGGAUUGACAGCCAGAGCCGCAGUAGUCGUUGCCGGUACCGCAAUAGCCGAAUUUGCUGCAGCACAAGUCUGGUGCACAGCCGCAGUUUUGGCUUGAAAUCAGCUGUGGAAAGGCUCCUACAAGAACUACAAUGGAGAAAAUGAUGGUUGGAAAACUCUUCAUUUUUGGAUUUGAUAAAGGAGAGAAGCUUGUGGGCAGCAGUUGUAUCAGAAAAAAGGGUAUAUGUAGGGAAGAGAACUGAAAACUGAUCAGCUUGUGUGAAGCAUGCACAGCUGCUAUUGUUGAAAAUAUUGAAUUUGAGCAAUUAAAGAAAACAGAACAGAAGACGAAAGCGUGAAUGGUUGACUUCUAUCGAGAGUAUUGACUUUGACAUUGUCAAUGAAGCGGAAACUUUCUUUCUUGGCUUCUAGAAUGGGAAAGGUCAAAAAGAAAGAUUUUGGCCAAUUCGUAUGAACAAUUGUGAGAAUAAGGCAUGUAGACUCACAAGUCCCCACUAGAAUGUGUGCAAAAAUAUAAUUUGAAGUUGCCUAAAUCAUUUAAUUUCAUGCUUGUUAUUGAGUUUAUUUGCCUAACUGUGUUUUAGUAAUACUUCAAAAUUGUGUUUGAGUUAGAACGGAAAAAAAUAUGAGACAUUUUUUUUUUAAUUGCAAUUCCAGAAAUAAAAUCUUAUAAAACAUGUAUUAGAAAAAUUUUGAGGGUAAAUGAUAUGAAAAAAAAAAAGAAGAAAUAGUUCUAUAAAUUGACAUAAGUGUUCAUCGGCUUUUGGAAAAAUUAAGAAAGAAUAAAGCAGCCGACAUAUCUAUCAUGCAUAACAACAUUAUGUGGCUUUUGUUAGUACACGCUAUGACCAUAUAUGUUUCAUUUGAGAUGCUUGUCGGACGUGUUGAAUUGUUGGCAAUGAAAUGCUCCAAAAUGUCAGCACUAUAGUUUAUAAAUAGUAUUAGGUCAUAGUGAAUUAUCGACAUAUCGUUACAUGCAGAGUCGUGAAAAUAUACAAGUCUUUCCCUAUCAUUAAUUAGUUGGUCAAAUGACAAUUUUAGAGUGGCUGCUGACUAUGUCAAGAAACAUCUUGCAGUAAAUUGGGCGAUUUAAUGUACUUUUCUUUUUCUAAAUAUUUGCACUUAAACUCUCAAAUCGACCAUAGUUUUAACUAAUUUUGCUCUGGCUUUAUUCUUGAUUCGCAAAAUUCAGAAAAACCAAAACAAACCCUUGUUACUGAAGAUAUCAAAAUGGUAACCCAACUAAGUAAUUGAUUUUGAAAAACAUUCUGAACCAAAUUUCAAGUUUUGGUUUCUUUGCUCUUUUUCUACUGAAAGGCAACUUCCCCGGGCCAAGAAAUUGAAACAAAUAGUACGAUGCUUAAGUUUUCUAUGCUCUUAUGAUCAAGUCAAACCAUGCUUAUAAUCAAUUACAUAAAAAAUUACGGGCAAUUUCGUCAUUAUUUGGGAGGAGGAGGAAUAUUAAGCAAAAAAAAAAGUUCUAUUAAGAAAACGAUUAAGCAUAUUAUUUUCCAGGAAUAAAAAAGAACGAGCAGAGAAAUACAUUAGUUUGGAUGACAUUACAACAUUUAGCAACAUGAUUAGGGAUGCAAUGGGAUGGGUGCCAAUUGGGAAUCAAUGGGAUGGGAGAAAAUGCAGGAGGGGAUGGAGGGAUUGAAGAAUAUUUCUCCUCCAACAUUAAAUGGAUACCUCCAUCCCAUCCCCUAAAACCCCUUGUUGCUAUUCCUAAACAGGAUGCUACUUAUAUCCUCUCUCUAUGAGCAUGUGUGGCUAGUGAGGAAUGCAGGAUUUUGAUUUUGGCGGGGGGAGGGUGGGGCAAAUUGACAAUCAAGAAACAAUAGAAAAAAAACCUUAGCAAAUAAAGCACACAAACUUAAAAUGAAAGUUUAAUAUACGAUAAAUAAAAUAUAAAUAUUUUUAAUAAUAAAAUACACCAUAUAAAUAAAAUGAUAGAGCAAUAAUUGGGCACCAUAAGUGCUGUUAUUUGGUCAUAAUGUUGGCUACUUAUCAUGCUAAGUAGUGCAGCUUUGCUCAUAUUUGAUAUUUGUGUAAAUUACAGGCGGUUGGUGUUGAAACUGAUCUCUCGAGGCAAAUUUUCAGAAGACUUUUUAUUUCAGAGCGUGCCGACGCCAGAAACUAUAGAGAGACUCCUCAAAGGUGGACCGCGGGACUAAUUAACUAAACUUACCUUUAUUCCUGCUUGACGCUGCUGGAAGUGCGUUAAAACAAAAAGGCAAUAAUUUCCAGCGAAUUGGGUAACAACCAAUAAGGAGGAAAAUUAGGGGCACUAGCCUACAAAGCCGGACCCCGCGAGACUGGUAGACAAAGUGGGGAAUUAGGAAGUCUUCAAAGCGGCUAUUUUCUCGUGGGCUGCAGAGGUGAAAAGGACAAGUAGUUUGAGUCUUGCAGAGAGCUUUUGAGUUCUCUUACGUUUUGUCUUGCGGUAGCCACCCGGGGGAGGAUUGAAAAAGCCAUAUUCACGUGGGAUUAGGAGAUUAGCUUUAGUUUCUUGUAUCCCUGGGUAGACGAUCUGCUCUCUGCUUUGCUUUUGGCGACUUUCUUUAGACCUUUUUCUUUACUUUUCUCCGGCACGAACACGGAACCAAAAAAGAAGCAAGACUUUUCGUUUGUCUCGUCGUUAUUUCAUCUUUCCCAACUUUUUGGUAAUUAAGUGGAUGGAAUCAAUCAAAUCACGCGAGAUUGAUGUGAUGAGGAGUGGCUAGGUUUCUCUGCUACCCAAAGGUCGACGCGAAGGCGCGGUCCAUAACAUCUGUGAGAUCUAAUCGAACUUUCACUAUUUCUUCCAAUCCGUUACUAUUCGUGCGUUUUCUGGAUUAACUGUUUAUGAUUAUUUUAUUAAUUGAGUAUCAACAGCCGGAUAUUUAAUUUAAUCUAAUAGCCUACUGUCACGUUAACUAAAUUGAAUCCGUAAUUAUUCGUUUAGUUGAUAAUUAGUGACAACCAUCAUAAUUGGCUUUAUGUUGGGAAAAACGUAAGAUCUAAUUUAGAUAAACCCUCUUAUAGCGUGUUUAUUGGUUAGGGUUGGAUUUUUCUAGCGUUAAUGCAACUGAAUAAUUAAAUUCCUACGGUCGUAUCUAGGGUUAUUUUCUGGUUAGAGAAACAGUCAACGGUCGUACCUUGGCUAUCGAAAAAGUAAGAAAAAACUAGCAGUCAGAGCUUGUUGAUCGCUAUAACCAACCUAGUGACGAAUGAGUGAAAUAUCUUUGCAUCGAUGAUCAUUUAAUUGGACCGUGCCUGAAAAGUUGAUCCUUUGGAUAGAAUUUUGCUAAUUGCUAUUUUCAGUGAAUUGUACUUGGCGAGUUAGCUUUUGAAUUUUGUUUAUUUUAUUUUCAUUUUCAUUCCAUUAAAUAUCCCCCAAUUUUGUUCUAUUGACUUGGAAAGAAACAACUUCUUACCCGUUACUUGUGGAAUCGACCCUACUUGCCAUUUUCAGAAACAACUUCUUAAAUUUUAAUCCUUAUGAAACCCAGCUUCUCUCUCAAUUUUCAGAGGUUUCUUUUCCUUCAUCAUGUCAAAGUUGCUAUUAUAAUCACUGUAAUUAGACAGCUAAACCUGUCAUUCCAAUUAUACCCUUGGUCCGCCGUGGGAAAUACAUAAAAUGUGGUAGCGCUGCCCAAUAAGUCCCACAUUGGACCAUAUAAAAUUGUUUAAGGACUAAAUUGGUAAAAAAAAUCGUAAAUGAUGAAAUUGAUUUAAGUGAAAAAGUUCAAGGACCAAAUUGGCAAUUUUUCCUUAUUAUGAUUAUGAUUAUGAUUAUUAUUAUUAUUAUUAUUAUUAGUCUGAGAUGCCGAACAAGUUGUGGAGACUUAUUUCACCUUUACAAGGUCAUUGGAGGGCUUGACGAGGUGCGAUGUGGUAAGGAAAGGCACAAAAAACUCUUUUUUCUUUAUUAAAAAACAUACAAAUUGCACUAAUAAUGGCUGAAAAUGCAUCCAACAUGCAAUAGUGAAAAAUCGUUAGAUGCAAGAUAUAUAAAAGUUAACAAAAAUUAUCUUAGUACCUCUGAUAUAUUCCAAAUUCAGAUAAAUCAUCUGCCCCCAAUGAAUAUAUGUGCAUAUCAUCAUUGUCAAAAAAUAUUUAUGCAUAUCAUUGCCGUUAGAUUUUAUAUUGAAGUGGUUAAAGCUCCAAAUCUAGUAGAGAAGAAAUUCAACACUUGAGAAAAUAAGUUAAGAAAUUCAAGAUUUGACAUACAAAUCUGAAAAGCUCUCAAAUCUAACAAAACAAGAUAUAAAAUUAUCUGAAUAAAACUCUCACUAGAAUAUCUUAGUAGAGAAGAAAAUUCUCACUAGAUAGUCUCACUAUACUUUAUUAGACAUAAAAAAAAAAAAAAGAGAAGUCAAACAGAGGGAGGAAGGCAAUCCUCCAUGGAGGAAAUAAUAAUUGUCUUGAAGGUUGUGUAGAGAGAUGGUGGAGAAACUUCUUUUGUUUUAUCUAUUGGUUAUCUUUCUAAUUGCUAGUUAACGAACAAUAAACUCUAAAUGAAACUACUAAAUUUGCAACCGAAGACAUUUUUGGGCUUGUAUCUUAGUAUCGUAAUCGUCACCCAAUUAGAGCCGCCCAUGACGGCUUCAUUAAAUAUAUAAUUUGGGGGAACCAGGAUUUAAGGCCAAAUUUCGGCAACCUUCAAGGCACUUCAUUGUUUUCUCACAAAUUUUGUUUAUUUAUUGUAAAAGAUUAACUUUAAAGUGUCCUCAAAUUUCUUCCCUAUCUUCUCUCAAACUUUACCAGUGAAAAUUGUUUGUCUUCGGGUUCGUUUGUUUCGGGUGAAAAUGUUUUCCAGAAAAAGUAUUUUCCUAAUUUCCCGUGUUUGAUUGCACAAAAGUUACUGAAAACAUUUUACAUAAAUUUUCACUCAUCUUAUGGAAAACAACUUCCCUUCCAAACUUACUGAAGUUGUUUUCCGAAAUGCAUGCAUCCCGCCUGUAGUAUGUUCCAAACUUACUGAAACCAUCUUGUAGUAUGUUCUUUUUUUUUUUUAGUGUAAACAGGAGGACUCGAACCAAGACCUCUUCCUUACACUCCCUCCCCCGUACCAUCCAACCCAACCCAACCCUCCCCCUAGUAUAUUCAAAAUAAAAAAAAACCUCAUCCUACUCAUCCUAUUCUAGUAAUUAAUUAUGUAUAAUAGGGACAUUCUUUUCUAGAGAAACUUUCAGCAAUGAUAGUGCAAGAUAUAUGUCACAAUAAGCAUUGCAUGUGAUUGAUAUUUGACACUAAAUGGCCAGCAAUUUGUUUAUUGCUUAAGGAGAUAUUUUUUAUUCAUAUAUACAUUUCUCCAAGAUUUUUUAAAGUUAAACAAUGAGAUAAAUUUUCUUAUUUUGCAUGGGAAGAAGUAUGUAGUUAUAAUGUGUAGAAAGUAAAGAUAGAGAUAAAAGUGAAAAUAUUUCAAAAGUUAAACAAACACCAAAAAAAUGAAGUAAGAAAAUAUUUUCAAUAAACUAACCAAACACCUGAAAAUGAUGAAAGAGAAAUGAUUUUCAUGGAAAAUUACUUCCACGGAAAAUAUUUUCCCAAGAAAAACAUUUUACUUCCAACCAAACAGACCCUUCAUCUCGUUGAUUGUCUCCCCCAGUGCAUACAAAUGUAUUAUGGGCAUUUUGGUGAAAGAAAGGCAUAAACUGAGUUCUGCACAACUAAAUUUUGCCAAUAGCAUAUGAAAAUAUGAAGAAGAAUAAUAAUAAAUGAAGGGUCUGUCUAAUAAGUAUUCAUAGGGAACCAUUGAAAUAUAUCUCAAGUGUCAUGUUUUUGGAAAUGUAAAAUUAAUAGAAAAAAUAAAUAAAUACAAGAGAGAGUAGAUAAAAUUAAAUAAGAAAAGUUAAUAAUUGUUAAUAGAUAUAUAUACAUAAUAGAUUAGAUGAACGUUAAAUAUGUUAACAAGUACCUUAUUAGCACCCGUUAAAAAAAGCUAUAAAUGAAAGAUGUGAUCACCAAAUCAUUGACAAAGAAAUGUGUUGAAAAUGAAACAAGAAAGUCAAACAUGAUAAGGGAUCAAAAAUGGAAUUUAAUAAUUGCAGAUACUCCAAGAAGUUGAGUUGAAAUCAGUUAUCCGAUUUCAAAUUCACAACUUCUGCUGUCAAAGAACUACAAAGGGACUCAACUUCUGCUAAUUUAUAUUAGUUUCGAAACUCUUACAAGUACCCUAGCAUCUGAGAUUAUCACCGGGAUCAACACCCAACUGGUUACAAUAUUCAGCAUAAUACUCAACACGAGCACUAACAGUGUCCGGAUUUGCACCAUCACAUUCAAGCUGUCCGUUAACGGCACGAAUUGUAGCCCCAAAACCCUGGCCAGAAGUGAUAAGAUCAUGACAAUUGUUCAUCCAGAACCACAAGGCAGUUUUGAAUGAAAUAACAUUAUCUGUGGCCACAGUUUCAGGUUCAGUUAGUCCAUCGAACCCUAUGCUUUCACCUGCUGGUCCAUAGUUAAAGUUCCAAGAUAUUUGUAUUGGACCCCUGCCGUAAUAUCCCUUGCCUGGCACACAAGGGUACUGAGUGUUGCGCUCAUCACAAUAGUCUUUGGAAGGGCCGUCUAUCUCUUCUAUAUAGCACAUAUCUGCACAAUAUAGAGAAGUCUGUAUCAAUUAUCACUGCAUUCAAUUGCUUAUAUGAAAGCCACUCAUUGAUACAUUAUGGAUUUUAGAUAUUUUUACUAUUAAAAAACCUAUAAUCUAAAUACAAAAUAAAUGAGAACAUAAAAAAAAUUAAUUAUUUAAAAUCAGAAUCUAUAGUCAGUUAUAAUAAUCAAUCAAGAACAACCCCAAAAAAUGUCAUCAAUAUUUAAGAAGGGACCAUAUGUGAUAAAGAAAUUAUAAAGUUAUAAGUAAUCACAGACUAAAUAAAUAACCAAUACAACAAAGUAGAAAAAAUUAACGUCAAAGUGGGACGGAGGGAGUAUAUGUUUUUCUUGGUAUCCUAGCAAUAUGAUAGUUGGAGCAAUAACCAUUGUCAAAUUUUGGUGUUUGAUUGUUGCUCUCAUGCUUGAGGGCAAGCAUGGUUCAGGUGUGAGGAGAAUUGAUAGGGUGUUAAUUGUUAGUAAUUUUAUUGUUAAUUUUCCCUUUUAUCCUUGCCAAAUAUUGUUUUAAUUAUUAAUAUUUACUUAUAUUUGGUAUUUGGACUCAAUUUCAGGGAAUAGAGUAGAAAACUACAAAAAAGGAGGGACUUUAUGGAGACAAUGGAGACUUCAAACAACCGGGGCCACAUGGUGCCACAAACGGAUGGCAUUUCCUUUUUACUGAUUAGGAGUUGAAGUCUUUGAUGGGCAACAGGAAACGAAAAGUAGAGAAAAAUUCGGCAGAGCUUUCUUUUUGUACUUGGACUCCCAAUUCGUUGGGGACCACAGAGAGCAUUAAGGAGUCAUACUUUUGCUUGGAAUAAAAAGAACGUAUAGAGGCUAGGGAUAGUUUUUAGCAAUAGUUUAGUUUUCUUCCUUUUUCCUUUUCAUGCAUGCCUACUGUUCGACAAAAGUCCCAACUGGAGAAAUAUCUUUCACCUCUUGAUUAUUUAGUGAAAAACCCGAUGCCUUUGCAAUCAAUUAAUUUGCGUGGAAAUUUAUUUAUGCGGCGUGGCUAAACUUUUCAUCUAGUCAAGGAUCAACUCGACGGCGCAGUCCCGAAUAUCUGUGAGAUCUAAUUAGUUUUCACGCGUUCUUAAUUUGUUAAUAAUUGCGCGUUGUCUAUUCGAAUUUCCAUGGGAUUAUUUUGUUAAUUGGAUGUCAAGGGAUCGAUGUUCAAUGUGACUUAUUAAUCUCCUGCCAAAUUAGUCAAUUAAAUCCAUAAUUGUUUGAUUGGUUAAUAUUAGUGGCAACUGGCGUGUUUACACACCAGGGGAACGUGCAAUCUAAUUUAAAUAACCCUCGUAGCGUGUUAUUGAUUGGGGUUAGGUUUUUCUAGUUAUUAAUGCAAUUGAAAAAUUAAUUCCUACGGUCGUACCUAGGAGUAUUUUCUGGUUAGGGGUAAUCAAUGGUUGUACCUUGGUUAUCAAUAAAUUAAAGAAAAAUUGGUCGUUAGAGUUCGUCGGCGACUAUAACUAGUCUAUUAAUAAAUUAAGUGAACCUCCCUUACAUCAAUGAUCGGGUAAGUGGACUAUGUUUGAAUAGUUGUAUUCUUGGUUAGAAUUUAUCUAUUCUUGAAUUAAUUCCUGUGUAUAUUCGUGUUAGUUAAUUAUUCGUUUUAUUUGAAUUGCUUAAUUAUUUGUAGUUUUAUUCUGAUGAAACACCCAUUUUACCAAUUGGAAUCUCAAAGAGACAAAUAUCCUCAAUUCCUGAGGAGACGUGUGAGAACCCGUAUUUUCCCUAAUAAUUUUCCUAGGGUUUUUCCCCUUUAAUGGCAUGUUUUCUGCAUUUUCUGGCUUAGAAAAUUUUCCUGGUGAAUUUUAUGAGUAAUUAUAGUUUUUAGAUGAUUUUUCUAGCAUUGGAUAGUUUUUGAAAAAUUACGGAUAUAUAACGGACGUGGGGCCCACUAGUGCGAAAAGUUCGGAAAAAUUCGGUCAAUAAGGUUAAGUUCCGGAUACUGAGUGAAAUUUAUCGGGUGUUAAGAGAUAAGUAUAGGAUGUGAUGUGAUUGAUGUGAGAGGAAAACAAAAGGAUAGAAAUGCAUUAAUGAAGUGACACUUGUCAUGUUGGGAUUGGUUUCACUUGUUGACAACUAUUCAUUUUUUUUGACUUUUCUUACCAAUUGAUUAAAUAUCUCAAAAAUCACAAAAAAAUUCACUCUUGUCUUCACCUUCUUGGCCGGCCACCUUGAGCUUAAGAAGGAAGAAAACUCUUCAAAAUCUUGGCUACCAUCUAGCUCAAAUCCUCCAAAACAAUUGCUUGAUCUUGUUUCUACUCCAUAAAAUCUCUCCAUUUGGUACUAGUAAGUGAUUUGGUGAAGUGUUUAAGGAAGCUAAGGUGUCCAACAACUCUCCCUCUCUUGUUUACUAGGUGAGUGGUGAUUGAACUUCCUCCUACACUUAAUGAAGCUUAAGUUGUGCUUAGUGGUAGCUAAAGUGCUGAAAUUUGUGGUUUAUUUCUUGGUUUGAGAUGAAAUGAUGAAGUUUUCAAUUUAAUGGUGUAUUUUCUGGUUUAAUGUGAUCAUGAUGUUGUGGUUAUCUAUGAUGGUUGGUAAUGAAGGGUAAUGACUCUAGUAGGUGUACAUGAUUGGUAAUUGCAAGCAAUUUUGGGUUUGGAAGGAAUUUGAGAAAGUUAGGGUUUUAUAUCCCCAAUUCUGUCCGAUUUUGUAUCUCAUGGUUAGAGGCCGAAUUGGCCUUGUCUUAAAACAUGAAAGUUGUAGGUAUUGAUGUGUUUGAGGUGCCUGUAAAAUUUCAGGUUCAUCGGAGUUGUGUAGAGUGAGAAAAGUCGAUUUUACUGUUGCUGUUCUGGGUUCUUCAGGAUGGCCGAACUGCGUCUGUAAUUGGUGGUUUUGGCUGGAAUUGCUUUGGAUUUGGUUGUUGAGGCCUUCUGAUGAAAUGUAGCUUGAUGUCUUAGCUACCGCAUGCCUUUGGUAUGAAUGAAUUUGGACUUGUAUAGACUGAGUUGGACUAAUUACAGCAUAGUGUAUUUUGUAAACCUGCAAUUAAGGUUCUGGUUUGGUAUUUUGCAUAUUUGACCUAGUUGUGCUAGGAAUUGGACUGAGUGACCUUCUACAUUGUUGUAGCCCUGUUUCUUAGCUUCGAAACGGUGGGUCUUACACCCUCAUCCGAUAAGCGUAGUGCAAUUUGUGCCAUUACCGCAAACUGAGGACAAAACUGUUUUUUUUUCAGGGCCAAGUUAGUUACAUUUCCUGAUUUUCUGGUUUGCUAUAAUGCUUAUAUAUGAAUAUGAAACCCUAUUGGGGUUGUGAUUGGCAUGGCUUUAUGACUCGUUAUCGAGUCUCAUUGUAUUUGUUUACGUGUUUUAGGACGUGACGAGGGUUCACGACGACCUUUUAACGACGGUGCAUGAAACAUCACCUACUUGAGUAGUGAGUAUACUACUCACUUGAAUGUUUAUAAUGUGGCUUUGCUAUAUGUGAUUGUGAUGCCUUGAAGGCUUGUUUGGCUAUUGGACAUGGUUAAGGUGAGGGUGUACUUGACCGCCCUCAUCCUUUUUAUCUUGUUAAUGACUGUUUACCGUUUCACUGUAAUACUGCACUUGCUAUAUGAGAUAUUGAAUUCCAUUCAUGGGAAACUGUUUGGGUGUCGGUUGGACGAGUAUCCAACGGCCCUACUGCAUUACUGAGCUCGACCCCGUUGGUAGUUACUUGAAUCGAGCCAGCGAGGGCUUGGUCGUGAAAAUUGACUAGCCACGGGGACUGAAAUGGGAAUCUUGUGGUAAUGAGACCCUUGGUUCCGGUGUACUCGAGUAUCACCUAAAGCUACUGCUUGGAGUGCGGGCCCGGUUGGGGUAUGUUGGGUGGAAGGAAUGGAAGUGAAGUGAGGUCUACGGUCGGGUAUUCUUAAACAUUGACGGAGGGUCAAUGAGGUUGGAUCAAGAAUGUAAGCGUGGAAAUGGGCUCUUGAGAGCCGUCCGUAUCCUUUUACCGACUUGUUUUAUUUCUUAAUUGCGUACUUGAGAUGAAAGUUAAGUGAUCUUUGUUGAUUAUGUGAUAGUUGCUCACUGAGCUUUAGCUCACUCCGUUCCAUUUGUUUUCCUUACAGGAAAAAUGACUAUUUUGGGAAAGGUUGUGCUAGUUGGUUGUCAAGUUGAGCUCAUGUAAAUGUAUAUUUUGAAUAGCUCCUUGAGGGUGAAAACCCUAAGUGUUUUGUUUCAACCAAUGGUUGGUUUGUAAUUGGCCAAUUGCACAUGUGUGAACUUGUUGGAUAUUUUGGUAUACCGCUUUGGCUUGUAAAUGUUAAAUUUCGAUGUAUAUAUGUUGGAUUGAUGUUUGGUUGAACUCCGGAUUCUGACAUGGCCGGUACUGUUCAUCAUCGGCUUCGAUUUUCAUAUUUUUUUUAUUUUGUGAUUUUGACUUGUUUGCGCGCGUUGGUGUGUUCCGGAACGUAGUAGAUCGACGUAAACUGAUCCGUUAGUCCUGGCGAGAGCUGGGCAGCCAGUCCGCUAACCCCUUUGGUUCGCCUUAGGGGAAGGUGGGGCUGUUACAAGACGACCCUACUUGCCACUGUCUGCCAAUUAGUAAAUUUUGUCAAAUAAUUAAUUCUGGUAUAUCGGAUUAAGCAAACUCUUCGAGAACAGGGUGAAUCAAGUAACCCAUUGCACACCUAGAGUCCCUGCUCCAGUACUUAGAAUUGAUUAUCGACUACUUUUGACGGGCGUAGGGUAUACAUAUAACAUUAAGCUCAUCCUAAUCAAGUUUUACAUUUAUAAACUCCUAAAUACCCUACACGCGAUUUAUCGCAAGUAUACGAAUCGUGAGCGAGUAUAGGGUAUUAAAAGUCGAUCUCACAAUGAAGAUUGCAAUUACCGGCACUACUAAAGCUUCUCUAUUAUUUAGACUAUCAAUGAAUUAUAACAAAUUUAACCUACUGAACUUAUGCAAGAAAAUAACAAAUGAAAGCUCCUUAAGUUGUGGUAUCCCUAACUACUCAUGCAAGUGCUAUAUUUGGAUCAUUGAAUACUACUAUCUAGGCUAGUUAUGGUGUAAUUUCCUUAAACAUGUGAAACCUACUUUCGUAGUGAAUCAACUAUAUUCAUAACUAAUCCAUACAUAUUCUCAUGGUUAUGAAAUUAGCUACAAGUUCAUUUCUUCAAUGAAAUUAAUCACUAAAAUCACAUAGGUGCACCUCUACUCUCGUGAGCGUACUCCCUAUGUUUAGCACUUCUUAAACUAGUGUUAAAUCUCAAUUUUCAUUGCAGAAACAACACCUUAAAUAAUCACAAUCAAUGGUACCAGAUUAAUCAUGAUUUAAAGAGCCAAAGUACUAAAUAACUUGCUCAAAUCAUAGCAAUCAAAUAACCAAAUAAUAAAUACUAACAAUUAUAGAAAGUUCAACCAAACCCAAGGCAUAAACGUUAGAGACACAUAUUAAACACAAAAUCCAGAACUUGCAUAUCAACUAAACUUAGAAUCCAAUACAAAAGAUAAAGAGUUGGAAAAGAGAUAACCAUUGUCACAUGAGCUUCAACUCCUCCUUUUUCAUCUCCAUUUUCAUCCUAAUCUAGCUAAUAUACAAGAAUGGAAGAGCUAUACUAUUCUAAACUAAACUAUCCUACUACUCAGAAAGUGCAAGAGCUACAUCUCUGCACUCCAAGUUUCUCCUGUAUGUCUCUCUAUUCUCCCUUCAAUCUUGCAAGCUUUGGCUAUAUAAAGGUGAAAGUUGGUCAAGAAGUGAGGUUUACACCUCCCUUUUACAGCUGGGAAUGUUUCUCACAUGUCUAGCAUCACCUGUGACUUAGUGGAGGUGAAAUUGAGUUUCCCACGUAAAGAGCAGCCUUCUCUGACCACAAUCCGGCCAGAAAUCUGGCCAAGUUCCGGCCGGAUUGCUACAGUGACAUUUUGGUGCACUUUUGUUCAAUUUCCAGCUCUGCUCCAAUUUUGUGUCAAUUUCAACUGAACUUUUGUUGAUGAUAAAAGCUGAUUUAGCUCUUGAUCAACAUAAAACUUGUAGCCCUUUGAGUUAGCUUUCCAAUGCAUCAAGAAUCACCUCAUUUGGAUCUGUGUAGGCUGAGAAAUGACCGAAAUACCUUUGACUGCUCACUGCCCUAUUUCAGCUUCGACCAAUAGAAAUUAGCUACUGUAAUUCGGCUUUUUAACCUGGAAAACCUUCAAAAUAGAUUCAGAUGUCUUCACCAAAGUUGUAGAUCUAUCUCUUAUCUUCAAAUUGGUUUAAGAAUCAUCUCAAUCCGAUCAUUAUAGCUCAAGUUAUAGCCAAAAUACGAAAAUGUGUCAAAACUGUCAAAAUGCACAAAAUCCAAGUAAAAAGUGAUAAAAACCUCAUUUAAUUACUUAAAAGCAUUUUUCACCAAUUAUAGCCAAAAUGAAUCAUUUUCUUCCAAUAAUGUAACCAAAGUGACUAACAAUAAUAUAAAAUAUCAUACAAUUAUUACAUAAAUUAGUCACUUAUCAGCUUUUAUUGGCAAUUAGGUUUAUUUUUAUUAUUGCACAGGUUCGGCACCUGUCAUUAGGAGUACUGGUUUUGCUGUGGGAUUUUUCGUUUUCUUUGUCAGCUGCGUCAGCUGCAUGGUGCUUUAGAGCAUAAGCCUUUGUUUUGUAUCGAAACAUCACGGCCAAAAUUGCCAAAAGCAUAUCGAAACAUGAACACAAAAUGAAAGAUGUGAGGAAACUUUAAUGAAGAUAUGCCUUGAGAUUUAAACACCAAAGACAAAAGCUCAAAAAAUAUUAUCAACGGAUCAAAAUAAGAACUUGAUUAUUGGUAAAACACUCCAACAAGUUAAGUCGAACCAAGAUCAACAUAAUCAAUUAUUUGAUUUCAAGAGUCAUAACUUUUGCUUGUAAAGAACAAAUAAAGUUAAACAAUUUAUUGCUUUUUUCCCCCCAGUCAGCUGUGUACCUCAACAUUAUUUCACGUCAAAAACUUGUUUUUCCUCGGAUUAAAUACCCUAGCAUCUGAGGUUAUCACCAGUCUCGACACCCAAUUGUCUACAAUAUUCAGUAUAAUACUCAACUCGAGCACUAACUGUGUUUGGAUUUGCACCAUCACAUUCAAGCCGACCAUUAAUGGCACGAAUUGUAGCCCCAAAACCCUGGCCAGAAGUGAUAAGAUCAUGACAAUGGUUCAUCCAAUACCACAAGCCAGUUUUGAAUGAAAUAACAUUAUUUGUAGCUACAGUUUCAGGUUGGCUGAGUCCAUUGAAUCCAAUGCUUUCACCUGCUGGUCCAUAGUUAGAGUUCCAUGAUAACUGUAUUGGACCCCUGCCGUAAUAUCCCUUGCCUGGCACACAUGGAUACUGAGUGUUGCUCUCAUCACAGUAAUCUCUGGAGGGGCCGUCUAUCUCUUCUAUGUAGCACAAAUCUGCGCAAUAUAAAGAAAUUUUGUCACUCAAUUGAAAUGAUUGAUAAAGGGUUAGAAUCAAAGAAAAUCAGGAGGUCUGGAAUUUUUUGUAAAUUUUUAGAUUUGAUUGUUUUACUAAUGAAUUCAAUUGGUGAGAAAAGACUUUAUCCCAUUUUGUAAAAAUUGGGUUGGACAGACCUAAAGUAAACACUCUUUUUAUGAGGUAAAAUUUUAGAAUGAUUUAACAUUAUAGGGUUAUACGAUAGAUAAAUAAAAAUUGGCAAUAGCAAGAUUAAGAAGGGACCAACAGUGAUAUAAAAAUUACAAAGGUAUCAUGGACGUCUAAAAUAUAUUUGGCUAAUAAAUUUGAACUAAUUUACGGCCAAAUUUAGGUGAAAUAGUUAAUUCUACUUGGUAAAUUGGAAGUUCGGAAACGUGUAUCUGUCAGUUGUCAUACUCAUGAGCGAGCCAAUCUUAACUUAAAAAAGAAAAAGAAAAAAAGAAAAAGAAAAAAGGAAUCCAAAAGAUAAAAGUAGAAAAGGCAUGAAUUUUAAAACGUAAUCGUAAUACCUUGUACCCGAAACAAAUAUGUGCAAUACUUAUUAAGCUAAGCAAAGCCACAUGAUCUACUCUUAGAUGCAGCAAAAUAUACAACCACCUUAAGCUUGGAAUGUAAAGGCAGAAAAACUUGCUUAUGUAGAUAUAAAAGUGACCACUACAAGAAAAGUAAAAAGAAUAUGGAGAUAAUAAUCCUUCUGUUCAUCAUGAUAAAUUAUUUAACAGUAAUAAAUCUUUCAUAUUCAAGUUUUAUUUUUUGAAGAAAAAAUUCUUGGAUAAUAGUGCACAGGAGAUUCCAAGAUAUACUAUCUAGAAAUUCACAGGAGCUACUAAAAAAGUAGAAAAUAUCUUCAAAAUUUAAUUUCCAAGCUAGUGUUAUUCAAAACUUACGUCCAGUCUCAUGAGUGACAUGAGCAAAGAAAGCAGCAAUCUCCCUUUUAGAAUCAUCAACAGAACCAGCGGUUCCAAACUGGGGAUACGAGUUCAGAGCUUCAAGAAAAGCUGAUCGAGUAUAGAACCCUUUUCCAGCACAGCUUGAAGCAGCUUGAUCAGCAAUCCCAUUAAAGAAAGCGUCCGUCACAAUAUCAGCAACUGAAACGCCACUAUUACCACUGCUCGGAGCAGCGGUGCAAGGGCCGGAUUGACAGCCAGAGCCGCAGUAGUCGUUGCCGGUACCGCAAUAGCCGAAUUUGCUGCAGCACAAGUCUGGUGCACAGCCGCAGUUUUGGCUUGAAAUCAGCUGUGGAAAGGCUCCUACAAGAACUACAAUGGAGAAAAUGAUGGUUGGAAAACUCUUCAUUUUUGGAUUUGAUAAAGGAGAGAAGCUUGUGGGCAGCAGUUGUAUCAGAAAAAAGGGUAUAUGUAGGGAAGAGAACUGAAAACUGAUCAGCUUGUGUGAAGCAUGCACAGCUGCUAUUGUUGAAAAUAUUGAAUUUGAGCAAUUAAAGAAAACAGAACAGAAGACGAAAGCGUGAAUGGUUGACUUCUAUCGAGAGUAUUGACUUUGACAUUGUCAAUGAAGCGGAAACUUUCUUUCUUGGCUUCUAGAAUGGGAAAGGUCAAAAAGAAAGAUUUUGGCCAAUUCGUAUGAACAAUUGUGAGAAUAAGGCAUGUAGACUCACAAGUCCCCACUAGAAUGUGUGCAAAAAUAUAAUUUGAAGUUGCCUAAAUCAUUUAAUUUCAUGCUUGUUAUUGAGUUUAUUUGCCUAACUGUGUUUUAGUAAUACUUCAAAAUUGUGUUUGAGUUAGAACGGAAAAAAAUAUGAGACAUUUUUUUUUUAAUUGCAAUUCCAGAAAUAAAAUCUUAUAAAACAUGUAUUAGAAAAAUUUUGAGGGUAAAUGAUAUGAAAAAAAAAAAGAAGAAAUAGUUCUAUAAAUUGACAUAAGUGUUCAUCGGCUUUUGGAAAAAUUAAGAAAGAAUAAAGCAGCCGACAUAUCUAUCAUGCAUAACAACAUUAUGUGGCUUUUGUUAGUACACGCUAUGACCAUAUAUGUUUCAUUUGAGAUGCUUGUCGGACGUGUUGAAUUGUUGGCAAUGAAAUGCUCCAAAAUGUCAGCACUAUAGUUUAUAAAUAGUAUUAGGUCAUACUGAAUUAUCGACAUAUCGUUACAUGCAGAGUCGUGAAAAUAUACAAGUCUUUCCCUAUCAUUAAUUAGUUGGUCAAAUGACAAUUUUAGAGUGGCUGCUGACUAUGUCAAGAAACAUCUUGCAGUAAAUUGGGCGAGUUAAUGUACUUUUCUUUUUCUAAAUAUUUGCACUUAAACUCUCAAAUCGACCAUAGUUUUAACUAAUUUUGCUCUGGCUUUAUUCUUGAUUCGCAAAAUUCAGAAAAACCAAAACAAACCCUUGUUACUGAAGAUAUCAAAAUGGUAACCCAACUAAGUAAUUGAUUUUGAAAAACAUUCUGAACCAAAUUUCAAGUUUUGGUUUCUUUGCUCUUUUUCUACUGAAAGGCAACUUCCCCGGGCCAAGAAAUUGAAACAAAUAGUACGAUGCUUAAGUUUUCUAUGCUCUUAUGAUCAAGUCAAACCAUGCUUAUAAUCAAUUACAUAAAAAAUUACGGGCAAUUUCGUCAUUAUUUGGGAGGAGGAGGAAUAUUAAGCAAAAAAAAAAGUUCUAUUAAGAAAACGAUUAAGCAUAUUAUUUUCCAGGAAUAAAAAAGAACGAGCAGAGAAAUACAUUAGUUUGGAUGACAUUACAACAUUUAGCAACAUGAUUAGGGAUGCAAUGGGAUGGGUGCCAAUUGGGAAUCAAUGGGAUGGGAGAAAAUGCAGGAGGGGAUGGAGGGAUUGAAGAAUAUUUCUCCUCCAACAUUAAAUGGAUACCUCCAUCCCAUCCCCUAAAACCCCUUGUUGCUAUUCCUAAACAGGAUGCUACUUAUAUCCUCUCUCUAUGAGCAUGUGUGGCUAGUGAGGAAUGCAGGAUUUUGAUUUUGGCGGGGGGAGGGUGGGGCAAAUUGACAAUCAAGAAACAAUAGAAAAAAAACCUUAGCAAAUAAAGCACACAAACUUAAAAUGAAAGUUUAAUAUACGAUAAAUAAAAUAUAAAUAUUUUUAAUAAUAAAAUACACCAUAUAAAUAAAAUGAUAGAGCAAUAAUUGGGCACCAUAAGUGCUGUUAUUUGGUCAUAAUGUUGGCUACUUAUCAUGCUAAGUAGUGCAGCUUUGCUCAUAUUUGAUAUUUGUGUAAAUUACAGGCGGUUGGUGUUGAAACUGAUCUCUCGAGGCAAAUUUUCAGAAGACUUUUUAUUUCAGAGCGUGCCGACGCCAGAAACUAUAGAGAGACUCCUCAAAGGUGGACCGCGGGACUAAUUAACUAAACUUACCUUUAUUCCUGCUUGACGCUGCUGGAAGUGCGUUAAAACAAAAAGGCAAUAAUUUCCAGCGAAUUGGGUAACAACCAAUAAGGAGGAAAAUUAGGGGCACUAGCCUACAAAGCCGGACCCGCGAGACUGGUAGACAAAGUGGGGAAUUAGGAAGUCUUCAAAGCGGCUAUUUUCUCGUGGGCUGCAGAGGUGAAAAGGACAAGUAGUUUGAGUCUUGCAGAGAGCUUUUGAGUUCUCUUACGUUUUGUCUUGCGGUAGCCACCCGGGGGAGGAUUGAAAAAGCCAUAUUCACGUGGGAUUAGGAGAUUAGCUUUAGUUUCUUGUAUCCCUGGGUAGACGAUCUGCUCUCUGCUUUGCUUUUGGCGACUUUCUUUAGACCUUUUUCUUUACUUUUCUCCGGCACGAACAGGGAACCAAAAAAGAAGCAAGACUUUUCGUUUGUCUCGUCGUUAUUUCAUCUUUCCCAACUUUUUGGUAAUUAAGUGGAUGGAAUCAAUCAAAUCACGCGAGAUUGAUGUGAUGAGGAGUGGCUAGGUUUCUCUGCUACCCAAAGGUCGACGCGAAGGCGCGGUCCAUAACAUCUGUGAGAUCUAAUCGAACUUUCACUAUUUCUUCCAAUCCGUUACUAUUCGUGCGUUUUCUGGAUUAACUGUUUAUGGUUAUUUUAUUAAUUGAGUAUCAACAGCCGGAUAUUUAAUUUAAUCUAAUAGCCUACUGUCACGUUAACUAAAUUGAAUCCGUAAUUAUUCGUUUAGUUGAUAAUUAGUGACAACCAUCAUAAUUGGCUUUAUGUUGGGAAAAACGUAAGAUCUAAUUUAGAUAAACCCUCUUAUAGCGUGUUUAUUGGUUAGGGUUGGAUUUUUCUAGCGUUAAUGCAACUGAAUAAUUAAAUUCCUACGGUCGUAUCUAGGGUUAUUUUCUGGUUAGAGAAACAGUCAACGGUCGUACCUUGGCUAUCGAAAAAGUAAGAAAAAACUAGCAGUCAGAGCUUGUUGAUCGCUAUAACCAACCUAGUGACGAAUGAGUGAAAUAUCUUUGCAUCGAUGAUCAUUUAAUUGGACCGUGCCUGAAAAGUUGAUCCUUUGGAUAGAAUUUUGCUAAUUGCUAUUUUCAGUGAAUUGUACUUGGCGAGUUAGCUUUUGAAUUUUGUUUAUUUUAUUUUCAUUUUCAUUCCAUUAAAUAUCCCCCAAUUUUGUUCUAUUGACUUGGAAAGAAACAACUUCUUACCCGUUACUUGUGGAAUCGACCCUACUUGCCAUUUUCAGAAACAACUUCUUAAUUUUAAUCCUUAUGAAACCCAGCUUCUCUCUCAAUUUUCAGAGGUUUCUUUUCCUUCAUCAUGUCAAAGUUGCUAUUAUAAUCACUGUAAUUAGACAGCUAAACCUGUCAUUCCAAUUAUACCCUUGGUCCGCCGUGGGAAAUACAUAAAAUGUGGUAGCGCUGCCCAAUAAGUCCCACAUUGGACCAUAUAAAAUUGUUUAAGGACUAAAUUGGUAAAAAAAAUCGUAAAUGAUGAAAUUGAUUUAAGUGAAAAAGUUCAAGGACCAAAUUGGCAAUUUUUCCUUAUUAUGAUUAUGAUUAUGAUUAUUAUUAUUAUUAUUAUUAUUAGUCUGAGAUGCCGAACAAGUUGUGGAGACUUAUUUCACCUUUACAAGGUCAUUGGAGGGCUUGACGAGGUGCGAUGUGGUAAGGAAAGGCACAAAAAACUCUUUUUUCUUUAUUAAAAAACAUACAAAUUGCACUAAUAAUGGCUGAAAAUGCAUCCAACAUGCAAUAGUGAAAAAUCGUUAGAUGCAAGAUAUAUAAAAGUUAACAAAAAUUAUCUUAGUACCUCUGAUAUAUUCCAAAUUCAGAUAAAUCAUCUGCCCCCAAUGAAUAUAUGUGCAUAUCAUCAUUGUCAAAAAAUAUUUAUGCAUAUCAUUGCCGUUAGAUUUUAUAUUGAAGUGGUUAAAGCUCCAAAUCUAGUAGAGAAGAAAUUCAACACUUGAGAAAAUAAGUUAAGAAAUUCAAGAUUUGACAUACAAAUCUGAAAAGCUCUCAAAUCUAACAAAACAAGAUAUAAAAUUAUCUGAAUAAAACUCUCACUAGAAUAUCUUAGUAGAGAAGAAAAUUCUCACUAGAUAGUCUCACUAUACUUUAUUAGACAUAAAAAAAAAAAAAAGAGAAGUCAAACAGAGGGAGGAAGGCAAUCCUCCAUGGAGGAAAUAAUAAUUGUCUUGAAGGUUGUGUAGAGAGAUGGUGGAGAAACUUCUUUUGUUUUAUCUAUUGGUUAUCUUUCUAAUUGCUAGUUAACGAACAAUAAACUCUAAAUGAAACUACUAAAUUUGCAACCGAAGACAUUUUUGGGCUUGUAUCUUAGUAUCGUAAUCGUCACCCAAUUAGAGCCGCCCAUGACGGCUUCAUUAAAUAUAUAAUUUGGGGGAACCAGGAUUUAAGGCCAAAUUUCGGCAACCUUCAAGGCACUUCAUUGUUUUCUCACAAAUUUUGUUUAUUUAUUGUAAAAGAUUAACUUUAAAGUGUCCUCAAAUUUCUUCCCUAUCUUCUCUCAAACUUUACCAGUGAAAAUUGUUUGUCUUCGGGUUCGUUUGUUUCGGGUGAAAAUGUUUUCCAGAAAAAGUAUUUUCCUAAUUUCCCGUGUUUGAUUGCACAAAAGUUACUGAAAACAUUUUACAUAAAUUUUCACUCAUCUUAUGGAAAACAACUUCCCUUCCAAACUUACUGAAGUUGUUUUCCGAAAUGCAUGCAUCCCGCCUGUAGUAUGUUCCAAACUUACUGAAACCAUCUUGUAGUAUGUUCUUUUUUUUUUUUAGUGUAAACAGGAGGACUCGAACCAAGACCUCUUCCUUACACUCCCUCCCCCGUACCAUCCAACCCAACCCAACCCUCCCCCUAGUAUAUUCAAAAUAAAAAAAAACCUCAUCCUACUCAUCCUAUUCUAGUAAUUAAUUAUGUAUAAUAGGGACAUUCUUUUCUAGAGAAACUUUCAGCAAUGAUAGUGCAAGAUAUAUGUCACAAUAAGCAUUGCAUGUGAUUGAUAUUUGACACUAAAUGGCCAGCAAUUUGUUUAUUGCUUAAGGAGAUAUUUUUUAUUCAUAUAUACAUUUCUCCAAGAUUUUUUAAAGUUAAACAAUGAGAUAAAUUUUCUUAUUUUGCAUGGGAAGAAGUAUGUAGUUAUAAUGUGUAGAAAGUAAAGAUAGAGAUAAAAGUGAAAAUAUUUCAAAAGUUAAACAAACACCAAAAAAAUGAAGUAAGAAAAUAUUUUCAAUAAACUAACCAAACACCUGAAAAUGAUGAAAGAGAAAUGAUUUUCAUGGAAAAUUACUUCCACGGAAAAUAUUUUCCCAAGAAAAAUAUUUUACUUCCAACCAAACAGACCCUUCAUCUCGUUGAUUGUCUCCCCCAGUGCAUACAAAUGUAUUAUGGGCAUUUUGGUGAAAGAAAGGCAUAAACCGAGUUCUGCACAACUAAAUUUUGCCAAUAGCAUAUGAAAAUAUGAAGAAGAAUAAUAAUAAAUGAAGGGUCUGUCUAAUAAGUAUUCAUAGGGAACCAUUGAAAUAUAUCUCAAGUGUCAUGUUUUUGGAAAUGUAAAAUUAAUAGAAAAAAUAAAUAAAUACAAGAGAGAGUAGAUAAAAUUAAAUAAGAAAAGUUAAUAAUUGUUAAUAGAUAUAUAUACAUAAUAGAUUAGAUGAACGUUAAAUAUGUUAACAAGUACCUUAUUAGCACCCGUUAAAAAAACCUAUAAAUGAAAGAUGUGAUCACCAAAUCAUUGACAAAGAAAUGUGUUGAAAAUGAAACAAGAAAGUCAAACAUGAUAAGGGAUCAAAAAUGGAAUUUAAUAAUUGCAGAUACUCCAAGAAGUUGAGUUGAAAUCAGUUAUCCGAUUUCAAAUUCACAACUUCUGCUGUCAAAGAACUACAAAGGGACUCAACUUCUGCUAAUUUAUAUUAGUUUCGAAACUCUUACAAGUACCCUAGCAUCUGAGAUUAUCACCGGGAUCAACACCCAACUGGUUACAAUAUUCAGCAUAAUACUCAACACGAGCACUAACAGUGUCCGGAUUUGCACCAUCACAUUCAAGCUGUCCGUUAACGGCACGAAUUGUAGCCCCAAAACCCUGGCCAGAAGUGAUAAGAUCAUGACAAUUGUUCAUCCAGAACCACAAGGCAGUUUUGAAUGAAAUAACAUUAUCUGUGGCCACAGUUUCAGGUUCAGUUAGUCCAUCGAACCCUAUGCUUUCACCUGCUGGUCCAUAGUUAAAGUUCCAAGAUAUUUGUAUUGGACCCCUGCCGUAAUAUCCCUUGCCUGGCACACAAGGGUACUGAGUGUUGCGCUCAUCACAAUAGUCUUUGGAAGGGCCGUCUAUCUCUUCUAUAUAGCACAUAUCUGCACAAUAUAGAGAAGUCUGUAUCAAUUAUCACUGCAUUCAAUUGCUUAUAUGAAAGCCACUCAUUGAUACAUUAUGGAUUUUAGAUAUUUUUACUAUUAAAAAAUCUAUAAUCUAAAUACAAAAUAAAUGAGAACAUAAAAAAAAUUAAUUAUUUAAAAUCAGAAUCUAUAGUCAGUUAUAAUAAUCAAUCAAGAACAACCCCAAAAAAUGUCAUCAAUAUUUAAGAAGGGACCAUAUGUGAUAAAGAAAUUAUAAAGUUAUAAGUAAUCACAGACUAAAUAAAUAACCAAUACAACAAAGUAGAAAAAAAAAAGGAAAACAAUAAUCCCUCUGCCCAGUUAUAAGAGACACACCCUCAUGAUAAAUUUCUUUUUUUUCUUUUUCAGUUAUGUCAUUUUAAGUUAUUUGACAAUAGAAAGUAUUUCAUAUUAAUGUCGUUAUCUUUGAAGAAAGUUCUUGGACAAUAGUGCACAGGACAACAUCCUACGUAGAACUGUACAAAGAUUUAGUAAAUAGGAUCUAAGACGUAGAAAAGUUGCUAAAAAUUUCAAAAAAACUAAAUCUCCUUGGUGGAGUUGUUCAAAGCUUACGUCCAGUCUCAUGAGUGACAUGAGCAAAGAAGGCGGCAAUCUCCCUUUUGGAAUCAUCAACUGAACCAACUGUUCCAAACUCAGAAUACAAAUUCUGAGCUUCAAGAAACGCCGAUCGAGUAUAGAACCCUUUUCCAGCACAGCUUGAACCAGCUUGAUCAGAAAUCCAGCUAAAGAAAGCGUCUGUCACAACAUCAGCAACUGAAACACCAUUAUUACCACCAUCUGAUGAAGCGGUGCAAGGGCCGGACUGGCAGCCUUUGCCACAAUAGUCGUCGCUGGUGCCACAAUAGCCCCACUGGCUGCAGCAUAAAUCUGGUUCACAGUCACAGUUUUGGCUUGAAAUCAGCUGGGAAAAGGACCCUACAAGAACUGCAAUGGAGAAAAUGAUGAUUCGAAAAUUCUUCAUUUCUGUACUUGAAGAAGGAGAAAAGGAUGUGGACAGAAAUUGUUUGAGUAAGAAGGAUAUUUAUAGCAUGGAGAACUGGAAAAGUGAUCAGCUUGUGUGAAGUAUGGAGAACUGCUAUUGUUGGAAAUCUUGAAGUUGAGCACUGAAUGGAAUGGAUAUAAAAUGCAAUAUUAGUGCUUGACUUUCAAUUAAUCUAUUGACUUUGGCACUGUCAAAAAGUAGCAACCUUCUUUCUUGGCAUUCGGAAUGGGAAUUGUGGAAAAGAAAAAUUUUGGCCAAUUGAUAUCAACAAUUGUGAGUACAAGUCACAAGUCACAAAUAUAAUGCGUGCAAAAAAGAUAACUUGAUGUUGUCUGUAUCAUCUGAUGUUAAUAAAGCCUAACUCUGUUGUAGUCCUAUUUCAGUCUCGUAUUUGAGUCAGAACACAGAUGAUAUUUGUACCAUUCUAGAUCCACGGGCUGCCCUACUACAAAUACUUUUCAUUUGGCUUAAAAAAAACAUUUUAAAGGGUGUAAGCUUUACAAUUAAAGCACGAUCUUUACCUUAUCAUGCAAAGUAUUGGACAUAUAAAAUUUUAUCAAACUGUUGUAGUGAAAAGAACUCAAAUGAUCAAAUUUUAUCCAGUUGAUAAAUAUAGAAUCCUAAAUAAAAUGCAUAGUCCUUUUUUUUUCCUUUAGAGUUCUUAUUGCAUACUAUAUGAAUUAAUUGGUAAAAUUUUGGUAGCGUAUAGGAAAUGAUACCAAUAUAAAAACUACAUUUACUACUCGAGGGCUUAUUAUGCUGCCCAAUUUUUUGGUUUCUACCAUGAGCUGAAAAAAAAUCUUUUCGAAGCAUAAGUUUCCCCAAAUUCUCAUAGACUUUACAAAUGAAAGUUAUUUGUUUCUUGUCGUUCAUUGACUCACCAUGCGUGUGCAGAUGAAUUAUUGAUUGGCCUUUUUGUGGCAGAAAGAUAAAACAGAAUUGAACCAAAGACCUCAUAAUUCCCUAAUUAGUCACUUCAGCCAGUUGAAUUAGAUCUUAUUCACAAGUUUUUUGUACUUCGGUAUAAUAGCGCUCCUGUUCCUUAGUCUCUUAUGCUUCGGUUUACUCCCAAUCUUAAUUGCCUUAACAUUGGUGCAUUUAGACCCUUGCAUUUGGUAAUUCAUAAUCUUAGUAUAGUUAUGAUCCUCAAAUAUCAUACCUUGAGAAACAUCACGGCUAAAAUUACCAACAGCAUAUUGAAACAUGAAAAGUAAAUGAAAGACGUGCAGAAACUUCAAUGGAGAGGCUUGUUGAGAGUGGAAACACCAAAGUCGAAAGCUCGACGAAUACGAUCAAGGGUUCAAAACUGGAACAUGCCUAUUCGUAAAUAGUCCAAGAAAUCGAAACAAGACCAACAAAAUCAAUUAUAUGAUUUCAAAACUUAACAACUUUCGCUUGUAAAGAGCAAGAAAGGUAAACACCUUUUGCUAAUUUUUAUUAAUUUCCAAUCAGUUUUAAGCCUUUAUAGCUCAACAUAUUACUCCCUUCCGAGCACUUUCGGCUCUCCAGAAGUACCCUAGCAUCUGAGAUUCGGACCAGGAUCAACACCCAGUUGGCGACAAUAUUGAGUAUAAUACCCAACACGAGCACUAACAGUGUUUGGAUUUGCACCGUCACAUUCAAGCCGACCAUUAAUGGCACGAAUUGUAGCCCCGAAACCCUGGCCGGAAAUGAUAAGAGAAUGACAAUGGUUCAUCCAAAACCACAAGGCAGUUUUGAAUGAAAUAACAUUAUUCCUGGCUACAAGUUCAGGUUGACUUAGUCCAUUGAACCCAAUGCUUUGUCCUGCUGGUCCAUAGUUGUAGUUCCAUGAUAUUUGUAGUGGACCGCGGCCGUAAUACCCCUUGCCUGGCACACAUGGAUACUGAGUGUUGCUCUUGUCACAGUAGUUUCUGGACGGGCCGCUUAUCUCUUCUAUAUAGCACAUAUCUGCAUGAUAUAGAGAAGUGGUAUUAGUUAUCAUUCCGUCGAAUUGCCAAAAAAGGAAAAAAUGAACGUUAGGUAAGACAAGGAUUGUCGGAUGAUAUGAUAAUGAAAAAUGUAGCAAAAUUUUAUGAGUUCUAAUAACAAUUAAUUGCAAAAUUAUAGAAUUGAAAGGAUUUAAGAAUCACAAACAAAAAUAUUUAUGUGGGAGAAAAGAGAAUAAAUAACUUAACUCAAAAUGUCAUUAAUAUUUCAAACAAAGAAGAAAAUCUCACCACAAUAAAAAUCUAAUAAAUUUUCUAUAGACUAUUUUAGGCUCUCUUAAAUUUUUAGAAAAUACUCCACCUAAUACUCUAGUGCUAAUUUAUGAGAAUCAUUGAAUAAGAAACAACACGAUUAAUUAUGAAAUAAAACACCAAUCACUAAAUAAUAAAAUUACUAGAAAUUGACUUCAAUAAAACUAAUGAUAAUUAAAUAGAAAAUUUUUGAAGCUUGGUUUAUUUUGCCAAAAAAAGAAAAGAAAAGAAGAGCCAUCAAUAUUUAUGAAUAGACCACAAGUGAUUUAAAAUUUACAAAGUUGUAAGUAAUGAUUUAAAAUUUACAAAGUUGUAAGUAAUCACAUGCUUACUAAAUUAUAAAGUUGACUACUACAACAAAGUGAAAAGAACGGAAAAUAAUAAUUUCUCUAUCCAAUUAUAAGUGGCACCCAUAUUCAUGAUAAAUUAUUACAAUAAUAAGUAUUUCUUGUUAAAAUUUUAGUUUUUGAAGAAAGUUCUUGGAUAAUAUUGCAAAGAAAAAUAGUCAAAACUUGGGGACAUCCGGUUUUCAAAAAUCCAAUAGACCAAAGUGUGCUAUACUUUCUCACCAAGUGGUUUAACACAAUUUGGACUAUUGAAUUUUUGAACAUGGGACUUACCCAAGUGUGAGUCCAGAAAAAUAAUCUAUAUAUUACUGUACCAACAUUUAGAAAAGUUACUAAAAAUAUUUUAUAGAAAGUUCCAAAGUAAUUCUCUUUGGUAGAGUUGUUGAAAACACUUACGUCCAGUCUCAUGAGUGACAUGAGCAAAGAAAGCAGCAACCUCCCUUUUAGAAUCAGCAGCAGAACCAGCAGUUCCAAACUUAGAAUACGACUUCUGAGCUUCAAGAAAUGCCGAUCGAGUAUAGAACCCUUUUCCAGCACAACCCGAAGCAGCUUGGUUAGCAAUUCCAUUAAAGAAAGCGUCUGUGACAAUACCAGCAACUGAAGCACCAUUAUUACCACCGCUGGGUGCAGCAGUGCAAGGGCCGGAUCGGCAGCCGGGGCCACAGUAGUCGUUGCUGGUGCCGCAAUAGCCGAAUUUGCUGCAGCAUAAGUUUGGUGCACAGCCACAGUUUUGACUUGAAAUCAGCUGUGGGAAGGCUCCGACAAGAACCAUAAUGGAGAAAAUGAUGGUUGGAAAAUUCUUCAUUUUUGUGCUUGAAGGAAGAGAAAUGGAUGUGGGCAGAAGCUGUUUGAGAAAAAAGGGUAUAUAUAGGGAGGAGAACUGGAAAAUGGAUCAGCUUGUGUGAAGAAGGGAGAGCUGUUAUUGUUGAAAAAAUUUAAGUUGACUAAUGAAUGAAAACAGAAAUCACGUUUGACUUUAAUUCGUGCAUUGACUUUGACAGUGUCAAUAAGUGGGAAUUUUUGUUCUUGGUUUCUAGAAUGGUAUUUGUGAAAGAUUGAUUUUGAUCAAUUGAUAUCAAUAAUUUUGGAAUUGAAUAAUGUAGACUCACAAGUCGCAACUACUGUGUGUAUUUUUAUGACUUGAAGUUGUCUACAGCAUUUAAUUUAGUGCUCAUUAAUUCAUUAACUUGCCUAACUAUGUUUUAGUCAUACUUCACAUUUGCAUUUGAGUUUAAGCACUCAAAAAUAUGAGACAGAUCAAUUUGUCAGUUACAAUUCAUGAAAUAAAAUAGUGUAGAACCUGUGUUAGAAUAAUUUUAGGUUAAAUGGUAAAGAAAAGCAACACUUUUACAUAGCAAUAUAAGUGGUAGUCAGUUUUGGAAAAGCUAAGAAAGGAUUAAAGCCCCGCUUGAUAACCUAAUUCAACACUUAAAUUUAUUGAAUUCAAAUUUUAAUAUAUUCAGACCAUUUGAUAACCAAAGAUUGAACAUCUGAAUUAAUUAAUUCGCACUGAAUUUUCUAGGUAAAACUUAUUUCCAAAAUUAAGUGAUAAGCUAUUCACUUAUCAUUGAAUAUGAUAUGCACUCAAAUAUAUUAGAUUUAAUACUUAACAACUCAAUAAUUUAACGGAUUUAAAUUUAAAUUUUCAAUUUUCAAAUUUGAGACUUCAAUUUUCACGCUUAACUUUUGUCAAACGCAUCCUAAUUAGGCCACUUGCAUAUCACGAAUGACAAAACCAUGUGGCUUCUGCUAGUACACGUUUCGACAGUAUUCCACUUCACGUGUUUGUUGGGCAUACUGGCAUGUCCAUUUGCAUCAUGUCCUAUUUCAUAACAAAAUAUUAUAUUCUAAAUAUAUAUGAAAUAUUUAAUUUAUAUAUGUUAAUUUUUUAAUACAAUAAUAUAAUGUACUUGUAAAUCAAAUAGUAUUAAGUAAAAUAACUACAUAGAAGCAGAUAAAAAUAUAACUGCAGUGCCCCUGUUAGAUUGAAUCUUUAACAAAUUGAAUGCUUUGAACUUUUUUCAUUCAGGAUUUCAGUGCUAUAAUUUAUAAACAGUAUUUCCAAAAAAGAAUUGUUAGUGAAGAUAUCAAAUUGGUGCCCCUAGUAAGUAAUUGUGUUCAGAAAACAACUAGAGUCAAAAGUCAAAUUUUCGUUUCUUUCCUGUUCUUGUCUAAAGACAAUUCUGCAGACAAAGAAGUUGGAAAAAAAAAUAUGCUCACAAUUUGGCAGGGCAAACCUCCUUGCCUAAAAAUUAAGAAAAAUCCACGCCUAAAAAUUAAGAUAAGAAAAAAAAAUCAGUUCAUUUUCUCCUCAUGUUCACUAUUAUCUUAUUAAAUUAAAGGAAACCACGCUUAUAAAUUAUAAUCACUUGCAUCAAAAUCCAACGGCAAUUUUCUCCAUUUUUUGGAAAGAAGAGGAAGGGGGAAAAAGGAAGAAGCUUCCGUAGAAAAGGAAAGAAUUGAGAAAUGUGAUAGGUACUCUGUCUCCCUCUCGGCAAGUGCGGCUUAAGCCAAGCACAGCUCACAGAAGUCCAUUGUUGAAUUAGUCUCCCUGAAAAUUUCUAGCCAUAAAAAUUUUAACUUUUCCUUUUAGUAUAAAUGGAAGAUCUCGAAGUGGGGACCUCUUAUUUACAUUUUCUCUCCUCAUAUCAUUCAACUCAUUUUUUCCCCGAAUUUCAACUUGCUACUCCAUAACUUAGCUUCAUGGAUCUAUAUUUAUGUUCUCAGAAAUGUGAUGUCAUACUUCUAGAUACAUUCAAAAGCGAUGAAUAGUCGAUCAUUUGGACAAUUGUAGUUUAAAGAACUAAGAAUUAGUGCAAAUAUCUAGUUCAUUGAAAACGUAUGGCCCUUAAUUUUUGUAUUUUGACGAUAUACAAGUCUGAAAUUCUAGAAAACAAAGAAAACUGCCAUCCUUGAACAAUUCUUUAGAGAUUUUUUGUUCUUUUUAUUUUUUGAGCAAAUGAAACAUCUUCCCGUUUAUCAUUGGAACAUAAGCUUUACAAAGGAGCAAAACCUCUUACUACAACAAAAAAUCUGGAGCGAGCUAUACCCAUUAUACAAUACUAUGCAUGUGAAAACAAACAAAACAGACAGAAUUCAACCAAGAUCAAUCUAGCAAACGUCCGUGAUCUAUCCCCCAUUCUAACAACAACUCCCAAUUUUCCUUACUACCAGGAGCUUUAGCCCAUAAGAGACAAGUCAAGUUGAACAAUUUUAACCACUGCCGAUUUAAUAAAAUUUGGAGUGAAACCCUCCAACGUGUACAGGGUUUGUCUUUCCAAAAAAACAAAAAACAAAAAACAAAACCGCUGCUGCAACUACUUCCAUUAUCAGUAUUCUGUAUACGAAAAUCAACAUUUAGUCUUUCCCAAAUUUAGUAUAUUUUAGUGCAUAAUUGAAAAAAAUUCUCUUGGCACAAGUGGAAAAUUAUAGAUUUGAAAUCAAUUACAAAAUUUCCUAGAAAAUAGACGCCCACUGAUCAACUAUGGCGCUUCGUAGUUCAGCUUUUCCAGUCUCAUACGUAGAAGUUGGUCCUAAUAGUGCAUUAAUGUUUCAUAGUUAAUCAGAAUUUUCUAUGACAAAAAAAAAGAAGAAGAUUCAUGAAGAAAAAUAAUCUAUUGGCUGUACUUUAUUUCGAUUUAGACAUCAAUAGUGCAAUGGCAAAAGGACUUUGUAGAUGAACCUAGUUGAUGUAAUGAAUUUAUGAUGAUUUAAUUAACUAAAAAGGCAAUCAAUUCGGUCUGCUUAAUGUCAUACUCAAGAGGUCAUCAUCUUUGUCAAAGGGUCUAUACAUUCCAUACAUUAGUAGUAAAUGUUAGUGGAUUUGUUACUAUUGCUGACCAUGUUAGCCACUGAUUUCUAUUAAAUCAUGUCUUUAGCUUCUUAUAAGCUUCUCUAUACCCUACCUAAUCUCAUACCAUUUUACUUUCUCUUGGAUUAUGUGGAAUGCCUACUUGACCGCAAUGUCUAUAUUUUAAUGAUACCAGUACAUUUUCAAAUCUUCAAUUAGCUUUUAAAGUAUCGAAGUUCAGUUCACUAAUUGGCCAUAAAGACAGAUCAAUAGCAAAGUUGAAAUAUGCCACUUAUCCUGAGACGUUGUAGAAAGUUGGAAUGUUAAUGUCGUCCCUUGUAAUCCGAAUAUGUGAAACUGAAGUUGUUGAAGGGUGGGGGAGAGUUGGGUUGGGUGGUACGGGGCAGGAAGUAUAAGCAAGAGGUCUCGAGUUCAAGUCCUCCCGCUUACACUAAAAAAAAUUAAAAAAAAAAAGAAGCUGUUGAAGGGUGAAUGAGUUUUUCAGUUGUAUACAAGCUGUAUAAUGGGGUUUUCAAUAAAAAGUUUAUCAUUUUCUCAAAAAAAGAAAAAAAAAAGAAGAAGGGUGAAUUGAGGAAGCUGAAUGCUAAGCGAUAUAGUUCUAUUAGUGAUAGAAUAUAACAGGUGUGUAUGGCCAGUUAUGUGAAGUGCAAUCGUUCUCCUUCAUUCACCUUUUGAUAUUACUUUACGGGCCAAAUAUAAGAAUGAGAUCUCUUGGGCUGGCCACGUCUUCUUCUUCUUCGUUUUUUUUUUCCAUUCUUCUUAUAGAUCUUUAGGCGAAUAAGCAAUCUUUGGGGAAAUAAUGUAGUAUAUUUGGACAUUGGGAUAAUUUAACAAAUCUCCAUUGAGUUUUAUGACAAAUUCAUCAUAGUUCCCCCUCAAAUUAUUGCAUUACACUUGUGUCUAUUAGCUAUUGAUUUCCAAGGUAAAUGCUGAAUUUCCCCUCUAGGUUUACCAUUGACACUUUCUAUACAAAGCGAUACAAAUUAUAUAUAAGAGAUUUGUGAAAGUGUCAUACUUCCGAGCUAUAACUCAUAAACAAAGGCAUUCGUAAAACCCUUUUGAUUCAAAUAUAUAGAUUUUUUUUUAUCCAACACCAAAAUUAUAUUGCCCAAUAAAAAAAGAAAACCUUUUUUUUUGGUUAAACCAAACUAUUAUUAUUGCAGCCCCAAAAAAGUACAAAGUUCGGGACCAGCCCUUCCCUAAGAAUACAAGCUCACACACCCUGCCCCACCUCUAAUUAACCCCUACCGCCGGCAUCUACGAAAAUUUGGAUACCCACACACAUCUAAUAUAUAGAUAUACUCACCUAUACACUUAACAAUUUAAUGUAUGCUAAAGUGAGUAGAAUAGGGUUUUGAAAAAGUACUCAAAAGUAUGCUACUUCCAUCAUUACCUUCUAGCACGCAUUGUGCAAACUCUUUUCAAAUAGAAAAAAGGGAAUGAAGAGGAGAUACAAAAAAGGGUUGCAAAUUCUUUAAAAUAUGGCAAGGGUAAGCAUGCAAGUAACAUAUAACAUGAAACAAACAUGUUAAGGAAACCUUAAAACAAGAGAGGUAACAGUAAGUUUGAAAACUUUGGUGCAGCUAAAUGAAGUCAAAAACCUAAAACAAGGUUGAUGGAAUUAUCCCUAGUAAACUCUAUGUGUCCUUCACCAAGUGAAAAAAUACUGUUCAAAAUUCUUAUUUCUAUCGGAACCAUUUCGAGGAACUCCAAUUCGGAUGUCAAUACUAAAAGAAAUUUUCCCUAUGGUACCCCUGAUUUUGAAAUUCACUAAUUAUUUGUAUAAUUGUAUCAUAUAUAUGCUUUUAUGUAUUGUGUAAUGAUUCACAUCAAAUUCAUGAGAAAUUUCGCAUCCCUCUCACAAAAGUUAGCAAAUGCAUUGUAUAUAGGAAGCUGAAAACCAAACAAGACUUUAUUAUUAGGUUAUCGAUCAGUAUUAUUGGUCCUAUCCAAGUGUCAUCACGUUUUGUUUAUUCAAGUGUCAUAAUGUUAUUGAUAGUAUAAUUGGGUUGCAUGAUUAUGGUUGAAAGUGUGGAAUAUGCGAUUAAACUCCGUGUUAGGAGUACUGGUUUUGCUGUGGGUUUUUUCGUUUUCUUUGUCAGCUGCGUGGGGGCUUUAGAGCAUAAGCCUUUGUUUUGUUUCUAAACAUCACCGCCAAAAUUGCCAAUAGCAUAUCGAAACAUGGACACUAAAUGAAAAGAUGUGAGGAAACUUUAAUGAAGAUAUGCCAAAGACAAAAGCUCGAAAAAAUAUGAUCAAGGGAUCAAAAUAGGAACAGGCGAACACCAACAAGUUAAGUCGAACCAAGAUCAACAUAAUCAAUUAUUUGAUUUCAAGAGUCAUAACUUUGCUUGUAAAGAACAAUUAAAGGUAAACAAUUUGUUGCUUUCCCCCCCUCCCCAAUCAGGUGUGUACCUCAACAUUAUUUCACGUCAUGAACUUGUUUUUCCUGGGAUAAAUACCCUAGCAUCUGAGGUUAUCACCAGGCUCGACACCCAAUUGUCUACAAUAUUCAGUAUAAUACUCAACUCGAGCACUAACUGUGUUUGGAUUUGCACCAUCACAUUCAAGCCGACCAUUAAUGGCACGAAUUGUAGCCCCAAAACCCUGGCCAGAAGUGAUAAGAUCAUGACAAUGGUUCAUCCAAUACCACAAGCCAGUUUUGAAUGAAAUAACAUUAUUUGUAGCUACAGUUUCAGGUUGGCUGAGUCCAUUGAAUCCAAUGCUUUCACCUGCUGGUCCAUAGUUAAAGUUCCAUGAUAACUGUAUUGGACCCCUGCCGUAAUAUCCCUUGCCUGGCACACAUGGAUACUGAGUGUUGCUCUCAUCACAGUAAUCUCUGGAGGGGCCGUCUAUCUCUUCUAUGUAGCACAAAUCUGCGCAAUAUAAAGAAAUUUUGUCACUCAAUUGAAAUGAUUGAUAAAGGGUUAGAAUCAAAGAAAAUCAGCAGGUCUGGAAUUUUUUGUAAAUUUUUAGAUUUGAUUGUUUUACUGAUGAAUUCAAUUGGUGAGAAAAGAAUUUAUCCCAUUUUGUAAAAAUUGGAUUGGACAGACUUAAAGUAAACACUUCUUUUAUGAGGUAAAAUUUUAGAAUGAUUUAACAUUAUAGGGUUAUACGAUAGAUAAAUAAAAAUUGGCAAUAGCAAGAUUAAGAUGGGACUAAAAUAUAUUUGGUUAAUAAAUUUGAAUUAAUUUACGGCCAAAUUUAGGUGAAAUAGUUAAUUCUACUUGGUAAAUUGGAAGUUCGGAAAUGUGUAUCUGUCAGUUGUCAUACUCAUGAGUAAGCCAAUCUUCACUUAAAAAAAAAAGUAAUCCAAAAGAUAAAGCCGCAUGAUCAUCUACUUUUACAUGCAGCAAAAUACACAAUCACCAUAAGCUUAGAAUGUAAAGGCAGAAAAACUUGCUUCUGUAGAUAUAAAAGUGACCACUACAAGAAAAGUAAAAAGAAGAUGGAGAUAAUAAUCCUUCUAUCCCCUUAUAAGGAUUAAACCUUCGUCAUGAUAAAUUAUUUGACAGUAAAAACUCUUUCAUAUUCAAGUUUUAUUUUUUGAAGAAAAAAUUCUUGGAUAAUAGUGCACAGGAUAAUUUAGAUUCCAAGAUAUACUAUCUAGAAAUUUACAGGAGCUACUAAAAUAGUAGAAAAUAUCUUCAAAAUUUAAUUUCCAAGCUAGUGUUAUUCAAAACUUACGUCCAGUCUCAUGAGUGACAUGAGCAAAGAAAGCAGCAAUCUCCCUUUUAGAAUCAUCAACAGAGCCAACGGUUCCAAACUGGGGAUACGAAUUCAGAGCUUCAAGAAAAGCUGAUCGAGUAUAGAACCCUUUUCCAGCACAGCUUGAAGCAGCUUGAUCAGCAAUUCCAUUAAAGAAAGCGUCCGUCACAAUAUCAGCAACUGAAACGCCACUAUUACCACUGCUCGGAGCAGCGGUGCAAGGGCCGGAUUGACAGCCAGAGCCACAGUAGUCAUUGCCGGUACCGCAAUAGCCGAAUUUGCUGCAGCACAAGUCUGGUGCACAGCCGCAGUUUUGGCUUGAAAUCAGCUGUGGAAAGGCUCCUACAAGAACUACAAUGGAGAAAAUGAUGGUUGGAAAACUCUUCAUUUUUGGAUUUGAUAAAGUAGAGAAGCUUGUGGGCAGAAGUUGUAUCAGAAAGAAGGAUAUAUAUAGGGAAGAGAACUGAAAACCGAUCAGCUUGUGUGAAGCAUGCACCGCUGUUAUUGUUGAAAAUAUUGAAUUUGAGCAAUUAAAGAAAACGGAAGACGAAAGCGUGAAUGGUUGACUUCUAUCGAGUGUAUUGACUUUGACAUUGUCAAUGAAGCGGAAACUUUCUUUCUUGGCUUCUAGAAUGGAAAAGGUCAAACGGGAAGAUUUUGGCCAAUCAUAUAAACAAUUGUGAGAAUAAGUCACGUAGACUAACAAGUCCCCACUAUAAUGUGUGCAAAAAUAUAAUUUGAAGUUGCCUAAAUCAUUUAAUUUGAUGCUUAUUAUUGAGUUUACUUGCCCAACUAUGUUUUAAUAAUAUUUCAAAAUUGUGUUUGAAUUAGAACAAAAAAAUAUGAGACAUACUUAUUUAUUUAAUUGCAAUUCCAGAAAUAAAAUCGUAUACAACAUGUAUUAGAAUAAUUUUUAGGGUAAAUGAUAAAGAAAAGAAAUACUUCUACAAAUUGACGUAAGUGAUCAUCAGCUUUUCGAGAAGUUCAGAAAGAAUAAAGUGGCCGAUAUAUAUAUCAUGCAUGGCAAACUAUGUGGCUUUUGUUAGUACACGUUAUGACUAUAUGUAUGUUUCAUUUGACAUGUUUGUUGGACGUGUUGAAUUGUUAGCAAUGAAAUGCUCCAAAAUGUUUUCAUGCAAGAUUUCAGCACUGUGGUUUAUAAGCAGUAUGAGGUCAUAGUGAAUUAUCGACAUAUCGUCACAUGCAGAGUCGUGAAAAUAUACAAGUCUUUCCCUAUCAUUAAUUAGUUGGUUAAAUGACAAUUUCUAGAAUGGAGCUUCAUGGUUGGCCAUGUCAAGAAACAUCUCGCAGUAAAUUGGGCGAGUUAAUAUGGUCCUCUUGUUUUACACAGGAUGUACUUUUCUUUUUCUAAAUAUUUCCCCUUAAACUCUCAAAUUGAUCAUAGUGUUAACUAAUUUUGCUCUGGUUUUAUUCUUGGUUCGCAAAAUUCAGUAAAACCAAAACAAACCCUUGUUACUGAAGAUAUCAAAAUGGUACCCCAACUAAGUAAUUGAUUUCGAAAAACACUCUGAACCAAAUUUCAAGUUUUGGUUUCUUUGCUCUUUUUCUACUGAAAGGCAACAUCCCCGGGCCAAGAACUUGAAACAAAUAGUAUGAUGCUCAAGUUUUCUAUGCUCUUAUGAUCAAGUCAAACCAUGCUUAUAAUCAAUUACAUAAAAAAAAAAAAAUCACGGGCAAUUUUGUUACUAUUUGGGAGGAGGAGGAAUAUUAAGCAAAAAAAUAUUCUAUUAAGAAAACGAUGAAGCAUAUUAUUUUCCAGGAAUAAAAAAUAACGAGCAGAAAAAAACAAAUAGUAUGAUGCUCAAGUUUUCUAUGCUCUUAUGAUCAAGUCAAACCAUGCUUAUAAUCAAUUACAUAAAAAAAAAAAUCACGGGCAAUUUCGUCACUAUUUGGGAGGAGGAGGAAUAUUAAGCAAAAAAAUAUUCUAUUAAGAAAACGAUGAAGCAUAUUAUUUUCCAGGAAUAAAAAAUAAAGAGCAGAAAAAUACAUUAGUUUGGAUGACAUUAGAACAUUUAGCAACAGGAUUAGGGAUGCAAUGGGAAGAGUGCCAACUGGGAAUCAACAGGAUGGGAAAAAAUACAGGGCGGGGUGGGGGGGAUUGGAGAUAUAAUAAAUCUAAAAUUUUGUUUCUUUAGGAAACUUACAUAAGUGAACUUAAUAUUUCCUAAAAUAAUAUUUAAAAGUUAUAUUUAUUGUAAGGAAAAUAGAUUUGCUUUAUUUUGAGAUACUUUUUAACUUAAGGAAACUAGAGUUAAUUUAUUUUAGGACACUCUUGUUAAGGAGAAAUUAAAGGAAAUUAACAAUCUAACUAAUGAUAAAUAUGUUUUUUUUAGGGCAUUCGGUUGGUGCUUGAGAACACACCCGAGUACUGCAGCGUCUGCUGGAGAUUAGAGCAUUCGGUGGAGGAGUGCAGGAAGGAUACUCAUAACGGUGCAGGAGCCUUGGUUAAGGGCAACCAACCGCAAUUUGUAUCGCAGAGUGAUACUGUUGGGGCUGUCAUGGAGGCAAAAGGCAGUUCGGUUGGUGCGUCGAAGCCGCCCGGGGGGGGGAACACUCCCAGCAGCGCUGAUGGAGGCUCCGCUCUCCAUCCCUGGUCGAGAUGGCAAAAGCCCAGCGGCAGCAGCUGCGGUAACAGGGGUGGUGCCCAGGGAGGCAGAGCUGACCCACGAGCAUCAGCCUACUCGGGUUGCUGGUGUGAGUGUGGAGCUCCUUGAGGGAAGCGGGCAGGAUGAUGGCGCGCCAGAGGGGGAGCGUUCCACAGCAAGGGAAGGAGCCUCGCUUGCGCAGGUGAAUGCUAGAGCGGAGAUAAUGGUGGAGGGGCGACGUGCGGCUGAGCUUCCAGUGGCAGCAGGCUCGAAGGACAGUGGGCAAGCUGUUGGCGCACCAGAAUGGGAUCAGGCUGAGCAGGUGGAUGCUAGAGUAGAGAUCAUUUUGGAGGGGUGCAGUGCGGAUGUCCAGACUGCAACGGGCAAUCUGUCUCCGCGGCCCAGCGCCUAUUAUGGGGAGUUGGCAGCUUCUCCCUUGGAGGCGAUGAAUGUAGAUCAGUCACGGGCAUUGGAGCCGGCUAUAAAACUCGGAAAAUCAAAGGGAAUAAGAGCGAUUUUCCCUUCCGACAGGUAGCUGCGUUCCACUUCAACAUCCUCCAAAAACGGAUUCCAGGUUCUUUCCCAUGAUUAAUAGCAUAUUUUGGAACAUUAUGGGGGUUUCCAAACCUCCUAAUUUGAGACGGUUGAAAAACCUUAUUCGAUUACAUAAAGUUCAGCUGGUAGCUAUAUGUGAACCGAAACUUGAUGUCACAAAUAUUGAGAGCAUCCGCUUAAAUUUAUCGUUUGAUGCUGCUGUUGUUAACUUGUCAGCAGAUGUUUGGGUCUUGUAUAAUUUUCCGUUAGUAUGCUCUAUAGCUGGGAAUUCUCAGCAACAUAUCUCCUUGAAUGUCCAUCAUCCAUGGCUACCUCGCUCCUUGCGAUUUUCUUUUGUGCAUGCCAGGUGUACAUUGGAAGAACGACGGGGGUUGUGGCAAGCACUUUUGGUGGACAAACCACGCGACCAGCCAUGGUGCAUCUGUGGGGAUUUCAAUGUGAUCAUAUCCCCUAGCGAAAAAAAAGGAGAUCGGCCUUUUCGUGUCUCGGAGAGGUUAGAGCUUCUGACCUUCAUGGAGGAGGCGGAAGUUUUUUAUGUGGGUUUUUCCGGCUCGAGUUUCACUUGGUGCAACAAUAGCCAUGGCCGGGCUCGGAUAUGGAAGCGAUUGGAUAGGCUAUUGGUUAAUGGAGAAUGUUCUGAAUUACCGUCAGCCGUGUCGAUCACUCACUUGGCUAGACAUCCAUCCGACCAUGCACCGCUACGAGUUUCUUUCACAUCCUGUGUAGAGAUAAACCUCAUGCGUUCCGCUUCCUGAAUGUGUGGACAUCCAGAGCAUCUUUACUUGAUGUUAUUUGAACGACUUGGCAACAGGAGUGUCGGGGUUCUCCCUUAAGGAUCUUAUGCUCCAAGUUGCUAGCAGCAAGGAGAGCUAUCCAAGAGUGAAAUAAGUCCUCCUUUGGGAAUAUAUUUGCAGUGUCUCGCGAAGCAGAGGCUUCGGUGCUUAGGGCGGAAGCACGGGUGGAAACUGAGGCAUCGGAGAAUGCUCAGAUAGAGCUUCAUAGGUCUCAAGCACAGCUCAACCGUGCUUUGUCAGUGGAGGAGGAGUUUUGGAAGCAGAAGGCUCGUGUCAAGUGGCUCCGACAUGGCGACUGUAACUCAAAGUUCUUCCAUGCCACCCUGAGACAGAGGAGGAUGCAAGGGCAAAUCCACAGGAUUAAAGAUGAGACUGGCAUAUGGGUGAAGACGGAUGAAGAUAUAUCACGUGAAGCGAUACGGUAUUUUUCUGAUUUAUUCUCUGCUCCGGCGGAAUCCUCAUCAGACUUGCUGCAUGUUAUCCCUGCCAACGUCACGGCGGAGGAAAACAUGAGCUUAGAGGCCGAUCCGUCUUUCGAUGAAGUAAAAAGAACUAUCUUUGCAAUGGACGGUGAUAGUGCAGCAAGCCCCGAUGGUUUCAUGGGUAAGCUUUUUACUUUUGCUUGGGAGGUGAUUGGUCAAGAUGUCUAUAAUGCAGUUUUGAGCUUUUUCUGUAGGGCUGAGCUCCCUCAUUUUAUUACAUCUACUUCUAUUGUCCUUCUCCCGAAGGGACCGAACCCUCAGGAUUUUUUGAUGUUCAGACCGAUUAACCUCUGCAAUUUCUUUAAUAAAGUAUUGUCCAAGAUCUUGGCUGAUAGGUUGGCUAAUAUUCUGCCAAGAAUCGUCUCACCCCAACAUACAGGCUUUGUUAAGGGCAGGAAUAUAUCAGAGAAUUAUUUUCUCGCCCAGGAAAUAAUGUCAGGGAUGCGUAGAUCGUACAGGGGUGGGAAUGUAGCAUUGAAGUUAGACAUGUCCAAGGCAUAUGAUCAUGUAUCGUGGGUAUUUCUCAUGAACGUAAUGCGGCAGUUUGGGUUUGGAGAAAGGUUUCUUGACAUGGUGUGGAGGUUGAUUUCUAAUGCUUGGUUUUCGGUUAUAAUUAAUGAAGCGUCUUAUGGCUUUUUCAAGUCGGGUAGGGGAUUACGGCAGGGGGAUCCGAUAUCCCCCGCGUUAUUCGUAAUUGGGGCGGAGCUUCUCUCACAGGCUUUAAACAAUCUCGUGUUACAUUGUGGCUAUAGGGGUUUUAAGGUCCCACGGGGGUGUCCCCAAGUCACGUACUUGGCCUUCGCUGACGAUGUAUUGAUUUUCGCUAAUGGGUUUGCUCGAGCUUUGCAGGAUAUUGUGCGGGUAUUGGAGCUUUACCAACAAUCCUCGGGUCAGUUGGUGAAUAGGCAAAAAAAUGGGUAUAUCGUCCAUCUCUCCGCCUCGAUUGCUAGACGGAGGGUGAUUGAGCAUCUCACUGGCUUUUCUAGGCAACAGGCGCCUAUUCGAUACUUGGGCUUCCCAUUGUACUUGGGCCAAAGUAAGGCUUAUUAUUACGGUGAGGUGAGUCAAGCAAUAAUCGGAAGAAUCCUCUCAUGGAAGUCCAAGUUUUUGUCUCAGGGGGGUAAGAUCAUCCUCAUCAAACAUGUUCUCUCUUCUAUCCCACUGCACUUACUAUCUGCUGCAGUAAUGCCGACUUCGGUGUUCAGGGUAAUUAAAAAGGUUUGUUCUGACUUUCUAUGGAGUUCGACGGAGAGGGGGGCCAGGUAUUACUGGAUCCACUGGGAGUUGUGCUUUUCAAAGGAGGAGAAGGGAGUAGGCUUCAGGCUUCUAAAGGAUGUUUACACAGCUUUAUCUCAUAAACCCUAGUGGAAAUUCCGCACGGGGACGUCUUUAUGGGCAAGGUUCUUACGUGCUAAGUAUUAUGGGGCUUGCCACCCUUGUCAAGUGGAGCUUAAAGUGGGCGUAUCAGCAACUUGGAAACGGAUAAUCAAUGUCAGCAGGGAGGCGGAGUUGUCUAUGCGAUGGUUGGUGAAUGCUGGGACCUGUGACUUCUGGUAUGAUAACUGGCUAGGGAAUGGAGCUCUUUUCCUUAAAGCUCCUGUUCAGGGGGAUUUAUCGUUCAGAGACUUUAUUGUUGACGGGAAGUGGAACUCGGUGGGACUUGCAGAAUACCUCCCAAGGGACAUCACAACUAUGAUCCUGCAACACUCGACCCCAGAGGGUGAGAGGCCCGAUGAGGUGGUAUGGGUGUCAACAACUUCAGGAUCAUUUUCGUUAUCCUCUGCUUUUCGUGAGGUAAGGCAAGCUCGGAAUCCCUCUUGGAUAUUUUCCCACAUUUGGCUCCCCCAACUCCCUGUAAAAGUUUCUUUAUUUAUGCUCCGUCUUUUGAUGCGGAGGCUCCCCCUGGAUGAUAUCUUGGGUAAGUUUGGCUUUCAAUUACCUUCCAAAUGUUUUUGUUCUUCCAUGGCAGCGGCGGCGGGAGAAUCUAUUGAACACAUUUUCUCAACGGGACAACUAGCGGUAGAGAUUUGGGGUGUCUUUGGAUCCUCGUGCGGUAUAUGUCUGCCGGCCGUAUCAUUGCGAGAGCGACUGGUCGCUUGGUGGUUGUCCCCGCACUCAGAUGCUCAAAGACGUCAUGUUGUUUCCAUCCUGCCAAGUUUCAUCUGUUGGCAUAUCUGGAAGGCACGGAACAAAGCAAUCUUUGAAGGGGUUGAACUGACUAGGGGGGAGAUUUGCCAUGGCAUUCUCCGGGAUAUUUUCGCAACGGUUGAGAUUAAAUUUCGUCAUGGGAUUGUAGCGCAAACAUUUGAUCAGUUUUGUGAAAGACUCUCUUAGCCGCCGCUAGUACUUCGGGUCCAGUUGGUCAAGUGGUAGGCAUCUGGAAGGGGGGUUUUCUCCCUUAAUACGGAUGGGUGCUCAAAGGGGAAUCCAGGGAUGAGUGGUGGUGGAGGAAUAUUACGGGAUUCAAAUGGUCAGGUGCUAGUAGCAUUCUCAGCCUCCCUGGGGGUCAAUACAAGCUUGCACGCUGAAGCAUUGGCACUUUUAACGAGGCUUCGCGUAUGCUUCCAGCAAGGGUUUGUACAGGUGCGAGUGCAGACAGAUUCACUGGUUCUAGUAGAUAUAUUACAACGGAGGUUCCAGUGUCCAUGGCUCAUUCGAAGAGAGGUACACCAAAUAUGGCAGCUAGUCGCGAAUCCUACACACUUUUCGCAUUGUUUUAGGGAAGCCAACAAAGUGGCUGACAUCUUAGCUAAUGUAGGUAUCUUGCAUCCGCAGGAUCAUGUAAGGGUGUAUCACCAACUCUGCUCUCUUUCACAGCUAGCAAGGGGGGAAGUUAGGUUGAAUAUGCUAGACUUUCCUUCUAUUAGACUUAUCAAAGGAUCGUCGUGAUGACCGGUCCUGGUCUCGGCUUGUAAUCUUCUGAUUGGGCAAUAAAAGUUUUUUCAAUAAAAUAAAUAAAUAAAUAAAUGUUUUUUUUGGGAGGGGGAUUGAUAAAUUUUUAAUCUGAAACAAAACUCUAUAUUGUUGUUUUGGGUGAGGGGAGGGAGGAGGGGGGACUGCCCCCACAAUAGAUCUUUUGUUUCAUUCUCUGUGUUAUUUUCUGUUUCACUUUUUAUUAUAUCAUUAUUUUUUCUUCAUAGACAUCAUAUUUUAUUUUCUUUAUUUCUUUAAGAUCUAAUAACUAUUAACUAAGUAAAAAAUAAAUACAACAAUCUAAAAAUAUAUAUAUAAUAGAAAAUUAGAAAAUAUAGCAAAAAAUUUAUUAAAAAAUCUCAUUUUUCAUGCAUUUUAAUUUUUUGAAUUUGUUAAAUUUGGUGUAUUACUCAGUUAAUAGUUAUUGGAUCCUAAGGAAAUUAAAAAAAAAAACUAAAAUAUGAUGUUUAUGAAGGAAAAAUAAUAAUAUAUUAAAAAAUGAGACGGAGAGUGGCACAAGGUGUGAGACAGAAAAUCCAUUGCAGGCUGCCCUGCUGGCCCUUUCUUAUGUCCGUCACUAUAUGGCUAGAAACAAGUACCUAUUGCUGAAUUAGUCUCUCCCUUCUAACUUCUAAGAAUUCCAAGGUUUUGUAAUGAUUCCGCAGGAAAUAAGACAAAAAUAGUUAGCCAACUAUUACCUUGCUGGAAUUGUUAUAACGGCUACCACUUGCAGAAAGAAGGUUACUGAUUAGUUAGUGGGGAAGCUUUCUAUUAAUAGGCCAAUACUAAUGUAAAGGGGCAUGCAAAUUCUGAUCAUUGAGAAUACAACUUUCCCGCUUCUUUCCCAUUCAUUCUGCUCCCUCUCUUUUCUCUCAACCUUUUUCUCUCUAUUCCUUUCUAUAUUUUUGUUCCUUAGUUGAAUCAACCAAUUCCCAACCAUUACAGUUUUUUUUUCUUGUCAAUCGACAACUUCUACAUUUAUCCUACUCCUACUCCUACUUUUUCUCCUAUUCUAACCUAUCUAAAGAAUGGCCUAACAGGGCCAAAAAUCCUAUUCCUAGUUCUAUUUCCACUCCCAUUCUAACCUAUUUAAGGGAGGGUCUAGCUGGAUCAAGGGGACCUAGAGAGAGUAGUCCCCAUCUCUAGACCAACGUCUGGAUUUGGAGGAAACUACAUACUAGUCACAAUUGCUAGAAAGUAAGAAUUGAAUUCUUGAUCUCUUACUCCAAGGCCUUUGACAAGUGACUAAUUUACACUAUAUUUGAAUGAUAUCUUAUGUUAUUUUUAGUCACUUUGGCUAUAUUAUUGGAAGAAAAUGGAUCAUUCUGGCUAUAAUUAGUUUAAAAUGCUCUUAAGUGAUUAAAUGAGAUUUUUGUCACUUUUACUUGCAUUUUGUCCAUAAUUUGUAUAGGAGUUGGAAAUAUAUUUCCUUUGGAUGAAGAGGAAGUUGACAGCUUUGACACAACUUCGUAUUUCGGCUAUAACUUGAGUUACAAUGAUCGGAUUGAGAUGAUUCUAGAACCAUUUUUAAGAUAAGAGAUAGAUGUACAAAUCUUAUGAAGACAUUGAAAUACAGUUUGAAGGUUUUCCCUAUCAAAAAUCUGAAUUAUAGUGCCAAUUUCUAUUGGUCGAAGCUGAAACAAGGCAGUGAGCAGUCAAGGGUAUUUCUGUCAUUUCUCCAUCUACACAAAUCCAAAUGAGGUGAUUCUUGAUGCAUUGGAAACAUAACUAAAAGGGUUACAAGUUUCAUGUUUUGGUCAAGAGUUAAUUCAACUUCUAUCAUCAAGAAAAGUUCAGUUGAAGUUGAGGCAAAAUUGGAGCAACAUUGAAGACUGGACAGAAAUUGCUAAGAAUGGCAGGGGAGCAAUCCGGCUGAAAAUCCGUCCGGAUUCUGGCCGGAUUCUAGUCAGAAAUAGCUGCUCUCCACUUGCACAACUUAUUUCCUCCUCCAAUAUUCAUAGCUAUUGAUGGACGUGUAACAACAACUUUGCAGCUGUAAAAGUGAUAUUUGAAGCCUUAUUUCUUGACUAAAUUAUCUAUAAAUAGCCAUGGACUUAUAAGGAUAAGGAGAGCUUGGGGGAGUGCAAGAAACACCACAAAAAUGUAGUUCCUUGGUUCUUUAGUGUAGAGUAGUGUAGGAUAGUUUAGUUUUAGAUAGUUUAUCCUUUCUUGUAUGUUAGCUAAAUGAAGAUGAAGAUGGAGAUGAAGAAGGCAAGGAAAGAGCUCAUGUGACAAGGAUUACUUUACCUUUCCAACUCUUUAUCUUUUGUACUUGAUUCUAAGUUUAGUUAAUAUAUAAGUUUUGGAUUCUAUGUUUAUUAUGUGUUUCUAAAGUUUAUGCCUUGGGCUUGGUUGAACUUUCUAUGAUUGUUAGUGUUUAUUAUUUGGUUAUUUGAUGCUAUUAUUUUGAGCAAGUUAUUGAGUACUUUACCUCUUUUAAAUCAUGAUUAACUUGGUACCAUUAAUUGUAAUUAUCUAAAGGUGUUGUUUCUUCAAUGAAAAUUGAGAUUUAACAGUAAUUCAAGAAGUGCUAAACCUAGAGAAUACACUCACGAGAGUAGAGGUUCACCUAUGUGGCUUUAGUGAUUCAUUUCAUGUAAUUUCAUAGAAGAAAUGAACUUGUAGCUAAUUUCUUAACCACGAGAGUAGGUAUGGAUUAGUUAUAAGUAUAGUUGAUUCACUACGAAAGUUGGUUUCACAUACAUAAGGAAAUUUCGCCAUAACUAGCCAAAAUAGUAGUACUCAAUGAUCCAAAAAUAACACUUGCAUGAGUAGUUAGGAAUACCAUAGACUAAGGAGCUUUCAUUUGUUAUUAUCUUGCAUAAGGUUAGCAUAGUUUUAUCUCUUUUAAUUCAUUGAUCGUCUAAAUAAUGGAGAAGCUUUAGUAGUGUCGGUAAUUGUCCAAUAUCAUUUGCAAGGGUAGUGAGGAAUUCCAUAUCUCUAGAAGCUUUCUAGUACUGAUUUUCAUUACUUUUAUAUUUAUGGUAAUCUAGAUAAUAAAGGAGUUCGAAAAACACCGGUAAUUGCAAUCUUCCUUGUGGGAUCGACCCUUAAUACCCUAUACUCGCUCACGAUUCGUAUACUUACGAUAAAUCGCGUGUGGGAUAUUUAAGAAUUAUAAAUGUAAAACUUGAUUGUGGAUAAACUUAUUGUAUAUGUAUACCCUGCGCACGUCAGCCUUUAUGGUGGCCAACAGCCCAAUAGGACAUUGGUUACAUGACAUCAUACUUCUAGUACAUGAGAAUACAUUAAAAAUCAAUCGCUUUCACAGUUCCACUUCAGACAAUUAAGAAUUACUAUCCAUUGGAUAAAACUAGUUUUAACCUUCAAAUAUCUUAUUGCAAGUAAGCCUUCUAAAAUAUGCUCACGAUUACUAUAUUUUUAGCAUUUUCACUAUGUAUAAGUCUAGAAUUGUAUGAUGAAAAGAAUUUCCAUCAAUCAAUAACUACUUAAGACUUUAUUGAGCCCAAUGACUAGCUUCUGAUAUAUUUUUGAAAGUGUACACUUUAGGUCGUUAAACCAUCAUUUUCAAGUAAAAUUACAGACCUAUUAAGCAACAGUUAAGAAAUUAUAGAUUGCACAAUACUAAAUUCACAGAAAAAUGAAAGAUUACUAAAUGAGGAUAAAUAUAUAGUUGGGAGGUGGAGCUAGAAACAAAAUUCAGUACGGAUAAACAUACUGUUAAAUUAUACUACUUUCAGUGUAUAAAAAAAGUUACAAUAACUUUUCAAAUGAAUUUCUUGUGUGUUGGGAGCACAUCAAUGAUGGAUCUAAGGGGGGGCUGGGGCCCCCCUCGACCCAUGUUUUGAAAAGUUUAAUUCAUAGUGUGUAAAUAUAUAUAUAAAAUAAUGUUGGCCCCCCUUAAUUUUUUCCAAUUUUAAUUUAUAUUAUGAGAGUUUAUAUUUAUAUAUAUAUAGUCACCUUUGAAUUAAUUUUUUUAUUCAAAAAAGUUAUUUAUUUUUUACUAAUUACUUAACUUUCAAAAAAUUAAACAUACUAUUUGAUGAUCCAUAGUAAAUUGAUCCAAUUUGACAUAUUAUAAUAAAAAGACCCAAUUCACAAUAUCAAUGGGUUAAAACAAAAAUAAUAAUUUUAUUGGCCCAUAUGCAAAUAUACAACUUAACCCAAUUGAAUGAUUGUCUAAGUAUAUACAUAGAUAGGGGUGGCAAUGGGGCGGGGAUGGGGCAGGGGACACCUCCCCCAACCCCCGCCCCCGGCUUCCCCCGCCCCGCCCCGCUUCCCCCCACGGGGGCACUCGUAGGGUUAAAAAAAUUUUAUUAUGUAAUUUCAUUAUAAUUAAAUUUGAGCAAAUAAUCAAAUAUUAAAAUAUCAACACAUCACCAAAUUAUUAUUCAUUGUAACUUCACAAUUGAAACUCAUAAAAAUAAUUAAACAAAAGUUAUUUGAAUACAAUCUAAUAUGAUAAAACAAAUAUAACUAAAAUAAUCAAGUUUUCACUUUUGAUACAAAUACAAUCACUAAAUUAUUAUUGUGUUUUUUUUAGAAAAAAGUGUUAUUGUAUUAAGUGUAGUUAGAAAUUUAACAUAAAUGUAUUAAUAAAUUUAGUAUAAAUAAUUAAUAAUUUUUAUUAAUAGACAUGUAUAAUUAGUAGUAUAAUUGAUAAUAUCAUUAUAUAUAUAAUUAUGUACAUAUAUAUAUAUAUAUAUUUUUCAAACAGGUGGCGGGGCAGGGGUGGGGCGUACUCCCCUGCCCCCCGCCCCGUUUCUAAACGGGGGGAAAAAUUCCCCCCCCCGGCCUUCGCCCCAACCCCCACCCCACUAAUCCCCCGCGGGGCGGCUGUCCGCCCCCGUUGCUAUCCGUAUACAUAGAAAAGAAAAUUGCUGAAAAAUUUAUCAUUGAUUCAAUCAUAGAUGAAUUUAGUUCUAUGAAAGAAUGUAAAGCUCAAUUUACUUUAAAAUAAAAGGUUCAAAUUUUAAGUUAUAUUAACAUAACUUUUAUCUUGUUUUAAUUGAAAAUAGAUAUAUUUAUAUUGCAUAGUUAUAUGCUUUCUUUUCUUUUUGCAUAGGUGACAUAUUGGAGUUUAUGUUCAUAAUGUGCAUCUUGGAUGGUUUGCAAUGCUAUAAGACAUUUAAUCUAAUGUUAUUUCUUGUCUUAAUUUUCGUUAUGACUAUAUUGCAUAUUUAUGAAAUAGACAUACACUUAUAAUUAAAGUUAAUAUUGGAUAUUUUUAGAUAAUAUAUAUUUAAAUAGUUGAAAUUUAUUUUGAACAUAACAUAUUAAGAUAAUUUUGUUAGAAAAUCCCCCCCCCCUCACGAAGAAAAAAAUCCUAGCUCCAUCACUGGAGCAGAGAAAAAGAAGGAAAAGAGGAAUAAACAUAAAGUUGAGUUUUUGUUAGUUAUUUUUUAUUUAUUUGUAAGAGGUGAAAUGAGUUGUUUUUUAUUUUUAAUCUAUUGAAAUGGUGAGGACAAAGUGAUAAACAAAGGAUAAUAUUAGAUACAUAUUUUAUUAGAACAUAGUGGGGAAAAUAUUAUCUAACAACGACAUGAAUUGUAUAUAAGUUAUAUGCUUUUGGUGGGUCAGUGGAGGUUAUUGUCUCCAUUGUAUCGUUUCCUAGAAUCAGUAUAUUCUAGUAAAUGAUUCUAGUUAUAUGUAAGUGAUUUAUAUUACUAAUUUUUUGUUACAAUUUUUAGAGAAUAGUUGGUUGAUUCUUAAAAAUAGAGCGAAGUCAACAACUAAUGCGCUUCAUAGUUAAUAGAAGUUUCCAAGAGGGCACCAAGUAAUAUUUUCAUAAUUGAUUAGCUUGGUUUUCAAGUGCAUAUAAAAAGAUAUCCAUGAAGACCUCCCCACCCAAGGGAAGACUGUAAGUUACGAAAACGUUUACUUUACUCUCAACAAAAUGUUGAGCAUACUUUAUUUUACUUUCGACAUCAUGCAAUGAUUAAAGGAUUUUGUAUAGGGACCUAGUUAAUUCAAUAAGCUUUAUGAUGGUUUAAUUGACUAACGGAGGAAUUUGCUCAGCCUAGUAACUCUGGUACUCAAGUAAUCAUGACCUUUAUCUAAAGAUCUACACAUUCCAUAUUGAAGUAAAUGAUAAUGGAUUUAUUACUUUUGUUGACCAAGUCAAGCAAAAAGCUGUUAUCAAAUCAUGGUUUUAGCGACUUAUAAGUUUCUUGAUAUCCCAACUAACCUCAUAGGAGGGCUACUUUAUUUCUUUUUGGUUACUUUCUAAUGCCUAGUUGCCUGUCGGAUAAAAUAUUGCCUUCACGGAUUGAUUCCAAAACUUGCUCAAAAACAUCUAUUUAUUUUUAAAAUAUUGCUUAUACUAUAUUUUGAACCAUUCAAUUGCAAAACACAAACAAUUUUUCUUAUGGUGCCUUCUUGUCGUUGAAACUAGGAAGCUAACCAAACAUUUGAAGCAAAGUGAUAAACAAUUAAUAGCAAACUAUAUUGGAUCUUCGAAAGGAAAAUUGAGGCCUCAUCUAUGAAUUUAACAUUUUCCGUUGUGAUGACAUCCGAAAUUGAUUGUGAGAAGAUUUUACAAACGCUAAAAGAGUAUCUCCAUUUAAUUGUGGAAAGGAAUUUGAUUUUGUCAAAUGCACAGAUAAUGGAAAUGACAAAAUAGCAGCACUAUCCUUGUCAUUAGGAAGCACUCAAAAGUUACGUAUUAAAUGGGAGUCUAACGUACAAGCAAUGAAACACUAUUGUAUUUGCGAUAGUAUUGAUAAAAAUUAAGAUUCUAUAGUCUUUGGAUCAUAAUGAAUUCAACGUUGGAUGACACAAUAAGUAUUCUGAAUUCUUAAAUUAUAAUAAUGUUAAAUAUUUAAAAUAGAAGCUGAUAUCGUUAUUAAGAAAUACACAUUGAAGGAAUAGUUCUCUAAGCGAUAAAAAUUUUCCAAAAGUAAAAGAAUGAAUGAUCAAAGUUUUCCAUCUUUGCCCGAUGACUCGUCUCUUUCCAUUUUACUUUCCCAAAGGAUAGCAUUUAAUAGCCUCGUGCCUGCUCUCAUUUUAAUCCUAAAAUAAGUGAUCAUGGGCUUCUUUGAGAAUGGGCUUGGUCUAAAUAUUGAACGCUCAAAACAGACUUCUUUUGUUGGAGGCGGCUUUCACUAGAGAGCGUGGGACUGAUUCAGAGUUCUUUUUUUUUUUGUAGGAAAAGGGAGACUGAUUCAGACUUCUUGCUAUCAUAGUUAUUAAACCUACCUUGGAGAGGAAUCCGGUGAAGGAGGUGGGUCAACGGAUUAUUGGUUCAAUCAGUGGAUGAGUAGUUGAAUUGGUGGGUUACUAAAUAUAUUUAAAUAUUAUGUCUCAUAAUUUUUUCAUAUAGGGUAUCUGGUUUAAACUACAAUGAACUAUACCAAGCAAAUGGUUAUUUAGGGUGUGUUUAAUAAAAUUAAAAUUUGAAAUUAAAAUCUGAAAUGUGAAUCUAUUAAGUUAUUAAAUUGUUAAGUGCUAAAUCUGAUACAUUUGUGUGUGUGUAUAUAUAUAUAUAUAUAUCAUAUUAAGUAAUAAGUGAAUAGUUUAUCACUUAUUUUUAGGAAUAAAUUUUGCCUAGAAAAUUCAUUACUAUUUAAUUAAUUCAGAUGUUCAAUUUUUUAAUAUGUUAAGAUCUGAAUCCAUUAAAUUAAAGUGUUGAAUUGGAUUAUCAAACAGGGUUUUAGUCUAAUUCAUUAUAGUCUAAUUCAUUAUAGAAUGAUUAAUUAUUAUAAAAAUCUAUAAAAUCAAAAUUAAAUUAGUAAUCCACCAAAUUUCAAGUGCAAAUAUUUACCUAUAUUUAGUGUAAUUAUUUAGUUUAUUUAUGAAUUUUAAGUGCAAGAGGUUAUUAGGAACAAUAUUUGCCUUUAAAUGAAUUGUAUACUAUGUUAUUUUUGAAAUCCAUUUCAGAACUUAUAGAGUUUGAGAAAUAAUAAAUUUUAUUAAAAUAUCCCAAAUAAUUUUUAUUUUAGAGAAAUUAUAAAAAUAAAGAAACAAUUGACUAACAUAUAAUAUAAGACAGGUGAAUAACUAGCAUGUCAGCUGUUCACCUAGCGGUAAGUACUCGUUGUUUAUAUGCAUGAGGUUUUGAGUUUGAACCAUUAAAAAAACACAAUCUUGUCUAAUUUUUCCAAUAGCAACUAAUGUUCUACCUGAUUCAACCGGUCGGAUUUUCGAUUUAAUCCGGUUGAACCAUUGAUUUGUUGACAAGUCAAUGAGACUUGUUCACAUUCAAUCCAAUUAGAGACCCGAUGUUGUUUACUGAUCAGGCUUAAUAACUAUGCUUGCUGUGUUUCCUAGGUUUGCAAGAUUGAAUUCAAGGUUAAUUGUAUUCAUCUCCUUUUUGGUUAAACCAAAUUACAAAAAUCUUUUAUAUUGUUUGACCAAAUUAAGAGUACAGGCAAAGCCCUUGACCAAAUUACAAAAAUCUACCAUAUUGUCUGACCAAAUUAAGAGUACAGGCAAAGCCCUUGAUGGCAAAACAUUUAUCAAAUGCGCCCUUAUAUCAAUAGCUGUUAAAAUUGAUGCUUACAUUAACAAAAACCACAUAUUUGAAAGCCCCAAAAUAACCUUUUACACCUUGAGUUAAUUACACUUAUCUUUAUAUUUGGCAAUUGGGUGGGUUGAACGGAUUUUGGGCGGGUUAAUAUUGGAUUUUCACUUAAAUGGAUUAUACCCAACCCGUCCAACUUUAGAUUUGGUUGAUUUUGGGUUGGGUCAUAUUGGGUUAUUUCAAACCCAUGACCCAAAAAUAACCUAUUAUAUUAAUUAAUACAUAACCUUUUUUCACAUUCAUUUUAACAUACAAAAAAGAUUUUUUUCACACAUAUAAACACAUUUUCACAUACAUAAAUGUAUUUUCAUACACACUCACUUCUUAAGUUCCUUGAAAACACAUCAUAAAUAGAAUAAUAUUUUAUAUUACUUGUAUUGUAAAUUUUAGAUAAUAAAUGAUGGGGGUUGGGUUCUGCAGCAGGUUGCGUGAUGAAGUCGUAGAUGAUGUUGGGAGUACUGGGAAAGGAUGGAUGAUGAUGAUGGAGGUGAUGAGGAGGUGGCUCCGCCAUUAUACACACAGAGUAUACAUGAAUGAGGAUGGCGCCGAUGAUGACUGCACUCACUUCUUAUUAUAUGUAUCCACAUUAAUAAUUCCUAUGUACACAUGAAACUCUGUGUGUGUGUGUAGAUACAAUAUAUAUAUAUAUAUAUGUAUGUGGCGGGACUUAAAUUAUAUAUAUAUGGGACAUAGAGCCACUGCUACUGGUCUAUAGUAUAGUUCAACAACAACAGCAGCAACGGCAUUCGACUACUCUGUUAGUGCAGUGUAUCAGCAGCUUGAGGUUAAAAAAGGUUAAAAAAGAAAUUUGUACAAUAUUAUAUGUACACGAAAUAUUGACAAACAAAAGCAAUCAUGAAAUAUUAAAAAAGAAUGCAAUUAGAAUAAAUUUAAAACUCUAUUUUACGUACACGAAAUAUUAACAAACAAAAGCAAGUAGCAACUUGAGAACAACCACAAAAAAAAAAAGAAAAAAAGAAGGAGGAAAAUAACAUACUCUUAAAAGGCAUAAUAAAUUAUUAUAAAAGUUGAGUAAGUUUAACUACUGUUAUAAAAGUAAAAUAGCUAUGAGUUUUUAUUUCAAGUUUCUUUUUUCUUUUAAAUAAAAAUUAAAAAAAUUGAUUGAAAAAAAAAAAUAUAUAUAUAUAUAUAUAUAUAUAUAUAUAUAUAUAUAUAUAUAUGAGAAUUUUGAAUACAAAUUAAUCAAUGAAUUAUUAACACAUGUCCAAAUGCAAAUAGUUAGAUAUAUGUGUAUUGAAUCUUGUAUUUAUUAUUUUCAAUUACUUUUAAACAAGUUAGAUAUUGAGUACCCAAAUAAAAAAUUCAACCCGUCCAAUGAAUAAAUUGGAUUGUUCUUACCCAACCCAAUAAAACCCAUAACCCAAUUAACCCAACCCAUCAUUUAAAAUUAAUGGACGGAUUUUGGGCUUUUUUGCUAGCUCCACUUAUCUUCCUUGGAUUUUGUCCAAACUACUUUCAUCUCUCGUGAGGGUUGUACAAAUGACAAGUAAAGCCUAUUAUUGUCCAAAUCAAUUCAAAGCUAUAAAUAACCCAAUACUUUUCAAAUACACCAUAGUCAACUUAAUUAGUUGCAACAAACUUCUAAAACAAUUCUCAAAUACCGAUUAGUUACUACCUUUUUCUUUUACCAUUUUUUCUCCUCGUAGGUUAUAGUGUUACUCCACCUAAAAACUUGAAUUCGAUUUUCGCACAUCGUUGGGCCUUGCAUGAUGUCAAAUAUCAACAGUAUUUUCGGCAAUUGAUUCUUUAGUCGCAACUGCUAUGUACAAAAUUGAAACUUUUCUCCUUGUUAGCAUGCAAAUUAUCAAAAUCCAUUUUUCAAAUAAAAGACAGUAUAAACUUAAAUCCACCUUAGCACUAAAAUUUAAGGUUUCUAUAUAAACGAUAUUUUGGAAUUCAUUAGUAAAAGUCCAAGAAAAAAUUAUCUAGAAAUUUUAGAAUAAAAGCUUAACAUCUUAAUAUGGAUAAAAAGAAGACAAUCUAAAAAGAAAGUUCCGUCUAAGCUAAGUCAAUCCUUGCUGAUGGUUCAUGAUUUUGGAGGAAAUUGCUCCAAAUGCGAGACCUGGCAAGAUGAUAUAUUCAGGCUGUAGUAGGCAGUGGGCGCGCUAUACAUAUGUGGCAGGAUUCAUGGCAUCCACAUGGACCUCUGUUACAAUACUAUGGGUAUGAUAUUGUUAAGGGUAAAAAACAAAAAAAAAAAAUUCUCCUGUAGCAAACCUAAUACAUAGAAAAGCUCUCCGUAAUUUUAAAACGUACAACAUGACACCUCAUGUUUUGAACUAAAUUGUAAAGGUGAAUGCCUUAUUGGAACCUAAAAAAAAUUUUAUACCUAAUUUUUAACAAAUAUACAUGUUCUCCCUCUUAACCCUCAAUUCUCUUUAUAUAGAAAAUAAAACGAAUGAUUUUUUUGAACUGUUUUUUACUUAAUUAUAUGAAGGCAUUUUGGUCACUUCAUCCAUUUCUGUUAAGUUUAACGGAUUCCGUCACUUUUACAAUUUAGUUCAAAGUAUGGAGUGUUGUGUUGUACAUUUUGAAAUUACGGGGAUUUUUCUAUAAAUUAGAUUUACCACGGGGGCUCUUUUGUUUUUUACCCUAUUGUUAAACAAUUUAAUAGGUUUGAGAAUGCAAGACUGGCUUCAAUUGUGAACACAAGUGCUUGGUGUUGGCCACAUGGUAGAAGAAGAACCUCUCAAGCGGAGGAUUUGAUCCAUAAACUUCCCUCUGCUUGUGUACCUCUCUACCCAGGGAAGAUGAUACCUUCUCAUGGUUAUGAGAUAAAACUGGAAUGUUACUACAAAGUCUGUUAUUGCUUCUUUGAGAGAACAUUGUAUGAAUGUCGAGUGGUAUAAACUGGGGUGGUUUAAGCAACAUAUCCUAGACAUACAUUUAUCGCUUGGCAACAUAUUCCUAGACAUGCAUUUACAAACAAGCAACAUAUUGUUUGUAAAAAUAGUUUGGCUACAAAAGAUAGGUUACUUAAAUGGGGUAUGCCAGCUUAUGUUUGGAGUAGGAUACAACAGUGCUAUUUGCUUUAUGGAGGCGUAUAUGGUUGGUCUGUAGGAUUGGCAUUGUGGGUUGGUUUCCUGUAGAAUGAUGAAUUUGUUACCUCAGUCAAAAGAUUGGCUCUUGGGGGUUUUUAUUUAUUUCCUUUGGCAUGAGCGCAAUCAAAGGCAGUUCAAUAGUAAGGUGUCGAAUGCUGAUUAUGUGAUACAGCAUAUAAUUACUACUGUUAGGCAAACUAUAAUAGGCUGGCGAAGGGUGCAAAGGACACAUAGCAGCUGGGAGUUUGGCAUUGGCUGGAAUUUUGAAUAGCAGUUUUUUUUCUUAGAUUAAUAUUUCAUGGUUAUAAUAUUUGUUUUCAUUAUAGUAUGGUGUCUUGUUCCGUUAAGCUUGUAUAGGGCAGCUUUUCUUGUUGUUGGAACCAUUCCUUGCUUAUCUAAUGAAAAGAGUUAUUUUGCCUAAAAAUAUAUAUAAUAUUCUUCUUUAUUUUUCUUACUUGCCCAACCCUUCUCACACCCUUCCCAUCCCCAAGUGCUAGGUUAUACUAUUCACUUAGGCCCUGUUUAAUAACUAAUUCAGUACUUAAUAUUAAUUGAUUCAGAUCUUAAUAUGUUCAAAUGCAUUUGAUAACAAAAUAUUGAACAUUUGAAUUAAUUAAGUGGCAUUGAAUUUUCUAAGCAAAACUUGCUUUUAAGAAUAAGUGAUAAGGUAUUCACUUAUCAUUGAACGUGAUAUACACUACAAUGUAUUUAAUUUCAUACUUAACAAUUCAAUAAUUUAAUGGAUUCAGACUUUAGAUUUCAGAUUUCAGUUUUCAAAUUUUAGUUUUAUCAAACACACCCUUAAUCUAAAUAAAUUUAUUUUUUUGAAACCAAAUUAUAUAUCUAAAAUGUAGCGGACACUUGUCAUAUGGAGAAAUUGGGUUAGGUGAGCUUCGUAGCGGCCACAAUGAGCUGUAGCAAAGAAAAAGGGGAAGAGGUUUUUUUUAAAAAAAAAAUUUUAUCUUUUAUUUGUCAUUUCUUAGUAUUGAGCAAUUAAUUAUUUUCUUUUAAUUUGGGAUUCAAUUUUUCUUGGAUGAUAUCAUGAGUUUUCUUAUGAAUUGUUUGCUAUUCAAAUGAUUAAAUUUAUAUGGCCAAACUAUAUGGUAACUCUUGUAAUAUAGACAAACGUCAAGACAAGAAAAUGUUGGUUUUUCAAAAGGCAUUUUUUGUCAUUUCGCUCAUUUUGUUGGCUGAGUUUAGACGCUGUCACUCAUGGGUAAAUGUAGAUGCAUCACGUGCAAUUUUAAGUUGACCAUAACAAAUAAAGAAAUCCAAAAACAUGAAGUUUCAAAUAUUAAUGAAGCUUUUUGAAAAUAUAAAUAUGAACCGUCACAAAAUAAUUAUUAAUACCCAUAAUACUUCAAAUACUAAUAAUUUUGGCACUCAACAAUAAGGUUUCAGCCAAUCCUCCACUAUUUUUUACUCCAUGAAAAUGACUUUAAUGAUAGACAUUUGUGUUUUUUUUAACCUCCCACCCCUCUCCACGCUCUUCCCACCCCCAACUAUCAGGGCCAAAAUUCGAACUCUCAACUUGACACAUAUGUUUAUGUAUUUGUUAAGUAUAUGGUUUACUGCCUUGGCAAAGAAAUAUAUGAACUAAUGCACAUGUCAUGAUUUUCUAAGUUAAAUUAUCUUGGCGUUUUAAAUUCUUUAAGCAAUGUGAUAAAAUACAAUUUUAUUGGUUUAAAAUAUAUAUAUUUCUUACAUAUCUGUUAUCACUUGUUGUUCAAGAUUAUUUUUAAUGGAAAUAGUUUAUUCAAGUUUUUUUCUUCCUCGUCUCUUUGGCCAGGUUUGGCAUAUAAAUUAUGAGAAAACAUAGAUUAUGUAUCUUAGUUAUUUUGGUGAAGGCAAAGUACGAAUUGAGUGUCUCAAAGUCAAUUUGGAGUUCCAAAUUCAUUGGUUCAUUGGUUCCAAGUUCCAUUAUUUUUUGGACUCUUCUAGGAUCACAUACUUUAUGCAUGAUUUUGGAACUUGCAAGUAUAAACAAAAAGUGUUACUCUCAAAUGCAAAAGAUUUUCAUAUAUAUAAUAGCCCAAGUGUCUAAAAAAUAACUUGUGGAUAUGUCUAAAUUGUAAGAAAAGGAACGAAAAAAGCAUUUAGUUUGGGAGGUUGGAAGUACUUCCAAAUCACAUGUUUGAGAAUAUGUUAUUGCCCCUCUUUUCCUACAUGAAAUUCAUAUUGGAAUUGAUAUAUCAUUUUUCCGGUGCGAUGUUUAAAUUAUUGUUCAUGCAUGCUGAUGCGUGGAACCAAAGAAGAAAUUAACAAAAAUAGCAAAAGAAACAAACUCAAACUUAAUCCAUAGUACAAUACGUUCAUAGAUAGGAUGUCAUAGAUUACACAUCUUGGUUUACAGAUCCACUCAAACUCAAGCAUAAUUACAAUACAUCAGACUUUUAUUCCCACCAUCUUGGUUGAUAAAAGCACACACAAACCAAAUAGAAACACAUGAACACUUAAUUAAGCAGAGAAUAACAGCUUCUGCAAUCUGCGUAUCGCAGCUUGAUAGUCUGAUUAGUUCUUUCCUUGAGAAAUGAAAAUGAGAUCACUUUGAGACAUCCAAUGGCAUGCUUCACUUUGGCCAGGAGAAGUUUUCAAUAUCUUCAAGGCCACAUGAUCAGGGGACCAGCCUGAAGUAUCCAUAUGACAUACCACCGUGACUGUAUUAACUGGAACUUUGGUCCUAGGUUCAACAACAUCUACUGCAUAGACUUCAAUAUUGGACAGCAAAUGGCAGAAAUAUGUUGCAAAAGGAAGAAAUAAUUGAUGACAUGCCACAGUUUUUCCAUAUUUAAGCUUUUCCACGCGUCCAACCAUCAAUUCUUUUCUAGAACCCUCUGUGUUUUUCGAUGCCAAUGCCACCAAAUUCUUGUCACCUAUGGCAGUUUUUGAAAAUUCAAUCAUUUCCUCAAGGGAUUUUGCACAGCUCUGAGGCUCUUCCUUAAGAGCAG